CAUCUUGCUCUUGCAAUCCACGUAAGUCAAGGUCUUCAAUUCUCUGCAGUUGCACGAUCAGCGAAUCCUUCAAGCAAACCUUGUUCACGACACCAAUGUUGGUUCUCUCCCAAAACCGACCUCCAACUCCAAUACGUAUUAUGUACCCUUCCAGCUUCUCCAAGAACAGGCCUCUGGGCAGAGUGCUGACGUCAUCGAUGUAUAAUUCCAAAGAGGUCAAGUUGGGCAAAUGCUUCAACUCCUCAAGGCUUGCAUUCUUAACCCUUCCACCUCCACCUCCCAGUUUCGAAAGCUGCUAGGACCCAUAUAUAGUUCUUCAAGCAACUUUAUCCAAGUCAAUUCACCUACUUCUACCGGAAACUUCUUAAUCAUAGAACCUCUUAAGCAAAGGAUUUCUAGUUUCUUCAAGUAUCCUACGAAACUUAUAUCAGGCAAGCUGCAGCGACGCAAACUCAGUGUUCGAAGGUUUGACAGGAGACCAAGUGAUGAAGGCAGUGGCAGUACAAUCUCAGUCAUCCUCUCGAAAAAGUUGUUUGGAAUUGUUAAUGAUGAAGAUUCCCAAGGACCAGCACGUAGAAAAAGAAGUUCGAGUUGAGGACAUUCCACUACUUCAGGAAGAAAAUUACUCUUGAUACCAUGUAAGACGAUUGAAUUGCGAUGCUUUAUUGCACUUCCGUCUGACCAUUUCCUACAACCAUCAACCUGCUCAUUUGUAGCAGUAAACACAUUUCGUGUAGAUGCAAUUGAUAUGGCGACAUCGCGAACAACAUCAUGCAUAGAGAAGGACUCUUCAUUCUUGCUUAUAUGGUCAAGCAACAUACAAGAAGCUUUGGGUGUGCUUACCAAUGCAUGUACUCGAUCUCGUGCUGCUUCCAUAUUAUUCGCACCUUGAAAUAGAUCAAAUCCCAUACCAUGCAUUAACAGUUCGUCAAUGGAUUCUGUGGCUGUAUAUCCUAUUAGCAAAAAAGUUUUCUUGAGCUCAUCCCUUUCCAAUUUAUUGUAGCUCAACUCGAUAGCAUUAUAUGCAGCUGGCUGUACAUCCUUAAAAUUCGAUGAAGAAGGCCUUCUUAGCUGUUCCAAUGCAUCCUUCCAUUCACGCAGGCUCUUGUUCCUUAAUGCCCUUGCAACCGUCACAAUGACAACUGGUAGACCUGCACAUUCCUUUGCCACAUCCCUUGCUACCUCUUUCAAUUCAUUACCUUCAACAUAAUCACCUGCCAUCUUCUUGAAUAGACUCCAAGCUUCUUCUUCUUUUAAAAAGCCAACUGAGAAAUUUCUUUGAGAAUCCAUCUCUCUAGACAAUACGUCUUCACUCCUGGCCGUCAACAGUAUUUUACAGCCCUUAUGACCAUCUCCGUGAGGAAUUCCGACAGCCCACAAAUGAAGCCCUUUCCAAAUGUUGUCUAAAACAAUCAGAAUCUUCUUCACUUUUUUUAUAACUUCACAUAACCUGUCUGCCCUUCCUGAUUCACUUUCUUCAUCAAGCUUCAGGCUUAAUUUGUCAGCGAUUUCUCCUUGAAUCUUUCGUAUGUCUUGACUCUGGGACACCUCAACAAAAACCACCUGAUCAAAGAGUUUGUCACUCUUGACUUUCCUAGCAACUUCUUCCGCCAGCAUCGUCUUUCCGAUGCCGCCCAUUCCCCAAAUCCCAAGCAUGUUGACAUCAGGAUCUUCUAGUGCACUGAGUAUAUUCGUCAAAGUGGGCAUUCUUGAUUCAAAGGCCUCGUAGCCUUUGCUAGCGCUAAGCCGUAUAUCCUGCGGAGCAGUACGGUAGGAAAUUCUAUCAAAUCCUCCAUCUCCCCGGACUUCGACAACAGCCUCCUUCUGCCUCACUGCUUCCUUGCUAAGCCAACGGCGACUCUUCAAAUUAGGACACAACCCAUUGAAACAAUGCUUAUGUGCAGCGGCUUCAUCGUUUGUAAAUUUAUCUGCCUCUUCAAUGGCAUUGUUGGCCCUCGCAAGCCAAUUCUCAACGUUCUCUUCAAUCUCUUCUCCUUUUCUUUUAGCCUCAUCAACCUGGCGCUCUGUACGCACCCUCUCAGACUUUAGUUUCUCAACUUCAGUCUUGAGAUUCUGUAAGUUGCUCGUGUACUUACUCUCACGAAAAUAGCUAAUUUGGCGAUAUGCCGGAGGAGCCAAGCACUUCACAACUUGUACAACAAUAGUAAGAAUGAUUUCAGCCAUCUUCAAUCCUUUGUCCUUGUCUCUCUAUCUCUCUUUUUCUGAAUUUUUGAAAAACAAUUGACUAUUUAGGAAGCACACUGAGUGAUUGAACACAAGUGACUACAACAAGAUGGAACAAAAUAAAAAGGAAAAAAAUACAAAGAGCGGAUGGAGAAUAAAACAGAGACAGCGGCACAGCUGGACACAACUAGAGGUCAAGUAUUGUUAAGAUCAGAAGAUGGAAGAUUCAAAAGAGUUGAUGGCAGAAGCUGAAUAACAAAACAACAAUGAACGCAAUAAACAGAAGCAAAGUGUGUUUGUGAUCGACAGAUGGAAGUAAGGAAUGGGGUUGUUGAUUGAAAAUGAAUGAAUGCAAAGAAAGACUGAUAUUGAAAAUGGAUCUCAAUAGCGAAGGAAUAAUUGAACUUUCGCUGAAUUAUUGUUUGUGGCCUUCUUUUACUUUUUAUUUGUGGGUUAUGUCUUUUGGAACAAUCAUCUUAGCUUAUGCCUUAUAGCUUUAAGGCCGGUAACCGUUGUCCGUUGAAUUAGCAAAUAAAAAUCCAACGGUGGAUAUAUAUACUUGCAGAAUAAAAUUCAAGGGCAACUCCCUAACUUUAAAUAUGAUUAUCUGCUGGGCCGCAGUUUCUUAAGGAGAUUUAUAUAUCCUCCUCAAAAAUAAAUAUUUUAAGCGUAGAUAUUUAGACUAUUUCAUCAUUAAAAUAAGGGUGUGAAUAUUUUCACCCCACUAUUUUUAUAAAUCCAUCCCACCUUCAUAAAAUAAUUACAAUAAAUUUACAUUAUUUUAUAAAAUUAUAAAUUAUAAUAAGUUUGAAUAAUUAAUUAAUUAAAUCAUUCUUAUGAUUUUUUUUCUUUCUUUGUCUUUCAACAAUCUUUAACAAUUUAAGGUUACUUUAAGAUAAGUUAAUUUAACUAAUUUACCCUUAUAAUAUAAAAUUAAAAAAAUUACCCUAAGAAAUAUAUAUUAUUGUAACUAAUUGUUUAGGCAGUUAGUUUUAUAUUUUAUAAUCUAAUAUGCUUUAUAUAAAAUUUAAUAAUUUUGAAUACUCCAAAUGUCCUAAUUACAUCUCGUUAGUUUAGUGAAAUAUUAAUAAUCAUUCUAAAAAAGCACUACUUAUACAUCAUUAAAAUAUAAAUAUAAAAUUGUAUAAAAAAUUAUUAAAUUUAAAAGUAAACUUUUAGAUAUUUUUGGUACUUUUACCUUAUAAGGUUAGAAUAAUUAUAUUAAUUUAUGUUAAAACAACCUUAUUGAUCAAAUAUAAUUAAAAAAAUAGUCUCAUAAAAAAAUAAUUAAUGAAUAUGGAUUUAAUUGGUUAAAUUUUUAAAUUUCUUCUUAAUUUGAAUUUUUAAAAAAUAAUGUGUACUUGUAGUAAUAAUUUUUUAAAAUUGGGGUGGGUUAAUAAAAUUGAUGGGGUGGAAAUAUCACCACCCUUAAAAUAAAUGUAAUUAAUUUCAAUAAAUAUUUGAUAAAAUAUUUAUUUAUUUUUUGCAUUACUGAUGACCUUUGAACAUACAUACAUAUCACUAAUUCAAAAAAUAAAUUGUAAUUAUUUAUUAAUGUAUACGAUUACUUGUGAUGGUAAACGAGGAAGAUAUGGUAUAUUUUCAAGUUAAAAAAGAAAAAAAAAACAGAGUUUUUACCAUUUCUUGCCUUAUCAUCUUUUAAAUUAGAGUUAUUAUUAUUUUAUUUUUCAAGUUGCCAACUCAUCCUCAAUCUCUUUUAUUGAAUUUGAAGAUCAAUGAUUAUAAAUUUGUGUGAAAAUUUUAAGUCAAAGUUUUAAAUUAAAAUAAUCUUUAAGUUAUUGAGAAAUUAUAACUUAGUAUAACAAAUAUUAUGUCUUAUACUUUAUUGCUACAAAAUUACGAAACUUUAUAUUAUAUUAUGUUUCCAUAUUUCUCCUUUAUAGUGAAGACCCAUACUUCUCUAGUAAAUGCUAAAGUAUUGGCUUAAACUUUUUAACCAGCACAGUAGACCCUUAAACAAUAUAUACUAUAAUGUCCCUCUUCCCUCACGGAUUAAACCAAUCUGAUCUCCGAGUGAGUUUGCAUUAUUUGUCAUCAAAGGAGCAUCAUUACUAACUAAUAUAGGCUCGAUCAAUAGGUAUGACAAUAAAUUUUCUGUCUAAACACUAUUAUUUAAAAUAUUAUAUCUUUAGACUUAACUAAAUAUUUUUUAAUCAUAUAUAUAUAGUUUGUUUGAUCUCUUUUAAAUAGUGGAGAUCACAACAAAGCAAAUUCGAAUUAGUAGUGAUGUUGAGUUCAGAAGAUUGAAGUAAAGAAAAUUAAGGGUUUCUUGAUCCAGAGAAAUUUCAAAAGAGUGAAGCGUCUUCGAAAUCAGAACACGAAAAUAAGGAAAGGGUGUAAUUUUGAAAGUGAAUUUAUUGAGAGAUCUCUGAAGAUUUACUUCUGUUAAGAGUUGGAUGCCACACUCUUUGAGCCUUUGUCGUUACAAUCACUUAAUUAUAGGAUCCCUCUAAGUUACAUGCAUGUAACUUAGCAUUAGCCUCAACUAUAAAGACAUAUUCUUAUUGAGUAUGAAUAGACAUAUUGAUCACUAAAUUUUCAAACUUGUGAUCCUCAUUAAAUCUUAUUCCCCUUUGAAAAAGAAAAAAAAGUGCAAAUAAUGAAACAAAAUUCGGUUCCUUAACAGCAAGUGGUGUCGGCAUUUUCAGACUUGUAACAAGGGAAUGAGAUCCUCUCCUGAACCCAGAUCUCAUUCCCUGUGACAAGACCCUUGUCACCCUUCAACUCACUUUCCAAGAUAGCUAUAUUAAUCGUGUCUAGGGGUGGGCAUAAACCCACAACCCAUGGGUUUACCCAAACUCAAACCAAAUAAAAUAAUUUGGGUUGGAUAAAUUAUUAAAAUGGGUUGAUUUGGAUUUUUAUAGGAAAAACAAUUUCAUAAUGGUUUGGGUAUGGUUUAGGUUUACCCAUGGACUAGAUAAAUUUAAGGUGAGCUGUGAGUGGAAAAUAAAUAAAAUAAAUUAAAUUAAAUUAAAUUAAUUCCAUUAUUUUCACUUCCAUAAUCUCGCAUUCAUCACUCCCCAGUUCAUUAGAAUUGUUGACUCUCACUGGCCUCACUUUAUCUUCCACAGUCUCUGUCAACAAAAGUGCUGUCACGAAUCUCUCAGUCGAUUUUCAUCAACUCUUGAAGACUCCACUUCGAUUACAGCCUUUCUAUUGAUCUAAGGUGAGGUUUUUUUGCAAAAGCUUCAUAUUUUUUUUCUAGUUAUUUGGUAAUGGGUAUGCUUGGAAUUAGAGAAUGGGGAAUUGAUGAAACCACUCACACUUGAAUAUGCCGAAAAUAAUUUACUGAUAUAUGAAUUUGAUUGAGCUCUUAUGAACUAAUUCUUUCAUAGAUCAUUGCUACCACAUGUACAAUUUAAAGAAUUGUGAAAAAAAAUUCCUAGAAAAUAUUAUCAUCUGGGCUUUCAGUGCUGUUUGUUAUGCCAUUAUUUUUGUUAACUUAGCUUGUGAUUGUAUCCUUACAACCAAUGUACUAAAGACAGAGUGCAAAAAUUUAAGAUCCGCCAUAAUAAAUAUUGUUGAAACUAUAAUGGCUCACUUUGGGUAGUAUUUUCAUGUAUCAUCAUGUUAGCUAACAAAUAUUGAGCAUACAAAUAAAUGAAAAUUCUUAAGAGCGGACCUCAUACUCAUUAUGGAAUGCAUAUGGAAGCAAUUGAAUGUAUUGUUGUUUGUUUGUUCUGAUUCAUAAGACAACAUGGUACUGCUUAAAUUUUCAUUUGAUGUAACACAAUGAUUAAUUUUGCUAAGCUCUUACCGUGAACAAUACAACAACAACAGUCUAAGGAAUAGAGUGAUAAAAAUGAUGAAUGCCAGAGAAAAGAUCACUUACAGCUGCUGGUGCAUAAAUUAACUGCAUAAUAAACCAAGUGCAGAGUUUGCUUGCUUAAUUAAUUAUACAAGCAGCAGAAAAGUAACCCCCAAGAAGGCACGGCAGAAGAGCACAAUGAUGAUGCCCUCAAGCCUGAACUGUAUCAGAGUUUGCUUGCUUAAUUAAUUGUAUUCUUGCUUUUGGACCAUUGUGCUCCAAACUUCUUUACUAAUAAUUAGUGAUGUUUGGCUUUCCAGCUUUUUCACAUAUUCAGGAUUUGUAAUUUUGUAUGGAAUGCCUCUUUUAUGUUUAUGAAUAAAUAACACUACCAUAACUCAUGAUUUUUUUUUCCAGUUAUAAUUACUGCCACUGUUGUUGUUAUUCCUUAUAUUUGGUAAAUUUUCUUGUUGAAUUGGCUUAAAGUUACAUGAUUUUUUUUUUCAAUUAAUUUUAGAUGGAUGAGAACUCAAGUUGUCAUGGUACUUAUUCUUCAGACACUUUGGCAACUACUCAGAGCAAGAGGAAAAAGCCAUCAGAGAGAUCGGAAAUAUGGGAACAUUUCACUAAAUACGAUCCAGGUAAUAGAUGCAAGUGUAAUUAUUGUGGUAAUGACUAUGCUUGUAAGAAUAAACAUGGGACUAAAAUUAGGACUAGUACAUUAAGGAAUCAUUUAUUGCGUUGUCCUGAUUAUUUGAACACAUUUGAGGAUGAAAAUCAAACAACUUCACAUGAAAUGAAAGACAAAUCUAAGUCUCAUGUCUUUGAUAAAGAAGCAUGUAGAAAAGCCCUUACAAGGUUAAUUAUUAUUGAUGAAUUACCCUUUAGUUUUGUGGAGAAAGAGGGCUUUCAACAAUAUAUUAAACAAUUGGAACCAAACUUUGAUCUACCGUCUAGGAGAACCCUUGCUAGAGAUGUAUACAAACGUUUUUGGGAUGGAAAGCAAAAAUUGAGGAACUUUUUUAUUUCAAAUAAGCAAAGGGUUUGUAUAACCACAGAUGCAUGGACGUCUAUACAAAAUUAUCACUAUAUGGUGAUAACAGCCCAUUUCAUUGAUAGUAAGUGGAAAUUGUAGAAAAGAAUUUAAAUUUUUGCACAGUACUUGACCAUAAGGGGGAGACAAUUGGAAAGGUAAUUGAGUCUUGUUUACUUGAGUGGGGUAUAGAAAGUGUAUUUACCAUUACUGUUGAUAAUGCUAGUUCAAAUGAGUUAGCUAUCAAUUAUGUCAAAAAGAAAUUGAAGAAUUGGAGUGAGAAUGGGCUUGUGCUAGAUGGUGACUUUUUACAUAUGAGAUGUUGUGCGCAUAUUUUGAAUUUAAUUGUGAAUGAAGGGUUGAAAGACUUACAUGUGUCAAUUUCUAAAAUUCGUAAUGUUGUCAAAUAUGUAAAGUCAUCUCCUGCAAGGCUAAAAAAAUUUAAAAUAUGUGUGGAGCAUGAAAGAAUUGAAGGUGCUGGUCUUGUGGUUCAAGAUGUGUCCACUAGGUGGAAUUCCACUUACUUAAUGUUGGAGAGUGCUUUAAAAUUUCAAAAGGCUUUUGAGAGAAUGGAGGAUGAUGAUCGACAUUAUGUUUUAUAUUUCAAAGAAGAUGGAGGACCCCCUAAUAGUGAUGAUUGGGAAAAUGCUAAUGUUUUUUUGUUGUUUUUGAAGUCAUUUUAUGAUAUAACUUUGAAAUUUAGUGGAUCAAUGUACGUGACUUCAAACUUAUAUUUUCAUGAAAUGUGCUCAAUUCAUUCCGAUUUGACAUCAUUAAUUGAAAGUGGUGAUGAUCUUGUUUUAUCUAAAAUGGCAACAAGUAUGAAAAAUAAGUAUGACAAAUAUUGGGGUUCAAUUGAUAGGUUAAAUAAUUUGUUGCUUAUUUCGGUUAUUCUUGAUCCACGUUAUAAGUUAAAAUAUGUGAGAUUUUGCUUUGAAGACAUUUUUGUUAUUUAUGAGGUUGGGAAGAAGUUUGAAGAGGUGAAAACUCUUUUAAUACGUCUUUAUGAAUACUAUAAAGAUCUUGACACUAAGAUUGGUGGUUGUGGCUCAACUAGUGGUGCUAGUAAGUCGUCAAUUGUUGAAAGUAGGAAAUUUGAUAAAAAGGUGGGGUUUUCUAAACUUUCAAGUGUUGCAAAGUUCAAACAAAGAAUAGGAAAAGAUGAUUGUGUUGAGAUGAAAAAUGAAGUAGAGAGGUACUUGUUGGAGCCAUGUGAACAUGUUGAUGACGACGACUUUGAGAUUUUGGCAUGGUGGAAAAUGAACUCAAUAAAAUAUCGAGUUCUUUCACAUAUUGCAAAGGAUGUGUUUGCAAUUCCAAUAUCUAUAGUAGCUUCAGAAUCUGCAUUUAGUACUAGAGGACGCAUCAUUGAUUCAUUUCGUAGUUCUUUAAGUCCAAAGAUGGUAGAAGAUUUGAUAUGCUCACAAAAUUGGUUACGUAACACUUUUGUCCCAUUACAAGAUGAACCAACGAUGGAGGAGCUUGAGUUUUAUGAAGCCAUGAUAUUAGGUAACUACUAUUUAUCAUAACAAGCGAAAAAAAUUAUAUAUUUGUUUAUCAUUAGUCUUUUUUUAUUAAUUUAUUUUUAUUUAAUGUAGAGUUUGGAUCAAGUGCAACAACGGAGGCAAUGACUUUAGAUUGAUGUUAUUCUUACGAUUUUGGUAUGAAUCAUGUUCUUUUUUAAAUUUACUCAUCUUUAUAACUAUUCAACAUUAUAAUUUCCUUUUUUUGUUAUUUAUUUGUUGGUGAAGGAGCAGACUCAGUUGAUUAUGGGAUCUUUUGAUUAAAGUACUGCAGAUGGAAUAAUUAUGAUGGAUUGUUUUGAUACUUGAUUUGGAUGUCUUAUCUUGUUUUGAUUUGUAUUGACAUUAGUAGAAUUUGUAUUGUAAUAUGGUUAAUAUUUAAGGACGAAGUUAUUGUGAAAUCUAUUAUUUAUAAUUUUUUGACUAUAUUUUUUCAUAUUUUAAUAUUAAUUUAAUAAUUAUUAAUAAUUAUUGUAAUUUUGAUAUAAUUAAAUUUAUCAAAAUAAAAAAAAUAUUUUUAUUACAAAAUUCAAACCAAACCCAAAUAGUUUGGUUUGGGUUGGGUUAAAAAUAUUUGGAUUGGUUUGAGUUGGGUUUAAAUUUUUAUGGUUUGGUUUGGGUUGACAUAAAACUCAACCCAAACCAACCCAUGUCCACCCCUAAUCGUGACAACAUUACUCUCAGUGAGCAAAAGUUAACAGCAUCUUCUCCCCAUUUUUUAAAAAAUUGUAUUAUAUAACCCACCAAAACUAUAAAGAGUCUUUUCUUAUUAAAAUUAAUAAAUUACUCUUUAUAUUAAAAAAUUAAAAUUCAAAUGAAAAUGAUCUGAUGUUUAUUUAUUAAAAUAUAAAUAAAAUAUAUGAAGUUCAUAUGUUUUUUAAAUUAAAAAAAUAAGAACCUAAUUUCAUUCCUUAAAUUCCUAAAUUUACCUCACAAAAAUUUCAUAAGCUCUUUUGUGUCCUUAAUUAAAAUAUUAUUAUGUUAUUAUUAUGGUUAUUAUUCUUAUUUUUGUAAUAGUUGCUGUUGUUGUUGAUGAUGAUGAUAAUACAUGAUAAUAAAAUUAAUAAUAAUAAAAAUAAUAACUAUAAUUUUAACAAUAGCAAUAAUAAUCAUUAAUAUUAUUGUUGUUGUUCUUGUUCUUGUUCUUGUUCUUCUUCUUCUUCUUCUUCUUCUUCUUCUUCUUAUUAUUAUUAUUAUUAUUAUUACUAUCCUAUUAUAUUAUUACUAUUAAAUAAUUAUUUUGAAUAAUAAUAAUCACAAUUAUUAUAACAAACGACAAUAAUCAACUAAGGUAAUUUUAAUAACUUGUAACGAUUCAUUUUUAUUCAAAGAUAUGUGAUUAUUUGUUAAUGUAUGCAAUUACUUGUGAUGGUAAACAAAGUAUAUAUGGUAUAUUUUCAAGUUAAAAAAGAAAAACAAAACAGAGUUUUUACCAUUUCUUGCCUUAUCAUCUUUUAAAUUAGAGUUAUUAUUCUUUUUAUUUUUCAAGUUGCCAACUCAUCCGCAUUCUCUUUUACUGAAUUUGAAGAUCGAUGAUCAUAAAUUUGUGUGAAAAUUUUAAGUCAAAGUUUUAAAUUAAAAUAAUCUUUAAGUUAUUGGGAAAUAAUAACUUAGUUGUAAUAAAUAUUAUAUCCUCUACUUUAUUGCUACAAAAUUACGAAACCAUAUAUUAAAUUAUGUUUCCAUAUUUCUCCUUUAUAGUGAUGACUCGUACUUCUUCUCUAGUAAAUGCUAAAGUAUUGACUUAAAUUUUUUAACCAGCACAGUAGACCCUUAAGCUAUAUAUGUUAUAAUGUCCCUCUUCGCUCACAGAUUAAACCAAUCUGUAGCCUUCUCUCAUAUAGAAAAACUUUUUGUAUAAGAUAAAUUAUUAUGUUAUAGGAAAAAUUACAGUAGACGUAAGCUAUAUAUGUUAUAAUGUUCAGAAGAUUGAAGUUAAGAAAAUUAAGGAAAGUGUAAGGUUGUAUUUUUAAAGUGAAUUAUUAAGAGAUUUUGAAGAUUACUUCCAUCAAGGUUGGGUCCCACACUCUUGAGCCUUUGUCGUCUCAGUCAACUAUAAGAUAAAUUAUUAUUGGGUGUGAACAGACUUAUUGAUCACCAAAUUUUCAAGGGUUUGCAUACCUUACAUUUAACGUAAGGUACAAUCCUCUCACACAGUUGAGAAGUGAGUUUUAAUGGGAUCUAUUGCUGUAGAGAGGGCUGCUGCCUAACGUAAGGUAGCAGCUCCCAAUUUUGAAACUUGUGAUCGUCAUUGAAUCUGCAUUCCCCUUUGCAAAAGUAAAAAAAAAAAGGUGCAAAUAAUGAAACAAAAUUGUCGGCAUUUUCAAACAUGUAAGACCCUUCAACUUGCUUUCCAAGAUGGAAAAUGCUACUCAGCGAGAAUGCCGAGAGAAACGGCCUACAGUUUCUCUAGGCCCCCCUCCACGUGAAGACUCUCUCUUUUCACAUUUUUUUAACUCUCUCUCUCGAGCGAGUGAGGAACAAAAUUACCAACAAUUAUCAAAACAUAAUUAUAAAAAAGAUCACAUGCUAUAAUGAAUCAUGACAAUUGACAACAUUACUCCCACCGAGCAAAAGUUAACAGCACCUUCUCCCACAUUUUUUUUUUAAAUUGUAUUAUAUAACCCACCAAAAGUAUAAAGAGUCUUUCCUUAUUAAAAUUAAUAAAUUACUCUUUAUAUUGAGAAAUUAAAAUUUAAAAUGAGAAUGAUUGAUAAUGUUCAUUUGUUAAAAUAAAAAUAAAAAUAAAAUUUAUAAAGUCUUUAUAUUUUUAGAAUUAAAUAAUAAGAACUUAAUUUCUUACAGAAGUGUUGGAAAUCAAGUUCUUAUUCCUUAAACUCCCAAUUUUACCUCACAAAAAUUUUAUAAGUUCACUUUUAUCCUUAAUUAAAAUAUUGUUAUGUUAUUAUUACGGUUAUUAUUCUUAUUUUUGUAGUAGUUGCUGUUGUUGUUGUUGAUGAUGAUGAUAAUAGUUGAUAAUAAAAUUAAUAAUAAUAAUGAAAAUAAUAACUAUAAUUUUAAUAGCUACAAUAAUAAUCAUUAAUAUUAUCGUUGUUGUUCUUAUUAUUAUUAUUAUUAUUAUUAUUAUUAAAUAAUUAUUAUUAAAUAAUUAUUUUGAAUAAUAAUAAUCACAAUUAUUAUAACAAACAACGACAAUAAUCAACUAAUGUCAUUUUAAUAACUUAUAACAAUUCAUUUUUUAUUCCAAAACAAAGUAACCAUAUCAAUAAUAAUACAGGUCAUUUCGAUUCUAAUUCUUACAGGUAAAGUAAAUAAUUUAUUCUGAUUCUCAUUUUUCAUUUUGAUUUUAUUCUAUUCCGAUUCCAUUUGAUUCUGAUUUCAGCCAAUUCCAAUUACCGAUUAGAAAAUGCAUUGUUACUACUUUAAUAAUAACUAAUGAUUCUCCUCACAAUUCUUAUAGGAUUAUCCUUAUUUUAAAAUAUAUUUUUAUUCGUAUUUAUUAUAAAUUAAUUAAAUUAUAUCAAUGAAAAUUAAAUAAAAAUUUAAGUAAUAAAAAUGAGAAAAUAUAUGUUUCGGUUUGAAUAAAAAAUUAAUAAUAAAAUAUUUUUCUUAUAUAUUUUUAAUAUUUUUUAAUAUUUUUAUUAUAAUAAAUAUUUAUUUUAUAUGCUCAAAAUAAAUUAUCAAGUAAACAAUUCAUUAACUCAUUUUUUUCCUUUAAAUUUUUGUUAUUAAGAAGAUUUUUGGGUAUUGACCGUGAAGGGCUCAACUGAUCGCUAAUUUUGCAGCAAUUGCCUUUUUUUUUUUUUCUUUUUUUUAAUUGUUUUGAAAAAAUAUCUAGACUCAUUCUGCAAAGUAAUAAUCUGACGCCAAAGCGCCGAAAGUUAGGACACCCACAUGUGCUUUUAUUUACAAAAUCUAAAGUUAGGGUGGGUGUCCAUAACUUAAAUUUAAUAUAAUUUAUAAUUAGGUAAAAUUCUUUGAUUGACCCAUUAAAUGUUAUUAUUCUAUUACUUAUUUUUAUAUUAAAAAAUUAGUAAUGUAGAAAAAUUCUUAAAAGUUAAUGGAGAAGGAAAAGAAAAAGAAAAAGUGUAAAUGAACUGUAUUCACCUAAGUUUCAACACAUGUGGUUAAAUCUGAAUUCGCUUUUUUCAAAAGUAAAUACAAAAGAAAAUAUAAAGAAAAAAAAAUUAAACGAGACAAAAAUCUGUGGCAUGGGUCAUUUAUAUCUUUUGCCAUUUCUUUUGUAGAGGUACAUAGGGUAGAUAUUUUGAAGUGAAAAGCAGAGCCUUUACUGUUGCUUGCCUUAUCAUCUUUUAAAAUUAGAGUUAUUAUUCUUUUAUUUUUAAGUAGCCAACGGAUGGUAGCCAACCCAUCCGUGUUCUCUAUUAUUGAAUUUAAAGAUCAAUGAUUUAUGUUAAUAAAUAUUUUGUUAAUUAUCAAAGUUUUUAUUUCAAAAUUACUCCUAUAAUUCAUUAAAUUUUCAAUUUUUCCUUUUUCUAUUCACACAACAGAUUGAUUUGCCCUCCAAAAAAAUGUAUUAGAUUGUUUAAUAUUGUAACAUCAAGAAACUUAUAAUAAAUUUUUAAAGAGAUAAAUAGAGAAUGUCAGCAUCUACUCAAAAUUAAUAAAUAUACCACUAACUUCUUAUUAUUUUUAUAAUAACUAAUAACUUUCUUACCAGUAUAAUUUUAUAGUAUUAUUCUUAUUUGUAAGUAUAUUUUUUAUUCAUAUUUAUUAUAAAUUAAUUAAAUUAUAUCAAUAAAAAUUAAAAUAACACAAUAUGUUUUGGAGUGAAUAAAAGAUUGAAAAUAAAAAUAUUUUUCUUAUAUUUUUUGUUAUUUUUAAAUUUUUUUCUUAUAAUAAAUGUAUAUUUUAUAUUCUUAAGAUGAAUUUUGAGUAAAUGACUCAUUUACUCACUUUUUCUUUAAAUUUUUGUUAGUAGGAGGAUUUUUAGAUAUAAUGAAAAUUGUAAGGUAGUAAGUAAUAAUAUAAUAAUUUUAAUAAAGAAAAAUAAUUAAUUUCAAGUCAUUUCAAAAGAUAUUUCAAUAUGCGGUGGACUACAUCCUUGAGUUGAGUCUUCGUCGUCUCAGUCAACUAAAAGGACAAAAUAUGGAGUCACAAAGGACUCAACUGAUUGUUAAUUUCACACCAAUUACCUUUUUUUUUCUUUCUUUUUUUUUUCUUAAUCUAUAUAUUUAUAUAAAGUUGGUACUUGAGAAGGUGAUGUAUCAUCAUCAUUUUUUAUUUUUUUAUAUUUUCUAUUAUCUAAUAAAUAGAUAAAUUUUCUUUUAAAUUUGACUUUUCAUUUUCUCAUAAUUAAUUUGAUUGUUAUUACACAAUAACAAUUAUGUAAAGAUUUUAAUGAGACAUAUUAUUUGUAAUGAACAUUCAAGAGAGAGUAUUAUUUGUAAUGAACAUCCAAGGGAGAGUGUUAUGAAUUUAUUAAAAUAAAUAUAUAUUUUCAUAAUAUAUAUCUCUUAGUCUCCCCACUAUCUCCCAUUAACAACCUUUAGCUUCCUUAUAACUCCCACUAUUUUUAUAAAUCCACCCCACCUUCAUAAAAUAAUUACAAUAAGUUCACAUUAUUUUAUAGAAUUACAAAUUAAUAAUAAGUUUGAAUAAUUAAUUAAUUAAAUCAUUCUUAUAAUUUUUUUUCUUUCUUUGUCUUUCAACAAUCUUUAACAAUUUAAGGUUGCUUUAAGAUAAGUUUAAUUUAACUAAUUUACCCUUAUAAUAUAAAAUAGCAAAAUUACCCUAAGAAAUAUAUAUUAUUGUAACUAAUUGUUUAGGCAUUUAGUUUUAUGUUUUAUAAUCUAAUAUGCUUUAUAUAAAAUUUAAUAAUUUUCAAUACUCCAAAUGUCCUAAUUACAUCUUGUUAGUUUAGUGAAAUAUUAAUAAUCAUACUAAAAAAGCAUUACUUAUACAUCAUUAAAAUAUAAAAAAAAAAUUAUUAAGUUAAAGUAAACUUUUAGAUAUUUUUGUUACUUUUACCUUAUAAGGUUAGAAUAAUUAUAUUAAUUUAUGUUAAAACAACCUUAUUGAUCAAAUAUAAUAAAAAAACAUAGUCUCAUAAAAAAAUAAUUAAUGAAUAUGGAUUUAAUUGGUUAAAUUUUUAAAUUUCUUCUUAAUUUGAAUUUUUAAAAAAUAAUGUGUACUUGUAGUAAUGAUUUUUUAAAAUUGGGGUGGGUUAUUACUGAUGACCUUUGAACAUACAUACAUAUCACUAAUUCAAAAAAUAAAUUGUAAUUAUUUAUUAAUAUAUACGAUUACUUGUGAUGGUAAACGAGGUAGAUAUGGUAUAUUUUCAAGUUAAAAAAGAAAAAAAAAACUUUUACCAUUUCCUGCCUUAUCAUCUUUUAAACUAGACUUAUUAUUAUUUUAUUUUUCAAGUUGCAACUCAUCCUCAUUUUCUUUUAUUGAAUUUGACAAUCAAUGAUUAUAAAUUUGUGUGAAAAUUUUAAAUCAAAGUUUUAAAUUAAAAUAAUCUUUAAGUUAUUGAGAAAUAAUAACUUAAUAUAACAAUAUUAUAUCUUAUACUUUAUUGCUACAAAAUUACGAAACCUUAUAUUAUAUUAUGUUUCCAUAUUUCUCCUUUAUAGUGAAAACCCAUACUUCUUCUCUAGUAAAUGCUAAAGUAUUGGGUUAAACUUUUUAACCAGCACAAUAGACCCUUAAGCUAUAUAUGUUAUAAUGUCCCUCUUCCCUCACGGAUUAAACCAAUCUGAUCUCAGAGUGAGUUUGCAUUAUUUGUCAUCAAAGGAGCAUCAUUACUAACUAAUAUAGGCUCGAUCAAUAGGUAUGACAAUAAAUUUUCUGUCUACGAACACUAUUUUUCAAAAUAUUAUAUCUUUAGACUUAACUAAAUAUUUUUUAAUCAUAUAUGUAUAGUUUGUUUGAUCUCUUUUAAAUAGUGGAGAUCACAACAAAGCAAAUUCGAAUUAGUAGUGAUGUUGAGUUCAGAAGAUUGAAGUAAAGAAAAUUAAGGGUUUCUUGAUCCAGAGAAAUUUCAAAAGAGUGAAGCGAAAAGUGAAUUUAUUGAGAGAUCUUUGAAGAUUUACUUCCGUUAAGAGUUGGAUGCCACACUUUUUGAGCCUUUGUCGUCCCAAUCAUUCAAUUAUAGGAUCCUUAAGCAUAUAACUUACCAUCUUUUCACAUAAAUAAUGAGUAGUGUGAACCCAUAUAACUUAUAACUUUCUCACAUAUAACUUACAACCUUCUCACAUAAAUAGUGAGUAGAUCUAAACUACUCACUAUUCAUGUAAAAAAAUUAUAAGUUAUAUAUAUAUAUAUAUAUAUGUAACUUAGCAUUAUUCUCCACCGUAAAGACAUAUUCUUAUUAUUCUCCACUAUAAAGACAUAUUCUUAUUGAGUGUGAACAGACAUAUUGAUCACUAAAUUUUCAAACUUGUGAUCCUCAUUAAAUGUGAUUCCCCUUUGAAAAAGAAAAAAAAGUGCAAAUAAUGAAACAAAAAUCUGUUCCUUAACAGCAAGUGGUGUCGGCGUUUUCAGACUUGUAACAAGGGAAUGAGAUCCUCUCCUGAACCCGGGUCUCAUUCCCUGUGAAACAAAAAAAGUGCAAAUAACGAAACAAAAUUCUGUUCCUUAGCAGCAAGUGGCGUCGGCAUUUUCAGACUUGUAAAAGGGAAUGAGAUCCUUUCCUGAACCCGGAUCUCAUUCCCUGUGAAACAAAAAAAGUGCAAAUAAUGGAACAAAAUUUUGUUCCUUAACAGCAAGUGGUGUCGGCAUUUUCAGACUUGUAACAAGGGAAUGAGAUCCUCUCCAGAACCCGGAUCUCAUUCCCUGUGACAAGACCCUUGUCACCCUUCAACUCGCUUUCCAAGAUAGCUAUAUUAAUCGUGACAACAUUACUCUCAGUGAGCAAAAGUUAACAGCAUCUUCUCCCUAUUUUUUAAAAAAUUGUAUUAUAUAACCCACCAAAACUAUAAAGAGUAUUUUCUUAUUAAAAUUAAUAAAUUACUCUAUAUUAAAAAAUUAAAAUUCAAAAUGAAAAUGAUCUGAUGUUUAUUUAUUAAAAUAUAAAUAAAAUAUAUGAAGUUCAUAUUUUUUUAAAUUAAAAAAUAAGAACCUAAUUUCAUUCCUUAAAUUCCCAAAUUUACCUCACAAAAAUUCCAUAAACUUACUUUUGUCCUUAAUUAAAAUAUUAUUAUGUUAUUAUUAUGGUUAUUAUUCUUAUUUUUGUAAUAGUUGUUGUUGUUGAUGAUGGUAAUACAUGAUAAUAAAAUUAAUAAUAAUAAAAAUAAUAACUAUAAUUUUAACAAUAGCAAUAAUAAUCAUUAAUAUUAUUGUUGUUGUUGUUGUUGUUGUUGUUCUUCUUCUUCUUCUUCUUCUUCUUCUUCUUCUUAUUAUUAUUAUUAUUAUUAUUAUUAUUAUUAUUAUUAAAUAAUUAUUUUGAAUAAUAAUAAUCACAAUUAUUAUAACAAACGACAAUAAUCAACUAAGGUAAUUUUAAUAACUUGUAACGAUUUAUUUUUAUUCAAAGAUAUGUGAUUAUUUGUUAAUGUAUGCAAUUACUUGUGAUGGUAAACAAAAUAUAUAUGGUAUAUUUUCAAGUUAAAAAAGAAAAACAAAACAGAGUUUUUACCAUUUCUUGCGUUAUCAUCUUUUAAAUUAGAGUUAUUAUUCUUUUUAUUUUUCAAGUUGCCAACUCAUCCGCAUGCUCUUUUAUUGAAUUUGAAGAUCGAUGAUCAUAAAUUUGUGUGAAAAUUUUAAGUCAAAAUUUUAAAUUAAAAUAAUCUUUAAGUUAUUGGGAAAUAAUAACUUAGUUGUAAUAAAUAUUAUAUCCUAUACUUUAUUGCUACAAAAUUACGAAACCAUAUAUUAUAUUAUGUUUUCAUAUUUCUUCUUUAUAGUGAAGAUUCGUACUUCAACUUUUUAACCAGCACAGUAGACCUUUAAGCUAUAAAUGUUAUAAUGUCCCUCUUCGCUCAUAGAUUAAAACAAUUUGUAGCCUUCUCUCAUAUAGAAAAACUUUUUGUAUAAGACAAAUUAUUAUGUUACAGGAAAAAUUACAGUAGACGUAAGCCAUAUAUGUUAUAAUGUUCAGAAGUUUGAAGUUAAGAAAAUUAAGGAAAGGGUAAGGAUGUAUUUUCAAAGUGAAUUAUUAAGAGAUCUUUAAAAAUUACUCCCGUCAAGAGCUGGGUCCCACACUCUUGAGCCUUUUUCGUCUCAAUCAACUAACAAGACAAAUUAUUAUUGGGUGUGAACAGUUCGACUUAUUGAUUGUUGAAAAAAUAACAUAACAUUUCGAGCGCAACAUUUAACGAAAGUGAAAAAUAUUGUGAGGUUCGAAUUUUACUCCAUUGAUACUUUAAUAGUAUAAUUUUAUUUUCUCAAAAUAGUACUUGGGUAAAUGAAAAACUCUCUCAAAAUUUACCCAUAAAGUUAGAAAUUUAAAAAAAAAUAAGGCUUAUCCCACAUGAAAAAAAGAAGCUUAGGAAUUAAUGUUUAUAUAUAAACAUUUAACCAUGCAUGAAUAAGAAUUAUAAGGAUAGAGGCUCUCUCCACACCUGCGUGCGCAUGGAGGUGCAAAUCUAAGACCGAUUUAGUUGAACUCGUGUGCGCCUUCGCAUCCUGUGUACGCGAAUAUAGAUAGUAAAUUUAUUUUAAGGAUACUGCACUGUACAGGCCUCAGGUUCCAUUAUAUUUUUUCUGUUUCGGUUUUCAUCUCUCUUCUGUUUUACUUUCUAUUAUUUCAUUUCAAAUUUCUGUAGCUGUUUUUCGUUGCGUAGCUCCUGUUUAAUUUGUUACCUCACCGUUUGUUUUAUCUAACAUUGAUCACCAAAUUUUCAAACUUGUGAUCCUGAUUAAUAAGAUGGUAAAUUUAUUUUAAGGAUACUGCACUGUACAGGCCUCAGGUUCCAUUAUAUUUUUUCUGUUUCGGUUUUCAUCUCUCUUCUGUUUUACUUUCUAUUAUUUCAUUUCAAAUUUCUGUAGCUGUUUUUCGUUGCUUAGCUCAUGUUUAAUUUGUUACCUCACCGUUUGUUUUAUCUAACAUUGAUCACCAAAUUUUCAAACUUGUGAUCCUGAUUGAAUCUGCGUUCCCCUUUGCAAAAGUAAAAAAAAAGUAAAAAAAAAAAAAGUGCAAAUAAUGAAACAAAAUUGUCGGCAUUUUCAGACUUGUAAGACCCUUCAACUUGCUUUCCAACAUGGAAAAUGCUACUCAGCGAGAAUGCCGAGAGAAACGGCAUACAGUUUCUCUCGGCCCCCCUCCACGUGAAGACUCUCUCUUUUCACAUUUUUUUUUUUAAAUCUCUCUCUUUUCUCUCCUCCACGUGAAGUCGUGAAGACUACUCCUUUCUCUUUUCACAUUUUUUACGCAUUUCUCUUUUCUCUCCCCCACGUGAACACUUUUUCCUUUUGCUCGUUCACGUGAAAGUCAGUUUAGAAUUUUUAUCUUAUUAAUCAUGACAAUUGACAACAUUACUCCCACCGAGCAAAAGUUAACAGCAUCUUCUCCCACAUUUUUUUUUUUAAAAUUGUAUUAUAUAAUAAAAAGUCUUUUCUUAUUAAAAUUAAUAAAUUACUCUUUAUAUUGAGAGAUUAAAAUUUAAAAUAAAAAUGAUUGAUGAUGUUUAUUUAUUAAAAUAAAAAUAAAUUUUAUGAAGUCUAUAUAUUUUUUAAAUUAAAAAAUAAGAACUUAAUUUCUUAUGAACUGUAUUCACUACUUGGUAUUCUUAAAAGUUAAUAGAGAAGGAAAAGAAAAAGAAAAAGUGUAAAUGAACUGUAUUCACCUAAGUUUCAAACAUGUGGCUCAAUCUGAAUUCGCUUUUUGCAAAAGUAAAUGCAAAAGAAAAUAUAAAAAAAAAAAAUUAAACAAGACAAAAAUUUGUGGCGCGGGUCAUUCAUAUCUUUUGUAGAGGCACAUAGGGUAGAUAUUUCGAAGUGAAAAGCAGAGCCUUUACUGUUGUUUGCCUUAUCAUCUUUUAAAAUUGGAGUUAUUAUUCUUUUAUUUUUAAGGAUGGUAGCCAACUCAUCCGUGUUCUCUAUUAUUGAAUUUAAAGAUCAAUGAUUUAUGUUAAUAAAUAUUUUGUUAACUAUCAAAGUUUUUAUUUCAAAAUUACUGCUAUAAUUUAUUAAUUUUUCAAAUUUUCCUUUUUCUAUUCACACAACAUAUUGAUUUGUCCUCCAAAAAAAUGUAUUAGAUCGUUUAAUAUUGUGAGAAUGUCAGUCUUGCAUCUACUCAAAAUUAAUAAAUAUACCACUAACUCCUUAUUAUUUUUAUAAUAACUAAUAACUUUUUUAGCAUUAUAAUUUUAUAGUAUUAUACUUGUUUGUAAGUACAUUUUUUAUUCAUAUUUAUUAUAAAUUAAUUAAAUCAUAUCAAUAAAAAUUAAAAUAACACUAUGUUUUGGAGUGAAUAAAAGAUUGAAAAUAAAAAUAUUUUCUUAUAUUUUUUGUUAUUUAUAAAUGUUUUUCUUAAAAUAAAUGUACAUUUUAUAUUCUUAAGAUGAAUUUUGAGUAAAUGACCCCUUUACUCACUUUUUCUUUAAAUUUUUGUUAGUCGAAGGAUUUUUAGAUAUAAUAAAAAUUGUAAGGUAGUAAGUAAUAAUAUAAUAAUUUUAAUAAAGAAAAAUAAUUAAUUUCAAGACAUUUGAGAAGAUAUUUCAAUAUGCGGUGGACCACACCCUUGAGUCUUCGUCGUCCCAAUCAACUAAAAGGACAAAAUAUUGAGUCACGAAAGACUCAACUGAUUGUUAAUUUCACAGCAAUUGCCUUUUUUUUUUCUUUUUUUUUCCUAAUUAUUUUGAAAUGGUAGGUAGCAAUUACUUACAUCAAAAUAUCUAGACUCACUCGGCAAAGUAUCCGAGGCCAAAAUGCCAAAAGAUGGGACACCCACAUGUGCAUCUAAUUACAAAGUCUAAAGUUAAUGAAAAGAAAAAGAAAAAGUAUAAAUGAACGGUAUUCACCUCACUUUCAAACAUCUAGUUCAACAUGAAUUUUCUUUUACCAAAAGUAAAUUUCCUCUUGAUGGUUGUCGAAGCCAACAAAAAUAAAUUCCUACUCUAAAUAAAUUGUGUGUAGUGAUUGAGCAGGGUCGUGUCCACAGAGAUCGGUAAUUAUUUAAAUCCUUUUGAAACGUAAAACGUAAAAUGGGGGAAUUGUUGACAAUAAUAAAAAUCAAAUUAAAAAUAACAAGAAUGCAAAUUAAAGUUGUAAUUCAAAUUGGAGAAAGCUCUGGUUGAAGGAAUUAACUCAGCUUGAUUCGACUACUGAUCAUUGAUUCAAAUAUAGAUUAUUAUUACUCAUGAAUAGACCGGUUAUAGCUACUGAGACCCUCUAAUAGCCAAUCUCUCCUUAACUAGUCGAUAACCAAGGUACGACCGUUGGAUAUUUCCCUAAUCAAUAGACAACCCUAGAUACGAUCAUAGAAUUUAAUCAAUUGACAGCCUGAAAAACCAGAGAGACCCAAAUCCUAAUCAACACAUAUGAUGAUUCAUUUAAAUUAGAUUGUUUAUUCUCACAACACAACUCUCUGCUAUGUUAUUUGUCACAAACAUUAAAUUCUUCAUACGAUGAAUCCUUUAAUUGACAAUAGAUUAAGUUGAUAAUUAAAUAGUGGCCAAUUACCUAAUUAACAAACAUAAUCAUGAAAAUAAUUCCGAGAAUAAACAAAUACCCAAAAAGUAAUAAAACAAUUAAAGCACAAGAAAGAUCUCACAGUAGUGAUGAAUCAAAGCUUCAUUAACCUUCAACCAGAAAAAUGGGUUUAGUUCCUCAUAGAGAGAAGAGAAAAAUUAGAUCUAGGGUUUCUUUCUUUUUCUCCAAUCCAAAUCCCCCUUUUUCACAAUAGAUUCCCCCCUUAAAUACUCUCUCUCUCUUCUCUUUUAGAAUUCUAUUUAAAAUAAAAUACUAAUAUUUGAAAUAUUAAAUUCGUAAUUACAAAAAUAAUCAAAAAUACAAAACACGUUAAACUAAAAACUGCAGGUCCGCAGUUGACAGCACGCGCCCACGCCUUAUUAACAAAGUUCUUUUGACGCUCAUAAUUUCUCCAAGAGAACAAUCCUCCUUAAACAUCAUCUUUUAGCUCAAUUUUAUCACCAAUCAAUAGAAUUGCACCUACAAAAGUAAAACACAAGUAAAACAUUAUUAUUAAGUGCAAAACAUCGAUAUUAAGGGAAGUAAACAAUGCAAAACUAGUGCAUAAAUUGCACUCUAACAAAUUCCCCCACACCAAGAUGAUGCUUGUCCUCAAGCAUAUAACUCAAGAUUAAUCCCAAAUCUCCACCCAAUUUUCAUCUCAACUCAUCCAAAAAUAAUUUUAAGCAAGCAUACCUCCAGAAAUUAAGUCGAUGAACAUUCGAGAGACAAUGACUUUUAAAGCAUAGAAUCUCAUAAGAUAGAAUAAGAACAUUCAACCACCAAGAACAUCCAUUCAAAAUUCAAGUGCAACAAGAUUUAAUAGCCCUCUCAAUGACUUCACUCCAUGCACUCAAAGUGUUUAGGGUAUCAUUUAUGCACUCAAAUCAAAUCAAAGAAUGCUAUUACCAUAAGCUUGCUCAUAUAUCACAUCUCAAUCCACAAAACAUGAAUAAAAUGCAAAAAAAUCUAAGGGUCUUAAAAGGGUUGUAAUGGGGUUAAAUAGGUUAAAUGAAAAAGAAAGGUCUAUGAAAGAAAAAGAGAUCAAAAUGAGAAGAAUGAACUCAUUGAAUGAACUUGUGAUAUCAAAAUGCUUAUUUCUACUCAAGUCACCAAGAAUGUAAACUUUUUUUUUUCGAAUUUUUCUUUUUCUUUUCUUUUUUUGUUUGUUUUUUUUGUUUGUUUUUUUUUUUUUCGAAUCAAACAAAAGAAACGAACCUUGCACAAUUUAAUUCAAGCAUAAUGCUUGUUGAUCUAAUUGAGAAACUUUAAUACAAGGUAGAAAAGGCAACAAAAUAUAUUCACACAAUGAGUCCAAAAAUCUCCUUAAAUUGAGGCUCAAAAAGAAGAAAAAUGGUUAAGUAGACGGAGAGAAUUAGAUGGGUAAUGGUUAAGGCUCAAACAAAGGUAGCAAAUAAAGGUCUUCGGGUAAAGAAAAAAAAAUGCGAGAAUAGAAAAAUGGAAAAGGGUUUGCCCUUAUCAUUUUAAUGCAUAAAAUCCCGUAAUGCGGCUUCAACAUGCAUAACAAAGCAAGUUCUAGAAUAAACAAACUAAGAUUGAUAUUCACAUAACAAAAAUAUUAGAGCAAAGUGGUUGCUCAUAGGCUCAAAUCCUCACAAAGUUGGUAAAUUUGCCAUCAAAUCAUGUACACUCUUCAAAUGAAUCAACCAUCAAUAGUGGUGUAGAAUGAGAAGAAGGUAUGAGUGAUAUAUAAAAGGAAAGGUAAAAAUGAUAAGAAGUGAGAAAGAUGAAAAGUGAAAGAUAAAAUGUGAGUGAUGAAAGAGUAUGAUAGAAUAAAAAUAGAUGUAAAUAAUUUGAGAUAGAUGGGAAAAAUAAAGUAGUGAGAAAUAAAAGAAAAGAAAAAAUAAUAAUAUAUAAAGCAUACUAACUCCAAAAUCAUUUAAGGAUGAGUAGAGUGAAAAAAAAGAUAAGUAGAGUGAAAACAAUAAUUCCAGACAUCAAUAAUGCAAAAAUCCCUCCCCCACACUAAGAACUUACAUUGUCCCUAAUGUAAGAUAAUCAAAGCUCACAUAAAAAUUAAAGCGUAAGGAUAAAAGAUUAAAGGCAAAAACUUCCCUGAAUUGUGAGCUUUGAUCCUCAUAACAUCUAUGGGCUUGGCGGGAAUGGUGGGAUAAAUUCCACACUCUUGACGUAUGCGGCCAAAUUCUGCUCCAUCUUGUCACGGAUUUUGAUUCACGCGACUGGAAUGCAGGUCGUAGGCUGGUUGCGGACUAUUACUGCUCGAUUAGAGCUUGCGGGUACACGGCUGCUGGUUCAGUUGCGCGCGGAUGGGACUGAUGCUGCGAACUGGUGACGCUGGAUCUGCGUGCUGCGGCUGUUGCUGCGCACUGGGGGAUUGCUGGUGCGCGCGUUGGUGACGCUUGUUGCGUUGCGCGCUCGGGCUGGGGCUGGUUCGCGCUGCGCUCGCAGCUGGGGCUGAUUCGCGCUGAACGCUGCUGAGGCUUGCUUUGCAGGUGCUGCGCUGCGUUGCGGGCUUGCGUUGCGGAUCUGUUGCGCUGCGCGCGCGGGACUGAUGUGCUGCGCUGAGGGUAAUUCUGCUUGCGUUGCGGGGUGAAGGCUGGAGCUGAGGCGCGCUGCUGUAAAACGAUAAUCAACAGUAAUUUUUUAAUUAGGGAUUUGUGAACAGUGAUUUUCGAUUUUUGGUUUUUUUUUAUAAAUAAAUAAAUAAAUAUAUAAAAGAAAGAACAAAAGAAAAUCUCUUUUUUUCGUUUUUUUUUUAAAAUAAAAAAUAAAAUAAAAAAAUAAAUUAAAUUAAAUUAAAAAAAUUUUUUUUUUUUUUUUUUUUAGUGAUGAAACACUUUGAGACACCAAAAAUUUCAGAAGUACUUUUUUAUUAAGUACGUGGGCACGCCUUAAAACUAUUUUACUUUAAAAAUUUCAGAAGUACUUAUUAGUUAAAACGUGGGCACGCCUUAUCAAAAAUUUUCUUCUGACCAAAAUAAGCAAACACAAAUUUUUUUUUUUUUUUUAAAUCUGAAUCAAAACUUAAAGAAGAUAAAACAAAAACCAAAAUAAACAAAUCAUUUGGGUUGCCUCCCAAAAAGCGCCUUUGUUUUAUGUCUUUGGCUAGACACAUUUAUGCAUCAAUCUCCAUAAUUGGGACUCUUGAGAGCCACAUCUUCCACAAUAUUCACCGAAAAACCUUCAUAAAAAGGUUUUAAGCGAUGACCAUUAACCUUAAAAACUUUGUCAGAGGUCGGACUCCGAAUCUCAACUGCACCAUGAGGAAAAACAUUAGUAACAAUAAAAGGUCCAACCCAGCAAGAACGUAAUUUAUCCGGAAAAAGUUUAAGCUUAGAAUGAAAAAGAAGAACUUUUUGACCAACAGAGAACUCCUUUCUCAAAAUCAUUCUAUCAUGAAAUGUCUUCGUCUUUUCCUUGUAAAAAAUUUCCUGCGCUAUAGGGUUAAUAACAUCCACAGAAAAUACCGAAUGUUCCUCACUAGGAUAUUUCAUGGCAUCAUUCAUAUUGAAUUCUAUAACCUCUCCAUCAAACUCCAUAGUGAGAGUCCCUUUAUGUACAUCCAUUUUAGUCCUAGCAGUCUUAAGAAAAUGUCUUCCUAGCAAAAUUGGGACAGAAUUAGAGGAGUUAUCCUCUUCCAUAUCAAGUACAUAAAAAUCAGCAGGAAAAACCAACUCAUUAACUUGUACUAAGACAUCUUCUAAUACCCCAUCAGGAUAUGCAUUAGACCUAUCAGCUAGUUGAAUUAUCACGCCAGUUUCUUUUAAUGGACCAACAUUCAAAGAUGAAUAAAUGGAACGAGGCAUGACAUUAAUAGAAGCUCCUAGAUCUAACAUAGCAUUUUCAACUCUAACACUACCAAUUUUACAAGGGAUAGUAAACAUACCUGGAUCCUUGCACUUAGGAGGUAGUUUCUUUUGGAGAACUGCUGAAACAUUCUCCCCCAUGUGAACUUUUUCAUCUCCUCUUAAUUUUCUCUUGGAGGUGCACAGUUCCUUAAGGACUUUAGCAUAUCGAGGUAUUUGUUUUAUAGCAUCUAAUAAAGGAAUAUUUACCUCAACCUUGCGAAAUGUCUCAAGGAUGUCUUUCUCUUGUUCCUCCUUCUUGGAUUUUGCAAACCGGCUUGGAAAAGGAGGAGGUAUCACAAUAGGUAGGGGUUUAGCUCUGGUGGGUUCCGCAUCAUGAGAUUGAGGCAUCAAUUCAUUCUUCUCAAGUUCAUCUUCUAUAUGCUUUGUCACUUUCUUACUAGGCUCUUGCAACUCUGUCCCACUUCUAAGGAUGACAGCACUAACGUUUUCCUUUGGAUUCACCUCAGAUUGUGAAGGCAAUCUCCCCAAUACUUGAGACUCCAGACGGCUCACUGUAGUCGCCAAUUGACUCAUUUGGUUCUCCAAGUUCUGAAUGCUUGCUGUAGUUGCCUGCUGAAAUUGUUGAGUGUUAGUCGCAAGUGAUUUAACAAUUUCUUCAAGAGAUAUACCUGACUUGGAGUUUGACUGUGGAGGUGCUGGUUGUCUUGGUGGAUACUGUUGUGGGAAUCCUGAUUGCCUAACUCCAUAGCUGAAGUUGGGAUGAUCCUUCCAUCCCGGAUUGUAUGUUUGUGCAUAAGGAUCAUACCUCCUCUGAGGCAUGCCUGGAAAUCCUCCAACUGCAUUGGCUUGUUCAACGGGUUCUUCUUGAAGUGUAGGACACAUAUCAGUUUAAUGACCCAUAUUGUAACAAAUGCCACAAGUCUUCACAUGUUGCACAUUGCCUACAACAAACUUUUCCACAAAAAAAGUAAGUUUAUCUAAACGUUGUUCAACAGAAGAAAUAUUUACCUCAUUCACCUUCCUUGAAGUAGGAUCUUGCCUGCUGCCAAAUUGUUGUGCGUUGGCAGCCAUAUUUGAUAUCAACUCCCUUGCUUGAGUAGGAGUCUUGUUCACCAACACGCCUCCACUAGCAGCAUCUAUCAUACUUCUAUCCAUCAAUGAUAGUCCUUCGUAAAAAUAUUGAAUAAGAAGUUGAUCAGAAAUCUUAUGCUGAGGACAGCUGGCACACAAUUGUUUGAAUCGCUCUCAAUACUCAUACAAAGUCUCCCCAGGAAGUUGUCUAAUCCCACAAAUGUCUUUUCUGAUGUUGGCAGCUCUUGAAGCAGGAAAGUACUUCUCGAGGAACUGCUUCUUCAAAUCAUUCCACGUUGUAAUCGAUCCAGGAGGCAAGUAAUACAACCAGUCUUUAGCUAGCCCAUCUACAGAGAACGGAAAAGCACGCAGCUUAAUCUGCUCUUCAGUCACGCCUUGUGGUCUCAUACUUGAACACACAACAUGAAACUCCUUAAGAUGUUUAUGAGGAUCUUCACCUGCAAAACCAUGAAACUUGGGUAAUAAAUGAAUAAGACCAGACUUUAAUUCAAAAUUUACCUCCAAGUCUACAUAUUGAAUGCAGAGUGGUUGUUGAUUCAAGUCUGGUUCAGCUAACUCUCUAAGAGUUCUUUCUACAGGUGCAGCUCUAUCCAUCACUUGUUCUUCUGAAUCGCUAGAUGAUUCAACUAAAUCAGGCACCGUAUCUGUUUCAGAAAGUAAAGGCGACGAGGAUCGUUGCUUAGCUCGCUUUGUCUGCUGUCUCAGCUGGCGAGCUGUCUUCUCAAUUUCAGGAUCAAACGAAAGUGUACCUGUACGAGAAGAACGAACCAUACACCAAGUAAAACGUAAAAAUGAUUAAAUAAAUGACACCAAUCCCCGGCAACGGCGCCAAAAUUUGAUGGUUGUCGAAGCCAACAAAAAUAAAUUCCUACUCUAAAUAAAUUGUGUGUAGUGAUUGAGCAGGGUCGUGUCCACAGAGAUCGGUAAUUAUUUAAAUCCUUUUGAAACGUAAAACGUAAAAUGGGGGAAUUGUUGACAAUAAUAAAAAUCAAAUUAAAAAUAACAAGAAUGCAAAUUAAAGUUGUAAUUCAAAUUGGAGAAAGCUCUGGUUGAAGGAAUUAACUCAGCUUGAUUCGACUACUGAUCAUUGAUUCAAAUAUAGAUUAUUAUUACUCAUGAAUAGACCGGUUAUAGCUACUGAGACCCUCUAAUAGCCAAUCUCUCCUUAACUAGUCGAUAACCAAGGUACGACCGUUGGUUAUUUCCCUAAUCAAUAGACAACCCUAGAUACGAUCAUAGAAUUUAAUCAAUUGACAGCCUGAAAAACCAGAGAGACCCAAAUCCUAAUCAACACAUAUGAUGAUUCAUUUAAAUUAGAUUGUUUAUUCUCACAACACAACUCUCUGCUAUGUUAUUUGUCACAAACAUUAAAUUCUUCAUACGAUGAAUCCUUUAAUUGACAAUAGAUUAAGUUGAUAAUUAAAUAGUGGCCAAUUACCUAAUUAACAAACAUAAUCAUGAAAAUAAUUCCGAGAAUAAACAAAUACCCAAAAAGUAAUAAAAUAAUUAAAGCACAAGAAAGAUCUCACAGUAGUGAUGAAUCAAAGCUUCAUUAACCUUCAACCAGAAAAAUGGGUUUAGUUCCUCAUAGAGAGAAGAGAAAAAUUAGAUCUAGGGUUUCUUUCUUUUUCUCCAAUCCAAAUCCCCCUUUUUCACAAUAGAUUCCCCCCUUAAAUACUCUCUCUCUCUUCUCUUUUAGAAUUCUAUUUAAAAUAAAAUACUAAUAUCUGAAAUAUUAAAUUCGUAAUUACAAAAAUAAUCAAAAAUACAAAACACGUUAAACUAAAAACUGCAGGUCCGCAGUUGACAGCACGCGCCCACGCCUUAUCAACAAAGUUCUUUUGACGCUCAUAAUUUCUCCAAGAGAACAAUCCUCCUUAAACAUCAUCUUUUAGCUCAAUUUUAUCACCAAUCAAUAGAAUUGCACCUACAAAAGUAAAACACAAGUAAAAAAUUAUUAUUAAGUGCAAAACAUCGAUAUUAAGGGAAGUAAACAAUGCAAAACUAGUGCAUAAAUUGCACUCUAACACCUCUCUGAUUGUCCUCAUUACAUCAAACGAAUGAUGACGACGCUCUGUCCGUUUCUGGCUCUCUGCUUUUCUCUCUCACAUCACGAGACACCUCAUUUUUUACUGGGGUACCACCAUCACCUGAUGUAUGCAUGAUUCCUUGUGACAUGACAUACAGCCAAUUAAAUCCUGACAUGCUUGCAAUAAGGACUGUUAAAGUGACCGGUUAUUCCGGUUGAAUUCACAAGAUCUCUUGUUUGUGUAUGCGCAUACAUACAUACAUACAUCCAUACAUACAUACAUAAUUUAUCAAUAUUAUAAAAUAUACAUAUGUACUAAAAUAUUACACACACUAUUGAGGUUCUAAUUAUAUAUAUAUAAAUAAUAUUACAUAUCAAUAUUAUAAAAUAUACAUGUCUACAAAUAUUUUAUACGUUUAUACUAUUAAAGUUCUAAAUAUAUUUAAAAUUUUUUAAAUAAAAUAUUACGUCUAUAUUCAUCAUUUUAAAGAAUUAAAAAAAAAAUCAUCUCUAAUAUUUAAGUUUUAAUGACAAAAAUUUACAAAUUAUUUUAAAAUAAAAAAUAUAAUCGGAUCAUUGAUUUGAUAAAUAGGUCAAGAAUUUUAAUCAUAACCCGACACGAAAAAAAAUCGUGUUGACCUAGACCCGACCUAUUUAAUAAUCGUGUUAAAUUCGACGACCCAUACCCAUUUAUUAGUGUUGUGUUCGUGUCGGGUAAUCGGGUCGUGUCAAAUUUAGUCAGCUCUAGUUAUGUUCUCGUCGCAAGUUAUUUUGGGUCCAAAUACAAUAUUAAAAAUAAAUUAAAUAAAAAUUAGUAACUAAAAUUAUGUUAAAUUAUUUUUUUAUAACUUAAUUUUUAAUUAUAUUAUUGUGAGUAUAUACUAAAUCUCUUAAAAAUAGUGUUGAAUAAUUUUAUUAGUUUUUUAAAUAAAUAAAGUUACCCUAAUCGUUUUAUUAUCACAUUAUUUUCCAUAAAAAAAGUUUACAAUUACCUCUUUAUUGGACAAUUUUGUUCCUUCUCUUACCUUAUGUUCCCUUACAUUCUCAUUUCUGCAUCACCAUUUAAAUUGUAAUCAUAACGUUAAUCUUUAUCCAUCACAUAUUUUGCCAAAUUUAUUCGCACCGCAAAGCAAGAUAAAUCUGCAUCUGGAGUAUAUGAAAGGUUAUCUAACCUCACAGCUUGCCUCAAUUGUCUACAUGUUCAAAACAAGGAUCUGUUAAAAAAUGGAAAUUUCUUCAAUGCAUUAGUAAAGGGAAGUGAAGUGAAAGCUGAUUUCUUAGGCCUUCACAGAGCAUCAUGUGUUUGAAUUCCGGUAACCUCACAAAAGAUUAGAGCAUCACCUUGACCGUUCUAGGUCUUGCAACUCAGUAACCCAACCAUUGUAUCUAAGUUGCACUGUGACAACAGGAACUCCAACUAGCUCAUAAAUAUUGUUGAAAAAUUUCAUUUCCCUCCACGAUGAUGGAAGCAGUCUUUUAAUUCCAGGGACAUCACAUGCGGCCAUUAAAUAAGAAGUUGAAUAAAGAAAAAUCGUUCAACUAAAUGAUUCAGGAGUUAAAAAAAAAAUGUAGAAGUAGAAAUAAAUAACAAGGAUUUAACCAUGAACCUGCAACAUAUGCAUCAGCUUGCACAACCUUCUUGUCAGUGGCCUGAAAUAGAAUGAGAAAUUGAAAGACAGUAAGCAUUAAAGAAUAAACUCAAAGAAGCUGCUUCUAACAGAUGAUAUAAACAAUAAAUUUACAAAUGUCAGAUCAUUGCAUUAGCUCUAUGCCUCCAUCAGAGGGAAUAUUAAUAGAUGCAUAAAAAAAUAAUUAGAGCCACAUGUGAAACAAUUUACCUUAGACGUAGCAAGUGCUUUGACAAAUUUUUCCUUUCUUUGCUAUUUUUGUGGGUUCUACAAUUGUUGUUUUCACUCUCAGACAUGGCAAGUCCUUUGACAAAUGUUUCCCCGUUAGCAGAUUUAUCAUAAUGCAUCUCUCUGCAUCCCCACCUAAGAUGGAACCUGUUCUCACAAGAACAGACUCCAAGGUUGGGAAAAUCAAUUGAUCAUCGGAGAAAACAAACAGGAUUAACAAAUCACUACAAUGGUGUGAACCCGUAAAUACAAACGUACCUGCUCCCUUUAUCUGUGAUAUAUUUUCUUAUGGGCCCACUCAAAUAAACAUCCGGAGAACCCUUGAGCAUCAGCAAUAGGGAAGCCUCAGUCUUAGUCGCAAACAGUGCAAAGAUAGUAAGCAUACAACGAGCACUGAUGUUAUCACAAUCAAUAAACCCAAGGGCAUACGAAACAGGAUCCCACAUUCUUUGGAACCCUUGGACAAAAACCAAUCAGAGAAGCUUAUCUGUAAGAAGAAAUGAAGUUUUAGGUAAAAUAACAAUCUGUAGGAACAGGGAUUGAAAUUCAACAAACAAGAAAAUAUGAUGUCAUUCUUACACUAUCCAAAUCUCAUAUGUCCUUCAAGGCUCCAUCAGGAUCAACAAGUGCCUUUACAACAGCACUCAGAGCAAGAGCAAGAGCAAGAGCAUUUCUUGCUUUAUCACAAGUCUGCACUUGAGCAAUUUACGAGGCAAAGUACAUCAAAAGAGAAUCCAAAGGAGGCAAGAAGCUUCAACAUGAAAAAAGGAGUACUGCCUCAUCAUACUGCUUUGCAAUCACAGUGCAAAAGAUAAAAUCAACAAAAUCAAAAUCUAGCAUAAAUCCAUAUGCACUACCUUAAGCUGAUUUGUAGACAAAAGACCCGUUUGGGGCAGCUGCGUGGCAAACGGGUCUUUUGUCUACAAAUCAGCUUAAGGUAGUGCAUACGGGUCCAAAAAUGCGUGAAUCCCAUGUAACGGAGCUCCAAUCAGAAACCCGAAAUCAAGUUCUGGAGUUGAAAAUCAAAAUCAUGAACCAAAUCAGAGUUAUUAUUGAAUUAGACAAUCCAUAAACCAAUAGAAGGUAAAAAAAGAGGAAUAAAAAUUCUUCUAAAUUCUUUCACCAUCAACAAAAUCAGUAAAACACAUACUGAUUCAAAAUGACAUAAAGUUUGUGAAUUGAAAUAAUGCCAACUCCUAAGAAAAAUUAUGACUGCUGAUAUUUUUUCUGAAAUGCUGAUAAAAGCUUCUGCUAUUUACUUUGAAAAAAUAGAGGUUAGAAGCCAAUUUACUUGAAAUUCUGAGUUUAGGCAAGAGGAUGAAUGGCAAAAGUGAAACAUUUUAGGGAAAAAUGUACUUCAGAGGCCAAUGAAAGCAUUCAGAAGAUUGAAAUCUAAAUAAGCAAAACCCCGUGGCCUUGAUCCAACAAAUCCACUGCUGUUGACAUGCCUGCAAGCCCAGCUCCAAUAAUAGCCACUUUCAGCUUUGGUCCUCUAUAAUGUUCCGGUUCUGGUAGAAACAAGCCCUUGGGAGCUGCCAAGUAUACCAUCCAAUUAUCCACAGCGAUAAUGGAAAUAUAUAUGUGUUUAAAGGUACUAAAUUCCUAAACAUGAAAUGUAUCCAAAGAGAGACACAAAGCAGAAUUGUGCAAGCAUUUCAAUUCCCAAUAAAUUUUAAGAAUACAAAAUACUCGGUCUGUUCCUCAAUUCCUUUAAUAAAAUUUCCACUAGAGGCUACGGAAGCCACUCAAUAACACUCCAAAGCCAGAUUUUAAAAGUUAUCUUUAUCUUUAACUCCAAUCCAUAAACAAUUCUGCCACAAAUUCAAUCCAAAAUUGUUCAAGUGCACCGCCACUUCUCCAUCAAUUCCCUCAAAAAUUCAUAAUUGGCAAACACUACAAACCAAAAAGAGCUUCCAGCAAUAAACGCAUAAAAAUCCACCAAGCAACAUAAAACAAAAUACCCAGAAACCAGAAAAGCCAAAAGAUCAAUGCUUGGCAAACAAGCCAAUCAAAUAAAACAAAAAGAAGAGAAAUUUACCAUUAACGCUCAUAUCAGAAACAUUAGUGUCCAAAGAAGCCCGUACACGGAAUCUUGGAUCCUUCACUUGAACCCGAGACCAUGUAAUGCCAGUAACUGAAGUUGCAGGAAACAGAGCUGAAGAACCCAUAUUGCAAAUCCUGAGCUGAAAUCAAAGAAAUUCAAUUGGAACUCAAUUCAGCUCAACCGAGCGGAGCUCUCUUUUGCUUCAAUAACAAAGUGUUUUUCUUUCAUAUCAACAAAGAUUUGUCAACAUCAACAAAAUUUAACUAAGAAACUAAAAUAAUGCGGUAUCUUUGAGUUUAAGAAUCUAACAAGAUGCUAAGGAAGAGAGUUUUGUCAGGGAACUGUUUCGGAGAGGUUGGCCAAGUGGAUUUUUGUUUUUUUCUUGUUUUGCCCUUUUCAUUAAUGCACAACAUUAGUCCACGUGAAGAGCACAAAAAGCUGGUGGCUUUGUCACUAACGAUAAUGGAUGGAGUGUCCAAAGCAACCAACUAAAUUUUAAAGAGAGGGAAUGAUAAGUAAUAUUGUGAACAGAGGAGAAGAAUAAAAAUUUUUCUUAUUUUUAAGUUUUUCCUAACAGCCAGUAUAAUAGAGUUAAUUUAUAGGUCUACACAUUUUUAAUUUAACUUCUUAAUUUUUGGAAAUAUGUAAAUUAGUAACAGCUAUACAAAUCAGACAAAUUAGACAAUUAAUUCUAGAAAUCAAGAAUGUCAACUAAUCUAAUCUUUCCAUAUUUUCUACACCCCCCUCAAGUUGGUGCAUAGAUAUUAAUCAUGCCCAACUUGUCAAUGAAAGAUCCAAACUUUGGCCUGAAGUGUCCCUUGGUAAGAACAUCUGCUGUUUGUUGCUCUGAAGGGAUGAACGGCAUACAAAUUACUCCAUUCUCCAGCUUUUCUUUUAUAAAAUGUCUAUCAAUCUCAAUAUGCUUCGUACGAUCAUGCUGAACCGGAUUAUUUGCAAUGCUUAUUGCUGAUUUAUUAUCACAGAACAGUCUCAUAGGUGCUUCAAUAUCUAGUUUCAGUUCUCCAAGGACUCUUUUAAUCCAUAACACCUCGCAAACUCCAUUUGCCAUGGCCCUAAACUCAGCUUCAGUACUGCUCCUGGCAACCACGUUUUGUUUUUUGCUUCUCCAAGUAAUUAAAUUUCCCCAUAAGAACGUACAGUAACCAGAUGUUGAUCUUCUAUCUGAAACUGAGCCUGCCCAGUCUGCAUCUGUGAAGACUUCUACACUCCUUUGAUCACUCUUCUUAAAUAAUAACCCUCUUCCAGGUGUACUCUUUAAAUACCUGAGAAUCUUGUGAACUGCCUCCAAAUGUUCCACAUAAGGUGAGUGCAUAUAUUGACUUACAACAUUAACGGCAAAGGCAAUAUCAGGUCUUGUGCGAGAUAAAUAAAUGAGUUUCCCUACAAGACGUUGAUAUCUACCUUUAUCAACUGGAACUCCAUUGGAAACCUCUCCUAACUUCUAAUUAGGAUCCACGGGUGUAUCACUUGGUCUGCAACCACUCAUUCCUGUCUCUUCUAGCAAGUCCAGAACAUACUUUCUUUGUGACACAGAAAUUCCCAUUCUAGAUCUUGCAACUUCCAUACCUAAGAAAUAGCGUAAAGGACCCAAAUCCUUAAUUUUAAAUUCUGAUGCCAGGUGCUUCUUCAGCCUACUCAUCUCAUCACCAUCGCUCCCAGUAAGUAUUAUGUCGUCUACGUAUACAAUUAGGACAGCCAUCUUUCCACCAUCUGUGUGUUUCACGAACAUUGUAUGAUCAGAUUGUCCUUGACUAUAUCCUUCUUUUCUAACAAACCUAGUAAAUCUCUCGAACCAAGCACGAGGAGACUGCUUCAGUCCAUAAAGGGAUUUCUUCAAUUUACACACCUUUCCUCCAAACUUGUCUUCAAAACCAGGGGGUGCAUUCAUAUAUACUUCCUCUUCCAAUUCUCCAUUGAGAAACGCAUUUUUAACAUCCAAUUGAAACAAUGGCCACUCCAAAUUAACAGCUACAGAGAGUAGUAUUCAAAUGGUAUUUAGUUUGGCUACGGGAGCAAAUGUCUCUUGAUAAUCAACUCCAUAGGUCUGUGUGAAUCCUUUUGCUACUAACCUUGCUUUAUAGCGUUCCAAGGAUCCAUCUGAGUUGUAUUUCACAGUGAAAAUCCACUUGCAACCAACAAUCAAUCUUCCUUCAGGCAAAUAAACCAUCUCCCACGUUCCAUUUUUUUCUAGAGCCUCCAUUUCUUCACAAACAGCCUUCUUCCAUUCAGGAACCUUUAGUACUUCCUGUAUAGACUUAAGUAUAUCCACACUUGACAAUUGAGAGACAAAAGUACGAUAAGAUGAUGACAGGUUCUUAUAAGACACAAAAUUGGAAAAGGGAUGUUGAGUACAUGAUCUAAUUCCUUUCCUAAGAGCAAUGGGAAGAUCUAGAGGGUCAGAAUGUAUUUGUGGGAUAGAUAAAGACUCAGACUUUAUAAAUUUAGAGAUCGUACCUGGAUUUUCAAAAUCAGUGUUUUUCGGAUCUGGAAUUGGAUCAGAUUCAUGGCAUUGAGGAAGUAUCACUGCAUCUUUCUUACUUUGAAUCCGUUUCUCCCUAGUGUAAGUUUUCCCGAACAAUCUCUCAUCAUUAAAGCGUGUCUCGUCUAUUAUCCUAGAGUCAGUUUUAUGUUCAAGCACUAAGGUAGUCCUCCUAUCCUCCAUAUUCAAGGUAUUAGGAUUAAAAAUUUCAGUUUCAAUAUUUUCCUUACCAUUAGUACUCAUGUCAAGCUCAAACACCGAGUUUUUAUUUUUUUCCCCCCCUGAAGAGGAGGAUUAAAAAAACUUUGAGACUCAAAGAAUGUAACAUCCAUUGUGACAAAAAAAUUUUGUUUGUUAGGAUCAAAACAUUUAUACCCUUUUUGAGUAGGAGAAUAGCCCAGAAAAACACAUUUUACAGCCCGUGGAUCUAGCUUAUCCCUAUUAUGAUUGUGUACAUGUACAAAGGCAACACAUCCAAAGACCUUUAAAGGUAAAUCUGAAGUCAAACGUGUCAUUGGAAAGAAUUUUUUUAAAACUGUCAAUGGUGUCUGAAAGUUCAAAACUCUUGAUGACAUCCUAUUAAUAAGAUAUGUAGCAGUAAGAAUUGCUUCCCCCCAUAAGUAUUUAGGAACUUUAGUGGUGAACAUUAAAGACCUAGCUAUUUCUAGGAGGUGCUUAUUUUUUCGUUCUGCUAUCCCGUUUUGUUGAGGAGUGUCAUUACAAGAGCUGUGAUGAACAAUUCCUUUUUGUAAGAAAAAUGACCCCAAUAUUUGAUUAAAGUAUUCCUUCUCAUUGUCACUUCGAAACACUUGAAUUUUUGUUUGAAAUUGUGUUUCAACCAUAUUAUAAAAGUUUUUAAAAACAUGUUCUGCUUCAGAUUUUUCUUUGAGUAGAUAGACCCAACUUAGGCGUGUAUGAUCAUCAAUAAAUGUUAUAAACCAUCUUUUUCCAGAAUUGGUUAAUGUCCUAGAGGGACCCCACACAUCACUAUGAAUAAGGGUAAAAGGCUUGGAUGCUUUAUAUGGUUGACUAGGAAAAGAUGCACGAUAGUGUUUAGCUAACUGACAAAUAUCGCAUUGAAAAGACGAUAGAAGUUUAUUACGAAAUAAGUUUGGAAACAAAUGUUUUAAAUAUAAAAAGCUAGGAUGGCCUAACCUACGGUGCCAUAACAUUAUUGUAUCAUCAGUAGAACUGAAACAUACUUUGAGAUUUGAAAUUUUCUGUUGCUGAAACAUAGAGUUCCCAUCAUCAAAGUAAUAGAGACCGCCAUACUCUAGCAUUGCCAAUCAUCCUCCCCGUAUCCAGUUCCUGAAAUUCACAACAAUUUGGAAGAAAUUUAGCACAACACUUUAAAUCACGAGUUAUUUUACUUACAGACAAAAGAUUACAAGAGAGAUUUGGAACAUGAAGGACAUCGUGAAGAACAAGAGUAUUAGAGAUAAUAAUUGACCCUUUCCCAGCAAUUGCUGAGAGGGAGCCAUCAGCAAUCUUAAUUUUUUUGAUUGCCUGCACAAGGACUAUAGAAAGAAAAUAAUUUAGAGCAUCCAGUCAUAUGAUCGGUGGCACCUGAAUCUAUUAUCCAUGGACAAAGAGGAAUAGUGGACACAUUAAAGACAACAGCAGAUUGAAUAUAAUUACCUUUCUGGGCUAAGGAACAAGAAGAAGAUACUGGAUUAGUCACUUGUGUGGACUGAAAAAGUUUAUACAGUUGUUCUAACUGUUCCUUACUGAAUGAAGGUGUCGUAGCUGUAGUUGCAGUGAAUCCCGACAGUAGAAACUCCCCUGCGCCAAUUCCAGUAGAUGUAGCAGUGGAAUUGGUAUCACCAGUUACUGUAAACCCAGGCAUGGUGUUUUGCACCAUUACAACAAGACAAUGAACAGAUCCGUAUGGGAGUCAAGCCAGGCUUAAUUCUGCCAUAGCUCUGAUACCAUGUGAACAGAGGAGAAGAAUAAAAUCUUUUCUUAUUUUUAAGUUUCUCCUAACAUCCAGUACAAUAGGGUUAAUUUAUAGGUCUACACAUUCCUAAUUUAACUUCUUAAUUUUUGGAAAUAUGCAAAUUAGUAACAACUGUACAAAUCAGACAAAUUAGACAAUUAAUCCUAGAAAUCAGGAAUGUCAACUAAUCUAAUCUUUCCAUAUUUUCUACAAAUAUCUUAAUGGGGUGAUUAAUUAAUUUAUUAUCAAGCAAUUGUAUUUAUUUAUUUAAAAGAUAUCCUUAUCUUUGUACAAGGUUUGAGGAAAGACGACGAUGUUGUGUUGUCACAUAUUUUUACAUUUCUCCAUAAUUCACUGCAACAUCAACUGGGCCACCACCUCUUGCCUCUCCUGGUUCCCCUCAAUUUUCGUAUUCAAUGUCCACCGUUGAUUGAACAUUUAUUAAAAUUCUGUGGUUAUUGUUUUUUUGCAUACAUUUAAUUCCACACGGUCUAUGGAUAGAGCAGGUGCAUCGUAGUUGUGGCCUUAAUUGUUAUUGGUAACUCAAUAGCUAAUUCUAAUGUUUCAUCAAGCAGUUUAGAGAUAACCUCUCUCGCUGAACUCCCCGGAGUAAUGCAAUCCAGUUUUCCAGUGCAAUCAUCAGACAGUUGAACAGCUUCUGAAUUCCCUUUGCUUUUCUUGUUUUCUUUUCCAUGUAAAGGGAGCUCAGGCUUCAAUAUAUCUGGGGAUUGAGUACUAAUGAUAAAGACAACAUACGGUAGAGGACACAAAUUGUUAUUAAAGAAUGACGCACUUUUCAACUGAGUACAGUAAAGCAAGAAUGGAUAAUUAGUUUUACCUGCAACGUGAAAAUCUAGACUCCCGACGAUAACCGAUCUUUGGUGAAGCAAAUAAAGAAGAAGGCGAAGUAAAAUUCACUGAGUUGAAUGAGCGAUCAUUGCGUAUGGACUUGAUUUGUUCAAUGGGUGAAAGACUGCUGAUAUAAUUAAAGACUGGAGAAUCCUGCAUGUUGACAAGCAUCAUUUUUAAUCAGCAUAGAGUCUUAAAAACCUAGUCAGUGGCAAAUGAUCAUGACAAGAAAUCUGAAGUAGAAACAGCAGAGCUCAACAAAUCACUAAGAGAAAAUAAGACCACUAACCAAGCAGAUGAAAGAAAAGCAAAAUAACCCAUCUCAAAUCACCACAUGCACAAUUUAAGGGGGCUGUGACAUGGGUGUAAACAUGACUUAACAAGUGCCACCAGUGAAUUCUCAGAGAUUGAAUUUUCAUACACAUGUCAAAUUUUUAAAUCCAACAAAUUGUUAUCUUUCUGAAGAUAUUAACUAUGCAUAGCAUGCUAUAAACGAAUCAUAUUAUCAGGGCCUUUGUUUGCCGUACACAGCAUAUGCACAGAGGAACAAAUCCAUGAGCUGAAAUCAUCAUAUUCCAAAAUAUUCUACCCAAUCAACACUACAAAACCCCAACGCUAAACAGAAUUGGAGCGAUUUACGAAAGCUAUUUGUCACACAAAGCACUAGUACCUCAGAACCCAAUUUGCAAAAAAGCAACAAAAAUGAAAAAUAGCAAAUGCCCAGAUGAAAAAUCAGGCAAAAAAUCCAAACUACAACCCCAUAAGCUGGGUCGUUCUCUUCAAACUGAAUUAAAAAAAAAAUUAAAAAAAUUAAAAUGGGGAGAUUGACCUCAAACUUGGAAACAGAAGCGACAGCGAUCUGUUUCUUGUCUGGAGUGUCCAUUUCUAUAAUCUACUUUGUCCGUUUUCACUUUUCAGUUGCUCAGCCACAAAGCCUCUUCAGUCUGAAGCUGAAACUCACCACACACUUGCAAAACGAAAGCAUUUUUUGAUUGAUUGAGAGGCGGGAAGGCGGGAAAACGAGAGAAAUUUGCCUUUGUUUUUUCUUCGUUUGGUCAUACAUGCGCGGGCCCCAGCUUGACAAGCGUUAUUAUUACUAUUUGCAUUAUUUGAAGGACGCGUGUCAUGCAAUGACGAUAGAAAAAGUGGUAAAGUGGUGCAAACUCGAAUGGUCACGAAAUGACGAUAAAAUAAAAAUAUAUUGUUAAUUUUUCACUUAACAUUGGAAUACCAUAUAAUUUUAUGGUCAUUUUCUCGCCGUACGCCACAUUCUUUUGAUAAAAUAAUACGGUAAAACUUUUCUAUAAUCAUGAUAUUAGAACCCAAUUAACUUUAUUUCUAUGAAGAUGUUAUAGCUUAAUAAAGGUAAAAUUGUAAAAAAUAUUAUUUUGACUUAAUUAUCUUUAGUACAAGUGAUAUAAAAAGUAAAUAUAUGAUAAUUAAUUAAUAAAUUAUGUCAAAUAUAAUAUAUGGACAAUGAUAAAAAAAGAUAGACAUAAUUUCAGAAAACUAAUACAUAUGUUUUUGUAGUGCUGGGAUUAUACAAAGUUAUUGUUGUGUAUUCAGUUAAUCAAAUCAAAGAGGAUGAAACGGCAGUGCUGACACGCGUUUUGUAACGUUCAACAACUUAAGCAAAAUGACGUGUGAAGACUGCGUUUAAAUAAGUAAAUCAAGUGCUUGUUAGAAUGACAUACAGUCUUGCCGUUUUGGAGUUAAUGAAGCACAAGCAGAACAUGUGCAAACGAGAAGGUUGUUUAGAAGCCGUUAUUGCACAUGAUUAGCACGAGCGUUUCUGGAAAUGCCUCUGAGGUUCGUUAUAAGCUGUUACACAUAGCUUGAAGAGAGAGAGAGUUGACGAGAGACUGAGAGCAUUGUAACAAGAGAAAGAAAGCUUGAGAGUUAGGAGUUUUCUUGUUCUUAUUGAGUGCUUGGUAAUCUCUGUAAUCAAGACUUGAGCAAAAUCAAUAAAGCUGAUGAGUUUGUUCCCCCGUGGAUGUAAGUCAAUGCAAAUUGACUGAACCACGUUAGCUAGCUGUGUUAUGUGAUUUCUUGCAAUUCAAUUCAAUUCUUUGUUUGUUUCUAAACACAAUCAUUGUCUUAGUUAAUUGUACAUUACUUCUUUAUCUUUUCUGAUUGUUUAGUGAGCCAUCUUGUUGUUUCUAAUAAGAUCUUGGGGGAGUGUUCUGUAAAGCUUGCUGGUAUUUGCUUAUCAGAAUCUUCAGAUAUCUUAAAAGUGUAAAGAGUAAAGUAUUGUUCUAAUUAAUUUAAAAAAAUAUUUUAUUAUUAACCUUUAAUGCAAUAUAGCAAUUUUUUUUCCUUGGCAACAAGGCAUUGUUCCAAAUAAUUAUUAUUGGAUCCAGAUCCUGUCGUAGACAUUUUCUCUAUUAAUUUUCCUAAACUUUUAGGGUAUGUUUGGCACGUAGGAUUGGAUUGGACUAAAUUAGAAUGAAUUAGAUUGGAUUGGAUUGGAUUAUAUAUAGUGCUGACUUAUGUUUGGUAUGAUAUUGUAUUAGAUUAUGUUAAAUUAAGUUUACAUGAAAUUAAAUAGUAUUUACAUUAAUAUUUGAAUUUAAAUAUCAACUAUUUAUAGAUAUUUAACAAGAAAUAUUAUAAUUAAUUAAAAAUAGCACUAAUAAGGUGUGUGUGUGUGUGUGUGUGUGUGUGUGUGUGUGUCUAUAUAUUCAUUUAGUUAUUUGGUAGUCAUAAUUAUAAUAAAGAAAUAUAAAUUAUUUAAAUUAUAGGUUAUUUCAAAGAGUAAUGAGAGAUAUCAUUUCAUUAAAUAAAAUAAAUAAAACUAUUCAAAUAAUAAAUUAAUUAAUAAAUAUUAAGUAAAUCAUGAAUAAAAAAGAAAUUACUUAAUUAAAAACAAUAAAUAAAUAAUUUUUAAGUUAUAAAUAAAAUUGUGUAAUAAAUUAUGGAAGAUAUUAUAAAUACACAAAUAUUUUUUUCACAUUAUCUAGUCCCAACUAAACCCACAUAAAAAUUAGUAUUAGCAAUUCCAUGAAUUUAGGAUUAAAAUUUGAAUUUAGUCCAUUAAUCCAAUCCAAGUGAGCAUGCCAAACAUGGUAUUAAUAUUUUAUCCCAAUAAUAAGUCCAAUCCUACACUAAAUCCUACCUCCCAAACAUAACCUUAAGAAUCUAUUGACAUGUGUCAUUAAUGAAAUUAAAAGGCUACGAUUUUGUUUUAAUUAAUUUUUACCUAAAUAGAUAUCAAAACUCAUGUGUGACUCUUGUUAAUUUUUUUCUUACAAUUUCUUUUCCUCUUAAUUCUUUAUAUUGACACUGAUUUCUAGCAAAUUAUUAAAAAAAGAAAGAGAGCACAAAUUGGAGAAAAGUGAUUGACAACAAGGUUUGCAUCUUAAUUUCAAAAUUUUCCUUUCUUUGUUGUUGUUUUUUUUUUGGGUUCUAUAAUUGUUGUUUUCACUCUCACUUACAAUUCAAUGAACUAAAUUAGUAUUGCUACUUAUAAACUGUUAUUACCGGGCAUAUAAUUCUAUUGCUACAAUUUUACUGUUGUCUAGCUAUUUUUUUGAGUUUAUAGUUGUUGUUCUAUUGUCUUUUUGGGGUUUGCAACUGAUGUUUGCUGUUUUUCUAGGUUUUAUAGUUGAUGUAUUGGGAAAAAUAAAAAUAAAUUUGAUCUUGAAUUCUUUAACUUCUAUGAAACAAUUAAAUUCUUUUGCUGCUAUAUUUUUUUGUUGUUCUAUUAUGGCCGGGAUGUGUGUGAAAAGGCAAGAAUCUACCCAAAAAAAAAAAAAAAUGACAAGAGUCACAUGUGAGUUUAGAUGUAUUUUUAAGUAAAAAUUAAUUAAAAUAAAAUCUUGGCCCUUUAAAUAACUUAAUAUAAUGAAUUUAUUCUUAAUAACUUAAUAUUAUUUAAUCUAUAGAAGCAAGAUCCUCGAAGACAAAACCUAUAAAUAACUUAAUAUAAUGAAUUGAUUCUUAAUCUACUCCAAAUUGAGACUACAAUUUUUUACUUAAAAAUUGACUAGCUAGCUUUACCUUGAUGGGCCGACUAUCGCCCAUACAUAUUUCUUUAAAUUUAUUAAUAUUUUUGUGCAUAGCGAUUAGGGUUUCAUGACAACAAAUUCUCCUUUUAGUAUAUAAAAAGUAUACUAACAAGUAGUGUAGUGUUCCCCUCCAAAAGGGCAUAGCUCACUAACUUUUAGUCUCUUUCUUCGGUUGACGACUCCAGUUAGACUCUUCAAUGAGAUUAAAGAUUGAAUAUAUCUAAAAUAUUAGCAAUAUUUGUGCUUAUAUUUAACAAAACUAGAGUAAUAUAUUGAUUAAUCUACAUAAUUUUAGGCGGGUUCUUAGGUAAUGUUACAAUUACAUAGAUUAUUUUCACAGUAUAAGCCAAAUCUUAAGAAUUAAUUACUUGAAUAAAAGGAAUAAAGGAUGAUCGAUAAAAGUAAAACAAAGAAAAUAAAUUAUGCCGUUAAAUUGGGAUAUUUGGCUGCCUUAAUCGCUAGAGAUGCUUCUCCAAAACCCGCGUGUAAACAAAACACAUAUUUUUAACAUAACAAUAGCCCAAGCACAUAAACAAGAGUGAAAGCCGAGGAAUCAAUUUCAUUACUGUUCACUAGUAUUUUCAAUUUCAUUAUUUCAUUAACUAUGUCAUUGAUAAAAAAAAAAAAAAAAACUCAAUUUGAGAUGUUAUACAUUACUUUUCAUUACUUCCCAUUUCAAACAUAUUUAUCAUAUAUAGUCUUAGUAGCUUGUAACCCUUUCUGGUAAGGGUAAAAUAUUUCUUACCCCUUUGAUUUCUGAGAUUGUCCUCACAAUAAUGAUGCUGGCCCCAAUUUCUAAAACUACUAUCUCUAUGAGUAAAUUCCUUAUAAAUUUUCUUUUAAUUGAAAAUAUUUAAACAAUUGAAGAUAAAUUUAUUUAUUUUUUUAUUCGAAUGAAAAUUCAAUUAAACACUUAAAUAAGCUAUUCCUUUAACAAUUCUUUUCACACCCAUCAUGUUUCGUAAUUUAUAUUUAUAUUUAUAUUUUAAAAUUUAAUUGAAAAUACUUUUUGAGAAACUUUUAAGAAUUAAGAAUCAUGGAGAAAAAAAUUAUUUAAUAUGAAGAAAAUAGUUUAAAAUCUUAAGAUUUGUAUGUUUUAUAAAUAAAAACUUGAAAAAAUACUCUUUCCGAGAAAAGAUUUAAUCAGAAAAUGAUUAAUUUUUAAUUUAUGAAUUAAUAUUUUAUAAAUUAAACUAGGGGUAUUUUAAGGAAUAUAAUUAAAAAAGAGUGUCAUAAGGAUAUUUAGGGGUGUUAGAAGCCAUACUCAUUUACAUAAGCCAUGGGAGUUAGGGUAUUGGGUUUCUUUUUGUUUUGUAUGAAUUGGGAAAAAUACAGAGACAGACAAAGGGAACAGUCAUUACAAAGCUGUGAAGCGUGUGGGAGAUACCCAUUUGUAGCUUAAACUCCUAGGGUAUUGUUUCUGUCUUUCUCUUUCUCACUUUCUCAGGCAGCAGAUGUACAUAUCAUGAAAUAGCCAUACAUAGUUGGUUAGGCCUCCAGUCCAUUAACUUAAUAAUGAAUUUUAUGAAAAUUGAUUAUCUCAUUGGAAUUACAUGGAUAUUGGAAAGCAUUACUCCAGCCCCACCAUCCCAACAAUUUACUAAGUUCAUCAGUAAAAGCUGGAUUUUCCAUUUGUUCUUGAGAUUCAAAUUAAGGCAGCAGAUUGCUCAUCCCAUACUAUCCAUGUAAUCUUGUAAAAGUGAAGGGCGUUUAGAUGUGGAAAAACCUUACUCCUGCCGCAACGCCUCAAACAGAUUGUGAUCAGACAAGACUUAGGUCAUCAUUAGUAGUAGUUGGAACUUCCAUUUGUUCUUGAGAUUCAAAGGCAGCAAGCUGCUUCCUCAGUGCUACUAAUUCUUCCCUGGCAUUGCAUAUGUACGCUGAGGCUUGUCUACCAGACAAACUUGCUCCUUCCAUGAUAUCUAUGUAAUCCUGUGAGGGUGAAACCAUUUAGGACACAUAUCUCUUUUUUUCUAUUGAUCGUGACAUAUUUGGAAUGAAACAAUUAUAAACAGUGACCUGUUUUGUAUAUGAGCCAGCAAGGAACAAGUUCUUCACUUGUGUCUUUUGAUCAGGUCUGAAGGGGUCUUUACCAGGUCCCUCAUGGUACAAAGACUGCCCGAUUUUGACAACAGAUGACCAAAUAACUUCUAAACCUUGGGACAAUGGAAAUAGAGCUAAAACCUGAUAAAAGGAACCGUGAAUGGAUAAUAUGAACAGAUGUAUAUCAUCCAGAAAGUUGCAUGACCUUUUGCAGGGCUCAAAGUCACUAAAAAAUGUGAGAUAUACAUCUAGGAUAAGAAAAACGAAAAAGCGUAACCUAAUAUGUAUUAUAUGAAUUGAAGGUGUCACUGAACACUACCAACCUGCUUUGCCACUCUCCUAAUGAUUUCAUCAUUUGGUAAGGGCAUGUAAGGAUCGCCAGGCGUUAAAACGCAUCUGAAAGAUAAUUCAGUUAUAGUAAGCAACACAGAAUACAAAGACACUUGGCAAAAGGAAGUCAACCAGAUUCCAUGACACAAAAUGAAACUAAUAAUGGCGAAACUUCUCUGUAGUAGUCUUCUGGUGAAGUGAGUGCCAGAUCUGCAAAGCAAGAGAAAUCAGCAUGUGGAGUAUACAAAAGAUCAUCUAAUCCCAGAGCUUGCCUCAAUUGCCUACAUGUUCAAAACAAGGAUCCGUUAAAAAAUGGAAAUUUGUUCAAUGCAUUAGCAAAGGGAAGUGAAGUGAAAGCUGAUUUCUUAGGCCUUUAAAGAGCUUCUUUUGAUUGAAUUCCUGUAACCUCACAAAAGAUUAGAGCAUCACCUUGACCGUUCUAGGUCUUGCAACUCAGUAACCCAACCAUUGUAUCUAAGCUGCACUGUCACAACAGGCACUCCAACUAGCUCAUAAAUAUUGUUGAAAAACUUCAUUUCCCUCCACGAUGAUGGAAGUAAUCGUUUAAUUCCAGGGACAUCACAUGCUGCCAUUAAAUAGGAAGUUGAAUAAAGGUAAAACAUUCACCUAAAUGAUUCAGGAGAACAAAAAAGCACAAGUAGGAAUAAAUAAGGAGGAUUUAACCACAAACCUGUAACAUAUGCUUCAGCUUGCACAACCUUCUUGUCAGUGGCCUGAAACAGAACCAGAACCUCUAAGACCAUAAGCAUUAAAUAAUAAACGCAAAGUAGCUGCUUCUAACAGAUGAUAUAAACAACUGAUUUACAAAUGUCUGGUCAUUGCAUUACCUCCAUCAGAGGGAAUAUCAAUAGACGAGUAAAAAAAUAAAUAACUAAACUAGCUUUUGCCGCCUAAUUAGAACCAUGUGAGAAACAAUUACCUUAGACAUGGCAAGUCCUUUGACAUAUGUUUCUCCAUUAGCAGAUUUAUCAUAAAGUAUCUCUCUGCAUCCCCACCUAAGAUGGAACCUGUUCUAGCAAAAACAGACCCCAAGGUUAGGAAAAUCAGUAGGAGAAAACAAACAAGAUUAACAAAUCACUGCAAUGAUGUGAACCUGUAAAUAGAAAUUUACCUGCCCCCUUUAUCUGUGAUAUGUUUUUGUAUGGGCGCACUCAAAUAAACGUCUGGAGAACCCUUGAGCAUCCGCAAUAGGGCAUAAGCAACAGGAUCCCACAUUCUCUGAAUACUCGUCCGUGUCCCACCUUUGGACAAAAACCAAUCAGAGAAGCUUAUCUGUAAGAAGAAAUGAAGUUUUAGGUAAGAUAACAAUUUGUAGGAACAAGGAUUGAUAUUAAAACAAACUAGAAAAUAAGAUGUCAUUCUUACACUAUCCAAAUCUCCUACGUCCUUCAAGGCUCCAUCAGGAUCAACGAGUGCCCUUACAACAGGACUCAGAGCAAGAGCAAGAGCAUUUCUUGCUUUAUCGUAAGUCUGCACUUGAGCAAUACAUGAGGCAAAGUACAUCAAAAAAGAAUCCAAAAGAGGCAAGAAGCUUCAACAUGAAAGAAGAAAUACUGUCUUAUCAUACCGCUAACUAAUCAGAGUGCAAAAGAUUACAUCAACAUAAUCAAAAUGGAACAUAAAUCCAUAUGCACUACCUUAAGCUAAUUUGUAGACAAAAAUGCGCGAAUCCCAUGUAAGGGAGCUCCGACUGGAAACCGGAAAUCAUGUUCUGGAGUUAAAAAUCAAAAUCAUGAACUUAAUCAGAGUUAUUAUUGGACUAGACAAUCCACAAACCAAUUUCAGAGUGUCCAACCACCAAACAUAACUAUCAGUAGUCUUAAGUGAUCAAGAAAUAACCAUACCACCAAUUUCACCACCUUAUUCACAAAUGUAUGAGUAUGAUCCUUCAUGAGUAAAUUUUUUUGUGUCCGCACUGACCUGUAGACAUCCAUGAAAAACUAUCAGAUUAUAAACACAGGGUCAAUUUAAAGAGGAGCUAUGAUUCUGAUCCAUCAUGAUAUUUGAAGAACAUUUUCAUAUUUUCCUACAACGAGUAAACUAUAACCAGUUAUCAUCACUAUAGAUGGCAUGGUCAAGAGAAAUUAUAGUUCUUGUUUCAAGAAUCUCAAAUCAUAAUUCCUUUGCAUGGCUAGUGUGCUUUUAUAAUCAUUCAAACACACUUAUCCACAACUAAGCAAGCUUUACCUUUUUCAUCAAUCGGAACAGAUUAUUGUAGCAUCCAAAGAAAAUGUGCAGGCCCAUUUCAAUAUGGUUUCCAUGUUUAUCAAUAAAUGAACCCACUUUACCACCAAUGAAAGACCUUGACUCAUAUAUAUCCACCUGGAAGGGGGGGGGGGGGGGGGGAGGAAUCUUCUAAUUUCUUUCACCAUCAACAAAAUCAGUAAAACACAUACUAAUUCAAAAUGAAAUAAACUUUGUGAAUUGAAAUAAUGCCUGCUCUAAAGAAAAUGAUAACUGCUAUUCAUUUUUCCGAACUGCUGAUAAAAGCUUCUGCUAUUUACUUUGAAAAAAUUGAGUAACUUCAAAUUUUCAGUUUAGGCAAGAGGAUGAAUGGUAAAAGUGAGACAUUUUAGGGGAAAAGAAAAUACUUGAGAGGCCAAUGAAACAUUGAAAGAUUGAAAUCUAAAUGAGCAAAACCUCAUGGCCUUGAUCCAACAAUUCCCCUGCUGUUGACAUGCCUGCAAGCCCAGCUCCAAUAAUAGCCACUUUCAGCUUUGGUCCUCUAUAAUGUUCCGGUUCUGGUGGAAACAAACACUUGGGAGCUGCCAAGUAUACCAUUCAAUUAUCCACAGGGAUAUUGGAAAAACAUACAUGUUUGAAAGUACUAAACAUCAAAUGUCUCCCGAAAAAAAUACAAAGCACAAUUGCAUAAGCAUUUCAUUUCCCAAUAAAUUUCAAGAAUACAAAAUACUUGGUCUGUUCUUGAGUUCCUUUAAGAAAAUUUCCACUAGAGAGCACGCAAGCCACUCAAUAACACUCCAAAGUCAGAUUUUAAACGUUAUCUUGAUCUAUAAGUACAAUCCAUGAACCAUUCUGCCACAAAUUCAAUUAAAAAUUAUUCAAGUAAAAUGCCAAAUUCUCCAUCAAUAGCCUCAAAAAUUCAUAACUAGCAAACACUACAGAACAAAGAGCUCCCAGCAAUAAACACAUAAAAAUCCCACCAAGCAACAUAAAUCAAAAUACCCAGAAACCAGAAAACCCAAAAGAUCAAUACUUGGUAAACAAACAAAUCAAAUCAAAUAAAACAAAAAGAAGAGAAAUUUACCAUUAACACUCAUAUCAGAAACGUUAGUAUCCAAAGAAGCCCGUACACAGAAUCUUGGAACCUUCAGUUGAACCCGAGACCAACAAACACCAGUAACUGAAGUUGCAGGAAAAAGAAGUGAAGAACCCAUAUUGAAAUAAAAGAAUCCAAACCCAAAGUCCCACAUCUAAAUAUGAUGGAUCCACUCCAUGCGGCAAUAUGAAAUUUAAGCUCUCUUUUCUUAUGUCACCCAAGGCAUUGGCAGGAUGGCCAAACACCUGAGUUCAAGUCUACAAUAGAGAAUCGAAAUUUUCCUUUGUAAAUGUUCAUAAGUAUUUACCACAGAUUUUCAAGUUAUUCUUGAUAGAUCCCCUACUAUAUAUGCUAUAAUAUUUCUCUUCUUUUAAUUUAAAAGUAAAUCAUUCAUAAUAUCGGACUUGUAAAGAAAUAAAAUUUUCGGUAAUUAACUGACAAAACAAAAAAAGAUGGAUUAUGCGAAAGAAGUUAAUAUGGAGUAAGUCGAGCACUUGACAAUCAAAGUAAUUUACUCGAGGUUGACUAAGGAUAGUACGAUACUUUCUCAAGUUUUCUGAGGACAUUCACGUGACAUUGGACUAUUGACUAUACUUUCUCAAGUUAUAUGAUGAUAGAUUCAGAAUUCUUUUGAAGAAAAUAUUUUAUAUAAACUUAAUUAUAUGGUAUAAAAUGAUUGGCCUUAAUAAAAUUAAAAAAUCAUAAAAAUAAUACACGCCUGGGUCAUGCAAUAUUUUCAUGAAACAAUGUGCACAAAAUGCCUGUGAUAAUGAAACAAUGUGCCGUCCUUAAACUAAUAUUAUUAGAAACUAUAAUAAGUGAAAGUUUUCAGAAAACAUGUGAUAAGUUUUUCUCGGAAUUUGUUUUCUCCUUUGUUUUGAUUUACGCGAGAGAUAGUUGUAAAGAUUGUUUUGAGAAGUUUUCAGAAAACAUGUGACGAAUCGUAGUAAAAAAUUUAUAUAUAAUAAUUGAAUGAGAUCCAUGGUUCACAAUUGCAAAUUAAAGGUUGGUUUUAUAAUAAACAUCGUUUUGUGCAUACCAAAUUAGAAAAGAUUAUAAGUAAAUUAAGAUUUUCAAAAUUUGACUAGUAUUAUAUUACGUACAUCAAUAUAAUAUAAAUUUGUUAUAUAUAUAUUUUACUCUGUAACCAAUGCUUUCAAAAACUUUGUACUUGUAUUUUUGAACAACUUUUUUUGCUUUUUAUUUAUAUGGAAUAUCAUUUAUGUUUACAUAAAUUUUCAUAUGUACCUAAAUUAAGCAUUAAAUACACACACUUUGGUAAGACACAUUUCUAGUAUCAGACAAUGAUAUUAUAUUGAAUGUAAUGCUUCAAUGAAUUUUAUUACUAUAUACUAAAAUACUCAACGAUCUUCAUUAAAAAAAAAAAAGAAAUUGCAUGAUUAGAAUGAUUAAAGUUCAUUUAAUGACGAGUUUCAUCAUUGACUGUGUCGAAACACAACAGCAAUCCACAAUACACUCAACACGAGAGGCGCACACAAGCAUGCAUGAAUCUUCCACCAUUAAACCUGAAAUCAUAAAAUGAAAGAAACAAGAUGAGGGUUGUUUUACCGUCUAAAAGAGGAUUCGAAAUAAUAAUAAUAAUAAUAGACCUUUGUUAAUAGUUACUACUAGUGGUCACUGCCUUGUCCAUCUUCCUUCUCUGUAUCAUCGUCCUCUUCCAAGCCGCUGUCAUCUGACCAAAAACUCGCCUACUUCUUUUAGGAGCAGGAGCAGGAGGAGGAAAUUGAGUUAGGGAUUUGGAGUGAGAGUGAAAGUGGAGAAAAAACAAGAGAGGGAAAAAGCUAAUUGUUGAGAAAUAUAUACCUUUCGUAUGGUUGUGUUAAGGUCGUCCUUCCAAUCCCAACAUGCUUCACCCCGCCGCUGCACUUUGUGUAAUUUGGGUGUACUUAAUUUUCCUUCAGAGAAAAUCUUCAUAUUGGGGCAAUUAUCCACCACUAAUCUUUCCAAAAAUGGGAACUUGAAAGCACAAUUGCCAGAGCAGAAGCUUGUCAGGUUUUUUAAGUGUAAAAGCUUCAACUCCUUCAAUUCUCUGAAAGUAAUAACCUCCUCUUGUGCUACAACAUCAUCCACCAGUACUAUUUCUGUUAUCUCAUCGCAUGAUUCUAUCUCCAUAUAUCUAAGUCGCACCAGAGUCUUUGCAAUUGAGGGUGUUAAUACGAUUUUCAAGCCUUCGCAACACGAUACCACCAGAUUUGCAAGAUUCUGAAAGGAUGUCGAGGAUGGCACUAGAUUGACCAAACGGUCACACCCCAUUACACGUAGAAUAACCAAGUUGUUCGUAACAGAGGACUCCUCUAUCAAAAUGUGCUCCAGUUGAUAUUUUGCUUUUCUUAUUUCUACCCUCGUCCCAUUUUCAACAUUCUCUUUCGGCGACCGGUCACCAUAUCCUUGUAUUUGGAGGACUUUCAUUGUGUGAAGUCUCUGGAGGAAGUCAUCAAGUGAUACAAUAGUCGGCUCAUCAACCAACUCCACAAAAAGAUAUUUUAGUUUGCAAAGCAAGUCUUCAGAAAAUAGAUAUUUAUUUGUUCCUAUGUACUUUGCAUCAACUUUCAACUCUUCCAAAUUAGGGAAUACCUGGGAGAUCGAUCAGAAUAAAAAAAAAAAAAAAAAUACAAGAUGAAUCAGUUGAUGAGAAUUAUAAGUUACCACUAAUUUAUACCAUAUAUUUUAUUCAAUAAAUCUUAACCUUUAAAAAAAUAGUAAUAAUAAUACGCCUAACAUCUAGAAUAAUUAUGAAUGAAUACUAUACACUAAUCUGUAAGAGAGUUACGUUGCUGACAAUUUGACUUUUAGUAAGAAACCAAGCGAUAAAGGCAAAGGCAAUAUAAGUCUUAAGCUUUAUGAUAUAAACUUUCACAGAAUCACAGUACAUACAUAAGAAUUGAAAAAUUGAUUAUAAAAUUCUUGUACGUACCCUUUCCAUCAAGAUAUUAGUAGUUCUUUCGUAUCUCGCCAUGAAUUCAGGACAUCCAGAUAUCCGUAAUUUUUUUAAGGAUGGAAAUUCAAGAAUAUCAAGAUCUCCAGUGCAGAAGCUUGUGAACUUGAAAAGAUCAGACAUCUUCAGAUAUUGCAACUGAGGAAACAUUACAAUAUUUUUGUUCCUUUCUUCUUGGUUGUCCACGACUAUUAACUCUUUCAAGACAGGACAGUCGACUAUCUUAAUGUGUUGGAGUCGAACAAAGCUACUAACUGUAGAAGAUGAAAAUAGACAUCUUAAAUUCCAACACGCGUCCAGGGUCAAGUGCGUUAAAUUCUGAAUACCACAAGAUAUUACUGUAACUUGGUUUUGCCAAAUCCUCUCAACAUUUAUUAACUCCAACUCCAACUUCUCUAACUCUGGUAACCGAACCUGCUCGAUCAAAAAAUUAACUCGUUAAUUACAAGCAACAAUGAUUUCUGUUGAUGGACAAAUCAAUAAAAUUACUCUUUCUCUGGUUAUAGUUCUUUUCAGUUUUCCAUACAAACAACCGUUAAUCAAGUUUUCCAAAUUAUUCCUUACUAAAUGUAUAGAUUUAGACGGCGGCUAAUAUAAUUCAUAUUGCAAAUAUUCUUUGAUUGUAACGAAUUUUGUAAUAUUAAAUUUUGGUUGAUUCGCAAUAGGACCUACUAUCCAGCGUGAGCAGUUCUCGGGGGAUUUAACUACUGGCACCUCGAUUAUAUAAAAAUUUGAAAUAUUUUCAAAGGAAAUCAAAUAAUUCCCCCUUGCAAAUAGUAAUUAUCGUUAAUUGCCGCGGGUUGACAUAUAAUUCUAAGAAAUUAGGCGAGAAGAGUCUCAUCAACAAUCAAUCAGCAGAUAUCACGUUUGGAAGAUCAUCAUGAUUUCCUCAGAUGCUAGAGAAUCAACGUGAUUUCCGCUCAUGCAGGAGUGGACACAUUAUCUUAGAGCAUCCCUCACUGAGAUCUUUUAAAAUAAUUAUAUUAUAAAGUGAACAACAUAUUUAGUAUAGAUUUAGACGGCGGCUAAUAUAAUUUAUAUGUAUUCUAAUGACGUAUAUUAAAGAAAAUGACUAGCCAUAAUUUCAAUCAACUUAUUAGUCUAUAUAUAUAUAUAUAAUAUUUUCAGUGAUGACAACAUAUUUAGUAUUCCAUAACAUGAUGUUUAUAAUAAUAAUUAUUAUUAAUUCACUUAUUGUGUCAAGAACCUUUUCUUUCGCUAAGAAUGAAUUUGUUACACCCUACUAUACUACGGAUAAAAAAUUUAGAAUAAUUGUGAAAUAUAAUUAUUAAUCAAUCUUUGACACAAUUGCUACCAAACAGGAAUAUAACAAAGAAAAAAAAAACAAAAAUUAUAGAGAAUUAAUAAGACGAUUGACUUAUUAAUAACUGACCUUCUCAGGGAAAAGCGUAUUAUAAAUUUGGACAUUGUCCUCCAAAAUGAUUUCAUGUGACUGCAAAUCAUUAGCUGAUUCCUCUUGUCUCUGUUGACAUUGCAGGUGUCUUGAUUUUAGAGUGUAAACUUAAUUGUGAACACAAUCUUAAUGCAUAGAUACAAGAUCUUUAAAAAUUAGUAUAAUAAACUUAGCACUAAAUCCAAAUUGGGUAUUUCGGAUUCCAUGAUUAAGAUUUUUUAAAUAAAAAUUUAAUAGAGUUAAUUUAAAAAUAAAAAUUAAAUAUGAAAAAUAAACUUGCACUUAUGGAUUUAAUUUUGAUAAAUAAUGAAUGUUCUCUUUAUAUUUUUUUUCAAAGGUAAAAGAGCGUACAAAGCCCAAAUUCAUUUUUUUAGUCCCUUACUCUCCCAUGAUUCAAACUUGGGUGGUUGUAAGAGGACUGAAAAUAUAUACGACAGUUAACUUCACUUUUUUUUUUCUUUUUUUUUUUUGUUGAGAGAAAAGAGAAGGAGGAUAUUACAAAGCAUGAAGCUCAUGCAAUAAAAGGGCUAUUAUUUUUUUUUUAUAUAAUUAAAAUGGUAAGAUUCUGAAGCUAAAAGAUUAAAAUAUUAAUUAAAUUGCAAACAUUAAAGAUUUUUUUUUCCAAAAUUGGUUGCUUUGAAAAUGAGAAUAAUAUAAUAUUUGAAGACUUUUCAAAAUUAAUUACUGUGAUAGAUGCACUAUAAAUUUCUAGCUUUAGUCUAAUGUAUAAAUUGACAAAACGAUAUUAGAAUCCCAGGUGAAAAGAACCCUCUCACACCAAUUAUUUAAAUUAGGAAUGAUCAUACCUCUGACUCUGGCGAACUGAGGGAGAGGAUUGAACCCUCCAGACGGAGACGCUUGAGAUGGCAAGAGCCCACUUUGACUAAUUCAUUACGAAAAUAAUCGACAUCUUGCUCUUGCAAUUCACUUAACUCAAGGUCUUCAAUUCUCUGCAGUUGCACGAUCAGCGAAUCCUUCAAGCAAAUCUCGUUAUUUAGCCAGAGUCUGAAUUCACGACACCAAAUGUUGGUGCUCUCCCAAUAGCCAUGAUCUCCAAUGCGUAUGCCGUACCUUUCCAGCUUCUCCAAGAGCAGGCCUCUGGGCAGAGUGCUGACGUCAUAGACGUGUAAUUCCAAAGAGGUCAAGUUGGGCAAAUGCUUCAACUCCUCAAGGCUUGCAUUCUUAACCCCUUCUACCUCCACCUCCCAUUUAUCAAAGCUUUUAUCUAUAUAUAGUUCUUCUAAAUGGGAUAAUUUUGACAGUAUAUUUGGUGGAAUAACUAUUAGACACCAACAAUCCCUCAAAUCAAGCAGCUUUAGCCAAGUCAAUUCACCUACUUCUACCGGCAACUUCUUAAUUGUAGAACCUCUUAAGCAAAGGAUUUCUAGUUUCUUCAAGGCUCCCACAACACUUAUAUCAACCAAGCUGCAGUCACACAAACUCAGUGUUCGAAGGUUUGACAGGAGACCAAGUGAUGAAGGCAGUGACCGUAGAUUCAUGUCAGUCAAGUUGACAACUCUGACCUGUAUCAUCCUCUCGAAAAAGUUGUUUGGAAUUGUUUCCCACAAAUCAGCACGUAUAAAAAGAAGUUCGAGUUGAGGACAUUCCAGUACUUCAGGAAACAAAUUAGUCUCGAUAUCAUGUAAGACGAUUGAAGUGCAAUGCUUUAUUGCACUUCCGUCUAACCAUUCCCUGCAACCAUCAACCUGCUCAUUUGUAGCAGUAAACACAUUUCGUUCAGUAGAUGCAAUUGAUAUGGCGACAUCGCGAACUACAUCAUGCAUAGAAAACAACUCUUCAUUCUCGCUUUCAUGGUCAAGCAACAUACAAGAAGCUUUGAGUGUGCGCACCAAUGUAUGUACUCGAUUUCGUGCUUCUUCAAUCUUAUUCACACCUUGAAAUAAACCCAAUCCCAUACCACACAUUAACAAGUCAUCAAUAUAUGCUAUGGCUGUAUAUCCUAUUAGCAAAAAGAUGUUCUUGAGAUCAUCCCUUCCUAGUUUAUUGUAGCUCAACUCGAUAGCUUUAAAUGCGGCUGGCUGUACAUCCUUAAAAUUCGAUGAAGGCCUUCUUAGCUGUUCCAAUGCAUCCUUCCAUUCACGUAUGCUCUUGCUCCUUAAUGCCCUUGCAACCGUCACAAUGGAAACUGGUAGACCUGCACAUUCCUUUGCCACAUCCCUUGCUACCUCUUUCAAUUUAUUACCUUCAACAUAAUCACCUGCCAUCUUCGUGAAUAGACUCCAAGCUUCAUCUUCUUUUAAAAAUCCAACUGGGAAAUUUUUUCGAGACUCCAUCUCUCCAGACAAUACUUCUUCACUCCUUGCCGUGAACAGCACUUUACAUCCCAUGUGAUCAUCUCCGUGAGGAAUUCCGACAUCCAACAAAUCAAGAUUUCCCCAAAUAUUAUCCAAGAUUACAAGGAUCCUCUUCUCUUUCUUCAGUCGAUCAUAAAGUCUUCUUGCCCUACCCGAUUCACUCUCCUCAUCAAAUUUUAGACCUAGUUUAUCUGCGAUUUCUCCUUGAAUCUUUCUUACGUCUCGACUCUCAGACACCUCAGAAAAAACCACCUGAUCGAAAAGCUUGUCACACUCUGCUUUUCUAGCAACUUCUUUAGCUAGUGUCGUCUUUCCGAUUCCGCCCAUUCCAUAAAUCAAAAGCAUGUUGACAUUGGGAUUUUUUAAAGCAUCAAUUAUUUCAUUCAGAAUGGACGUUCUUGAUUCAAAGGCCUCGAAGUCUUUGUUAGGCAUAAGCAAGGUAUCCUCCGGAAUGAUGCUGUAGGAAAUACUAUUAACUGGUCUAGCGUCCAGGACUUUGACAACAGCCUCCUUCUGCCUCUCUGCUUCCUUGCUAAGUCGAGGGCGGGUCUUCAAAUUAGGACAUAACCCCUUGAAACAACGCUUAUUUGCAGUGGCUUCAUCUUCUGUAAAUUUAUCUGCCUCUUCAAUGACACUGUUAGCCGUUGCAAGCCAUUUCUCAACGUUCUCUUCAAUCUCUUCUCCUUUUCUUUUAGCCUCAUCAACCCGGUGCUCUAGAGUAACCCUCUCAGACUUCAGAUUGUCAACUUCAGUCUUGAGAUUCUGCAAGUUACUUGUGUACUUACUCUUGCGCAAAUAGCAAAUUCGGCGAUAUGCGGCAGGAGCCACGCACUUUACAACUUCUAAAACAAUAGUAAGAAUGAUUUCAGCCAUCUUCAGUCCUUUGUCCUUGUCUCUCUAUCUCUCUUUUUCUGAAUUUUGGAAAAACAAUUCAACAAGCGACCACAACAAGAUGGAACAAAUAAAAAGGAAAAAAAAUACAAAGAGUGGAUGGAGAAUAAAACAGAGACAGCGGCACAGCUGGACACAACUAGAUAGAGAACAGAGGAAAACCAAAUAACAAGACUUCAGAUUACAACAAACAGAGGCCAAGUAUUAUUGUUGAGAUCAGAAGAUGGAAAAUUCAAAAGAGUUGAUGGCAGAUGCUGAAUAACAGAACAACAAUGAACGCAAUAAACAGAAGCAAAGUGUGUUUGUGAUCGACAGACGGAAGUAAGGAGAGCGGUUGUUGAUUGAAAAUGAAUGAAUGCAAAGAAAGACUGAUGUUGAAAAUUGAUGUCAAUAGCGAAGGAAUAAUUGAACUUUCGCUGAAUUAUUGUUUGUGGCUUCUUUUACUUUUUAUUUGUGGGUCAUGUCUCUUGGAACUAAUCAUCUUAGGUUAUGCCUUAUAGCUUUAAGGCCGGUAAACCGGUGUCCGUUGGAUUAGCAUAUAGAAAUCCAACAGUGGAUAUAUGUACUUGCAGAAUAAAAUUCAAGAGCAAAGGGAGUGCCGGGCUGCAGUUUCUUAAGGAGAUUUAUAUAUCCUCCUCAAAAAUAAAUGUUUUAAGGUAGAUAUUUAGACUAUUUCAUCAUAAAAUAAAUGUAAUUAAUUUUCAAUAAAUAUCUUAUAUAAAUAUUUAUUUAUUUUUUUAAUUACUAAUGACCUUUGAAUAUACAUAUAUACAUAUUACUAAUUCAAAAAAUAAAUUGUGAUUAUUUGUUAAUGCAUGUGAUUACUUGUGAUGGUAAACAAAGUAGAUAUGGUAUAUUUUGAAGUUAAAUUAAAAAAAAAAAAACAGAGCUUUUACCAUUACUUGCCUUAUCAUCUUUUAAAUUAGAGUUAUUAUUCUUUUAUUUUUCAAGUUGCCAACUCAUCGCAUUCUCUUUUAUUGAAUUUGAAGGUUAAUGAUUAUAAAUUUGUGUAAAAAUUUGAAGUCAAAAUUUUAAAUUAAAAUAAUCUUUAAGUUAUUGAAAAAUAAUAACUUAGUAAAACAAAUAUUAUAUCCUAUACUUUAUUGCUACAAAAUUACGAAACCUUUUAGUUUCAAAAAAAAAAUUUAUGAAACCUUAUAUUAUAUUAUGUUUCCAUAUUUCUCCUUUAUAGUGAAGACUCAUACUUCUCUAAUAAAUGCUAAAGAAUUGGCUUAAUUUUUUUAACCAGCAUGGUAGACCCUUAAGCUAUAUAUACUAUAAUGUCCCUCUUCUCUCACAACAGAUUAAACCAAUCUGAUCUCAGAGUGAGUUGAUACCAUGACUUUGCAUCAUUCGUGAUCAAAGGAGCAUCAUUACUAACUAAUACAUGCUCGAUCAAUAGGCAUGAUAAUAAAUUUUUUAUCUACAAACACUAUUUUUCAAAAUAUUAUAUCUUUAGACUUAACUAAAUAUUUUUUAACUAUGUAGAUAUAGUUUGUUUGAUCUCUUUUAAAUAGUGGAGAUUACAAACAAACAGAUGCGAAUUAGUAGUGAUGUUGAGUUCAGAAGAUUGAAGUUAAGAAAAUUAAGGGUUUCUUGAUCUAGAGAAAUUUCAAAUGAGUGAAGCGUCCUCGAAAUCGGAAGACGAAAAUAAGGAAAGGGUAAGGGUGUAUUUUCGAUGUGAUUCUAUUAGGAGAUCUUUGAAGUAGGGGUGGGCAAAUCGGGUUUCGGUUUGGGUUGUUCAGAUUUCGGUUUCGGUUUCAACCAAUCGAGUUGGAGAAUUGAACCCAAUCAGGUUGAAAACGCCAACCCCAACUGAACCGAACUGAAUUUAGUUCAGGUUCAUAAUUCUGAUCGGACUGGGUUGGUAAUUCAGGUUAAAAUUUCGGUUCGGGUUAAUUCGGGUUAGAAUAAUUCAAUCUAAAAUUUUUGGUUAGUUCGGUUUAAAAUGGGUUGGAACAAUUUAAUCCAAAAAUUCUACCAACAACCACUUAAAAUCCAAAAAUCUCAAUUCCAAACAUCCUUAACAACAAAUAUCAACUACAAACCACCCUUAACAACAUUUCAACAAUAACAAUAACAAUAAUAACAACAAUAACAAUAACAAUAACAAUAAUAACAACAACAACAAUAAUAAUAAUAACAACAACUAUGAAUCAGCAAUUCAGCAUAUUGCCAUAUUCUAAAUUUAAAAAAAAAACACAAAUUAAUUAAUUAACAAUCUCCAAUUUAAUUUAUAAUAACAGUAAAAAUCCUCUCCAAUUUAAUUAAUAAUAGUCUCCAAUUGUUCAAUUACCAGUCAACAGCAACAAACCCUCUCCAAUUUGUCACGAACAGCCUCUAAUUGUUCAAUUAUUAGUCAACAACAAAAAAACUCACUCCAAAUAAUUGAACAAUUGUUAAUUAAUUAAUUAAAAAUAUUGAAUUUAAUUAAUAAAAACACCCAGGAGCAAGUUAGCAAUAUUCCCACUCCAAAAUCCAAAUAUCAGUAUAAACUAAAGGCAUAUUUGGUACAUUGUAUUAUAGAGUAUUAAAAUAAUGUUCACAUUAAAAUAAUAACAAACCUAUGUUUGGAACAAAAUUACAAAGUAUUAGGGUGGGAGGCUAAAAUGCGUGAGUUGACGCAUUAGCUUUGCUUUUUUUUUUUUUUUCAUUUUGCUUUUUUGACUUUUCUGUAUGCUUUAUUAUAUUAUAAUGCUAAAAUAAUAAAUAAAUAUAGUUUUUAAUUUAAUAUAAUAUUUUUAUUUUAUUUGUUUUUACAUUAUAAUUAUUAAUAUAAAUUAAUAAAUAAUUUAUCAUUCAAUAAUAGUAUUUUUUAUUUUUACAUUAUAAUUUAUUAAUAAAUUUAUAAUUUAUUAUAACUAAUAAAAAUAUUUAAAUUUGAAUAAUAUUAAUUUAAAAUUAAUAAUAAUAUAAAUAAUAACAUAAAAUAUUAAUGCAAUUUGAAUAUAUUAAAUCAAUAUAAAACAUUAAUAUAAUAUAAUAUUUAAUUUAAAUUAAUUAAAAAAUAUUACAGUACAAUAUAGCACCAAACAUUGUACAACAUUAUUAUAAUAUAGUGUUAAUACAAUACAGCAUAAUACAAUACACCAAUAUUAAAAUAAUGCAAUACAAUAUAAUAUAAUAUAGUGUGCCAAAUUCUAAAACUAUAUUUGAUUGAUGUAUUAAAGCUCUUCAUUACAUUAAAUUUAUACAGGCCCAUGUUUGAUAGAUAAAAGGCUACAACAACACUAUAUUGUUGGGCCAAGAUAAUGAGGCAACUGCUGCUACCUUUUUUUUUUUUUGUCCUUUAACAUUUUUCACUUUUCACGUGCUUUUGCCUUUUGCUUUGACUUUCCUUUGUUUUAACUUUUGUUUUUGUUUAUUAAUAAAAUAAUAAUAAAUAAAUAUAAUUUUUUUAAUUUAAUAAAAUAUUUUUUACAUUAUAAUUAUUAAUAAAUUUAUAAUUUAUUAUAACUAAUAAUAAAUAUUUAAAUAUGAAUAAAUUUCAAUAAAUAAUAUUUAAAAUUAAUAAUAGUAUAAAUAAUAAUAUAAAAUAUUAAUAAAAUUUAAAUAUAUUAAUAUAAUCUUUUAAUUUAAAUUAAUCACAAAAAAAAUUAAUACAGUAUAAUAUAAUAUCCAACAUUGUAUAGUAUUAUUAUAAUACAGUGUUAAUGCAAUACAUCAUAAUACAAUACACCAACAUUAAAAUAAUGUAAUACAACAUAAUACAAUACAAUAUGCCAAACGCACCCUAAGUGUCAAACCUUGAUCGGUGGGAAGCUACAGCGUCGGCAAAGCGUGACCGUGUGGGACUGAGUGAGACCGUCGAUCGAGGGUGUGAGAAGGGAGAAGAGGGAGCAAGGAGGUGUAACGUGGUGUGUGUGAGUUUAUAUAUAUAUAUAAUUUUUAAAAGCUAAAACUUAAAAAAAAAAAUUUAACCCAAUCCAAACGCCCACCUCAGAUUACUUCCGUGUUAAGAGCUGGAUCCCACACUCUUGAGCCUUUUUCGUCCCAGCAAUUAUAAAAAUAAGGGUCCGCCUAUGUUGCCACUGUUGUACCUAGGGAUGGCAAUUUUCGGGUCCGAGUCCGGGUUUGGCUGUUCCGGAUUCGGACCCAGACACAAAAUUCUCAUAACUGGACCCGCAUUAAACCCGGAUUUUUUUAAUCCGGGUCCGGUCCGGGUUCAACCCGAAAAAAUCCGGGUUUACGGAUUCCGGGUUUUGAACCCAGAUUGCUUUAUUAUUUUUUUUUUUUGAGAGAUCAUAUGGCUUAAUUUAACAGGGCACAAGGGAUGGUGGUUUAAUGUUUUAAUGUUUUCCCCAACAACACAUUACAUAAUUCUUCCUAGAAUUGGUUCAACAAAAUUUGAUGGAUAAAAGGCAAAAAAAGAACAUAUAACACAUCCAAAACCACCAGACUACUAGAACCAAAUUGUUUAACUUUGGUUCAUCAAAAUUUGCUGGACACAGGGCAAAAAAACAGAACAUAUAACACAUCCAGGUUCUAAAACAAAUACAACACAAAUACACAAUAUAAAAUCUAAAAUUCAAAGUUUUAAAGUAAUAAACAUCCACAAAUACAAAUCCAUAACAUAAUUCUACAACUUAAAACUCAAAUUUUCAGCCACUAGUGCUAAAGACUAAACUCUGAAUCAUCCAUUUCAUUAGACUGUUGCUCACUCAUCCAACUUUCAUUAAUCAAAUGCUCUGCAGAAAGUAUUGCUUCCUCUGGAAUUCCAUCUACAAAAAAUGUGUAAAUCAUAAACAUAAUGAACAAGACAACCAAUUAGUGAUAAAUUAUUAAUAAGAACAAUACAACAAAUAAUUUGAUUCUAAUAAAUAAAAUUUUCAUACCUUUUAAGUUUUGUUCAAGCCAAAACUAAUUUUGAGUGCACACCAAUGCCUCUACUGUGGAUGGGUGAAGUCUACUGCGAUGAGGGCUCAAAUGUCUACCUCCAGUGCUAAAAGCGGACUCCGAAGCAACUGUUGAUACAGGAAUGGCCAAAAAGUCCCUUGCAAUCUUUGCAAGUAUAGGAUAUUUGCCUUGAUUAUUCUUCCACCAUGAUAAAAUGUCAAAUUGACUAGUUGAAGGCAAAGUACUCUCCUCAAGAUAAAACUCUAAUUCUGAUUUGGAAUGAGUAUUUUGUGUGUUUUCAUUUCUAAAUAAUGCCCACUCAUCAGCCAUUUCAUCCAAAUCUAAAUCUAACAUAUUAGAGUCCCCUCCUGCAGCAGCUUGAGAAUUGGCACCAUUAACCCCCCACUUGAAUUUGAUAGAUGAUUUACUUCAUACUCAUGUACUAAAUCAACAAAUAGCUUACGCACUCUUUCAACUUCGGAUUCAGCUCUUUCCCCAUAUAUUUUAGGAAAUAAAAAGUUAAUCAGUAACAUUUUACGCCUAAGAUCUAACAUAGUCCCCACUGCAAGAACUCCAUGAAUAACAUCCCAAUACUUUUCAUACUUUGCAAUCAUCCUAGUAGCCAUAUUUUUUAUCCCCUCAAUUGGUGAUUGCAACCAUGCAUUCAUUGACAAUCUAAUUUCACAAAUCUUGGCAAAAAAUAAAUUAGAUGUCAGAUAUCGUGUCCCCGAAAAAAGUUCUGUCAACUUAUAAAAGCUUUUUAGAUACUCACACAUAAGCUUUGACAAAUUCCACUCUGACUCACUAGGUAAAGAUGUAUAAUUUCUCUCACGUUCCUUUAAACGAUCAAAUACAUCUUUAUACAGCAAUGCAGUACUAAGCAUCAAGUAAGUAGAGUUCCAUCUAGUUUUACAAUCAAGUACUAAGUUUUUGGUUUCCUUAAUACCUAAUUGUUUUUUUGCAUUCUCAAAAUUUUCAACUCUAGCUGGUGUUGCUGUCCAAUAAUGAACACUAUCUCUAAUUUUCUCAACUCCCUUUUGUAUCACUGAAAAACCAUCUCUAACUAUCAAGUUCAAUAUAUGAACACAACAACGCAUGUGAAAGAAUUUGCCACCCAUAAUCAUUGAACUAGUAGAAAAUUUCCCCAACAACAAGGCAAUCACAGAAUCAUUUGCAGCACAAUUAUCAGCAGUUACAGAGGACAAUUUUCUAUCUAUAUUCCAAUCUAUCAAACAAUCAUAUAACUCAUUACACAUUACCUCAGCACUAUGUGGAGCUGGCACAUAUAUAAACCUAACAAUGUGAAAAAAUAGUUAAAAUAUUAGACAGGACAUUAAUUUAUGCUUAAACCAAAAAAAAGGUUUCAAGAAUAUUACCUCAUAAUACGACUUCGCAACACCCAUGAGCUAUCAAUGUAAUGUGCCGUAAUAACCAUGUAUCCUUUUUUUUUUUGUUACUAGCAGUCCACAUAUCAGUAGUAAUUGCGAUUAUACUCUCACAAGCUUCCAAAAUACCCAUUGUCUUUUUCUUUUCAACAUCAUAAAUUCUCAAAAUUUCAGCUUUGAUGGUGUUUAUACUAAUAGUCUCAAUAGAAGGUUGGAGUAGCUUCAACAAGUCAUAAAACCCAACAUACUCAACAAAUGCCAAGGGGAGCUCAUGUAGUACAAUCAUUCUAGCUACAAAAAGCUUUACUGUAGUCAUAUCCCAUUUUGAUUCGGAACUAAAAUUACUAAGUGAAGUGCUUCCAUCAACUUUAGAAGAAAAAGAUAGGUGCAUUUGUUGUACAUUCUUAAAUGACCUUCUAGGACAGCGUUUAGCAUGGUUUAUUAAGUGAUUAGUACCCCUCGAAUAAUGUCCUUGCAUAACUAACCCACAGUAAUUGCAAAUUGCCUGAACUUCCUCACCCAACUUAACUUUUUUGAAAUGAUUCCAAGCAUCAGAGACUAUUCUACCACCACCAUCUCAUUUUUGUGAAGUGACAUGAUUAGUAUUACCCCUACGGCCACGGCCACUCCCCUGAACUGCUGCUGUUGAAUUUGGUUAUAAUUCAAUAGCUGUAUCAUUAUUAUUUUCUGAUUCUGUCCUAACUCUCACACAAACACUUUCAUCACUUUUUUCAGAGGCAUCCAAGUCGAUUCUUUGUUCAUUUUCCAUAUCAAUUUUUCACUUUACAAAAAUUAUGUCAAGAUAUAAUUAAUUCCAACAACUUCUUCCAAUUUAUAUGCUAUGUUUAACCGUAAAAGCUAUAAAUAAUAUUUUAGAGAUACCAUUUCUAUUCUUUAACAGCAACAAUAAAAAAUAAUUCAAAAAAUAAACUAUAAAUAAUAAAAUUGAAGCAUAACAAAGUAUAGAUUCUAAAAAUCACAGAGUUUAGCUAUUAAAGUCACAAAGUAUAGAUAUUAAAAUUACAAACAAAGCAAAACAACACAUAGAGCACAGAACACGGUCUAAUUAAAUUGUGAAGACAGUCACAGUGAGUAUCCUAACCGAAUUUCGUUAAUCUAUAUGAAGAGAACAGUUAAUGCCACAAGAUGACUUCUUCUAUCGCUGUUUGGGCCAGCCAAGAACCCACAACCAGUUAAAGCCUUAAGCUGUGCUAGACUGCUAGGUGGCUAAGCAAAAGAACUAGGAUAAAAUAAGGGUCUGCCUAGCGCAAGUCAGCGGUAGAAAUGUUAUUUAUGCAAAUUUCUUAAAUUUGACGUUAUAUCUCCUAAACAAUUCUUAGACCGGGAGUGAAGAUAUUUGCACAUAUUUGCAGAUAUCCUAAAAAUUUCUUACUGCAUUGGCAAAUUAUUCUAAAUUUCUAAUCGAGGAAAAAGAUCAGGAGUGUACAAUACUAACUGGAAAGAGUCAUUAAACUUCAAGCAACUCAAUAUACACAAGUAGUAAAAGCACAGGACAAGGUCGAACCCGAUUUCAGUGAGAGAAAGCAAAAGCAAGCCAAACAAAGUAUUAAUGCUAGUCAGGCUCAGAACUACCAUUCAUGCAGCUAGCCAUAGGCAGCAGCCCUUUGGCUAGUUAUACUUCAAAUUCAAUUCUAAGCUUACUCACUAACCAACUCUUAAUGCACAAAACCAACAAUACGCUUUAGCAGAAAAAAUGGAAACUGUUCUGUUUUAGACAAUAGUUUCUCCUUGUGCUAGAAAAACAAAGAACAAAAAAAGGCAAAUAAUUCAGAAAAACAAAAAGUUUAUAAUUAGCCAAGUGCUCUCAUAUGUCAUAUACAAAGAAAACCAUGUCUGAGGGAAAAUCAUGAAAUACUAGUUAUACAACCCAAGAGGGGGGUGAAUUAGAAUUCUAAAAAAUUAUUCAAUUUUUAAUUUAAAGCUCAAUGUAGAUAUGAAACAAAUUCAAAGCAAUAACAAAUAAGUUAACCACAAUAAAAAGGAUAAAGGAAGAGAGAUUCAAACACUGAGAUUUUUACGUGGUUCAGCCAACCUUGCCUACGUCCACGCCUCCAAGCUUUCCGAGCUUGAGGAUUCCACUAAGCAAGCCUCCAAGGUUUCAAAUGCUUACACUUGACUUCGAAGGUGUCAAUGACCUUUACAACAAGAGAUUAUCCCAAUCUCUUAACCCAAAUGUAUCCCAACACUUACAAUCACUCAAAGAUAAAAUAUUAUAAACUUGUUUUGCCUCUCACAAUAUUUAAGAUUACAAAAUAAUACCCAAUAUGUGAAUAGAUGAAGCAAGAAUGUAUUUAAAGCUUAAUGAAGAUUUUAUUCUCAAGUAUAAGCUCAGUAGUAGUGUUGUGAUCAAUCCUUGUUUAAGUUUGAAUGAGCUCAUUUAUAGCUGCAGCUGAAAACUAGCCGUUAUUGACUUCCUGCACACUGUCGGAUCGCCAUUAGCUAGAUGUCGGAUCGCCGUUUGACUGGUCAAUAUGACCGUUGAGCUGAUUUUUCAAAUUAUCGGAUCGCCGUUAUCUAGAUGUCGGAUCACCGUUUAGGUCUAGAGGCUAACCUUCAGUUCUGUUUGAUCUCAGCGAGCCGUUUAUUAAACUUGUCGGAUCACUGUUUAGGUCCAGAGACUAAUCUUUAUUUCUGUUUGAUAUCGGCGAGCCGUUUAUUAAACUUGUCGAAUCGCCGUUUUCCACAAAAACUGCUGCAGUGAACUAUUUUGCAAGACAACUGUUUUGUUUCUAAAUCUUUAUAAAAAUACUUUAUGAAUCAAUCUUAAUCAUGUUUGUUGAGCUUUUAAAAGAUUAAUCAAUCUUAAUCAUGUUUGUUAUCAUCAAAAUCAAUAGGGAAUUAUUUAUGUUAACAAUCUCCCCCUUUUUUAUGAUGACAAACUUUUCAAGAAAAUACUUGUGUAAUUUUGCUCCCCCUAAGUGAGAUUUUGAAAGACUUGUUAACUUCCCUUAAAUAAGUGUUCAUUUAAUUUUAAUCUCAAACAAAAUUUUAAACAAGACAGACAGAUUGAUUGGAUAAAUAAUUUAUGCCAAUACCAAUUACCAAUUACCAAUUAUCUCCCCUUUCAUCAUAAAAAAAAAAUAAGCUUGAGGAAUGACUUAUGUUUGGAAAAAUUUUGGCAGAAUCUCCCCUGAAAUAUGAGCAUAUCCUCAACAAUACAUAGAGUUAAAAAGAAAAACACUUCUAUAUAAAUAUGCCACCAUAUCAACCAACCUCCAUACCAACAAUUAAACACUUCCAUAAUUAGUAAGACAAACAAUAUAGUACCAAAACCAACUCAACCAGAAAUCAGGUGCACAUGUCCAAUAAAAAAUGUCAUAAAAACAUCAUAAGCAUAAGCAAAAGACAAAUGACAUCAUAAGCAGAAACAAAAGACAUGCAAUGAGAAAUGUCUGUGCGAAGAUCAGAGGAGCAUAAAAACUAAGAUGGGGGCUGUGAAGAGGAGCUGCCGGGGUCAUAACCAAAGUAGCCGAGAAUACGACGCUGGCCCGCAAGUAACUCCAUCUGCUGAUCUGAAAUUUGUUCCCGAAAGGUUGCAAAAUCCGAUUGAAGUUGCUGCUGCUGCUGGGACAGAGCAUCCACUCUGUCGAGAAGCUAUUGAAAGCGAUCCUCAGGAACAGCCGAUGCUGUAGGAGGGACGGCAGUCUUGGCAGGCUCGUCAUCCUGAGAUGAAGCUGCUGCUGGUGCAGUAGGUGCUACUGGUGCUGCUGCUCUGCGAGGGACACGCGGUCUAGCCCCAAGGCGAAAAUCAGGUAACUCAUCCUCGGAGUAGACGUCAUUUAACAUACGAUCAUCCUCUGGUGCAAGCAGUGUGUCUUCGUUCUUAGAGGAUAUGGUCUUUUCUAAUUUCCCACGCUUCUUAAAGAAUCCGAUUGAAGAAAUAAUUUCUCGUCCGAGCUUACGUGUCUCGAGAUAAACAGGCUCGACGAUAGGAACUCGAAAGUGUUUCAAGAUCCUAGUAAUGAUGCUACCAUAAGGAAGGGAUCGGUUGGAGACUUUAGGAGUGGACAACAUAUGACACAGGAUAGUGUAUGAUAAACUCACAUGCCGUCUACGGAUGAGGGAAUCUAAUAGACCAAUAUCAAGUCUAGUUACCUCAUCAGUGUGACCCUGUCUAGGAGUGACCAUGUGUUGGAGAAUGAUAUGAAGUAUUCGAACCUGAAAAAGGAGAAGUUGAGACCUAAAGAACAAAGAACAGAUGUCAUCGAAAAGAUCCCGACAACGACAAAUGUUCCGUACACCAUCCACAUGAUGGAAUUCACUAAAUGAGAUUUCUUUCCUAGCGGUGUACAGAUCUAACCCUCCAUAAGAGAUUCCUAGAAUACUACACAAUUCGGAUUCAUUAAAGGCAAUGCGAAUUCCUCCUACAGAUGUAUAAAGCUCGACACGACGAGUAGAAGAGAAUUCUAUGUUUGAAUAAAAGACACGGACUAGAUUUUCAUAAAUCGGUUCUUCGAUACUUAAUGCUUGCUUCUAAUGACUAAGCAUUUGAGUAAUGGAAUGACCACAAAUAGUAAUAUCCGAAAACUCUGAAAUGUUAAGAGAAAAAGAGGGAGUUACGGGUUUACCCAUGAAUUUUUCACGAAAUUGUUGAGCAGAGGUGUCAUCGGAAAAAUGGAGACUCUCGAAGUCUUGAGGGGGAGACCUGGGGGGACUAGAACGUCGCGGAGCAGUGUGCUUGGUUCGAGCACGCCUUUGUGGUCGUUCCGCCAUGGAUGAGUUGGGAGGAAAAUAGAUUGGUGGAAAUGAAGUUUGAGAGAUGAGACAGUGAUUGUGGGUGGAAAUGUAGUUGGAAAAGGAAGAAAUUUGGGUCAAAUUGAACAAAUGAGGUUCGGCUGGUUCUAAGGUUUCAAGAUGAGAUUUUUCAAAUUUUGAAGAAAAAGAAGGAUUUUAAUCGGUUAAAAAGUGGUAGAGAUGAUAAAGAUGGUUUGUAAUGCUGCAAUUUGGUGAAAAAUGACAAGAAAAAUGAUGGAUUUGAGAGGGGAGAACGGGUGCAGUCGCGGGUUGGAGUGAGAGAGAAAGAGAGAGAGAAAACGAAAUGAGGAGGAAGACGAAGGACUGUUCAAUUAAUGCGUCAUAACGGUGAGCCGUUAUAGAGAAAACGGCGAGCCGACAGAGUCCAGAGAGUUCUCUAAAAAUUUUCAUCAUACCGGCGAGCCGUUUAUAGACAUAACGGCAAGCCGAUAAGGUCCAGAGUGUCCCCUCAAAAUUUUGUAUCAGGACGGCGAACCGAUAGUUAGUUAUCGGCGAACCGAUAGCGUCCAGAAUACUUCCCAUUGUUUCUACCCCAAAACGGUUAGCCGUUUAUUGAAAUAACGGCAAUAUGUUUUCUAUAACUUAUGAUUUCGCACAUUUAUUUUGAUAUUUCGCUACUAUUAAUACAUUUCAAGAUCAUUUUAUUGAUCCAAAAUGAUUUAAGUGCCAGUUCAAUGCAUAAUUCGUGAACAUAUAUAUGUAUUGUAACAAUUAAUUCAUACAUUUUCAAAUAUACAUACACACCACAUGUAUAUUACGAUUGAGCAUUUCAUAGAUAGUAAAGUAUCAAGUCAUAAAUCAAUCAAUGAUAAUAGACUCAAUAGCAUGAAUAAAGAUGUUAAUGUGAAAAUUUCAUCAUCCCAAGUUCAUGUCGAAUUUUUGAAAAUUGUUCUUCGCAAAGAGGUUUUGUAAAAAUAUCGGCAAGUUGUUUUUCCGUAGAAAUAAACUCUAAUGCAAUAUCUCUCUUUUGAACAUGAUCUCUCAAGAAAUGAUGUCUUAUUUCUAUAUGCUUGGUUAGAGAGUGUUGAAUGUGAUUCUUUGAAAGAUUUAUAUCACUAGUAUUAUCACACUUAAUAUGAAUUUAUUCUAGGUUAAUACCAUAGUCUUUAAGUGUUUGUUUCAUCCAAAGAGCUUGUGCACAAUAGCUUCCUGCAGCUAUAUAUUCAGCCUCGGUAGUUGAGAGUGCAACAGAAUUUUGUUUCUUUCUAAACCAUGAAACAAGUGAGUGACCUAGGAUAUGGCAAGUUCCACUAGUGCUUUUUCUAUCAACUUUAUAACCAGCAAAGUCCGCAUCUAAAUAGCAUGUUAAAUCUAUAUGAGUUCCUCUAGGAUACCAAAAGCCAAUAUCUAUGGUUCCACUCAAAUAACGAAAUUUUUUUUUAACAGCAAGCAAAUGAGAUUCUUGGGACAUGAUUGAAAUCUUGCACACAAACAUACACUAAACAUGAUAUCGGGUCUACUUGUAGUCAAAUAAAGUAAAGAUCCGAUCAUACCUCGAUACAUUUUGAUAUCCACUUCUUUGUCCUUUUCAUCUUUGUCGAGCUUGGUUGUUGUACUCAUUGGUGUAUUUUUGGUCUUUGAGUCGUCAAUGCCGAAUCGUUUGAGUAGAUCUCUUACAUACUUGGCUUGAUUUAUGAAUAUUCCUUCCUCAUUUUGUUUUAUUUGCAGCCCAAUGAAGUACUUUAGCUCUCCCAUCAUACUCAUUUCAAAUUCAUUGCUCAUACGAGACGAAAACUCUUUGUACAACAAUUCAUUAGUAGAACAAAAAAUAAUAUCAUCAACAUAAAUUUGAACAACAAGUCUGUCUUUGUUCUUAUGUUUAACAAAGAGAGUGGUAUCCGCUUUACCCAUGGAAAAAUCAUUUUCUAACAGGAAAUUUUUAAGCCUAUCGUACCAUGCUCUAGGUGCUUGUUUUAAUCCAUACAAAGCUUUAAACAACUUAUACACAUGAUUUGGAAAUUUUUCAUUUUCAAAACCAGGGGGUUGUUUUACAUACACUUCUUCCAUAAUAUAACCAUUUAAGAAAGCACUUUUCACAUCCAUUUGAAAUCAAAUGAAAUCUUUAUGACAAGCAAAUGCCAACAACAUUCUAAUUGAUUCUAGUCUAGCUACGGGUGCAAAAGUUUCAUUAAAAUCAAUUCAUUCUUCUUGGUUGUAACCUUGAGCCACUAAUCUAGCUUUAUUUCUUACAACCACACCGGAUUCAUCCAUCUUAUUUCUAAAUACCAUUUAGUACCUAUGACAGAUUGAUGUUCCGGUUUAGGAACUAAUUCUCACACAUUAUUUCUUUCAAAUUGAUUUAACUCCUCUUGUAUUGCCAUAAUCCAAGAUUCAUCAUUUUCCGCAUCCGCAAAGGAUUUGGAUUCAAUUUGAGAGAUAAAUGCAUUAUGCUCACAAGUAUUCUUAAGAGAUGAUAUAGUUGUAACACCUCGUGAGAGAUCUCCUAAAAUUACAUCUUUAUGAUGAGAAGAGACAUACCUCCACUCCUUGGGGAGUGUUUGAGAAAUACCUUCUUGUUGUUCUAGCUCCGUAUUUGUUUGUUCUUCUUGUCUAUCCUCUUGAUUUUCUUGUGGUGCAUUCUCUUGAUUCUCUUUUGAUGAUUCUUUUUGUAACUCUCCAUCAGCAUCAUCAUUAGCAACUCCUUUCUCCGCAGAGGAGGGGUUAGAUUCAUCAAACGUAACAUGUAUGGAUUCUUCCACAACUAAAGUUCUUUUAUUAUAAAUUCUAUAAACUUUGCUUGAGUUUGAAUACCCGAGAAAGAUGCCAACAUCAGAUUUUGGAUCAAAUUUACUAAGAUUAUCUUUUGUGUUUAAAAUAAAACAUUUGCAUCCAAAAACUUUGAAAUAACCAAUGUUGGGUUUUCUAUCUUUCCAAAGCUCAUAGGGAGUUUUAUUGAGAUGAGGUCUAAUCAACACCUGAUUUAAAACAUAGCAAGCGGUGUUGACGGCUUCGGCUAAAAAAUAUUUAGGUAAUGCAUUUUCAUUUAACAUGGUCCUAUCCAUUUCUUGAAUAGACCGAUUCUUUCUCUCAACAACUUCAUUUUGUUGUGGAGUCCUAGGUGAUGAAAAUUGAUGCUCAAUGCCAAGAUUAUUGCAAAAAUUCUCAAAUGUAUAAUUUUCAAAUUCUCCUCCAUGAUCACUCCUAAUUCAUAUAAUACCAUACCCUUUUUUCAUUUUGUAAUUUCUUAUAAAGUACUUUAAAAGCAUCAAGAGCAUCAUCCUUAUUGGAUAAGAAUAGUACCCAUGUAUAUCUAGAAUAAUCAUCCACUAUCACAAAUGCAUAAUAUUUGCCAUUUAGACUAGCAUAUCUAGAUGGCCCAAAUAGAUCUAUGUGAAGGAGUUCAAGUGGUUUUGAAGUAGAAAUAUGGUUUUUAUUUUUGAAAGAAGUUUUGAUUUGUUUUCCAAAUUGACAAGCUUCACAAAUCUUAUCCUUUUGAAAAAUAAUUUUCGGAAGACCUUUAACUAAAUCAUUUUUCGAAAUUUUUGAAAUCAAAUCCAUACUUGCAUGUCCUAACCUUCUAUGCCAUAGCCAACUAUCAUCAUGUAAUGCGGAAAAACAUUUAUCAAUAGUAGAUGCACAUUCUAUGUCAACGAUAUAAACAUUACCACAUCUAUUACCAAUAAAAAAAAUUUUGCCAUCACAUGAGUUCUCAAUAACACAACUAAAUUUAUCAAAGAUAAUUUUAUAACCUUUGUCACAUAAUUGACUAAUGCUAAUUAAGUUGUGUUUCAAGUUCUCAACCAAACAUACAUUCUCAAUUAGAGUUGAAGAGACUUUACCAACAUUUCCAAUUCCAAGAAUUUUUCAUUUUGAGUUGUCUCCAAAUGAUACGUCUCCACCAUCUUCAAUUUUGGUGAAGCUUGAGAACCAUGCAUAGUUUCCGGUCAUGUGCCUUGAACAACCGCUGUCCAAAUACCAUUUAUUUUUCUUCUUCUUUAAGCCCUACAAAGAAAAUCUUAAGUUUUAGGUACCCAAAACUUUUUGGGUCCUUGAGAGUUAGCAACGGUUCCUUUUGGAACCCAAAUACAUUUGACACCAUAAUAUGCAUUCCUUUUCACGGGAUAUCUAUAUUUCAUGUGACCAUUUUGAUUACAAUAAUGACAGACAAUCUUAUGAUCACUUAUGGAGGUAGCUUUAACAAAAUAAUUCUUAUAAUACUUUUGCUUCAAGUUAGGCUUAUAUCCAAGUCCUCCUUUAUCAAAAACACAUUUUUGUGAGUUAAGCAUAUUAUCCAACAUCUUUUGCCCAUUUGUAAAUUUCAAAACAAUUUUAUUCAACUCAUUGCUCUUUUUCUUGAGCAUUUCGUUUUCAUUUUUCAAAUCAUCUAUGUGUGAUUCUAAAUGCUCAUGUAAGAUACUAGGUUUCUCAUUUGAUAAUACAAUUUCAUUAUGCAAUGUUUUGUUCUCUACUUCUAGGCAUGCAAUUUUUGCAUUUAAAGAUUCAUUUUCAUUUUUAACUUUUGCCAUUUCCUUUUUAAGACAUACAUUCUUUUUACCAAUCUUCAUCAACUCAUUAUGCAAUUCUUUAAAAGCAUCAUACAAUUCAUCAUAGGUGGGAUCACUUACCUCAUUGAGAUUAUCAUCCUCUCCUAUUGCCAUAAGCGCUAGGUUUGAUACUUCUUGCAAUCCUUCGUCAUCACUUGAAUCUUCCUCGCUGUCAUCAUACGUUGCAACCAUGGCUUUCUUCUUGAGUUUGUUGAUAAGUGGGCACUCCGAUCUUAUAUGGCCAGACUUCUUGCACUCAUAGCAUGUGAUCAUCUCUUUCUUCUCCCUUUGGUUCUUGAAGUUUCUGAAUUUUCUUCGCUCUCCAGUUUUCUUAAAAAACUUUCUGAAUCUCCUUGCUAGCAUGACUAACUCUUCAUCAUCCGGUUCACUACCUCCAUCACUCUCAUAUUUUGAAGUUUUGAGAGCAAUGCUUUUCUUCUUCUCCUCAUCACAUUUUUCUGCUGCCAAGUCUUCUUCAUAUGAAAUAAGAGAACCAAUUAAAUCAUCAAGAGGUAAAGUAUUUAAAUUUUUGGCCUCUUCAAUGGCAGUUCUUUUAGGUCUCCAUUCUUUUGGAAGUGACCUAAUGAUUUUCUUAACUUUCUCAUUAUUUUAGAAGGUCUUCCCUGAGGCACCUAGAGUGUUCACUAUGUCCGUGAAUCUAGUAUACAUAUAAUACACAUUUUCAUUUUGUUCCAUUUGGAACAACUCAUAUUGACGAGUGUAUCUACUAAUUUUAGACUCUUUAACUUGAUUUGUCCCUUCAUAAACAACUUCAAGUUUAUUCCAUAUUUCUUGUGCACUUUCACAACUAGAUACUCUAUGGAAUUCUUUCUUAUCAAGGGCACAAAAUAAAGCAUUCAAAGCCUUGGAGUUUAGAGACAUUUUUCUCUUUUCUAACUCACUCCAUUGACUUGAUGGUUUAUGAAUAUCAUCUCCUACUUCAUCUUUAAACAUAGGCAUGAAUGGACCAUCAUAAACAACUUCCUAAAAUUCAUAAUCUAAGGCUUGCAAAUAGAUUCUCAUCCUAGUUUUCCAAUAAGCAUAGUCAUUACCAUCAAAGAACGGUGGUCUAGUUGUAGAUUGCCCUUCUCUAAAGGUUGAGUCAUUUAGGGUUGCCAUGGAUCUUUUGCUCUAGACGAUUAAGUCCUAACAAGAGAACAAGGCUCUGAUACCAAAUGAAAUACUAGUUAUGCAACCCAAGAGGGGGGUGAAUUGGAAUUCUAAAAAAUUAUUCAAUUUUUAAUUUAAAGCUUAAUGUAGAUAUGAAACAAAUUCAAAGCAAUAACAAAUAAGUUAACCACAAUAAAAAGGAUAAAGGAAGAGAGAUUCAAACACUGAGAUUUUUACGCGGUUCGGCCAACCUUGCCUACGUCCACGCCUCCAAGCUUUCCGAGCUUGAGGAUUCCACUAAGCAAGCCUCCAAGGCUUCAAAUGCUUACACUUGACUUCGAAGGUGUCAAUGACCUUUACAACAAGAGAUUAUCCCAAUCUCUUAACCCAAGUGUAUCCCAACACUUACAAUCACUCAAAGAUAAAAGAUUAAAAACUUGUUUUGCCUCUCACAAUAUUUAAGAUGACAAAAUAAUACCCAAUAUGUGAAUAGAUGAAGUAAGAAUGUAUUUAAAGCUUAAUGAAGAUUGUAUUAUCAAGUAUAAGCUCAGUAGUCGUGUUGUGAUUAAUCCUUGUUUAAGUUUGAAUGAGCUCAUUUAUAGCUGCAGCUGAAAACUAGCCAUUAUUGACUUUCUGCACACUGUCGGAUCGCCGUUAGCUAGAUGUCAGAUCGUCGUUUGACUGGUUAAUAUGACCGUUGGGCUAAUUUUUCAAAUUGUCGGAUUACCGUUAUCUAGAUGUCGGAUCACCGUUUAGGUCCAGAGGCUAACCUUCAGUUCUGUUUGAUCUCGGCGAGCCGUUUAUUAAACUUGUCGGAUCACCGUUUAGGUCCAGAGGCUAACCUUUAAUUCUGAUUGAUCUCGGCGAGCCGUUUAUCAAAAUUUUUGGUUCGCCGUUUAGGUCCAGAGACUAAUCUUUAUUUCUGUUUGGUAUCGGUGAGCCGUUUAUUAAACUUGUCGGAUCGCCGUUUUCCACAAAAACUGCUGCAUUGAACUAUUUUGCAAGACAAUUGUUUUGUAUGUAAAUCUUUAUAAAAAUACUUUAUGAAACUUGUCAAAAUAGAUGAAAAUUAUGUUGAGCUUUUAAAAGAUUAAUCAAUCUUAAUCAUGUUUGUUAUCAUCAAAAUCAAUAAGGAAUUAUUUAUGUUAACAAAUCACAUUGUGCCAGAAGCAAUACAAGCUCAAAGCAUAACAGCACGAAAAUUGCAAAGAGGGAAAAUCAAAGUGUAAUAGAGCAUAAAUUGUAAAGAGAAAAGCCGAGACUCACAAAUAUUCACAGUGGCAGCUGAAGUAUAUGCUGAUGAACACAGAACACAGCCGCGACGGAGUGAGAGAUCAGACGAGUGAUGCUGAUGAGUGAUGAAACGAACAAAGCCUCACCGUGAAGGUGAUGACAAGCCACGCCGCAAAGGAUCUGAUCUGAUCUGAAGAAGAGAUUACAUGAGAGUUGCAGAGAGAGUGAGAGAGAUUAAGUGACGAUGGAGGACUGAGGAAUGAGUCACGGCUCACGGGUGAGAGAGAUUGAGAGAGGAACAAAUUACGGAUGAGACUUGAGAGAUUGAGAGGAGAAAUUACAGAUUUACAGUAAUUGUUUUUAAGUUAAAAGAGAAAUUUCGAGAGAGGAUCAGAGGAACGAGAGAGAUCUAUGGUUCACUUUUGUUUUUUUUUUAAUUUUUCUAUUUAUAUUUACGGAUUUACGGAUCAAAAUUAAUAUUAAAAUAAAUAAUAUUCGAGUCUGGGUUCCGAAUUUGGGGGUUCACCUGAAGCUAGAUCCGGACCCGAAAAAUGCGGGUUGUCAAAAACUGAUCCGGAUUCGGAUAAAAACUAUUUCGGUGCGGGUCGAACCUGGACCAGAAUUUUUGGAUUCAAUCCGAGUCCGAUCCGGGUUCGGGUUUGGUUGCCAUCCCUAGUUGUACCUUACCACAACCCUUGUCUUUUAUCAAAUAGUUAAUGUAAAAUUUCAUUGAACCCUUUAUACUUUAUUUUAUUUAUAAUUAUUUUGUAAGUAUUGAAAAGAAAAAAUUAUCCUCAAAUUUUAUCUUCAAUAUAUUUUUUUCCCGUUUCUUCUUCUGCUCUCUCACUUUCUCUCUGUAAUGGGUUUAAUGAUGGCUUCAAUAUUGGUCAAGAUUGCUGACCGAUUUGUGGAUAAUUAGUUGUAGGUCAUUGAUUGUUUGUGUGAUGGUUCUCGUGGUGGAAAAUAUAGGCAUCAAAACAAAAUCCUCAAUUUGAUCUGAGAAGCCGAAGUGAGAGUGAGAGAAAGCGAAAUGGCGAUGGCAAGGUGAGCUCAAGCCUUGCUUAUCCAGAGUGAUUAUGUGUUGCAGCUUCAAAUUGUGGCUUCGAUGGAUCUCCGAUUUCCUCUGUCUGUCAUGGUGGGGUUGUGGUGCAGCUGACGUGAUGUUGUUUCGAGAGAGGAAAGAUAAGGCUGACAUGGGUCAAAGUUGUCGGUCGUGGUGCGACUGUGCUAUCUUGCCGACGUGGAGCAGUGUGGUGGCAACCGGUAACAGGUAGCUUCACAAUAUGGGUAUUUGGGUUGAGAGCAGACUGGAGAGAUGAAGCCAUAAUGGUUUCUUUUGAAUUUGAUUUUGGAUUGAUUUUGUUUGGAUGUCACGUGUGUGGGUAUUUGGGUUAUUUUCAUUUAGUGUUGGUUUUUUUUUAAUUAUAAGUUAUGAAUAGAUCGAUUUUGUAAUUAACCACUAGAAUCCCUACUCGUAUUGUUGAAAAUUUUGUUGAUGAUGAGUUUUUUUUUUUAAACCAACAAAUACUUCAAUUCCAUUCAAGAUGGAAACUCUACUCAGUAUCAGUAACUGGGCACAAAAUGGAAAAUCUCAAAAAAAAGGGAUAAGAUUUUAAUAUUCCACAAGCUAAAACAAAGGUACCAAAAUCAGUUGCAUAUCUUCUUUCAAAUCAUUAAUGACCCAAUUCCCAGGUAAUUCAGAGGUAGAAUAUCUACUUGCUGCGCUUGGCUGCACGCUUCCCUUGGCCUUUCUCGGGAGGUCCCUUUCCACAACGUUUCAACAUUUCAAGCUUGGGUAAGCGCUCUUGUUCUUGGCGGGCCAUGACGAGAACUUACCAUCAAUGAGCUUCUUCCACAAAAUCUUGUUGGGUGAUCUCUGGCCAGUGGGAUUAAGUACAUACCCAAAUAUCUUAGCCCUCACCUCAGUUAGCCUUGUGGUCACUAUUGUGGCCAAAAUGUUCUUAAGCCUCUCUCAUGUAGCCAUCAUCACUCGCAACUCUACCUGAUUAGCUCUGUUGAUAAUGAGUUAACUUUGUCAAUGAUCAGUGAUGAGAGAUGAGUUAAUCUUAAUUUCUACAAAAUUUUUUAAUGCUAAUCUAAGGAUAUUUUUGUCUUUUCAUUAAUAUUAAUGUGUUAUGAUUAUUAAUGUAGCGUGGUUGAAAAUAAAAACUCAUUUAAUACUUAUAAAUAAAUAAAUAAAUAAAGUGUAAGGUGAUAAAUUAAAUUUUGAUAAUGUAGGUAAGUAUAAAGUAUUAUAAUAUUUUAUGAUAAAUUAUAAAUAAAAUAGAGUGUAAGGGAUUCAAUGAAAUUUUACAUUAAUUAAUUCACAAAAGACAAAGACUGUGGUAAGGUACAACCGUGGCAACAUAGGCAGACCCUAAAAACAAAUCAUUAUUUUUUUUUUUGAAAGGAAACUUCCAUUAAAUCGAAGAGGAAAAUAGAUACAUCAAUUGUGAAGGGUAAGAACCCAUCCAAACAACAUUUUCACAUUUCUCUAAUGCUAACUUAGCUAGAAAGUGGGCAAUGACAUUACGAGAUCUAUGAGUAUAAUUAAUGCUAACUAGCUCAAAGUUCCUCAUUAAGUUUUGAAUCUCCGAAAUUAUCCAAAAGAUCUCAGACUUGCCGCCUUGCUUGUUGUUAACUAACUUGACUACGCUUUGAGCGUCUGAUUCAACAAUUAAAGCCUUUGCACUUGCAUUCCUAGCAAUCUGUAAUCCCCAUUCCAAGGCUUCUGCUUCAGCAAAGGAAACAUCUCCAUAAAAUUUCGAAAUCUUGAUUGCAGCUGCUAUGACAUUCCCCCGAUCAUCUCGGAUUAUAGCUCCCAGCCCUGCAAGAUGCUUUUCUGAGCUUGUAGCAGCAUCCACAUUGACUUUAACAGAUCCACUUUGGGGGGGAUUCCAAAUCUGCUGAGUCUGCACCUGCUGACUUUCCUUUCGAGCUUGCUCUGGUUUUUGAACUCUUUUGUAAGCCUCCAUUACUGCUUCAGCUUUAGCAACCAGAGUCUAGGGGUUCUCUCUUUUUCCUUUAAAAAGCAUCUCAUUUCUUGCAUUCCACACCAUCCAACAAAUCAUAACCAUUAGUUCUAAAUCAGCUUUGUUUCUUCUGCUGUACAUUUCAUGCAGCAAACUCAAAAAAUCCUGCCCAGCAGUUUGCAUGAUGUCAUUCUCUAAUAGAGUGAGUCUCCAUAUUUUCCUUGCAGCUUUACACUCUACCAAUGCAUGAAACACAUUCUCCACUCCGAGCUUGCAUACUUGGCAGGUAGGCUCUUGGAUAACUUUUCUCUUCCAUAAAUUUUCAGCAGAUGAGAGAAUAUUCUUGGCUGCCCUCCAAGCAAAAAUUCUGAUUUUCUCAGGUAAAGCAAGAGUCCAUAUGAUAUUCCAUUGAUUUUUUCCUGACAUUGAACUUGAAGGCAUGGCUGGAAGUUUAAGACUAAGGGCUGUUUGAUUGCCACUCUUGACCGAGUAGAGACCUUUCUUGUCAUAAUGACAGGUGAUUGUAUCUUCUUUUGGGCUUCAAGGCAAAGGGAUUUCAAUAAUUUUAUCAGCAUCCAUUCUAUUGAAAUGCCUGUAUAUCAGGCUCUCAUUCCACUGGUUUUCUUCAUUUAUCAGCUCAGCAACCAAUGUAUCUUCUGGCAAAGAUGGCCUAACUAUUGGCUUGAAGGUUGACAGCUUCAGGAUCCAGUUAUCUUUGUGAAUUUGGAUUUUUUGGCCAUCUCCAAUUCUCCACCUUGCACCAGAACUGAGAUUCUGUCUUCCUCAUAGGAUGCUUCUCCAUACAAAUGAUAGUGUGGACCCGAGCUUAGCCUUCAUGAAGUCUUUAUUUUGGAAAUACCUAGCUUGUAGAACCUUUGCCACUAAUGAAUCCGAGAAUUGUAAUAUCAUCCACCCUUGCUUAGCCACUAGAGCUUGGUUGAAACUUGAAAAGUCUCGGAAACCCAUGCCUCUUUUACAUUUGGCCUGACUCAGCUUCUCCCACUUCGACCAGUGGAUGCUUCUUUUGUCGCUCUUUGAUCCCCACUAAAAGUCAGCCACAGUUUUUUGGAUAUCAUUGCAAACACUCAUUGGGAUCUUGAAUACACUCAUGGCAUAGGCUGGAAUGGCUUGCGCUGCAGCUUUGAUUAAAACGUCUUUGCCCCCACAUGAGAAGAAUUUGUGCUGCCAGCUGGAGAUUUUGUUAAAGACUUUCAGUUUGAUGUCAUUAAAGAAGUUGCUCAUUUUUCUUCCUAUCAUAGCUGGUAAGUCUAGAUACUUCUCGUGCCUUGAGCCAAUAUUAAGCUGAAAAAUCUGUCCAAUUACAGUGGCUCGAUCAUGCUGGACAUUGCCACUCAGGAACAGAGAUGAUUUCUCAAAAUUAAAAAUUUGCCCGAAAGCUGCUGAGUAGCAAUCAAGUAUCUUUUUCAGGUUCCCACAAUCGGCCAUUGAAGCUCGGCUAAAUAUAAGGCUAUCAUCAACGAACAAGAGGUGGGAAAUGUUCAACUCCUUUCUAAAAGACAGCCCAUGGAUGAGUUUCUGUUGUUCGGCCUGCAGCAACAAAGAGGAAAAGACCUCUGCACAAGUAAUAAACAAGUAAGGGGACAGGGGGCACCCUUGCCGUAAACCUCUCUGGGGCUUUAUUAAUCCUCUGACCGAGCCAUUUAUAAUCAAAGAGAAAGAAACAUAGCUUAUACACUUCAUGACCAAGCAAAUCCAGUUUUGAGAAAACCUCAUACAUUUCAUAGUUUGCUCAAUAAAACUCCAUUCCAAUCUGUCGUAAGCCUUACUAACAUCAAGUUUCAAUGCCACUAACCCAUUUUUUCUCCCUUUGCAGUGCCUUAUUUUAUGUAAACAUUCAUAUCCUACAAUAACAUUGUCGGUUAUCAAUCUAUCAGGUAUAAAAGCACUUUGAAUUGGAGAGAUGAUUUGGUGCAGAAUUUGUUUGAAUCUGUUGGCAACUGACUUAGCCAUUAUCCUAUAGAUAACAUUGCAAAGGCUGAUAAGCCUAAAGUCUGUAACUUUUCUAGGUUUCCCCUUCUUAGGAAUCAUGGCUAUGUAAUUAUAAUUAAGGGGGGCUAGAGUACCUUGAUUGUUUAAGAUGUGAAGACAGGUAGUAAGAACUCCCUCUUUGACCUCAUUCCAGUGCUUUUGGUAAAAAGCUGUUGGUAGCCCAUCGGGCCCCGGUGCCUUGGUUGGGCACAUUUGAUUUAAGGCUUCAGUCACUUCCUCCGCUUUAAAAGGUUUCUCUAACGACUCAUUCAUGUCCUCGGAUACUCUCGGGGUGAUACCUUUUAGCGCUGCUUUCAUCUGGUUUUGACUUGGCUUGGUUGUUGUAAAUAGCUUUGUGAAAUAGUUGCAGAAUUCAGCCUCCACAUCUCUGGCUUUCUUUAACCAAUCCCCUGAGCUAUUUUCAAUCCCCCAAAUUCUGUUCUUUUUCUUUCUAUUCGACACUUUAUGAUGGAAGAACUUUGUGUUCUUGUCCCCUUCCUUGAGCCAAUCUGCUCUUGAGCGUUGCUUCUAGUAAAUCUCCUCAUCAAUGAUGAUAUUUAUAAUCUGAUUUUCCACCAUUUUAAUCUUUUCUCCAGAUUCGUACUGCACCCCUCUCUGCUUCCAUCCUUGAAGCUGCUUUUGUAACUGCUCUAGCUGUUUUUCCCUUCCUUUGAAUUCCCUCUUGCUCUAGUUUAGAAGUCUAGCCAUUGAUUCUUUAGCAAUCUUUCGAAACAAAUAAACUGGAUUGCCACUCUGCCAAUUGCUAUUCAAGCUCCAUUCCUCGUUAACUAUCUCCUUACAAGCCUCAUACGGACUCCACAUAUCCUCAUAAUGAAUUCGUGAGGAUUGUCUCCUACUCGCAGCCAUUUCCUCUCCCCUCUCUUGAACCAUCAUCAGCACUGGACAAUGGUCUGAGGUCCAUGUGUUCAGGUUGAUUACUGCAUCAUUGACAAAAAUAUCACACCAGGCUCUGUUGCAAACAAAACGGUCCAACCUUUCCUCUAUAAAUCUCUGUCCAAACCUCCCAUUACUCCAAGUAAAAGGGUAACCCUUAUACCCUACAUAUGCUAAUUCACAAUCUCUCAAAGCCUGCCUGAAGCUAUUAAUUAAGUUGACAUUUCUCUCAUUGCCUCCGCUCUUCUCAUGAGGAUGCAGAAUUUCAUUGAAGUCUUCGAAACAUAACCAAGGACUAGGAGACAAACCUACCAACCUUCUCAAAAGUGACCAUGUAUGUUGUUUCUGCCCCAUUUCCGGAUGCCCGUACACCCCUGUGCAUCACAUUUGCCUCCCAUUGGCCAUCUGAACUUCAGCAUCUAUGUGAUGCUUGCUGAACGAUUUAAUUUGUACACAAGUUUCUUCAUUCAAAGCAAAGAUAAACCCCCUCCCCUUCCACUACAGCUCACGGCAAAACAAUUAUCAAAUUUUAACUUUUUUCCAGUCACAUUCAUUUGCGUGGUUGACAGCUUGGUUUCACACAAAAAUACCAGUUGAUGACCAUGCAUAUGGAGGAUUUGUUUAAGUACUAGAAACGCUCGGGGAUUCCCCAAACCCCAAACGUUCCAUGAGAUGAUCUUCAUGGCUUUCGGCGGGGCUGGCUUCCAGCCUCCGCCGAUAUCUCUGCUAUGGUUGAAUCCAUGUCCACCAUAUUUUCCAACAUCAAUGGUUCCCAGCUCAAUUUAACUUUUGCCGCUGGAGAAUGGUGCCCCUGCUUCUUUGUUUCUGAUUUAAUUGGACUAGAGAGCUUUGCUUUCUUUUUCGGGCUUUGUCCCAUUGCCUCUCUACUUGUUCGUUUAUGAGCUCCCAGCCCCAUUUUGGAUUCUCUUCCAUUUGGCUCUCUAGCUCGUCUCUUCCAUUUUCUUUUUGUGGGCCUUGCUUGAGUAAUUUCCGGCCCAUUAUCUAUUUUAGCUUCCUCCAUUUCUUUCAAAUUUGUCUUGAACUUUUCCCUCUCUUUCUCCAUCCCAUCUCCUGCCAAUAUUCCCCCUUCUCUAGGAAUUAUUUCAUUGCUGAUAUUCCCACCUUGCUUUUUGCCGCCCAUUUGCUUUUCUUUCAUCGAUUCUACCACUCCUUUCAUUAAAUUCUGCUCACCUACUCCUUCCACCUCAUCAAUCUUGGUAGUCUCCAUGGUUUGACCCGUUUUUUCGCUUAUGGGUUCUGACCCACUUGUUCUAAUCGGGUUGUCCUGGCUUUGUUGUUGUUGUUGCCGGUGGAUUCUGUUAUGCUCUGAACUUUCUUAUUUUUCUUUUGAUCUACUCCCUUCAUAAUUCCAUCUCUCAUUGUUGCGAUUCUUCCUUGAACGACCUCCUACGAUAAUUGCUUUCAUCCACCCACCGUAUGGUAGUUGCUCUUUUUGCUGUCCCUGAAAUUUGGCACACUCUUUGUAUUGAUGCCCAAUGAUGCCACAACAAUAACAGAAAUCUAGUAGUCGCUCAUAGACCACUAGCAUUGGAAUGUCUGAUUCACCUUCUUGUUUAAGGAAGAGUAUUUUCUUCAACGGCAGUGUUAUAUUGAUUAAUACCCUUAUUCUCGCAAAUUCGCCAAGGCAUUCUCCAUUUUCAUCUGUCUCAAUCUCCUCCACUGCCCUAAUCAUUCCUCCCAAUUCUUGGAGCAAUUCUUUCUCCAUGCAUACAAUCGGGACGUUGCGAAUCUGUAUCCAAAAGGUUGUGUGGAUAAAGUAUUGCUUUGUCAGCUCCCCUAUUCCUUUUGGUUCAGUAAGAACAAUUAAUGCUCUAUCAAAAUGCCAAGGACCUCCUGUUAAUACUCUUUUUUUAUCCGCUUCUUCUGUAAAUUUAAACAUAAAGCAAUUGUUCCCUAAGCUUUCAAUUUUAACCUCUUUUACAGUUCGCCACACUUGCUGCAAUGCACUCUUAAAUCCCUCCUUGUUGACUGCUCUUGUGAGGAGGACUUUGCCCACUAAGCAUCUUGCCAACAUUUUCCCCCUUGUGGCUUUCAUGUUCACCUCUAGUGACAUAUUGGUUUUGUCUUCCUCUCUUAUAGUUAUUGCGUUGCAUUUACGGAUUAGCUCGUCUGUAUCCAUGGCACCACAGGCUACAUGAUAUGGAUACAAUAGUGCCCCAUGUAUGACCCCUUGCCUUCUCUGCUCUCCCCAACUCUGAUUAGUAUAAUACUCAAACAAUCACCGAGAAUAAGGAAACGCUAAAGCUAAAAGAAAAACUUAACCCUGAAAGCACUCACUUCGGAGUGACCAUUGAGUCAUUAAGACCCUUUAAAGCUUCCAUUCCAGCUUCUCUGUCAUAGAGAGAGCGUUUGAAAGAAUAUUGUGCAAUUUAGUAACAAAAACAAAUCAUUAUUGAGUGUGAACAGACUUAUUGAUCACCCAAUUUUCAAACUUGUCAUCCUUAUUGAAUAUGCAUUCCCUUUUAAAAAAUUUUAAAAAAGGUACAAAUAAUGAAACAAAGUUUUGUUCCUUCAACAGUUGAUAGAGUUACGCAGCUUCAACUUGCAAGUGCUGUCGGCAUUUUCAAACUUGUAAGACCCUUCAACUUGCUUUCCUAGAUAGCUAUAAUUAAUAAUGACAACAGUCUCCCUUAUAGUGGCUAGUGAGCAACUUGUUUCGUGAAAUUAACGGUAUCUUCUCUCACAUUUUUUAAAAAAUUGAAUUAUAUAACCCACCAAAACUAUAAAGAAUUGUUAGUUUUUCUUCAUUAAAAUUAAUAUAUUGCUCCUCAUAUUGCAAAAUCAAAAUUCAGAAUAAGAAUGAUUGAUACUGUUUAUUUAUUAAAAUGAAAAUAAAAUAUAUGAAGCCUACAUAUUUUUGAAAUUAGAAAACAAGAACUUUAUUUUCCAUGGGGAGUGUUGGGAAUCAAGUUCUCAUUAUUUAAACUCUCAAUUGUACCUCACCGAAAUUUCAUAAUUUCACUUUUGUUCGCAAUUAAAAUAUUAUUAUAGUUAUUAUUCUUAUUUUUAUAGUUGUUGUUGUUGAUGAUGAUGAUGAUGAUGAUGAUGAUACAAGAUAAUAAAAUUAAUGAUAAUUAAACCAAUUUGAAUUUAGAGUGAGUGAGUACUAGGGGUGUUCAGAAUCCAAUCCGAUUCGCUCAAUCCGUCCGAUCUGCUCAAUCUGAUUCGUAUAAAUCCAAUCCGUGGAUUGGUGGAUUGGAUAUGGAUUGAAAAUUUAAAAAUCCGCAGUCGAUGGAUUGGAUAUGGAUUUACUUAUGUAAAUCCGCAGAAACCGUGAAUCCGCAAAAUAUAUAUAUAUAUAUAUAUAAUUAAAAAAUUAUUAUAAAUUUAAUUUUAAAAAAAUUAUAAAUGUGACAUUACAUAGUUACAUAAGCACUAUAACAUAUCUUAGCCAUUACUCAAUAAUAAUAUAAAAUGAAAAAUAAUUAAAUAAUCAAAUAUACAAAUAUAACUUGUAAAAAUUAUAAAACAAAAUAAAAGUAAAGUCACACGCACUAGCAAAAGCAAAGUAACAUAACGCCAAGUCACCAACAAUUUACAAAGUCACUCAAAAGCAAAGUAACAUGACGUUAAGUCACCAAUAAUUUGCAAACAAAAAACCCUAAGCUUCCCCGCCGUCACACACACUAGCAACACUCAAUACUGGUUGGAUACACUCUCGACACGGAUUUGAAGGACAUCGGCCGCGCGAUUCCGGCGAGAGCAAUCCAAUUUCUUUCCCAAGUCCAUUGAGCCACUUCACAUUCACUGGUUCCAGCUGAAUAAUUUCACUAUCACAACCUUCAAGAUCGCCACCCGUACAGCUUCUCCUGGUUCCCAUCGUGGACGGCUCCGUAAUCACCACUUUUCGACAGGCGCAACAGCCCUGGUGAAGGAUCAGACUGUGUUUGGUUUCCGAAACUUCACCAUUUCAAUUAAUUGUGGCUCUAUUUGAACAAUUAAUUUCGGUGUUAUAUUAACGUAUUAUUGUAACUUUAUUUGAACAAUUAAAUUUGGUGUGUUAUAUUUUGAAACUUUGAACGUAUUAUUAUAGCUUUAUUUGAAUAAUUAGUCUCGAUGUGUUAUAUUUUCAAACUUUAAAUGUAUUAUUUUAGCUUUAUUUAAAUAAUUUAUUUAUUUAAAUUUUAUUCAAUUUUAAAUUUAAUUGGUAGCAAAAUUAUUUUUAUAUUAUAUAUUUUUUUAUUUCAUUAGUUGGAGAGAACUAAAAAUUUUUAAUUCGAAAACUAAUGCGCAAAAUGGUGGAUUGGAUAUGGAUUUAGUCAAAUCCGCAUUCGAUCCGCAGACGUAUGGAUUGGAUAUGGAUUAAGUCAAAUCCGCAUCCGAUCCGCAGAUGUAUGGAUUGGAUUUGGAUUGAAUUUUAUCAAUCUGUGGAUUGGAUUGGAUUGGAUUGGAUUGAAAAAUUAUAAUCCGCAAAAUCAUGGAUCGGAUAUGGAUUGAUGUCCAAUCCGUUAAAUCCGAUCCGCGAACACCCCUAGUGAGUACCAUGAGUUCGCAUCAUUUGAUAUCAAAUGAGCAUCAUUACUAACUAAUAUAGGUUCGAUCGAAUUCAUCAUACGAAGUAUAUUAUCGGCUGUAGGUAUGGAAAUAAUUUUGUAUCCACAAACACUAUUUUUCAAAAUAUUUUAAGACUUAACUUAGCAUUUUUUAACCAUACAUGUAUAGGUUGUUUGACCUAUUUUAAAUAAUGGAGAUUACAACAAAUGAACAGAUGUGGAUUAGUAGUGUUGUUGAGUUCAAAAGAUUGAAGUUAAGAAAAGGGUUUCUUGAUCCAGAGAAAAUUCAAAAGAGCGAAGUGUCUUCGAGAUCAGAAGACGAAAUAAGGAAAGGGUAAGGUUUAUACUUUCAAAAUGAAUAUGUUGACAGAUCUUUGAAGAUUAUUUUCAUUAACAGUUGGAUCCCACACUUGAGUCUUUGUAGUCUCAGUCAGUCAGCUAUAAAGAUAAAUUAAUUUUGAGCGUGAAAGGGCUCAAUUGAUCACCAAAUUUUCGAACUUAUGAUCCUUAUUGAAUCUGCAUUCCCAUUUGAAAAACAAAAAAAAGAUUAACAUUAAUUUAACUUCAUCUAGAUUCCCAUUUGAAUCUGCAUUCUCAUUCCGUUCUUUGGGAAUGCGCAUAAUCAAACAAAAUCAUGUCCGCAUUUUCAAACUUGUGACCCUUCAAGCUUUCUAUAACAGCUAUAAUGAAUAAUUACAACAGUGCUACGUAAUAGUGAGCAACUUGUUUGAUGAAAUUAACAGCUUCUGUUCUCUCAUGUAUUUUUAAAAAAUUGAAUUAUCAAAGUUUUUAUUUCAAAAUUAGUGCUAUAGUUCAUUAACUUUUCAAAUUUUCUUUUUUCUUUCCACACAACAAAUUGAUUUUCCCUCCAAAAAAUGUAUUAAAUUGUUUAAUAUUGUAACUUCAAAAACUUAUAAUGAAUUUUUAAAGAGAUAAAUAGAGAAUGUCAAUCUCCCAUCUACUCAAAAUUAAUAUAUAUCAUUAACUCCUGAUUAUUUUUAUAACAACUAAUAACUUUCUGGGUAGCAUAAUUUUACAGUAUCAUCCUUGUUUGUAAGUAUAUUUUUAUUCACAUUUAUUAUAAAUUAAUUAAAUCAUAUCAAUGAAAAUUGAAAUAAAAAUUGAAGUACUAAAAAAAAUGUUUUGGUGUGAAUAAAAAAUUGAAAAUAAAAAUAUUUUUCUUAUAUUUUUUAUUUUUAAAUGUUUUUCUUUUAAUAAAUAUAUAUUUUAUAUUCUCAAAUUGAAUUAUUGAGUAAAUGACUCAUUUAUUCACUUUUUCUUUUAAUUUUUGUUAUUAGGAGGAUUUUUAGAUAUAAUGAAAAUUGUAAGGUAGUAAGUAAUAUAUAAUAAUUUUAAUAGAGAAAAAUAAAAAAUCUGUUAUUUUAAAAUAUAAAGAGAAAAAUAAUUAAUUUCAAAACAUUUUAGAAGAUAUUUCAAUAUGCGGUGGACCACAAACUCGAGUCUUUGUCAUCUCAGUCAACUAAAAGGACAUAUGCUAUAAUGUCCCUCUUCCCUCACAUAUUAAACCAAUGUGAUCUCAGAGUGAGUUUGCAUCGAAGGAGUAUCCUUACUAACUAAUAUAGGCUCGAUCAAUAGAGAUGACAAUAAUUUUUUUUAUCUACGAACAUUAUUUUUUCAAAAUAUUAUAUCUUUAGACUUAACUAAAUAUUUUUUUCACCAUGUAUGUAUAGUUUGUUUGAUCUCUUUUAAAUAGUGGAGAUCACAACAAAACAAAUGCGAAUUAGUAGUGAUGGUGAGUUCAGAAGAUUGAAGUUAAGAAAAUUAAGGGUUUCUUGAUCCGGAGAAAUUUCAAAAGAAUGAAGCGUCUUCGAAAUCAAAAGACAAAAAUAAAGAAAGGGUAAUGGUGUAAUUUUGAAAGUGAAUUUAUUGAGAGAUCUUUGAAGAUUUACUUCCGUUAAGACUUAGAUCCCGCACUCCUAAGCCUUUGUCGGCCCAAUCACUCAACUGUAAAGACAUUUUCUUGUUGAGUGUGAACAGACAUAUUGAUCACUAAAUUUUCAAACUUGUGAUCCUCGUUGAAUCUGAUUCCCCUUUGAAAAAUUAAAAAAAAGUGCAAAUAAUGAAACAAAAUUUUGUUCCUUAACAGCAAGUGUUGUCGGCAUUUUCAGACUUGUAACAAGGGAAUGCGGUCCUCUCCUGAACCCGAAUCUCAUUCCCUGUGACAAGACCCUUGUUACCCUUCAACUCGCUUUCUAAGAUAGCUAUAAUUAAUCGUGACAACAUUACUCUCAGUGAGCAAAAGUUAACAGCAUCUUCUCCCCAUUUUUUAAAAAAUGUAUUAUAUAACCCACCAAAACUAUAAAGAGUCUUUUCUUAUUAAAAUUAAUAAAUUACUCUUUAUAUUAAAUAAUUAAAAUUAAAAUUAAAAUUUAAAAUGAAAAUGAUUUAUUUAUUAAAAUAUAAAUAAAAUAUAUAAAGUUCAUAUGUUUUUUAAAUUAAAAAAUAAGAACUUAAUUUCAUUCCUUAAAUUCUCAAAUUUACCUCACAAAAAUUUCGUAAGCUCACUUUUGUCCUUAAUUAAAAUAUGAUUAUGUUAUUAUUAUGGUUAUUAUUCUUAUUUUUGUAAUAGUUGAUGUUGUUGUUGAUGAUGAUGAUAAUACAUAUAAUAAAAUUAAUAAUAAUAAAAAUAAUAACUAUAAUUUUAACAACAGCAAUAAUAAUCAUUAAUAUUAUUGUUGUUGUUGUUGUUGUUCUUCUUCUUCUUCUUCUUCUUCUUCUUCUUCUUCUUCUUCUUCUUCUUCUUCUUCUUCUUCUUCUUCUUCUUCUUCUUCUUCUUCUUCUUCUUGUUAUUAUUAUUAUUAUUAUUAUUAUUAUUAUUACUAUCCUAUUAUAAUAAUAUUAUUAAAUAAUUAUUUUGAAUAAUAAUAAUCACAAUUAUUAUAACAAACGACAAAAAUCAACUAAAGUAAUUUUAAUAACUUGUAAGAAUUCAUUUUUAUUCAUGGAUAUGUGAUUAUUUGUUAAUGUAUGCAAUUAAUUGUGAUGGUAAACAAAGAAUAUAUGGUAUAUUUUCAAGUUAAAAAAGAAAAACAAAACAAAGUUUUUACCAUUUCUUGCCUUAUCAUCUUUUAAAUUAGAGUUAUUAUUCUUUUUAUUUUUCAAGUUGCCAACUCAUCCGCAUUCUCUUUUAUUGAAUUUGAAGAUCGAUGAUCAUAAAUUUGUGUAAAAAUUUUAAGUAAAAAUUUUAAAUUAAAAUAAUCUUUUAAGUUAUUGGGAAAUAAUAACUUAGUAUAACAAAUAUUAUAUCCUAUACUUUAUUGCUACAAAACUACAAAACCAUAUAUUAUAUUAUGUUUCCAUAUUUCUCUUUUAUAGUGAAGACUCAUACUUCUUCUCUACUAAAUGCUAAAGUAUUGGCUUAAACUUUUUAAUCAGCACAAUAGACCCUAAGCUAUAUAUGUUAUAAUGUCCCUCUUCGCUCACGGAUUAAACCAAUCAGUAGCCUUCUCUCAUAUAGAAAAACUUUUUGCAUAAGACAAAUUAUUAUGUUAUCGGAAAAAUUACAGUAGACGUAAGCUAUAUAUGUUAUAAUGUUCAGAAGAUUGAAGUUAAGAAAAUUAAGGAAAGGGUAAGGAUGUAUUUUCAAAGUGAAUUAUUAAGAGAUCUUUGAAGAUUACUUCCGUCAAGAGUUGGGUCCCAUAGUUUUACCUUUUGCUCGUUCACGUGAAAGUCAGUUUAGAAUUUUUAUCUUAUUUCACAAAGCUAAUUUUUUUUAUCACAAGCAGGAGAGAAACGGCAUUUCUUAGCAGUAGUUCAUCACUGUAGUAGCGAGCGAGUGAGGAACAAAAUUACCAACAAUUAUCAAAAAUAAUUAUACAAAAAAGAUCACAUGCUAUAAUUAAUCAUGACAAUUGACAACAUUACUCCCACCGAGCAAAAGUUAACAGCAUCUUCUCCCACAUUUUUUUAAAAAAAAUUGUAUUAUAUAACCCACCAAAAGUAUAAGGAGUCUUUCCUUAUUAAAAUUAAUAAAUUACUCUUUAUACAGAGAAAUUAAAAUUUAAAAUGAGAAUGAUUGAUGAUGUUCAUUUAUUAAAAUAAAAAUAAAAUUUAUGAAGUCUAUAUAUUUUUAGAAUUAAAGAAUAACAACUUAAUUUUUUAGGGGGAGUGUUGAAAAUCAAAUUCUUAUUCCUUAAAUUCUCAAUUUUACCUUAAAAAAAUUAUAAGUUCACUUUUAUCCUUAAUUAAAAUAUUAUUAUGAUUAUUAUUCUUAUUUUUGUAACAGUUGCAGUUGUUGUUGUUGAUGAUGAUGAUAAUAGUUGAUAAUAAAAUUAAUAAUAAUAAUGAAAAUAAUAACUAUAAUUUUAACAGCUACAAUAAUAAUCAUUAAUAUUAUCGUUGUUGUUGUUGUUGUUAUUAUUAUUAUUAUUAUUAUUAUUAUUAUUAUUAUUAUUAUUAUUUUAAAUAAUAAUAAUCACAAUUAUUAUAACAAACAACGACAAUAAUUAACUAAUGUCAUUUUACUAACUUAUAACAAUUCAUUUUUUUAUUCCAAGACAAACUAACCAUAUCAAUAAUAAUACAGGUCAUUUCAAUUCUAAUUCUUACAGGUAAAGUAAAUAAUUUAUUCUGAUUCUCAUUUUUCAUUUUGAUUUUAUUCUAUUCCGAUUCCAUUUGAUUCUGAUUCCAGCCAAUUCUAAUUACCGAUUAGAAAAUGCAUUGUUACUACUUUAACAAUAACUAAUGAUUCUCCUCACAAUUCUUAUAGGGUUAUCCUUAUUUUAAAAUAUUUUUUAUUCGUAUUUAUUAUUAAUUAAUUAAAUUAUAUCAAUGAAAAUCAAAUAAAAAUUUAAGUAAUAAAAAUGAGAAAAUAUAUGUUUCGGUUUGAAUAAAAAAUUAUAAUAAAAUAUUUUUCUUACAUAUUUUAAAUAUUUUUAUUAUAAUAAAUAUUUUUUUUAUUCUCAAAAUAAAUUAUCAAGUAAACGAUUCAUUAACUCAUUUUUUUCCUUUAAAUUUUUGUUAUUAAGAAGAUUUUUGGGUAUUGACCGUGAAGGGCUCAACUGAUCGCUAAUUUUGCAGCAAUUGCCUUUUCUUUUUCUUUUUUUUAAUUGUUUUGAAAAAAUAUCCAGACUCAUUCUGCAAAGUAUCUGAGGCCAAAGCGCCGAAAGUUAGCAGUUAGUACACCCACAUGUGCUUUUCUUUACAAAAUCUAAAGUUAGCGUGGGUGUCUAUAACUUAAAUUUAAUAUAAUUUAUAAUUAGUAAAAUUCUUUGAUUGACCCAUUAAAUUUUAUUAUUCUAUUACUUAUUUUUAUAUUAAAAAUUUAGUAAUGUAGAAAAAUUCUUAAAAGUUAGAGCGCUGCUAUUCACCCCGAUUUUUAACCCCGAAAAGCGCCCCGAAUUUAAAACGCACCGUUUUGAUUAAAUUGAAAACGGUGCGUUUAACCCAUGUUUCUUCCUUUCCUUUCUUUUGCCAAACCACAGAAACGGACCUUUGCUUCCUUUUCGUUUAAUCCUAUCAUCUUGUGGUCACUGCCGCUGCUGCUUUCUUCAAGACCGAGCUCUCUGCCGCUGCUGCUUCCUUCAAAACCUAACGGCCCGUCCGCAGAGCCCAAUUCAAAGCCGUUCGAUCAAUCGACGAUCCGACACCGAGGCCCAUCAACUGGCGCGUCUGCCUCAGCUUCUUCUUCGUCCUCUCCGGCGUACACGGAAGAGCAAAUCGCGAUCGUGAGACAAAUUAAGAAACGAAAGAUUAUUGCGUGCGUUGAUGGCUCUGAUGGGUUUAAUUUACGUGCGUUGAUUCAGUUGUUGCUUGUGAUUUUGAUAAUUCUCUUGCAGUUUUUGCGUCUUCUAAUCCAAUUUAUGCCAUGUCGAGGUCUUACCCUUAUGAGUACAAGUUUACAACAGAAAGAGGGGUGAAUUUUUAUAUGAAGUCUAGCAAAUUUGAGUAGGACUAUCCGGUGGGUAGUGUUCAGAGAGUAAGGCUCGAAAAGCAAGUUGAAAAGGAUUACUUUACUAUUCUUGCACAGAAUUGCCGGUUAGAGAUUCAACGGCAGCAGUGGGGUUUUAUAAAGGAGACUCCCCAUUGUGACAUGUGGCAGACGUUUCAAUAUUCACCAGCUUGGUAAAUCUGACAAUAAUUUUGUAGUAAUCUACAUAAAGGUUGCUUGAUUGUGCUGCUAUGAUAUUCAUUAUUCAGAUAGGAGUAGCAAUCGUGUUACUGAAAUCUGGUUCAAUGAAACAAGCUGAAGCAAAACUGAAGUAAUUUUCUCCCACAUUCAAUUAAUGCAUCUUCAAAUCUUUCAUAAAGUUGAUCAUUUCCUCGGGAAAUGGAACAUUGCUCUUGUGUAAUGAAGUUUUAAGCAUUGCUGUAAAUGGUUUGUAUAUGAGAAAUUAUUUGUUUUAAUGCCAUAAUUUAUGUGCUGAUUGAUCUUUGAAGAAAUUUUGAGCGCGAUUAACUGUCUCUAGGGUCUGUUGUUGCCCAUGAUGCUCCAACAGCUGGAUGUCUAAUUAUGCAUUAUGAACCUUAACUAUCAGUUUCUAGAGCUGAUGUUCAACUAGCUAUUUGAUGAUGUUUUAGGAAGAUGUAUUUUGGCUGUUUGAGUUUCUAGAGCUGAUGUUAUGUUAGAAAUUAUAUUUAUUUUAAUUGUUGCUGCAGCAACAUAAAUAUAAACUGUUGAUUAACUUGAAUAUCCCAUUUGGAACCAAACAAUGACAAAAAUAAAAUAAUACAUCAAAACACAAGUUAGCAGAUGUUGAUUAACUUGAUACAAAUGCUCACGGUUGAGUAAUUUUAGAUACAAAUACUGAUGGUUCAGCUUACAAAUUAAAAUGAAACAACUCAAGAUUUAUAAAUUUAAAAUCAAACUGCUCAUGAUUCAGCUUACAAUCAUUAAAUAUAGGAACAAUAAUAUACAAACAAAUACUUACGGGUUUUGCAAUGUAGGAAUUCAGCACUCUAACUUUCACGAAUAAGUUGGCGUUUUGCAGUUUGGAAGCUCUGUACUUGGAGUUUUUACAUUUGCAGUUUACAGUUUGCAGUUUCAGUCUGCAAAGCGGAGUGUUGUGGUUCAAGCUUGUGCAAAUAGAAGAAGAAAGAAAAUGUUCACGUGCUGCACGGGUGGAACUAAAUGGGAAAGCAAUCAAAGCAAAAAAGCAAAAAAGCAAAAAAGCAAAGAAGCAAUCAACGCAAAAGGAAAACAGUCAAAGCAAAAAAGAAAUCAAAGCAAAACGCACCGUUUUGACAAUAUUUGGGGUACGGUUUCGGGGUUUAAAAUCGGGGUAAGUAGCUUGCUCUUUCCCUAAAAGUUAAGGAAAAUGAUGUUUGCCCCGGGUCAAACCCCGAAAAUGAAACGCACCGUUUUUAUUAACCCGCAAAACGCACCGUUUUGCCAAGCCCAUUUUCUUUAUCGAUUAAGUGCAGCACAGCCAUUCGAAGUCCUCAAUCCACAAUCAGUAAUAAAUUAUGAUUCUUUUCAAAUCGGAAGGGAGCCCUCCAGAAGGUCAAUUCCAUGAUAUAAUUAGAUGGAUGGAAGAUAUGACAAAGCGGCAAAAAAAUGUGGAGAAGGAAUCAGUUGCAGCUCUACUUUGGGUGAUAUGGAACGCUAGGAAUAAGUGGCUUUUUGAAGGGAAACAAGAGGCUCCAGCCAGAUUAGUAGCAAGAGCUGAAUCAGUUGUGGAGUCUUUUAAAAAUGCCAGCCAGUAUGAUGGGUUAAGGCCAAAUCAGAAAAGGGAGGGUAAGGAAAACCACAGGCAUUCUCUUCCAAAUGGGUGGCUAAAGGUAAAUGUAGAUGCUGCAGUGAACGUUGAGAAACAUGUAGCUGGGCUGGGGGUGGUAAUAACAGACGGGAACCAAAAUUGUAUAAUUGCUGCCAUUAACACUUCUAGAUACUUUGGCAACGUGGCAAUGGCCGAAGCUGCAGCUGUGAAAUGGGGAUUGCAGGUUGCUUUGAGAGUGGGGGGAACCUCUGUGUUGCUUGAAUCGGACUGUCAUGAAGUAGUAGAGAUUAUAAAUAACAGAGACAGUAGUAUGAUGGAAAUCUUUUGGGUGAUCUCUGAAAUUCUGGAAAUUAAGAAGAGUUUUCAGAAUUUCAAGGCUCAACACACACAUAGAUCUUGAGGGGUUUUGCAGUUGGGGUUAUGUAGUUGGGUUGUGUGGUGAAGUGAAAAAUCGAAAGCGAAAGAUGAUUUUUCUGUUUCUUUAUUACAGGAGAAAGAUGAGUUUGAUAAAGAGCUGGAAUGCUCAAGCAAAACGACGUUGUUUUAAGAAAAAUUGAAACGACCCAAAAAACUAAUAAAACGGCGUCGUUUUAUUAAAGCUUCGGGGCUUGACCCGGGGUUUGACCCGGGGCAUCUAUCAGCGCCCAAAAGUUAAUGGAGAAGGAAAAGAAAAAGAAAAAGUGUAAAUGAACUGUAUUCACCUAAGUUUCAAACAUGUGGUUCAAUCUGAAUUUGCUUUUUUCAAAAGUAAAUACAAAAGAAAAUAUAAAGAAAAAGAAAUUAAACGAGACAAAAAUUUGUGGCGUGGGUCAUUCAUAUCUUUUGCCAUUUCUUUUGUAGAGGUACAUAGGGUAGAUAUUUUGAAGUGAAAAGCAGAGCUUUUAUUGUUAUUUGCCUUAUCAUCUUUUAAAAUUAGAGUUAUUAUUCUUUUAUUUUUAAGUAGCCAACGGAUGGUAGCCAACUCAUCCGUGUUCUCUAUUAUUGAAUUUAAAGAUCAAUAAUUUAUGUUAAUAAAUAUUUUGUUAACUAUCAAAGUUUUUAUUUCAAAAUUACUGUUAUAAUUCAUUAAAAUUUCAAUUUUUCCUUUUUCUAUUCACACAACAGAUUGAUUUGCCCUCCAAAAAAAUGUAUUAGAUCGUUUAAUAUUGUAACAUCAAGAAACUUAUAAUAAAUUUUUAAAGAGAUAAAUAGAGAAUGUCAGUCUCGCAUCUACUUAAAAUUAAUAAAUAUACCACUAACUCCUUAUUAUUUUUAUAAUAACUAAUAACUUUCUUAACAAUAUAUUUUUAUAGUAUUAUCCUUGUUUGUAAGUACAUUUUUAUUCAUAUUUAUUAUAAAUUAAUUAAAUCAUAUCAAUAAAAAUUAAAAUAACACAAUAUGUUUUGGAGUGAAUAAAAGAUUGAAAAUAAAAAUAUUUUUCUUAUAUUUUUUGUUAUUUUUAAAUGUUUUUCUUAUAAUAAAUGUACAUUUUAUAUUCUUAAGAUGAAUUUUGAGUAAAUGACUCAUUUACUCACUUUUUCUUUAAAUUUUUUUGUUACUAGGAGGAUUUUUAGAUAUAAUGAAAAUUGUAAGGUAGUAAGUAAUAUGGCCAAAACUACAUUGCGUCAGGGGUUUGGUGCCCCACUCGUUUGUCUGUUAGCAAGGUCAGCGUUGGAUUUGAUCUGACGGCUGCAGAAGAGACACAAAUAUAAAGGGUAGUAACCUGAGGCAAAGGUAACAAGCCAGUCACCUGCAGAAAAUAAGUGUAUGAUAAAAUAACACAUGCAAUGAAUUUUGUAUUUUUUUUUUUUAGAAGACACAUGUAAUGAACUUGCUGGAAGCGUACAUGCAAGUAAUGGUUGGAAACAACCUACUGAAACCGUGCAAGUAUUGGUUGGGCUAAGAUUGACAUGAAAUUUCCCAAAUAGUGUCCGAAACAUUUGCAAAUAGUUAAUUCAAAGCGUCAAUAAAUGCUGGAAAAAAUACAUAUUUUUUAUUUUUUUUAUUAAGAAUACAUUUUUUUUGAUAAAAAAAUAAAUUAUUAAUGGUACAUAGCAACAAAUAUACCCAAAACAAUUAUCCAUAUAUUUGAAAAACAUUUGUUAACAAUACAUAUUUUUAGUAGUACACAUAUUAUAACAUAAACAAAUUGAGUUGUAUCAUGGACAGCCAUAAACUAUGAACAAAGAUUACGAUCUAAACUCCACAUGCAUGUUUAAUUUGUAGAUUCCAUUUUUUUCAUAAUGUGUUUCCCACCAUGGGAUAACAAGGGUUAUUCAGGCAAAACACUACGGCAAUUCAUUAUCAUAGACAGGAAAAAGACAAUGGCAAAGAUCAAUGAUUUAACACACAAGAAUGAGUGAAUAACAACAGCAAGUGAGAACCAUGCAGAAUCCUUUUUAUUAGAGAUCCUUUCUUAAAUCUUAAAUAAGAACAUUAAAUAAGCUUGAAAAAUAUUGGUAACUGGCCCAAUACACAUCCAUCUAACGGAAAACAGCGGACAGUUUGACGCAUGUGUGGAGCACUUGAGGAAACAGAGCAUCCACGGAAUGCCUAAAUUUGAAAAAAAAAAAAAUUGCAUUUGACGAAAAGGACUUUGAGCGUUCAAAUACAAAGUGUCGAUUAACCUUACAAGAUACAUCAACCAUCACAUAUGCUCAACAUGCAAUACCAAAUUAAAUUACCCAUCUCCAGGGUUGGAUUUGUCUUCAAUCAGAUGAAUGCUGGAGAGAAUAUAAUUGAAAGAAUGGCAUCAUCUACCAUGCAAGCUAAGGCUCCUUACAGAUGCUCAACAUGACACCACAAAAGAAAAUACAAUAUCAAAGACACAUCACCAACAUAUAUGCAAACUACCAAUUCUCACAGCAUGCAGUGCAACAACUCAUAAAAUAUGAAAUUUAACAUCAUCUAAGCAUUUUCUCAAGCUUAUUUCUCAUUAAAGAACUUAACUGAAAGUAGUAAACAUAGAGACAUAUAACAGCUUUAUAAGUACAGACCACAAAGUAGAACUUUGUUCGAAUGAUAAUGAUCAUAAUCCACAUUAUAAACGCAGUGAAAUCAUCAAAUGAAAUAAGAACACAGUACACAAUUACACAAAUAUUAGGCUUAAUUAAUUAUUUAGAUUAAAACACCAACUCACACAACUUCCUUGUUGGAAUCUUCUCAUAUCCCAUCUUCUUAGGGCUCAGAUCAUCAUCGUGAUCAUCAACAUCAGUGAAUUCCUCAUACGAAUUGCGAGAAUCGUGACGAUUAGCAAAGAGGCUCCACACCAAAUACAUGGUAACGGCAGUAAGCGAAUCACACCCAACGCCGAAAAGCAAAGCGACUGGUCCGGUCGCAUAGAGAGGAGAAGUCGUGCUCGAAGGGCAAAACACGACGUUUUGGCUCAUGGAUGAGGUGCUGCUCCCGAUCAUCGAUUGAAGGGAGAAUUGGACAAUCGAAGAAGAUUAAGGGACGGUGGGGACUGAAUUGGCGAAUUUCGGUGAAGAUUGUGACGAAUCCAACGGGGUUCUCGGAGUUUGGGUUAGGGUUACGGGGAUUGAAAUGGAUCGAGUAAGAGGAAAUGAAGAGGGUUUUGCAUGGCCUUCCGGAGGCUGAAAUUGAGAGGACACCAUGAAUAUUGUGAGAGCUAAGAGGAGAUGCUGAGUCGAUGACGCCAUUGAUUCGUACCACAUAGCUUCGAUUGGAAAUGAAGCCUCUAAUAGCUUUAGCCGGUUACCCAUUUUUCAAGUGUUAAAUCUCAACCGUUGACUGCCUUUCUUUAUGAUUUCAAGGGUCAUUCACAAAAGGACAAAGGUCAAUAUGCGGUGGACCACACCCUUGAGUUUUCCUCGUCGUCUCAGUCAACUAAAAGGACAAAAUAUUGAGUCUUUAAGGACUCAACUGAUUGUUAAUUUCACAGCAAUUACCUUUUUUCUUUCUUUUUUUUCUAAUUAUUUUGAAAUGGUAGGUAGCAAUUGCUUACAUCAAAAUAUCUAAACUCACUCGGCAAAGUAUCCGAGGCCAAAAUGCCAAAAGAUGGGACACCCACAUGUGCAUCUAAUUACAAAGUCUAAAGUUAAUGAAAAGAAAAAGAAAAAGAAAAAGUAUAAAUGAACGGUAUUCACCUCACUUUCAAACAUCUAGUUCAACAUGAAUUUCCUUUUACCAAAAGUAAAUUUCCUCUCGAAUUGUCCUCAUUACAUCAAACGAAUGAUGACGACGCUCUGUCCGUUUCUGGCUCUCUGCUUUUCUCUCUCACAUCACGAGACACCUCGUUUCUAACUGGGGUACCACCAUCAUAUUUAACUGUUAGGUCUUCCUACUAUGCACCUGAUGUAUGCAUGAUUCCUUAUGACAUGACAUACAGCCAAUUAAAUUCUGACAUGUUUGCAAUAAAGACUGUUAAACCGGUUGAAUUCACAAGAUCUCUUGUUUGUGUGUUUAUGUUCCAAGUUGUGUACUCUGUGUUAUGAGUUCUCUAAUUAGUCUGAUAUUAUCGCAACUGUUGCUCAAUAAUGUUAUAGGUUUUAUAAUAUAUGUCACCGGUACGAUCGCUGUCUCAAGUGGUAAACUUUGAGGCACAAAUUUAGAACGAAAAGUUCCUAAUAAAAUAAAUUAUUUAAUUAAUUAAAUAAGAAUAAAAUGAAUUUGUGAAAAAAAUUUAAAUUUAAUUUUGAAUUAUUUUGACCAAAAUUUAAGUUUUUUUUUAAUUUGUUUAAGAAAAUGCGUUGUAAUUGUCUUGUUUUAAUUGGAAAAUCAAUGAAAAAAUUAUGUAAAAGAAAAAAAAAAAAAAGCAAAACGGUUUGUUUUGGAUGGAGGCCAUAGAUUCCAAUAUUUCCUUCACGAAAACUACAAAAAAUUAUCAAAGGCAUCAAUUUCUACACUCUCACGGAGCAAUACUCUUAACCCAGAAGAAAGUGUAUAAACCAACCCCAAUUAGUCCAUCAAUGUCGUCAACCUCAUACAGCAUAAAAAAAAUCUGUGUCCAUUAAACCGCCAUUUAAACCGUCUUGAUUGAGCCAUUAGACUAUUCGUGUCAUCUUCCCAUCUCGUUGUAGUAUUUUGCCGUUCAAAUCUAGCUAUCAAUUGGGGAAAAUGGGGACCAAUCUGCAAGUCUUUAAAAUAGAAAGAAACUUUUAUUGGGCACUAUGUUCACGGUGGACCCAGCAGCAUUAAUAUUUAAGAUGGAGUUAUUUGUAUUUUAAAAAUUAUUUUAAACAUUCUAAUUUUAAUAAGAAUAUAUAUUAUAAAAAUAUUUAUCAUAUAAGUUAUUGGACAAUAUAUUAUAAGUCAACAUUAUAUAAUUACUUUGAACACUUAUAUAGCACAAUCCUAAUUCAAUUUAUUAUUCUCAUGACUUAAAUAUAAAAAUUUUUAUUUCCAACAUCUUAAUUAAUAUGUAGAUGAAUAAUAAGGAAAUUAACUUUGAGAAAAAAUUAAAUACAAAAUAUGUGUAAAGCUUUUAAAAAAUAAAAUAAAACAAAAGUAUUGCACAAGAUUUUGGGGGGGGGGGGGGGGGGGGGUUUGGCCAUUCUUCUUCUCCUCCUCUCUCUCUCUUUUGUUUGGGUAGUAUUUAUGGAACAUUUUCUAUUGUUAUGUUCUCAUCGCAAGUUAUUUUAGGUGUAAAAUUCAAUAUUGAAAAUAAAUUAAAUAAAAAAAUAGUAACUAAAAUUAUGUUAAAUUAUUUUUUUAUAAAUUAAUUUUUAAUUAUAUUAUUGUGAGUAUAUGCUAAAUCUCUUAAAAAUAGAGUGUUGAAUAAUUUUAUUAGUUUUUUAAAUAAAUAAAGUUAAGUAACUUAAAAAGUUUAAGUAAGGAUAUUUUUAAAUUUUAAACAGUAUACAAAGUAAAAUUUAAUUUUUUUAUAAUUAAGCUAUGAGCGUGCAAAGUAAUAUUUAGAAUACUAAUAAUCCUACCUUAAUCUUUAUCAUCACAUUAUUUUCCAUAAAAAGUUUACAAUUACCUCUUUAUUGGAUAAUUUUGUUCCCUCUCUUACCUUAUGUUCCCUUACAUUCUCAUUUCUGCAUCACCAUUUAAAUUAUAAUCAUAACGUUAAUCUUUAUCUAUCACAUAUUUUGCCAAAUUUAUUCGCACCGCAAAGCUCUUUCCUUUUUUUUUCCCCGUUAAGUUUGCUAUAAUGUACGUGAAGAAUUUAAAGAGAUCUUUCGUGUCCUUACCCUUUUUUUCGGGUGCACUUUUGCUGCUUUUUUACGUUUCUCCAGAAUUCACUUCAACAUGACUGGCGCAUUUUCUUCUUUCUCGCUGCAACAUCAACUAGGCCACCACCUCUUGCCUCUCCCGGUUCCCCUCAAUUUUCGUAUUCAAUGUCCACCGUUGAUUGUACAUUUAUUAAAAUUCUGUGGUUAUUAUUUUUUUGCAUAUAUUUAAUUCCACACGGUCUAUCGAUAGAGCAGGUGCAUCGUAGUUGUGGCCUUAACCCUGUUAUUGGUAACUCAAUAGCUAAUUCUAAUGUUUCAUCAAGCAGUUUAGAGAUAACCUCUCUCGCUGAACACCCUGGAGUAACGCAAUCCAGUUUUCCAGUGCAAUCAUCAGACAGUUGAACAGCUUCUGAAUUCCCUUUGCUUUUCUUGUUUUCUUUUCCAUGAAAAGGGAGCUCAGGCUUCAAUAUAUCUGGGGAUUGAGUACUAAUGAUAAAGACAACAUACGGUAGAGGACACAAAUUGUUAUCAAAGAAUGAUGCACUUUUCAACUGAGUACAGUAAAGCAGUACAGUAAAGCGAGAAUGGGUAAUUAGUUUUACCUGCUAAGCGAAAAUCUAGACUCCUGAAGGUAACCGAUCUUGGGUGAAGCAAAUAAAGAAGAAGGCGAAGUAAAAUUCACUGAGUUGAAUGAGCGAUCAUUGCGUAUGGACUUGAUUUGUUCAAUGGGUGAAAGACCGCUGAUAUAAUUAAAGACUGGAGAAUCCUGUACGUUGACAAGCAUCAUUUUUAAUCGAACAGAGAGUCUUAAAAACCUUGUCAGUGGCAAAUGAUCACGACAAGAAAUCUGAAGUAGAAACAGCAUAGCUCAACAAAUCACUAAGAGAAUAAGACCAAUAACCAAGCAGAUAAAAGAAAAGCAAAAUAACCCAUCUCAAAAUCACCACAUGCACAAUUUAAGGGGUUUGUGACAUGGGUUUAAACAUGAUUUAACAAGUGCCACCUGUGAAUUGUCAGAGAUUGUAUUUUCAUACACGUGUCAAAUUUUCAAAUCCAACAAAUUGUUAUCUUUCUAAAGAGGCUAAUAUUAUUAUUAUCUAUGCAUAGCAUGCUAUAAACAAUUCAUAUUACUAGGGCCUUUGUUUUCUGUGCACAACAUAUGGACAGAGGAACAAAUCCCUGAGCUAAAAUCAUCAUAUUCCAAAAUAUUCUAUUAAAUCAACACCACAAAACGCGAACGCUAAACAGAAUUGGAGCAAUUUACCAAAGCUAUUUGUCACGCAAAGCACUAGUACCUCAGAACCCAAUUUGCAAAAAAGCACCAAAAAUGAAAAAUAACAAAUGCCCAGAUGAAAAAUCAGGAAAAAAAAAUGCUCAAAUCCAAAUUACAACCCCAUAAGUUGAGUCGUUCUCUUCGAACUGAAUUAAAAAAGAUUAAAAAAAUAAAAUAGGGAGAUUGACCUCAAACUUUGGAAACAGAAGCGACAGCGAUCUGUUUCUUGUCUGGAGUGUCCAUUUCUAUAAUCUACUUUGUCCGUUUUCAGUCGCUCUGCUACAGAGCUUCUUCCCUCUGAAGCUGAAGCUCACACACUCUGCAAAACGAAAGCAUUUCUUUUUGAUUGAGAGGCGGGAAGGCGGGAAAAUGAGAGAAAUUUGCAUUUGUUUUCUCUUGGUUUGGUCAUACCUGUGCGGGCCCCAGCUUGACAAGCGGUAUUUUUACUAUUUGUAUAAUUUGCAUGACGCGUGUCACGCAAUGACGAUAAAAUAUAUAUAUAUAUAUAUAUAUUGUUAAUUUUUCACUUAACAUUGAAAUAUCAUAUAAUUUUUCCAAUUUUAUGGUUAUUUUCUCGCCCUUAUGCCACAUUCUUUUGAUCAAAUAAUACAGUAAAACUUUUCUAUAAUCGUAAUAUUAGAGCCAAAUUAACUUUGUUUCUGUAAAGAGGCUAUAGCUUAAUAAAGGUAAAAUUAUAAAAAUUAUUAUUUUGACUCAGUUAUCUUUAGUGCAAGUGAUAUAAAGUACAAAUAUAUGAUAAUUAAUUAAUGAACUAUGUCAAAUACAAUAUGCUGACAAUUAGGGGUGGGCAAAAUCGGGUUCGGGUCGGGUUCGGGUCAACCCGAUCGGGUUUCGGGUUGUUCGGGUUAGACAAGGAGCAAUCCGAACAUAACCCGAAUUAAUGAUCCGACCCGAACCGACCCGAACUAUCUUCGGGUCGGUUCGGGUCGGGUCAUUAAUUCGGGUUAUGUUCGGGUUGGAUUUAAAAUGGGUAGGAUUGAGUUCGGGUCAAUUUGGGUCAGUUCGGGUCAAUUCGGGUCGGUUGAAAUCGGGUCAGUUCGGGUCAAUUCGGGUCAGUUCGGGUCAGUUCGGGUCAAUUCGGGUCGGUUGAAAUCAGGUCAGUUCGGGUCAAUUCGGGUCAGUACGUUUUUUUUUUUUUUUUUUUUUAAGAACCCGAUCGGGUAUUCGGAUCGGGUCGGGUUUGACCCGAACCGAUCACAACCCGAUCGGGUUUGUAAAUUUCAAACCGAUCGGGUUUCGAUCCCGACCCGAUCCGACCCGAACCCGAAAUUUAUCGGGUCUGGUUGGGUCGGGUCGGGUCGGGUCGGAUCGGGUAAAAUGCCCACCCCUACUGACAAUGAUAAAAAAGAUAGAUAAUUUCAAGAAACUAAUGCAUAUAUUUAUGUAGUGUUGGGAUUAUACAAAAUUAUCUUAAAAGUGUAAAGAGUAAAGUAAUAUUCUGAUUAAUUUAAAAAAAAUUAUUUUAUCUUAAUCUUUAAUGCAACAUAGCUUUUUUUUUUUUUUUCUUAGCAACAAAGCAUUGUUCCAAAUAAUUAUUAUUGGAUUCAAAUCAUGUCCUAGGCAUUUUUUCUUCUAGUCGUCUUAAACUUUUAAGGAUUUAUUGGCAUGUGUCAAUCAUUAAUGAAAUUAAAUAACUAAGACUUUGUUUUAAUUAACGUUUACAUAAAUAGACAUCAAAACUCACGUGUGAUUCUUAUCAAAUUUUUUCCUGCAAAUUCUUUUCCUCUCAACUAUUCAUAUUUUGACAUUAAUUUCCAGCAAAUUAUUAAAAAAAAGAAGCGUAAAAUGGAGAAAAGUGAUUGACAACAAGGUUUGCAUCUUAAUUUCAAAAUUUCCCUUUCUUUGCUAUUUUUGUGGGUUCUACAAUUGUUGUUUUCACUCUCAGACAUGGCAAGUCCUUUGACAAAUGUUUCCCCGUUAGCAGAUUUAUCAUAAUGCAUCUCUCUGCAUCCCCACCUAAGAUGGAACCUGUUCUCACAAGAACAGACUCCAAGGUUGGGAAAAUCAAUUGAUCAUCGGAGAAAACAAACAGGAUUAACAAAUCACUACAAUGGUGUGAACCCGUAUAUACAAACGUACCUGCCCCCUUUGUCUGUGAUAUAUUUUCUUAUUGGCCCACUCAAAUAAACAUCCGGAGAAUCCUUGAGCAUCUGCAAUAGGGAAGCCUCGGUCUUAGUUGCAAACAGUGCAAAUAUAGUAUGCAUACAACGAGCAAUGAUGUUAUCACAAUCAAUAAACCCAAGGGCAAACGCAACAGGAUCUUACAUUCUUUGGAUACUCAUCCAUGUACCACCCUUGGACAAAAACCAAUCAGAGAAGCUUAUCUGUAAGAAGAAAUGAAGUUUGAGGUAAAAUAAAAAUUUGUAGGAACAGGGAUUGAAAUUCAACAAACAAGAAAAUAUGUUGUUUGUUGAAAUUCAACAAACAACAAACAAGGCUCCAUCAGGAUCAAGAAGUGCCUUUACAACAGGACUCACCGCAAGAGCAAUAGCAUUUCUUGAUUUAUCAUAAGUCUGCACUUGAGCAAUAUACGAGGCAAAGUACAUCAAAAGAGAAUCCAAAAGAGGCAAGAAGCUUCAACAUGAAAAAAGGGAGUACUGCCUCGUCAUACUGCUUUGCAAUCACAGUGCAAAAGAUAACAUCAACAAAAUCAAAAUCGAGCAUAAAUCUGUAUGCACUACCUUAAGCUGAUUUGUAGACAAAAAUGCACGAAUCCCAUGUAAUGGAGCUCCAAUCGGAAACCGGAAAUCAAGUUCUGGAGUUGAAAAUCAAAAUCAUGAAUCAAAUCAGAGUUAUUAUUGAAUUAGACAAUCCAUAAACCAAUAGAAGGUGAUGUCAAACCAUCAAGCAUAACUAUUAGUUGUUUUAAGUGAUCAAGAAAUAACUAUACCACCAAUUUCCCCACCCUUAUUUACAAAUUUAUGAGUAUGAUCCUUCAUGAGUAAAUUUUCGUCCGCACCGACCUGUCGACAUCCAUGAAAAACUAUCAGAUCAUAAACACAGGUUCCAGUUAAAGAGGAUCUAUGAUUCUGAUCCAUCAUGUUAUUUGAACAACAUUUUCGGAUUUUCUUACAACCCUAAGCUAUUAUCAGUUAUCAUCGCUACAAAUGAUAUGGUCAAGAGGAAUGAUAGUUCUUGUUUCAAGAAUCUCAAAUCGUAAUUCUUUUGCAUGGCUUCUGUGCUUUUAUAAUCAUUCAAACACGCAUAUCCACAACUAAGCAAGCUUUACCUUUUUUGUCAAUCGGAACAGAUUAUUGUAGCAUCCAAAGAAAACGUGCAGGCUGAUUUCAAUAUGGUUUCCACGUUUACGGACAAAUGAAGCCACUUUACCACCAAUAAAAGACCUCAACUCAUAUAUAUCCACCUGGAAGAAAGGAAAAGUUAAAAAAAAAGGAAUAAAAAUUCUUCUAAUUUCUUUCACCAUCAACAAAAUCAGAAAAACACAUACUAAUUCAAAAUGAAAUAAAGUUUGUGAAUUGAAAUAAUGCCAACUCCUAAGAAAAAUUAUGACUGCUGAUAUUUUUUCCAAAAUGCUGAUAAAAGCUUCUGCUAUUUACUUUGAAAAAAUUGAGGUUAGAAGCCUAUUUACUUGAAAUUUUGAGUUUAGGCAAGAGGAUGAAUGGUAAAAGUGAAACAUUUUAGGGAAAAAUGUACGUCAGAGGCCAAUGAAAGCAUUCAGAAGAUUGAAAUCUAAAUGAGCAAAACCCCGUGGCCUUGAUCCAACAAAUCCACUGCUGUUGACAUGCCUGCAAGCCCAGCUCCAAUAAUAGCGACUUUCAGCUUUGGUCCUCUAUAAUGUUCCGGUUCUGGUAGAAACAAACCCUUGGGAGCUGCCAAGUAUACCAUCCAAUUAUCCACAGCGAUCAUGGAAAUAUAUAUGUGUUUAAAGGUACUAAAUUCCUAAACAUGAAAUGUAUCCAAAGAGAGACACAAAGCAGAAUUGUGAAAGCAUUUCAAUUCCCAAUAAAUUUUAAGAAUACAAAAUACUCGGUCUGUUCCUCAAUUCCUUUAAUAAAAUUUCCACUAGAGGCUACGGAAGCCACUCAAUAACACUCCAAAGCCAGAUUUUAAACGUUAUCUUUAUCUUUAACUCCAAUCCAUAAACAAUUCUGCCACAAAUUCAAUCCAAAAUUGUUCAAGUGCACCGCCAAUUCUCCGUCAAUUCCCUCAAAAAUUCAUAAUUGGCAAACACUACAAACCAAAAAGAGCUUCCAGCAAUAAACGCAUAAAAAUCCACCAAGCAACAGAAAACAAAAUACCCAGAAACCAGAAAAGCCAAAAGAUCAAUGCUUGGCAAACAAGCAAAUCAAAUAAAACAAAAAGAAGAGGAAUUUACCCUUAACGCUCAUAUCAGAAACAUUAGUGUCCAAAGAAGCCCGUACACGGAAUCUUGGACCCUUCACUUGAACCCGAGACCAUGUAACGCCAGUAACUGAAGUUGCAGGAAACAGAACUGGAGAACCCAUAUUGCAAAUCCUGAGCUGAAAUCAAAGAAAUUCAAUUGGAACUCAAUUCAGCUCAACCGAGCGGAGCUCUCUUUUGCUUCAAUAACAAAGUGUUUUUCUUUCAUAUCAACAAAGAUUUGUCAACAUCAACAAAAUUUAACUAAGAAACUAAAAUAAUGCGGUAUCUUUGAGUUUAAGAAUCUAACAAGAUGCUAAGGAAGAGAGUUUUGUCAGGGAACUGUUUCGGAGAGGUUGGCCAAGUGCUUCUUUGUUAUUUUUUUUUUUUCUUUUUUUGCCCUUUUCAUUAAUACACAACAGUAGUACUCGCGAAGAGCACAAAAUGUUGGUGACUUUGUCACUAAGGAUACGAAAGUGGAGUGACCAGAGCAACCAACUAAAUUUUCUUUGGGUGAUUAAUUAAUUUAUUAUCAAAUAAUUUUAUUUAUUUAUUUAAACGACAUCCUUAUCUUUGUACAAGGCUGAUGAAAGACGACGAUGUUGCGUUGUCACAUAUUUUUGGGCCGACCGUUUCUUGUUUCGGCUUAAAUGAGGCUUUUGUAAUUUUGUGCUGUUUUUUUACUGAGUAUUUUGUGCUAAAUUACGCCAAAGAAAAAGUGUAAUUGUUAAAAGAUCUGCUGACACUCAUAACCUCUUAAGCGGAAUUUAUAAUGUGACAGUAUUGAUAUCUAAGUUCAUAAUAUCUAUAGGAGUGAUAAAACGAAUAAAUGAAUCGAACCGUAAAUGAAUUUAGUCAAAAUUUAAUGGAUUCGAAUUCGAUGUAUUAUCAAGCGAAUCAUAAUUUAAUAUUCAAAUUCAAUUCAUUUAUUAAAUGGAUAUCCAUUUAAUUCGUUUAUUGUAAAAAAUUUAAACAAAUUGAAUUAAAUUUGGAUUCGUUUACAAUUUGUUUAAUUUAUUUAUGCAAAAUUAAUAAUAAAUCAAUCAAAUGUGGAUUUGUUUAAAUAAUAAUAAUAAUAAUUAAUAACAAAAAUAAAGUAAAAUAAAAUAUAAAAAAUCAUAAAAUUAACAACCUACAAAAUACAAACGAAUUAGUGACCCCAAACUCGGAUUCGAUUCAUUUAUUAAUGAAUUGAAUUGAAUUCACCUAUUUGUUAAUGAAUUAUUUUUUUUUAAAUUCAGACCUAUUUAAUUUGAAUCUAAUAAACAAAUCCUAACCUAAAUUGCCACCUCUAAAUAUGAUGGACCUACUUAAAAUAUAUGAAUACCAAAAUGUGUGGGCUAAAAAGUGGUUUACCAUGCAGCAAUAUGAAUUUUAAGCUCUCUUUUCUUAUGUCACCCAAGGCAUUGGCUGGAUGGCCAAACAGCAGAGUUCAAGUCUACAAUAGAGAAUCGAAAUUUUCCUUUGUAAAUGUUCAUAAGUAUUUGCCAUAGAUUUUUAAGUUAUUCUUGAUAGAUCCCCUACCACAUACGCUAUAAUAUUUCUCUGCUUUUAAUUUAAAAAGUAAAUCAUGCAUAAUAACGGACUUGUAAGGAAAUGAAAUUUCUGGUAAUUAACUAACAAAAUAAAAAAAAGAUGGAUUAUGCCAAAGAAGUUAAUAUAGAGUAAGUCGAGUACUUGACAAUCAAAGUAAUUUUACUCGAGGUUGAUUAAGGAUAGUAUGAUACUUUCUCAAGUUUUAUGAGGACAUUCAUGUAACAUUGGACUAUUGACUAUAGUUAGAGAGAAGUCCAAGGAUGUAAGUGAUGAUGAUAGAUUCACAAUUCUUUUGAAGAAAAUAUUUUAUAUAAACUUAAUUAUAUGGUAUAAAAUGAUUGGCCUUAAUAAAAUUAAAAAAUAAUACACGCCUGGGUCAUGCAAUAUUUUCAACCAACUAAUUUACACGCAAAAUUAAACCUCAUGAGUGAGAACAUUAUGGUACAUUUAUUUGCUAGCAAAAUUAAACCUUAUGAGUGAGAACAUUAUCACGGCACAAAAUGCCUGUGAUAAUGAAACAAUGUGCCAUUCUUAAACUAAUAUUAUUAGAAACUAUAAGUGAAAGUUUUCAGAAAACAUGUGAUAAGUUUUUCUCGGAAUUUAUUUUCUCCUUUGUUUUGAUUUACGCGAGAGAUAAUUGUAAAGAUUGUUUUGAUAAGUUUUCAGAAAACAUGUGACGAAUCGUAGUAAAAAAAAUAUAUAUAAUAAUUGAAUGAGAUCCACGGUUCACAAUUGCAAAUUAAAGGUUGGUUUUAUAAUAAAAUCGUUUUGUGCAUACCAAAUUAGAAAAGAUUAUAAGUAAAUUAAGAUUUUCAAAAUUUGACUAGUAUUAUAUUACGUACAUCAAUAUAAUAUAAAUUUCUUAUAUAUAUAUUUUACUCUGUAACCAAUGCUUUCAAAAACUUUGUACUUGUAUGUUUGAACAACUUUUUUCGCUUUCUAUUUAUAUACGAUCUCAUUUAUGUUUACAUAAAUUUUCAUAUGUACCCAAAUUAAGCACUAAAUAAACACACUUUGGUAAGACACAUUAAUUUCUAGUAUCAGACAAUGAUAUUAUAUUGAAUGUAAUGCUUCCAUGAAUUUUAUUACUAUAUACUAAAAUACUCAACGAUCUCCAUUAAAAAAAAAUAUGCAUGAUUAGAAUUAUUAAAGAUCAUUUGAUGAGGAGUUUCAUCAUUAACUGUGUCGAAACACAGCAGCAAUCCACAAUACACUUAACACGAGAGGGGCACACAAGCAUGCAUGAAUCUUCCACCAUUAAACCUGAAAUCGCAAAUAAAAGAAACAAGAUGAGUGUUGUUUUACGGUCUGAAAGCCGAUUCCAAAUAAUAAUAAUAAUAAUAGUAAUAGUAAUAGACCUUUGUUAAUAAUUACUACUAGUUGUCUCUGCCUUUUACAUCUUCCUCCUCUGUAUCAUCGCCCUCUUCCAAUCACACGGCUAGACCAGUAUGUCUCGAGAAUCUCUACUGCCUUCUCAGAGAUCCCGUUGUCGUCAUGACUUCGUAGAUUUUCAAUCUUUUCUAAUCCCUCAGCCUCCUCAACCAACUGGGCAUAUUGAUUAAAAUCUCCAACGGCGGUACCCGUAUUCAUUUCAGCUACCCCGACCUUCAAAAUGUCCUCUAAUCCUUCUAAGCAAACAGUGACGAUCUUUGGAUCAGCGCAUAGAAGCAGAUCACACAAUGGUUUUACACACCCCUCUCUCACAAGGUGCUUGAUUUGCUCAUGAGUGCCAAACUUGGUGGCAUUUGAAAUUGCCCAAGCGGCCUCCUUCUUUGCAUCAAAUUCAGCAUUUUGAAGUAGAUUGACAAUGGGACCAAUUAAGCCGGAAUCAAUUACCGCCUGAAUCUGCUCCCCGUUUCCAGCUGUAAUAUUUGAAAUAGUCCGGCAUGCAUCCUUCUUAAGGCUCUCUUCAUGAUCAUGGAUCAACAGGCCCAAAAAGUAUGGCAGUGGAUCACAGUUAAUUAUAUACUGAGUCUGGAAAUCAUCUCCCAUCACAAUAUUUCCAACAGUCCGCAGGGCAGGGGCAAGCACUGAGGAUGAUGGAUGGCCAAGGAGCUCAACAAGUCGUGGACAGACACCUGCCUCGAUCACAGCUUGAAUUUUGUCAUUCGUACCAUCAGAAAGAUAGGAGAGUGUCCAACAGGCGUCACUCAACACCUCUUCAUCAUCUAAAUGAAUAAGCUGUGCAAGUGCCGGAAGAGCUGCCCUUACCUGAUCAAAUGGUGGUCCUGGCUUGCCCUUGCAUAAAUUAUACAAUGUCCUUGCGGCAAUUCUCAGCAUUGAAAGCUUGGCAUGCUCAUUUAACUCUGCCAGCAAUGGAAUCAAAGCUCCUUCACUAAGCACAAGAUCACGGCAUCCAGAUGAGUCACCAGCAACAUUUCCCAAUGCCCAAACAGCCUGCUCGCGGACAUCAUCACUUGGGGAAGCAAGCAGCUUCACAAAUAUUGGAACGGCACCGUGGUCAAUCACCACCUUAAUGUUCUCUGAAGUUCCAGAAGCAAUGUUUGAAAGAGCCCAAGCAGCCUCAUACUGAAGUUGCGGAUAGUCUUCCCUCAUAAGAAACUCAACAAAGCGCUGGACAACGCCAGAUUGUAUGACUUUAUCAAUUUGUGGACUCCUCGCAAUCGAAAGCAGUUUGCUGAACUGAGUAGUUGCUUCCAGCUGUAGGCCGCUGUCAUCUGACCAAACCCCAGCAACCAUCCCGGGUAAACUCGCCUACUUAUUUAUUUUAGGAGCAGGAGCAAGAGGAGGAAAUUAAGUUAGGGAUUUGGAGUGAGAGUGAAAGUGGAGAAAAAGCAAGAGAGGGAAAAAGCUGAUUGUUGAGAAAUAUAUACCUUUCGUAUGGUUGUGUUAAGGUCGUCCUUCCAAGCCCAACAUGCUUUACCCCGCCCCUGCACUUUGUGUAAUUUGGGCGUACUUAAUUUUCCUUCAGAGAAAAUCUUCAUAUCGGGGCAAUCAUCCACCACUAAUCUUUCCAAAGAUGGGAACUUGAAAGCACAAUUGCCAGAGCAGAAGCUUGUUAGUCCUUGUAAGCCUAAAAGCUUCAACUUCUUCAAUUCUCUGAAAGUAAUAACCUCAUCUUUUGCUACAACAUCAUCCACCAGUACUAUUUCUGUUAUCCUAUCGCAUGAUUGUAUCUCCAUAUAUCUAAGUCGCACCAGAGUCUUUGCAAUUGAGGAUGUUAAUACGAUUUUCAAUCGUUUACAACACGAUACCACCAGAUUUGUAAGAUUCUGAAAGGAUGUCGACGGUGGCACUAGAUCGACCAAAUGGUCACACCACUUUACAUGUAGAAUAACCAAGUUGUUCGUAACAGAGGACUCCUGUAUCAAAAUGUGCUCCAGAUGAUAACAAUCAUUUGCUUCUCUCACAUUAACCCCCAUCCCAUUUUCAACCUUCUCUUUCGGCAACCAAGUAUAAGAUCCUCCUCCUAUUUGCAGGACUUUCAUUGUGUGAAGUCUCUGGAGGAAGUCACCAAGUGAUAAAAUAGUCCGCUCAUCAACCAACUCCACGUAAAGAUAUUUUAGUUUGCAAAGCAAGUCUUCAGAAAAUAGAUAUUUAUUUGUUCCUAUGUACUUUGCAUCAACUUUCAACUCUUCCAACAUAGGGAAUACCUGGGAGAUCGAUCAGAACCCAAAAAAGAAAAAAAAUAAAUACAAGAUGAAUCAGUUGAUGAGAAUUAUAAGUUACCACUAAUUUAUAAAAUAUAUUUUAUUCAAUAAAUCUUAACCUUUAAAAAAAUUAGUAAUAAUAGUACGCCUAACAUCUAGAAUAAUUAUGAAUGAAUACUAUACACUAAUCUGUAAGAGAGUUACGUUGCUGACAAUUUGAGUUUUAGUAAGAAACCAAGCGAUGAAGGCAAAGGCAAUAUAACUCUAAACUCUAUGAUAUAAACUCUCACAGUACAUACAUAAGAAUUGAAAAAUUGAUUAUAAAAUUCUUGUACGUACCCUUUCCGUGAAGAUACUAGUAGUUCUUUUGUAUCUCAUCAUGAAUUCAGGACAAUGGAAUAUCCUUAAUUCUUUCAAGGAUGGAAAUUCAAGAAUAUCAAGAUCUCCAGUGCAGAAGCUUGUGAACUUUUUAAGAUCAUACAUCUUCAGAUAUUGCAACUGGGGAAACGUUACAAUAUUAUUCUUCAUUUCUUCUUGGUUGUCCACGACUAUUAACUCUUCCAGGACAGGACAUACACUUAUAUCAAUGCGUUGGAGUCGAACAAAGCUACUAACGGUAGAAGAUGAAAAUAGACAUCUUAAAUUCAUACAGCCGAACAGGGUCAAGUGCGUUAAAUUCUGAAUACCACAAGACUUGACUGUAACUUGGUUCAGCCAAAUCCUCUCAACAUUUAUUGAACCCAACGUCAACUUCUCUAACUCUGGUAAUCGAACCUGCUCGAUCAAAAAAUCAACUCGUUAAUUACAAGCAACAAUGAUUUCUGUUGAUGGACAAAUCAAUAAAAUUACUCUUUCUCUGUUUAUAGUUCUUUUCAGUUUUUCAUACAAACAACCGUUAAUCAAGUUUUCCAAAUUAUUCCUUACUAAAUGUAUAGAUUUAGAGGGCGGCUAAUAUAAUUCAUAUUGCAAAUAUUCUUUGAUUGUAACGAAUUUUGUAAUAUUAAAUUUUGUUUGAUUCGCAAUAGGACCUACCAUCCAGCGCGAGCAGUUCUCGGGGAUUUAACUACUGGCACCUCGAUUAUAUAAAAAUUUGGAAUAUUUUCAAAGGAAAUCAAAUAAUUCCCCCUUGCCAAUAGUAAUUAUCAUUAAUUGCCGCGGGUUCACAUAUAAUUCUAAGAAAUUAGGCGAGAAGAGUCUCAUCAACAAUCAAUCAGCAGAUAUCACGUUCGGCAGAUCAUCAUGAUUUCCUCAGAUGCUAGAGAAUCAACGUGAUUUCCGCUCAUGCAGGAGUGGACACAUUAUCUUAGAGCAUCCCUUACUGAGAUCUUUUAAAAAAUUUAUAUUAUAAAGUGAACAACAUAUUUAGUAUAGAUUUAGACGGCGGCUAGUAUAAUUUAUCUGUAUUCUAAUGACGUAUAUUAAAGAAAAUGACUAACCAUAAUUUCAAUCAACUUAUUAGUCUAUAUAUAUAUAUAUAUAUAUAAAAUAUUCAGUGAUUACAACAUAUUUAGUAUUCCAUAACAUGAUGUUUAUAAUAAUAAUUAUUAUUAAUUCACUUAUUGUGUCAAGAACCUUUUCUUUCUCUAAGAAUGAAUUUGUUACACCCUACUAUACUACGGAUGAAAAAUUUAGAAUCAUUGUGAAAUGUGAUUAUUAAUCACUCUUUGCCAUAUUUGCUACCAAACAAGAAUGCAACAAAGAAAAAAAAAACAAAAAUUAUAGAGCAUUAAUAAGACCAUUGACUUAUCAAUAACUGACCUUCUCAGCGAAAAGUGUAUUAGAAAUUUGGACAUUGUCCUCCAAAAUGAUUUCAUGUGACCGCAAAUUAUUUGUUGAUUCCUCCUGUCUCUGCUAACAUUGCAGGUGUAUUGAUUUUAGAGUGUAAGCUUAAUUGUGAGCACAACCUUAAUGCAUAGAUACAAGAUCUUUAAAAAUUAGUACAAUAAACUUAGCACUAAAUCUAAAUUUGAUAUUUUGGAUUCCAUGAUUAAGAUUUUUUUUAAAUGAAAAUUUAAUAGGGUUAAUUUAAAAAUAAAAAUUAAAUAUGAAAAAUUAGACUUGCAAUUAUGGAUUUAAUUUUGAUAAAUAAUGAAUGUUCUCUUAAUAUUUUUUUUAAAAGGUAAAAGUGCGUGCAAAGCCCAAAUUCAUUUUUUUAGUCCCUUACUCUCCCAUGAUUCAAACUUGGGUGGUUGUGGGAGGACUGAAAAUAUAUAAGACCGUUAACUUCACUUUUUUUUUCUUUUUUUUUUUUUUUGUUGAGAGAAAAGAGAAGAAGGAUAUUACAAAGCAUGAAGCUCGUGCAAUAUAAGGACAAUUAUGGUUUUUUCUUUAAAUUAAAAUGGUAAGAUUUUGAAGCUAAAAGAUUAAAAUAUUAAUUAAAUUGCAACCAUUAAAGAUUUUUUUUUUCAAAUGGUUGCUUUGAAAAUGAGAAUAAUAUAAUAUUUGAAGACUUUUCAAAAUUAAUUACUGUGAUAGAUGCACUAGAAAUUUCUAGCUUUAGUCUAAUGUAUAAAUUGACAAAACGAUAUUAGAAUUCCAGGUGAAAAGAACCCUCUCAUACCAUUUUCUUAAAUUAGGAAUGAUCAUACCUCUGACUCUGCCGGACUGAGGGUGAGGUCUGAACCCCACAUCUCGAGACGCUUGAGAUGGGAAGAGCCCACAUUACGAAAAUAAUCGACAUCUUGCUCUUGCAAUCCACGUAAUUCAAGGUCUUCAAUUCUCUGCAGUUGCACGAUCAGCGAAUCCUUCAAGCAAAUGUUGUUAUUUAGCUGGAGACUGAAUUCACGAUACCAAAUGCCGGUGCUCUCCCAAUAGCCAACAUCUCCAAUGCGUAUGAUGUACCUUUCCAGCUUCUCCAAGAGCAGGCCUCUGGGCAGAGUGCUGACGUCAUAGACGUGUAAUUCCAAAGAGGUCAAGUUGGGCAAAUGCUUCAACUCCUCAAGGCUUGCAUUCUUAACCCCUUCUUCCACCUCCACCUCCCAUUUAUCAAAGCUUUCACCUAUAUAUAGUUCUUCUAAACGGGAUAAUUUUGACAGUAUAUUUGGUGGAAUAACUUCUAGUUCCUCACAAUCUCUCAAAUCAAGCAAAUUUAGCCAAGUCAAUUCACCUACUUCUGUUGGCAUCUGCUUAAUAUCGGAGCCUCUUAAGCAAAGGAUUUCUAGAUUCUUCUUCAAGUCUACUACAAAACUUAUAUCAGGCAAGCUGCAGCGACACAAACUCAGUGUUCGAAGGUUUGACAGGAGACCAAGUGAUGAAGGCAGUACCAUGUCAGUCAAGUUUACAACUCUGACCUCGAUCAUGCUCUUGAAAAAGUUGUCUGGAAUUGUUACUCGUGAAGAUUCCCAAGGAUCAUUACUUAGAAAAAGAAGUUCGAGUUGAGGACAUUCCAGUACUUCAGGAAGCAAAUUAGGCUUGAUAUCAUGUAAGACGAUUGAAGUGCAAUGCUUUAUUGCACUUCCGUCUGACCAUUCCCUGCAACCAUCAACCUGCUCAUUUGUAGCAGUAAACACAUUUCGUUCAGUAGAUGCAAUUGAUACGGCGACAUCGCGAACUACAUCAUGCAUAGAAAACAACUCUUUCUCCUGGCUUAUAUGGUCAAGCAACAUACAAGAAGCUUUGAGUGUGCGCACCAAUGUAUGUACUCGAUUUCGUGCUACUUCAAUCUUAUUCACACCUUGAAAUAAACCCAAUCCCAUACCACACAUUAACAAGUCAUCAAUAGAUGAUAUGGCUGUAUAUCCUAUUAGCAAAAAGAUGUUCUUGAGAUCAUCCCUUCCUAGUUUAUUGUAGCUCAACUCGAUAGCUUUAAAUGCGGCUGGCUGUACAUCCUUAAAAUUCGAUGAAGAAGGCCUUCUUAGCUGUUCCAAUGCAUCCUUCCAUUCACGUAUGCUGUUGCUCCUUAAUGCCCUUGCAACCGUCACAAUGGAAACUGGUAGACCUGCACAUUCCUCUGCCACAUUCCUUGCCACCUCUUCCAAUUCACUACCUUCAACAUAAUCACCUGCCAUCUUCUUGAAUAGACUCCAAGCUUCUUCUUCGUUUAAAACACCAACUGGGAAAUUUGUUCGACAAUCCAUCUUCUCAGACAAUACAUUUAGACUUCUGGCCGUCAACAAUACUUUACAACCAUCUCCAAGAGGAAUUCGGACAUUCCCCAAAUUAAGAUUCUCCCAAAUGUUGUCUAAAACUAUCAGGAUCUUCUUCACUUUUUUUAUACCUUCACAUAACCUGCCUGCCCUUCCUUCAUCACUUUCCUCAUGCAACUUCAGGCCUAAUUUAUCUGCAAUUACUCCUUGAAUCUUUCGUAUGUCUUGAUUCUGAGACACCUCAACAAAAACCACCUGAUCAAAGAGUUUGUCACUCUUGACUUUCCUAGCAACUUCUUCGGCCAGCGUCGUCUUUCCGAUUCCGCCCAUUCCAUAGAUCCCAAGCAUGUUGACAUCGCGAUCUUCUAGUGCACUGAGUAUACUCAUCAAAGUGGACAUUCUUGAUUCAAAGGGCUCGUAGUCUUUGCUAGGGAUAAGCCGAAUAUCCUCUGGAGCAGUACGGUAGGAAAUUCUAUCAAAUCUUCGAUCUUCUCGGACUUUGACAACAGCCUCCUUCUUCCUCUCUGCUUCCUUGCUAAGUCGACGGCGGGUCUUCAAAUUAGGACACAACCCCUUGAAACAACGUUUAGUUGCAGCGGCUUCAUCUUCUGUAAAUUUAUCUGCCUCUUCAAUGACUUUGUUGGCCCCUUCAAGCCAACUCCUAACGUUCUCUUCAAUUUCUUCCCCGUUUCGUUCAGCCUCAUCAACCUGGUGCUCUGUACGCACCCUCUCAGACUUUAGUUUCUCAACUUCAGUCUUGAGAUUCUGUAAGUUGCUCGUGUACUUACUCUCACGCAAAUAGCUAAUUUGGCGAUAUGCGGGAGGAGCCAAGCACUUCACAACUUCUACAACAAUAGUAAGAAUGAAAUCAGCCAUCUUCAGUCCUUUGUCCCUGUCUCUCGAUCUCUCUUUUUCUGAAUUUUUGAAAAACAAUUGACUAUUUAGGAAGCACACUGAGUGAUUGAACACAAGUGACUACAACAAGAUGGAACAAAAUAAAAAGGAAAAAAAUACAAAGAGUGGAUGGAGAAUAAAACAGAGACAGCGGCACAGCUGGACACAACUAGAUAGAGAACAGAGGAAAACCAAAUAACAAGACUGAAGAUUACAACAAACAGAGGCCAAGUAUUGUUGAGAUCAGAAGAUGGAAAAUUCAAAAGAGUUGAUGGCAGAUGCUGAAUAACAGAACAACAAUGAACGCAAUAAACAGAAGCAAAGUGUGUUUGCGAUCGACAGACGGAAGUAAGGAAAGCGGUUGUUGAUUGAAAAUGAAUGAAUGCAAAGAAAGACUGAUGUUGAAAAUUGAUGUCAAUAGCGAAGGAAUAAUUGAACUUUCGCUGAAUUAUUGUUUGUGGCCUUCUUUUACUUUUUAUUUGUGGGUCAUGUCUUUUGGAACUAAUCAUCUUAGCUUAUGCCUUACAGCUUUAAGGCCAGUAACCGGUGUCCGUUGGAUAAGCAUAUAGAAAUCCAACGGUGGAUAUAUAUCCUUGCAGAACAAAAUUCAACAGCAACACCCCAACUUUAAAUAUGAUUAUCUGUUGGGGAGUGCUGGGCUGCAGUUUCUUAAGGAGAUUUAUAUAUCCUCCUCAAAAAUAAAUGUUUUAAGAUAGAUAUUUAGACUAUUUCAUCAUAAAAUAAAUGUAAUUAAUUUUUUUUAUAAAUAUUUAUUUAUUUUUUUAAUUACUAAUGACCUUUGAAUAUACAUAUCACUAAUUCAAAAAAUAAAUUGUGAUUAUUUGUUAAUGUAUGCGAUUACUUGUGAUGGUAAACUUUUGAAGUUAAAUUAAAAAAAAAAAACAGAGCUUUUACCAUUACUUGCUUUAUCAUCUUUUAAAUUAGAAUUAUUAUUCUUUUAUUUUUUUCAAGUUGCCAACUCAUCCGCAUUCUUUUUUAUUGAAUUUGAAGAUCAAUGAUUAUAAAUUUGUGUAAAAAUUUUAAGCCAAAAUUUUAAAUUAAAAUAAUCAUUAACUUAUUGGAAAAUAAUAACUUGGUAUAACAAAUAUUAUAUCCUAUACUUUAUUGCUACAAGAUUACAAAACCUUAUAUUAUAUUAUGUUUCCAUAUUUCUCCUUUAUAGUAAAGACUCAUACUUCUUCUCUAGUAGAUGUUAAAGUAUUGGCUUAAACUUUUUAACCAGCACAGUAGACUAUUAAGCUAUAUAUGCUAUAAUGUCCCUCUUUCCUCACAGAUUAAACCAAUCUAAUCUCAGAGUGAGUUGAUACCAUGAGUUUGCAUUUGUCAUCAAAGGAGCAUCAUUAUUAAUUAAUAUAGGUUCGAUCAAUAGGUAUGAUAAUAAAUUUUUUUAUCUACAAAUACUAUUUUUCAAAAUAUUAUAUCUUUAGACUUAACUAAAUAUCUUCUAACCAUAUAUGUACAGUUUGUUUGAUCUCUUUUAAAUAUUGGAGAUUACAACAGAACAGAUGCGAAUUAGCAGUGACGCUGAGUUUAGAAGAUUGAAAUUAAGAAAAUUAAGGAAAGGAUAAGGAUGUAUUUUCAAAGUGAAUUAUUGAGAGAUCUUUGAAGAUUACUUCCGUCAAGAGCUGGGUCCCAUACUCUUUCGCCUUUGUCCUCCAGUCAACCAUAAGACAAAUUAUUAUUGAGUGUAAACGGACUUAUUAACCACCAAAUUUUCAAACUUGUGAUCCUUAUUGAAUCUGCAUUCCCCUUUACAAAAGUAAAAAAAAAAAAGUGCAAAUAACGAAAAAAAAUUUUGUUCCUUGACUGCAAGUGCUGUCGACAUUUUCAGACUUGUAAGACCCUUCUACUUGCAAGAUGCCACUGAAUUUGUCUUUUUUUUUUUUUAAAUUACACUAUACUAUUUUAUAUUUUAUAAAAAAAUUUAAUAGAUAUUAUAAGUUACAAAUUUUUAUAUUUAAUAUUCUCAAAAUAAAUUAUUAAAUAAAUGAUUCAUUUACUAUUUUUUCCUUUAAAUUUUUGUUAUUAAAAAGAUUUUUGGAUAUUGAACGUGAAGGGCUCAACUGAUCGCUAAUUUUGCAGCAAUUGCCCUUUUCUUUCUCCCCCAAUUGUUUUGAAAAAUAUCCAGACUCAUUCAGCGAAGUAUCCGAGGCCAAAGGGCUAAAAGAUGGGACACCCGCAUGUGCUUCUAAUUACAAAAUCUAAAGUUAGGGGGACCAUAACUUACAUUUAAUAUAAUUUAUGAUAGGGGUCCGCCUAUGUUACCACUGUACAAUAAGUUUGGUCUUUUCUGACUCAGUUGUGAUGAGCCCCUUGUACUCGAUAUUAUUUACUAUUUAUUUAUAAGUAUUAUAAAAAUUUUUGCUUACUUAUUAUAUAAAAAUUUAAUUGGUUCCCUUACACUCUUAUUCAUUUACUAUUUUUUUGUAGUAUCAAAAGAAUUUAUAUUUACAACCACGAUACAUUAAUUAUCAUAACACUCUAAUAUUAAUAAAAAGACAAAGACAUCCUUAAAUUAAAACAAAAAAAAUACUUUCUUCUUUUGAGGAAUUACGGUAUCUCAUUUUCCACCACUCAUUAUCAACAAAAUUUUUAAGGAUAUAACCAUUCAUCUUCUUUAUAAUAUCAUCUCGCAAUAAUUAAUACUUUCAUGAAAAAAUAAUUAACAAAAUAAAAAAAUAAAUUCCCAUUGAAUACAUCCCUCUCCACUAUUAAUUUCUCUUCAUCAAUAACCUUUAUCGACAAUUAAAACCACCAUUAGACUCAUCAUAAAGAGAGAGUAAGAGAAAGAAAGAAGAAACGAGAAAAAAUAUAUGAACCUUUUAUAAUUUUAUAGUGCGUUCACUAAACGAGAAUCGAAAUGAGGUGAAAUCAAAACGAGAAAUUAAGGGCCCGUUUGGUAUUGUUUUUGAAUCUGUAUUUUCUGAGAAUAAAAAUGAAAAUGAAAAUGGUGUUUUGCAGUUGCUGUAUUUUGAAUUUAAGUAUGCGUCUGGUAUUAUUUUCUGUAUCCUGUAUUUUAAAACUGAAAACAGUAACAUGCGUUCGGUAGACACAGUCGAAAAUGAUAAAAACAGAGAAUAUGCGUUCGGUAAUACUUUUUUCAAAAACAGUUUUUACUAUUAACCAUUUACAUCAUAUUUAUAGUUAUAAAAUAAUUAUUUAGCUAAUACAUACACAAAUACAACAUAAUAAUUUAAAACAAAAUUAUUAUAAAAAAUUUACAUGAUGAUAAAGUUUUAGAAUUAACAUUAAUUAAAAAAAAUUACAUUGUCAUUGUUUUUACAUCAUAAUUAAGAUAUAUAUUACAACACAUGAUUUAAACAAAAUAAUUAUAAAAAAAAUACAUGAUAGACAUUAUACAUUACGUAUGUAAUUAUGCCACAUAGAAGUUGCAAUUCUAUCUCUUGUAGCACUCAUCUCGGCGACACUUGCUGGAGAUAAAUCAAUAUUAGUAAGUGGCCUACUAGUGUCUCCUUCUUCGAUGGUAACCAAAUCUUGUACAUCAAAGUCCCCAAAUAACCUAUCACUUGCAUUUUCUCGUCGAAUAAAGUUAUGUAAAGCGCAACAUGCAAUUGGAAUUAGACGUUGCUUACGUAAACUAUAAUUAUGCAUAUCCCUUAAAAUUGAAAAUCGCGCUUUUAAAACACCAAAGCAUCGCUCAAUUACAUUACGCAAUGAUGAAUGUCUGUAAUUAAACAAUUCUUGGGGACCUCUAGGUGCUCGACCUGAUCCUCUAUAAUCACGUAAAUGAUAUCUCUCACCUCUAUAUGGUGUCAAAAAUCCUUUCAUAUUUAUGUAUCCAGAAUCCACAACGUAGUAAUAUCCUAAAAUAUAGAAACAAUAAAACAUAACUUAAUUAAAAAAUAAAGGCCAAAGAUAUUAACACACACACACACACACACACAAACAUAUAUAUAUAUAUCUCAAUAUUCUUACCUUCUUCCGGACGUGGAAACCCAGAUUCUGGUCUAUUUAAGGCAUCCAUAAACACCCUUGAGUCAUUGGCGGUACCUUCCCAACCCGUAUAUACAAAUGUGAACAUCAUGUCAAAAGAACAUGCACACAUGAUAUUUUGAGUCACCUGAGUCUUUCUAUCUCGAUAUGAUAUCUGUUUAUGUGCAGGUGACCAUGCAGCAAUGUGGGUUCCAUCAAUUGCACCGAUACACUUCUGUGAAAAUAUGUCAAAAUUAUUAAUUUAUUAACCAAAUGUUAAUGUCACAUAAACUUUGAAGUAACAUGUAUUGAAUUUCUUACCUCAAAAUAUGGAAAAAAAUUUGGAUUGUUACUAAUCUCUGAUGGCGUUUCCCCUUGAGGUUUUGGUUUUAUAAUGUGAUUUGCCAAUUGACAAAGUGCUUUUAAAACACGCUUAAAGUGUGAAAAAACAGUAUCCCCUGAACGUUGAAAACGCUCAGAUACAACCCUCACAACAGCACCAUGGGACAAUACAUACAAGCACAUUGCUACAGCCUCCUUGAUACAAACAUGUCUAUCAUUCUCUAAUAACUGUAGAUGUUCAAGUGUAUAACAUAAUCAAAUAAGUGUAUAAAUAAAACCAAAAAAUAUUAUUUUAAUUUAAUACGAAACUAUUUAAUAUACUACAAAUAUAGUUUUACCUUAAUAUAUUCAGCCCAAACAGCUUCCGAUGCUGUGACCGUAUUUGAAACAUGAUCCCAACCAAACCCGGUAUGAGCUACUAAGUCAGAAAACUCUCGAUGUUUUUUGCGCAACCUAUUAAACUUGGACUUAAGUUGCCCUACAUUGAAUCUUUUUUGGCAUUGUUCUAACAUCUCAUCACUUAUAGUGUUCCAAAUUUUCUUAGUGAAAGUUGAUGUUUGUAAAUCACCCUUUUUAACAUGGUCAUGUACAAUACGAAUAAAAACGGUUUCGGUCCGGCUAGACCAAUCAGCCUUAUCCUCAACAUCAACAUCAUGUGAAUCCAUAUCUUGAAAAAUUAGAAAAAAUAACACAUAUCAAAUAAUGAUCAAAUUCAACAUAACAUAUACAUAUUUCAGCAACAUGUCAUACAUUAAAAACUGAAUGGUACCAAAAAAAAAUAAAAAAUAAAACAUAUAUCAAAUAUUAAUCAAAUUAAAAACACUGCUAUUAAAUUUUUAGAUAUAAACAUACAAUUUUCAGUACAUGCUAUUAAUCCCCCACUAAAUUUCAGUAAUGUAAUCAACAUAAAGGUUGCAUUGCUAUGACUUUUUGCAUUAAUAUUGAUAACUAAAAGCCUUAACUUGCUUUUUGAACUUGGUUAUUUGUUACUCAAUGCAGACAGCUUACAACUUGAAGAUUUGGGAAUCAUUUACCACGGAAAUACCCACCCAGGUAUUUGGUAUGCUAGUGUAGUGUUUUUGGGAACAAUUUAGUCAUCAAGAUGUCUGGUUAUGGUGUAGCUAAUACCAAAAUUUGUAGAAGUAUCUAAAUAAAAAUAAAAUGUGCUCUUUAUUUUGCUAAUAUUUUUUGUUCUAGUAAUUUCAUAGAAUUUAUAUUGGUACAGAGAUAGCUAUGUCUCAAGCCUAUAGUAAUUGCAAUUUUCUAAAUGGCUCAGCGUCUUUCCUUGGUCUGAGGAACAAACAUGGGGAUGAAACAAAAAUCUGGCAUCAGAAUCCAUAUGCUGGCUAUUUUUAACAUUGCUUUUUUGGGUUUCAGCUAUCAUAGUCUAGAGUACUUUUGCACGGUUAAUUAAGUUAAUAACAGUGGAAAGUUUUCCAAUCAGCAUAAAGGAAUUCCCACAAGAAAUUGUUUGUUUUAAUAGAUUUAAUCUCUAAAAUAAAUGAGGAAAAAUUUCAGCUCAUAAAUAAACAAUUUGUCACUACAUAUGAACAACCUCAGAAAUUUCCAGAAUUAAAAAUCACUCAAAUCAUCUCUAAAAAUUUUCAGUUCAUAAACAAAAUAAAUACCAGCAAGUGACAGAUCCGGGAGAGCAACAAUGGUUGGGCAAGUGCAGAUCCGAGAGAGCAAGUGCACCGAGAGAGCAAGUGCAGAUCCGAGAGAGCAAAGACGAAGUAGCAGCAGCUGGACGGAGUCGGAGUAGCAGCAGCUGGACGGAGUCGGAGCAGCAGCGGUUACAGCGGAGAAAGAGCAGCGGCAGUGGCUAGCACACCAAGAGCGACCAAGAGAGAGAUUUGCUGCAACUGGAUUGAGAAAAUUGAGGGGAAAGAGGGUGCUGCAGUGAACUGGAUUGAGAGUGAGGGUUGCAGUGAAGAGAAAAGUGAGGGCUGCAGGGUCACGAUUUUUUUGUUGUUUUUUAAUUCAUUUUUAGGUUUAGUUUGUAAAAUUUGGAAAACAUGUUUAACUUGUUUUCAGUUGUAUAGUUAUAAUAAUGAAUCCGGAUUUUAUGUUUUGUAAUUUAUUUUGUGAAACAAAUCUACCGAACAUGUUUUAUGUGUGUAUUAUAAAAAUGAAAACGAAAACAUGGCUUGCAAAACGGUACCGAACGGGCCCUAAGUUAUCUGACAUCAGAUGACCGCUGUCAUCUGACCAAACCCCAGCAACCAUGGGAAAAAUCACCUACUUGUUUUAGGAGCAGGAGCAGGAGCAGGAGGAGGAAAUUAAGUUAGGGAUUUGGAGUGAUAGGGAAAAAGCUGAUUGUUGAGAAAUAUAUAUACCUUUUGUAUGGUUGUGUUAAGGUCGCCCUUCCAAGCCCAACUUGCUUCACUCCGCCGCUGCACUUCGUGUAAUUUGGGUGUACUUAAAUUUCCUUCAGAGAAAAUCUUCAUAUCGGGGCAAUCAUCCACCACUAAUCUUUCCAAAGAUGGGAACUUGAAAGCACAAUUGCCAGAGCAGAAGCUUGUCAAACUUUUUAAGUCUAAAAGCUUCAACUCCUUCAAUUCUCUGAAAGUAAUAACCUCAUCUUUUGCCACAACAUCAUCCACCAGUACUAUUUCUGUUAUCAUAACGCAUGAUUUUAUCUUCAUAUAUCUAAGUCGCACCAGAGACUUUGCAAUUGAGGAUGUUAAUACGAUUUUCAAUCUUUCGCAACUGAAUACCACCAGAUUUGUAAGAUUCUGAAAGGAUGUCGACGAUGGCACUAGAUUGACCAAACGGUCACACCCCUUUACACGUAGAAUAACCAAGUUGUUCGUAACAGAGGACUCCCUUAUCAAAAUGUUCUCCAGAUGAUAACAAUUAUUUGCUUCACUUAUUUCUACUGCCAUACCAUUUUCAACCUUCUCUUUCGGCGACCGGCCACCAUAUCCUUGUAUUUGGAGGACUUUCAUUGUGUGAAGUCUCUGGAGGAAGUCAUCAAGUGAUACAAUAGUCGGCUCAUCAACCAACUCCACAAAAAGAUAUUUUAGUUUGCAAAGCAAGUCUUCAAAAAAUAGAUAUUUAUUUGUUCCUAUGUACUUUGCAUCAACUUUCAACUCUUCCAAAUUAGGGAAUACCUGGGAGAUCGAUCAGAACCAAAAAAAAAAAAAAUACAAGAUGAAUCAGUUGAUGAGAAUUAUAAGUUACCACUAAUUUAUACAAUAUAUUUUAUUCAAUAAAUCAAUAAAUACAAGAUAAACUUUCACAGUACGUACAUAAGAAUUGAAAAUUUGAUUAUAAAAUUCUUGUACGUACCCUUUCUGUCGAGAUAUUAGUAGUUUUUUCGUAUCUCACCAUGAAUUCAGGACAUGCAGAUAUCCAUAAUUCUUCCAAGGAUGGAAAUUCAAGAAUAUCAAGAUCUCCAGUGCAGAAGCUUGUGAACUUUUCAAGAUCAGACAUCCUCAGAGAUUGCAACUGGGGAAACGUUACAAUAUUAUUCUUCAUUUCUUCUUGGUUGUCCACGACUAUUAACUCUUCCAGGACAGGACAUUUGACUAUCAUAACGUGUUGGAGUCGAACAAAGCUACUAACUGUAGAAGAUGAAAAUAGACAUCUUAAAUUCAUACAGCUGUACAGGGUCAAGCGCGUUAAAUUUUGAAUACCACAAGACAUGACUGCAACUUGGUUCAGCCAAAUCCUCUCAACAUUUAUUGAAUACAACAUCAACUCCUCCAAAUUUGGUAAUGCAACCUGCACGAUCAAAAAAUUAACUUGUUAAUUACAAGCAACAAUUAUUAAUCACUCUUUGCCAUAUUUGUUACCAAACAGGAAUAUAACAAAGAAAAAAAAACAAAAAUUAUAGAGAAUUAAUAAGACGAUUGACUUAUUAAUAACUGACCUUCUCAGGGAAAAGCGUAUUAUAAAUUUGGACAUUGUCCUCCAAAAUGAUUUCAUGUGACUGCAAAUCAUUAUCUGAUUCCUGUUGUCUCUGUUGACGUUGCAGGUGUCUUGAUUUUAGAGCGUAAGCCUAAUUGUGAGCACAAUCUUAAUGCAUAGAUACAAGAUCUUUAAAAAUUAGUAUAAUAAACUUAGCACUAAAUUCAAAUUUCAUAUUUCGGAUUCCAUGAUUAAGAUUUUUUAAAUAAAAAUUUAAUAGAGUUAAUUUAAAAAUAAAAAUUAAAUAUGAAAAAUAAACUUGCAAUUAUGGAUUUAAUUUUGAUAAAUAAUGAAUGUUCUCUUUAUAUUUUUUUUAAAAGGUAAAAGAGCAUACAAAGCCCAAAUUCAUUUUUUUAGUCCCUUACUCUCCCUUGAUUCAAACUUGGGUGGUUGUAGGAGGACUGAAAAUAUAUAAGACAGUUAACUUCACUUUUUUUUUUCUUUUUUUUUUGUUGAGAGAAAAGAGAAGAAGGAUAUUACAAAGCAUGAAGCUCGUGCAAUAUAAGGGCAAUUGUGGUUUUUUCUUUAAAUUAAAAUGGUAAGAUUCUGAAGCUAAAAGAUUAAAAUAUUAAUUAAAUUGCAAACAUUAAAGAUUUUUUUUUUCCAAAAUUGGUUGCUUUGAAAAUGAGAAUAAUAUAAUAUUUGAAGACUUUUCAAAAUUAAUUACUGUGAUGCACUAGAAAUUUCUAGCUUUAGUCUAAUGUAUAAAUUGACAAAACGAUAUUAGAAUCCCAGGUGAAAAGAACCCUCUCAUACCAAUUAUUUAAAUUAGGAAUGAUCAUACCUCUGACUCUGCCGGAUUGAGGGCGAGCCAGAGACGCUUGAGAUGGGAAGAGCCCACUUUGACUAAUUCAUUACGAAAAUAAUCGACAUCUUGCUCUUGCAAUCCACAUAAUUGAAGGUCUUCAAUUCUCUGCAGUUGCACGAUCAGCGAAUCCUUCAAGCAAAUCUUGUUAUUUAGCUCGAGACUGAAUUCACGACACCCAAUGCCGGUGCUCUCCCAAUAGCCAUCAUCUCCAAUGCGUAUGCUGUACCUUUCCAGCUUCUCCAAGAGCAGGCCUCUGGGCAGAGUGCUGACGUCACGGGCGCGUAAUUCCAAAGAGGUCAAGUUGGGCAAAUGCUUCGACUCCUCAAGGCUUGCAUUCUUAAUCCCUUCUUCCACCUCCACCUCCCAUUUAUCAAAGCUUAUACGACCUAUAUAUAGUUCUUCUAAACGGGAUAAUUUUGACAGUAUAUUUGGUGGAAUAACUUCUAGGUCCUCACAAUCUCUCAAAUCAAGCAACUUUAGCCAAGUCAAUUCACCUACUUCUACCGGCAACUUCUUAAUAUCAGAAUCUCUUAGGCAAAGGAUUUCUAGUUUCUUCAAGUCUCCUACAACACUUAGAUCAGGCAGGUAGCACCAACACAAACUCAGUGUUCGAAGGUUUGACAGGAGACCAAGUGAUGAAGGCAGUGACCGUAGAUCCAUGUCAGUCAAGUUUACAACUCUGACCUGUAUCAUCCUCUCGAAAAAGUUGCUUGGAAUUGUUAAUGAUGAAGAUUCCCAACGACCAGCACUUAGAAACAGAAGUUCGAGUUGAGGACAUUCCAGUACUUCAGGAAGCAAAUUAGUCUUGAUACCAUGCAAGACGAUUGAAGUGCAAUGCUUUAUUGCACUUCCGUCCGACCAUUCCCUGCAACCAUCAACCUGCUCAUUUGUAGCAGUAAACACAUUUCGUUCAGUAGAUGCAAUUGAUAUGGCGACAUCGCGAACUACAUCAUGCAUAGAAAACAACUCUUCAUCCUUGCUUUCAUGGUCAAGCAACAUACAAGAAGCUUUGAGUGUGCGCACCAAUGUAUGUACUCGAUUUCGUGCUUCUUCAAUCUUAUUCACGCCUUGAAAUAAACCCAAUCCCAUACCACACAUUAACAAGUCAUCAAUAGAUGCUAUGGCUGUAUAUCCUAUUAGCAAAAAGAUGUUCUUGAGAUCAUCCCUUCCUAGUUUAUUGUAGCUCAACUCGAUAGCUUUAAAUGCGGCUGGCUGAACAUCCUUAAAAUUCGAUGAAGAAGGCCUUCUUAGCUGUUCCAAUGCAUCCUUCCAUUCACGUAUGCUGUUGCUCCUUAAUGCCCUUGCAACCGUCACAAUGGAAACUGGUAGACCUGCACAUUCCUUUGCCACAUCCCUUGCUACCUCUUUCAAUUCAUUACCUUCAACAUAAUCACCUGCCAUCUUCGUGAAUAGACUCCAAGCUUCAUCUUCUUUUAAAAAUCCAACUGGGAAAUUUUUUCGAGACUCCAUCUCUCCAGACAAUGCUUGUUCACUCCUUGCCGUGAACAGCACUUUAAUUCCAACAUCCAACAAAUCAAGAUUUUCCCAAAUAUUAUCCAAGAUUACAAGGAUCCUCUUCUCUUUCUUCAGUCGAUCAUAGAGUCUUCUUGCCCUACCCGAUUCACUCUCCUCAUCAAAUUUUAGACCUAGUUUAUCCGCGAUUUCUCCUUGAAUCUUUCUUACGUCUCGACUCUCAGACACCUCAGAAAAAACCACCUGAUCGAAAAGCUUGUCACACUCUGCUUUUCUGGCAACUUCUUUAGCUAGCGUCGUCUUUCCGAUUCCGCCCAUUCCAUAAAUCAAAAGCAUGUUGACAUUGGGAUUUUUUAAUGCAUCAAUUAUUUCAUUCAGAAUGGACGUUCUUGAUUCAAAGGCCUCGAAGUCUUUGUUAGGCAUAAGCAAGGUAUCCUCCGGAAUGAUGCUGUAGGAAAUACUAUUAACUGGUCUAGCGUCCAGGACUUUGACAACAGCCUCCUUCUGCCUCUCUGCUUCCUUGCUAAGUCGAGGGCGGGUCUUCAAAUUAGGACAUAACCCCUUGAAACAACGCUUAUUUGCAGUGGCUUCAUCUUCUGUAAAUUUAUCUGCCUCUUCAAUGACACUGUUGGCCGUUGCAAGCCAAUUCUCAACGUUCUCUUCAAUCUCUUCUCCUUUUCUUUUAGCCUCAUCAACCUGGUGCUCUGUACUCACCCUCUCAGACUUUAGUUUCGCAACUUCAGUGUUGAGAUUCUGUAAGUUGCUCGUGUACUUACUCUCACGCAAAUAGCUAAUUUGGCGAUAUGCGGGAGGAGCCAAGCACUUUACAACUUCUAAAACAAUAGUAAGAAUGAUUUCAGCCAUCUUCAGUCCUUUGUCCUUGUCUCUCUAUCUCUUUUUUUCUGAAUUUUGGAAAAACAAUUCAACAAGUGACCACAACAAGAUGGAACAAAAUAAAAAGGAAAAAAAAUACAAAGAGUGGAUGGAGAAUAAAACAGAGACAGCGGCACAGCUAGACGCAACUAGAUAGAGAACAGAGGAAAACCAAAUAACAAGACUUAAGAUUACAACAAACAGAGGCCAAGUAUUGUUGAGAUCAGAAGAUGGAAAAUUCAAAAGAGUUGAUGGCAGAUGCUGAAUAACAAAACAACAAUGAACGCAACAAACUGAAGCAAAGUGUGUUUGUGAUCGACAGACGAAAGUAAGGAAAGUGGUUGUUGAUUGAAAAUGAAUGAAUGCAAAGAAAGACUGAUAUUGAAAAUUGAUGUCCAUAGCGAAGGAAUAAUUGAACUUUCGCUGAAUUAUUGUUUGUGCCUUCUUUUACUGUUUAUUUGUGGGUCAUGUCUUUUGGAACUAAUCAUCUUAGGUUAUGCCUUAUAGCUUUAAGGCCGGUAAACCGGUGUCCGUUGGAUUAGCAUAUAGAAAUCCAACGGUGGAUAUAUAUACUUGGAGAAUAAAAUUCAAGAGCAAAGGGAGUGCUGGGCUGCAGUUUCUUAAGGAGAUUUAUAUAUCCUCCUCAAAAAUAAAUAUUUUAAGGUAGGUAUUUAGACUAUUUCAUCAUAAAAUAAAUGUAAUUAAUUUUCAUAAAUAUUUGAUAUCAAUAUUUAUUUAUUUUUUUAAUUACUGAUGACCUUUGAAUAUUCGAUACAUAUUAUUAAUUCAAAAAAAAAAUUGUGAUUAUUUAUUAAUGUUUGCGAUUACUUGUGAUGGUAAACAAAGUAGAUAUGGUAUAUUUUGAAGUUAAAUUAAAAAAAACAGAGCUUUUACCAUUACUUGCCUUAUCAUCUUUUAAAUUAGAAUUAUUAUUCUUCUAUUUUUCAAGUUGCCAACUCAUUGUCUUUUAUUGAAUUUAACGAUCAAUGAUCAUAAAAUUGUGUAAAAAUUUUAAGUCAAAACUUUAAAUUAAAAUAAUCUUUAAGUUAUUGAGAAAUAAUAACUUAAUAUAACAAAUAUUAUAUCCUAUACUUUAUUGCUACAAAAUUACGAAACUUUAUAUUAUGUUUUCAUAUUUCACCUUUAUAGUGACGACUCAUGCUUCUUCUCUAAUAAAUGCUAAAGUAUUGGCUUGAAUUUUUUAAUUAGUACAGUAGAACCUUAAGCUAUAUAUACUAUAAUGUCCCUCUUCUCUCACAGAUUAAACCAAUCAGAUCUCAGAGUGAGUUGAUACCAUGACUUUGCAUCAUUCAUGAUCAAAGGAGCAUCAUUACUAACUAAUAUAGGCUCGAACAAUAGGCAUGAUAAUAAUUUUGUUUAUCUACAAACACUAUUUAACUCUAUCUCUUUUCUCUCCCCCACGCGAAGACUACUCCUUUCUCUUUGGCUAAUUUUUAAAAACCUCCCCUGAGGUUUGGACUUGUUGCAAGUAGAUGGCGAGAAUUUGUUUAUUUGUAAAAAACCCCCUACCGUCAAUUAACUUUAACAUUGACCGUUAGUUGACUGUGCAAAGAUAAUAUUACCCUUAACAAUAGUUUGUAGACGGAAAUAACUAAAAAAAAAUUUAAAAUUAUUGGCUAUUUUAUCCUCUUUAAAUUAUUGAUAUUUUCUUAAAGUUCCUACAAGAAAGAUAAAAUUUAAAAUUUAAAAUUUAAAAAAUCCUCUUUAAAUUAUUGAUAUUUUCUUAAAGUUCCUACAAAAAAGAUAAAAUUAAAAACUUGAAAAUGAAAUAGUUAUAAUCUUUACCCAUAAUAUUGUAAAUCUUUAGAAUUGACAAAGAUAAAAUUGUCAAAAAAUAGGGUUUGUGCUUUUCGCGCCAAUAAUUUUAAUUUUUUUUUAGUUAUUUCCGUCUAUAAACUGUUGUUAAGGGUAAUAUUAUCUUUACACAGUCAACUAACGGUCAAUAUUAAAGUUAACUGACGAUAGAGGGUUUUUUUAUAAAUAAAUAAAUUUUCGCCAUCUACUUGCAACAAGCCCAAACCUAAAGGACGUUUUUAAAAAUUACCCUUUCUCUUUUGACAUUUUUUACGCGUUUCUCUUUUCUCUUCCCCCACGUGAACACUUUUGCCUUUUGCUCGUUCACGUGAAAGUCGGUUUAGAAUUUUGAUCUUAUUUCACAAAGCUAAUUUUUUAUCACAAGCAGGAGAGAAACGGCAUUUCUUAGCAGUAGUUCAUCACUGUAGUGGCGAGCUAGUGAGGAACAAAAUUACCAACAAUUAUAAAAAAAUAAUUAUAAAAAAAGAUCACAUGCUAUAAUUAAUCAUGACCAUUGACAACAUUACUCCCACCGAGCAAAAGUUAACAGCAUCUUCUCCCACAUUUAAAAAAAAAAUAGUAUUAUAUAACCCACCAAAAGUAUAAAGAGUCUUUCUUUAUUAAAAUUAAUAAAUUACUCUUUAUAUUGAGAAAUUAAAAUUUAAAAUAAAAAUAAUUGAUAUGUUUAUUAUUUAAAAUAAAAAUAAAAAUAAAAUUUACAAAAUCAUAUAUUUUUAAAAUUAAAGAAUAAGAAUUUAAUUUCUUAUGGAGAGUGUUGGAAAUCAAGUUCUUAUUGCUUAAACUCCUAAUUUUACCUCACAAAAAUUUUAUAAGUUCACUUUUAUCCUUAAUUAAAAUAUUAUUAUGUUAUUAUUAUGGUUAUUAUUCUUAUUUUUGUAGUAGUUGCUGCUGUUGUUGUUGAUGAUGAUAAUAGUUGAUAAUAAAAUUAAUAAUAAUAAUGAAAAUAAUAACUAUAAUUUUAACAGCUACAAUAAUAAUCAUUAAUAUUAUUGUUGUCGUUCUUAUUAUUAUUAAUAAAAAAUAAUUAUUUUGAAUAAUAAUAAUCACAAUUAUUAUAACAAACAACGACAAUAAUCAACUAAUGUCAUUGUAAUAACUUGUAACAAUUCAUUUUUUAUUUCAAGACAAAGUAACCAUAUCAAUAAUAAUAUAGGUUAUUUCGAUUCUAAUUCUUACAAGUAAAAUAAAUAAUUUAUUCUGAUUCUCAUUUUUCAUUUUGAUUUUAUUCUAUUCUGAUUCCAGUUGAUUCUGAUUCCAGCCAAUUCAAAUUACCAACUAGAAAAUGCAUUGUUACUACUUUAAUAAUAACUAAUGAUUCUCCUCACAAUUCUUAUAGGAUUAUCCUUAUUUUAAAAUAAUUUUUUAUUCAUAUUUAUCAUAAAUUAAUUAAAUUAUACCAAUGAAAAUUAAAAAAAAAAGAGAAAACAUAUGUUUCGGUUUGAAUAAAAAAUUAAUAAUAAAAUAUUUUCCUUAUAUAUUUUUAAUAUUUUUAUUAUAAUAAAUAUUUAUUUUAUAUUCUUAAAAUAAAUUAUUAAGUAAACGAUUCAUUAACUCAUUUUUUUCCUUUAAAUUUUUGUUAUUAAGAAGAUUUUUGGGUAUUGACCGUGAAGGGCUCAACUGAUCGCUAAUUUUGCAGCAAUUGUCUUUUCUUUUUCUUUUUUUUAAUUGUUUUGAAAAAAAUAUUCAGACUCAUUCUGCAAAGUACCUAAGGCCAAAGCGCCGAAAGUUAGGACACCCACAUGUGCUUUUAUUCACAAAUUCUAAAAUUAGGUGGGGUGUCCAUAACGUACGUUUAAUAUAAGAGAAAUGCUAAAGGUCGGGAAUGCUGAGAGAACACUGAGAGAAACGGCAGCUUGGGCUGCCGUUUCGUGUUCUCUCACCUCCCUACUAAGAAAACGAGCCUCCACGUGUUCUCUCAGCUCCCCACUACUUCAGCUCAAGUUACUUUUGUCAAAAGUUGGCGUUUGGCCCCACACUCAAAACACUUUUGCCAAGUGAAUUGUGCCCCCCACGUGAAAGUUUGAGUUAUUUCUUUGCUCAUGACCAAGUAAAGCUAAGUUAAGUUUGAGUUCUCUCCUUACUCCUUCACUCGUUCACUUCUCCUUCGUUUCUCGUUCACUUUUUUGCUCAUCAAAAACCAUUACUUCAGCUCAUCCAAUCAGUGAAUUAGUGGCCAUUACUUCAGCUAAUUCAUUUUCCGAUCUAGAUCUUGAAGCAACACCCAAUUGGUAAUUAUCUCAGCUUAAAGAAUAAUUUUUUAUGUGUUUAUUAUUUUUUUGUUAUAUCAUAAUAAUAGAAAUGUCCUUGCAUUUACUGAUUAAAUGAUAAUGUGUUUAAUUUAUAAUUUUUUAGAAAUCUUUUUAUUUAAAUGAUAUGUUUGAUUUAUAAUUUUUUAAUUUAAAUUUUGUUUGAACAUAGAAUUAUUUUUAAUUUAAAUUGUGUUCGAUUUAUAAUUUAUUUAAUUUAAAUUUUUAGAACUUUAAUGGAUUAAAUUAUUACUGGAAAAAUGUAUAAUAAUUUAUUCUUAAUUUAAAUGUUGUUUCCACAUUGAAUUUUUUAUUUAAAUUGUGUUCGAUUUAUCAUUUUUUAAUUUAAAUUGUUAGAACUUUAAUGGAUUAAAUUAUUGCUGAAAAAAUUUAUAAUAAUUUAUUCUUAAUUUAAAUUUUGUUUCCACAUUGAAUUUUUUUAUUUAAAUUGUGAUUUAUCAUUUUUAUUUAAAUUGUGUUCGAUUUAUUUAUUUUUAUUUAAAUUGUGUUCGAUUUAUCAUUUUUUAUUUAAAUUUUUAGAAUUUUAAUGGAUUAAAUUAUUACUGGAUGGUGUUUGUAUAAAUUGAUCUUACAUUUUGCUUAAUACGAAUAUUAAUUAUUUUGUUGAAAUUGAUAAUUUGAAACAUGAAGAUGGAGUCAAAGAUGCGCAAUCGGAAAAAUAUGAGCCGACUCUUGGGAUGUUAUUUGAUAGCCAUAAGAAAAUGUGGUAAUUUUCAAUAUACUUAAGUAUCGUCAUCAUAUACUUAAUUCUUUCAUUUUCAAUCUUUAUUAUUAUUAUUUUUAAUAUUGGGUUCCAUGAGGAUAUUAUAUGCAAUUUUCCAUGACAUAAAUCAAUACAAUAAUGGCAAUAAAAAACUUAUAACAAUAACUUGAAUCUUAUAUUUAGAGGGACAGUACAAUCAUAUAUGUCUACAAACCAUACAAAAUAAAUAAUUGUACAAAUUAAAACAACUUAUAAAUAAAACUUUAAUAUAAAGCAUAACACAAUAAUCAUCAAGGGAACGGUGAACAUGGAGGAACGCAAAUGGAUGUUUACACUGUGGGCAUGUUGGAUUCCUAACAUACGAGGCCCAUCGAAGGAUGCAAGCUGCACUGCACAGAACAAAGAAAGAACGUCCAUUAAUGCUACCAUAAACGUCCAUUAAUCAUACAAGAGAUGGUAAGCUGAAAACCCCACAUAUUAACUCAUAGUCCUACAUAGAACUCUAACCUAUAAUAUGAAGAUGAUCAACGAGCCUUCAUAUAUGUCACAGUUCCAAAACCAACAAGUCAUGAGGCUGAUUAUAUUAAGGAAACCUCUAACUAUGUGACAACACAAAUAGAUUAAUUCUUGCAACAACAUUUUUAAGUUUUUCAAAAUUUUCUCCUUUUUUACCAAAACAAAUGCCUAAGAAAACCAAAAAAUAAACAAGCAGAUUGUCUCUGUAAAUUGAAUUAACAAGUUCUAUUACUAAAAAAAGGGUAACAAGGAAAGAAAAAUCCAAAAAAUAAACAUAUUGAAAGUCCAUUUCAAUUGCAUGGCACAACAUUAAAUUGAAGAAUUGACUGUACAAAAAAGAUCCAACAAUAUUUAGGUAUGAAAAGGAAAUUGAAUCCAAACCACAAAACUAAAAGCAUACUUCACUCGUGUGUACAAACUACAUGCUGAUACUCAUUUACCAUAAAAUAUUGCAGCAUCGAUUACCGAAGAAGAAAACAAUUCAAAGAAUGCCCCCAAGGCAAGCUCUAUCAAAGUUACAUAUGCAACAGACAUAGUAUUAUAGCAGAGAAACUCCAAUAAACACUCAUCAUGAUGCUUGACAAGAGAAUUAUUCAACAACUAACAACUACAGGGCCUAAGCUCAACUUAAACAUAUACUUGCAUCAAAGCCAAGUCCACACUCCAUAUAUGCUUACAUAAACCAUAUUUUCUCAAUUCUAACUGCAUUUAACUUAAUUUAUUUUGAUUUAUUUAUUCACUGGAAAUUUAUUUUGAUUGCAAAUUCUUCUAUCAUCCACUAAAAUGAUUUAAAUACUAGAUACAUAAAUACACACAUAUGACGAGUACGAAGGGUGAGAGAGAGAGAGAAGAGCUGCAGUAACAGCAAGAAAGUUAAGAUUUGUGACCUCGAAUCCAAGGCCUAUUUCAGAUGUCCCUAAACACUCUUAACUUAUGAAAGGCGCUAAUAAGUAAUCUGCACAGGAAGAUAGGGGAUAAUAACAGAAUUCGUGAUGCAUAAAUUCCAUUCCGAAUAACAUAGCAAAAAGAUGAGAGAUUUGAUUAGAACAAACCAGUAAGCGUGCUCGCAACCUUUUACAAGAGCUGUUGCCUAAAGAACUGUCUUAACCAGAGAAACUAAAAGAUCAAGAGAAAGUAAAACGGCUGGAACGAAGCGAGUUGCUGCUGGAGUGAACAAAAGGAAAGGAGUUGGAGUUAAUGUGGGAGUGCUGGAGAAGGAGUUGAAAAUAGAAAGAAAAAGGAGUUGAAAGGGAGUGCUGGAACAGAUCUGUUCUGUUGAAAGCGAAGAAGGAAGUGGAAGAAGGAGGAAAAUGAUUUGAAAAGGAGCACUUUUUCUUUUUCACAUGAGACAGAUAUCUGUUACUCACGUGGAAGGGGGGGGGGGGGGACGAAACGGCAGCACAAGCUACCGUUCUCUCAGCGUUCUUUCAGGAUUCCCGAUGUUUAGCAGCGCUCUUAAUAUAAUUGAUGGUUAGGUAAAAGUCCUUCAUUAACCCAUUAAAUUUUAAUAUUAUAUUAUUUAUUUUUAUAUUAAAAAAUAAUUAAUGUAGGAAAAUUCUUAAAAGUUAACGGAGAAGGAAGAGAAAAAGAAAAAGUGAAAACAAAAGAAAAUAUAAAGAAAAAAAAUUAAACGAGACAAAAAUCUGUGGCGUGGAUCAUUCAUAUCUUUUGCCUUUUCUUUUGUAGAGGUACAUAACAUGGACUUCCCUGCGGUGCCACAGUGACAUGGUGCCACAGUUUUUUGUCUUUAUUCUGUGAAGCCGUUGGAUGGUUAAUCAUUCAAUCCAACGGUUUAAAUUAAUUAUUGGAGGAAGGCCGCCAGAACUGACAACCUUUGUAGCCGGUUUUGGGUGAGUGUAAUACCAUCUAAUAGUGAGCGUGCAUUUCAAGAUCUUUUGAACUACGAAAUUUCGUUUCAGCGAUUUCAUUUGAAAAUCAAUCUGUAGACAGAAAGUGAACGCACGAAAUUGGUAUUACUGGAUCGCAAUUAUUGGUGGAAUAAUAUCAAACGGUUGAUGUGUACAUGAAUAUGUCCGCGCAGUCCGCGCAGUUGUAGGGAGGUGAUGGUGAAAUAAAAAAUAAAAUUCCCGGCAUGUGCAUUCGAAGGAAUUUAUGAUGCUGAAAGUCUGGGCAUAUCGAAUGAUCCGACGUAGUAGGUAAUUCGAUAUAAACUUGCAAUUUGUUUUAGUUGGAAUAUUUAUAAAAGUCGUGUUUAGGGUUAGUUGAAUAGUUGGUGGAAGAGUUCAGUAAACAAGUAGUAAUGGGGAAAAUUUUCGAUUAAGUAUGUAAACAGGGGUCGUCAAAGAAUGUGAGGUUACUAGGGAGGACUGAUUUGAGGAAUCUCACUGCACUAAUUGUCGGAUUGAAGCCACAAGAGGGACUUAAAAGUGUUCGACGAUGAAAUGAAAUUUGUUAGUAAGUAAAUAUCUUUUGUAAGUAUCAAUUAGUUAUAUGGGUAAUUGAUGAGGACAUACUUUUAUGGCAUGUUCUUAUAAUGAAAUUGUUAACUUUGUUUUAUCUUCUGGUGACCAAUAAUGUAUGGAUGAGAUGUUAGUGUUCAAUUGUUAAUUUGACUGUUGGAAUCAAUUAGGUGGUUGAUGUAGACAUGAAUGUGUUUCUUAGAAAAUCGAGAAUGUUGAUGAGCAUUUAUUGUGUGAACCCCCUCGAAAUGAGUCUAUGAAAAUGAUUGAUUAACAUUGUAGGCGGUGGCAUGGUUGUUACAGAUGAGUCUAUUUAUAGAUUGUGAUCUUAUUGUUGUGGUUUUACUAUGCCCUGUAAUUAAAUUCUGUAAAAUCAGAAUGGUGCAGUUCGUUAGAAGCACUCAUUUAUAAUUUCACUGCAGCAAUGAAGGUAGGGGAGGUUCGCAAGCGAAAAUGUAGGGACGUAAACAGCUUGAACGAAGAUAUGGAAGGCAAUCGAACAAUAGAACGUAUUAGCCAUUACGGAUUCAUCAGUUAUUUGUAAGUAUUUUUACUAUCUGAAUAAAUAAAUUUUAACAAUGACGAGUGGAUUGGAAAUGACUUGAGUUACUUUCAGUGGUGCAACUGUGCGUAGAAUGAAGGCAACAGAUGCAAACACCAGCAUUACAAGAGAGGUGCGUUAAAUGGAAAUAAAAUUUAGUGUACUGCAACACCUUUUUAAUUGGCAAUAAGGUGUAUGUCCGUGUGUUUCUAUUAACUGCUUUGCAGGUUCGAAGGGAAAUUGCGACGUCAUUUAAAAAUUUACCACCAAAGACGAAAUGGAAGUACAAAGUCCGAGUCGAACAAGCAGUGAAAGGGGAAGCAACUAACACAUAUUUUACGCGAUGUGCACCAGACAGAUUGGCAUCAGCUCUUACAAAUCUAUCUGAUGAACAAAGAGAAGCUGUAUGUGAAAUGGGUAUGGGGAGCAUGCUUGAGUUGAAUAAUGGUAGGCUGAAAAGGAAGCUUUGUGGUUGGUUGGUAGAUAGGAUUGAUGUAUGUAGGCGCGUACUAGUUUUGAAUGGUAAUGAGGUAGAGCUCAAUGCUAAUAGCUUUGGUCAUGUCAUGGGAUUAAUAGAUGGGGGCAUGCCUUUAAGAUUAGAGGGUGACAUCAAAGAAGUUGAAUCAUAUGUACAGAUGUUCAGUGCAUCAUCUAGAGGAAUCAACAUCAAGAAAUUGGCAGAAAUGUUGAGUAAUUCGACGGCAGCCAAUGAUAGAUUCAAAGUCACAUUUAUGUUGUUUACUCUAUAUACUGUUCUAUGUCCCCCUGGUGGAGUACACAUAAGUUGUAAUUUCUUAUUUUCUUUGAAAGAUGUGAACUGUAUCCAGAAGAGGAAUUGGGCCACAUUUUGUUUUCAUAAAUUUCUUGAAGGCAUUACUAGGUACAAGGAAGAGAAAUUUGCAUACAUAGGUGGCUGUCUUUUGUACUUAGAGGUGAUAUCGCAUCUUGGAAUGAUAUAGUGUCAAUAUUUUCCUUCACUUUGUUCAGUUGAGUAACUAACUAUAAUUUGCAUUGUUGUUUUUGUUAAUUCCAGAUGCUUUAUUUUAAUUCUAUAGUGUAUGGAAAAGUACAAAGAGACAGGUCUAUGUGUCCCCUGGCCUUGUGGAACGUAGAUGAGAUAAAGCGGUUGAUGAAAUGGAUAGAGAAUAAAGGUGGUUAUAGUAGCGAUGAGGUCAUCUCAAAAAGGAAUUGUAAAUUUGUGGGAUUCUAUGAAAGCAAAUAAUAUACUUACGAUGAAAAACAUGCGAUCCGUGAAUACUGCUUUUCAAUAUGUCCUUGCUUUACAUUUAUUGUAGUUGGAUGUUACGUAUAAAUUUGGUUCAACACUUUACUUAUAACUUCGUACUUGUAAAAUUGUUUUACUAGAUACGAGUCUGUGCUGCAUCUCUAAUAAAGGCCAACUCAAGGUCAGAUGGAUGCAGUAUGCCUGUGGAAAAAGAUUUUAGAGACUCGGAUGUUAGACAGAUGACAACAGCCCCGGGAAUGACGAAGAUAAAGUCAUUUAGUCAAUUGGAUAAGGCAGUAGUGAUAUCAAGUAGGCCAUCAGGAUAUAUUGAAAAAUUAAAGACAUAUGGAUCGUGCCGCAACAACCAUGGCAAUAAUGCUAAGGGGAAGCACUGGAGUGAUGCAACCAAAGGAGAGGGAGUUUGCACCAACUAUGAGAGUAAGCAAUUGUACAAAAGUGCAGCAAGUGGCAGUAUAUACCAGAAUAAUGAAAUCAAGGAAAAAGAAGUUUGUGAAGAUGCACAACAUAUGGAUUUAAUUGACGUAGCAGAUUUUGUCAUGGAGACUCAGACGUCCCCACCAUGCAGUGAAAGCUUGCAUAGUAACAUAAGGAUUGAGGUUAUCUGUAACUAAUAAAAGUUAAAUCUGAAAUUUUCAUCUUCGUUUAGUUGUUUUUUGUUAACCGAAUGUAAUUUAUGUUUUAUAAUUUUGUAAUUAUUAUGAGGAAAAUAUGUUGCAGGAGCCUGCUAUGGUGCAGAAGUGUUCAGAACCGAAUAAAAAGAUUGGGAAUGUAGUCCAUCCAAAGUCACCACUUAAUCAGAUAGGUGCUGGCAGAGCACGUUAUCAGGUUGGACCAUAUGUGAUGCAAAGACCUUUGAGUACUGAUGACGAGAUAUUGAUUAACUUAUGCAUGGAUGAAAAUUUGAAUAAGGGGUAACGUAUUACUUAUGUCGUUGAAUUAGUACUGGCAUUCAUAUAAAAAGUUACUUGAUUGUGUUUGAGCUUCGAAUAAACGGACUUAAUUGUAGGAAAUCAAUAAUUAUGGAAAAAAAUGUCUGCAUGAUAGAUUUUCCGUUGCAGGGAAAUGGUUUUUAAGACGAACUUCAAUUGCAUCGGCAGAAAUGAUAUUAUGUCUCUAUCUCCUAGAAGUACAAUCAAUGUGAAGGUACAACCACCUUCUGUUAAGUGAUGUACUUGUAUGAAUAAUACAUACACAUGUUAUACUGAUUGCUCUUGGAAUUUAAUAGGGCUUGAUGUUUUUGUUAUUUGUUUAUAUGUUGAAUUAAGUCAAUACCCCUUACAUGAAAUUGUUAAUACUCGUAAUUUUCAGAUUGUUUCUGCUGUCUCAUAAUUGUUAUCUGCGAAAGCGAGUGUAAAUGUUGGAAAUAGUAAUUUCAGCCUUUUUCUGCCAGCGUAUUCUGCUGUAAGGACUUUGUGUUAUAUUGCAAUAUUGGAAUUUUAUCCCCUAAGGGGCAGUUUAACAUAAAAUUUCGUGUGUUCAUUCAAUAAGGUGCAUUUGUUUACUAUGCAUGUAAGUUGAGAUAUUGUUCUUGCAAUUACAUUUAACUAGAGCAUUACAAAUAUUUGUUAUUCGAGUUUGGCAACCCACUAUUUCCAUUGCCUAUAAUUUUUGUUUCGGUUGUGAUAGCGUUGAUGUUCUAUAAACUAUACAGUUGCACGAUAACAUCAGUGGGGACCCCACAGACCUUACUUUUGGUAUUAAACAAUUUAUCAGUGGUGAUUUAUACCUGGCGAAUAUUGGUUCGUGUAAACAAGUAAGCAUUUUUUACUUAAGCCAUCAGCAAACCUCGUUUUUAGUUAAUUUUGAUGUUAUCUGUCAGUUUAUUUCACCCUGGUAUUGCAAUCAUCAAUAAAUUUUUGUCCCGGUGAACCAUGGUUUUACACACUGGUACUUAUUGGUUGUAUUAAUAUACAAAAUGCUGGUGGAGAUAUGGGAUCCACUGCCCACUGUAAUGAAGUCACAAAUGUUCGUUGUUGAAUGCAAACGAGCGGUGAGUUACCAUUGUAGAUGCCAAUCGAGUGUACUUUGUUGGCAAAAAAAAAAAUACUUAUAAAUGAACCAUUGUUGUUGUAAAUAAUCCUCCUUUGUUUUAAAAGGAAGUGUCAAAUAUUACUAUUGUUAUUACUGCAAUCUAUCGAUUGACGGAUGUUCCUGCAGCUAAAAUUCAUUGAGAUGGCGUUGCAACAUUGUGGCUCAAAUUGUUUAUCGGGAAGGUUAAACAUGAGCGAGUUCGUAAUCCAGCUUUGUACCAGACAGGCCAGUAUACGUAACGAAUCUGAUUGUGCACUAUAUGUUAUGUUGAUGAUGGAGAGACAUAAAAUGUGGUCGUGCCUUUCUGAGGCAGAGGUGCGUAACAUUUUUAACUGUUCAAUGCUAUAACCCAGGCCGUUAAUAUUAUUUAUGUAUCGAUUCAAUUUUUGCUGCCUUGUACUUAUUGUGUUUGUUCAUUUCAUUUAGAUAAAAUUUGAUUCAGAUAGUGAGAGGGCACGCAUUCUGAUAGAUCUCAUGACAUACAGUUUCAACUGUUUGAAGGACAAAGUUCGUUUGAAGGCUGAGAAGCAUCGAUGGCGUGUUGACGAUGAAGCCCAUUCAAUUUAUGAAGCGAUUAAAAAGAAGCGCGUACGACAGCUUCGGAGUGCGAACCAAAUAGGGCAUGGUCGCCGCCAUUAGCUGCAUUUUCUUUGACGUUCUAUUGUAUAAGUGCAUCCAUGCUUUUCGGAAAGAAAAAAUUGCUAGGUUUGACAGUUGCAGUUCAUCAUUCCAAAAAGCACAAUCAACCACUGACAAUUGUGAGUGAUAAACAACUUAUGUUUUGUUGUUGGCAUAUAACAAUAAAGUUUCCAUCGUGGAUGCCACAGUGUCUCAGUACUGAACUUAAUCAUUUAUGAGUUUACAUUGCUGUUAAUUUUUAAUUUGUCAAGACGGUUGUUCCUAGAGUAUUAUAUCAGUACAUGCUGUUAGCUGAAAUAACAUAUUCUCUGAAUUCUGCAUUUUAUAUGAUACUGAUACUUUGGCCUAGACAAGUUACUGAAAUAUUCAUUUUAUGUUGUAGUCUUGAGGAAGAUGCUUUUUGUACUAAUUGAACUCAACGAUGGAUUGAAUUAAGUUACGCAAGUUGUGCUUAUUUAAGCCUGGCAUAGGUAUAAAAAUUAUUUCUCAACUGCCUCUUAAAAUUUUUUUUUUCCAAAAUUAACGGAUAUAGUGGGAGCAAAAAAAUAGUUGUAUUAAAUCCCCAACCUCUAGAUCUUUUUGGAGUAACGCCAAUAUUCUUUUACAGAUUCCAAAUGUGGGCGUAGUUAGUUGGUGUAAAAGAUGAGGUUGCAAUGCAGUUGGAUUCACUUGCAAAGGCACUUGUGUUUAGAGUUUGGUCGGUUGAUUGACUUACUGUACUGGCUGAAAAUUGCUAGAACCAUGACUCUGAUGUAGGAGAAAAUGGUCUACCAUUUUCUCCUAUUUGGUACCGCGACAAAAUGUUCAUGUAUCGUGUGGGUUGUUGCGGCACGUGGUUUGUGUCUGCUGCAUCUGUCGCAUUUGGUCCCAUUACAUUACUACCACAAAAAAAUUCCAUGCAAUGGCUUGAACAGUCAUCCAGCUGUUGUCUUGUCCCUCCUCUUUUUUUGCACUUUCUAACAUUGUGGCCUCGCUGACCACAUCUGCUACAUUUUCGUUGUUGUGGUUGUCCCAUCUUCGUUUUUUUUUUAUUGAACCUUUGGUAAGAACAACUUCCGGAUCUUGUACCACUGUCUCUCUCCUCUCUAAAGGUUGCCUUGCUGGUUCUUUGGUCUGAGACAUUGCCUGCAACUUCAAAGUCAACUGGUGAAUAUAAGUAAUUGCCACAUUGUAUGCGGCCAAACUUGAUCCAACGAAUCUUAGCAAACUUCGACAUGCUGCAUAUAUUUGGCCAAUACGAGCCUGCUCUGUCAUGUAAUGUGAUUUAUUACAACUUAUAUCAGACAAAGUGUGAGCUUUUAUCUUUGCAGUUUUACUCCAUCGAGAAAGAAUCAUCGAACUUGGAAUUUCUGUCAUAUUCUGAGCCUUGAACACAACAAAUGAAUGCGAGCAUGGAAUUCCAAUUGUCUCAAGCAACUUGCAGGUGCAGGAUAAGGUUUUGCUAGUCUCAUUAAUCACUACUUUCACCUAUUUCCCAACCGAUCCAAACCGCCUAACCCUGUACGUUGUUGACAUUAUAUCCCGAUCACACAUUUCUGCAGUUAACAACGCUUCCUUGUCGAUUUCUUCUUGUACGAGGCGAAACAUGGCCCUUGUGAACUUUUCAGCUGCUUGCUGCUCAUACAUCUUUAAAUGUGUAACCAAAACAGGACGUCCAUCAGAACUGUUAAAGUCAUCCUUCCCCUUUGCUUCCUUUUGUCAAUCCAUUAGUCGGUCCAUCUGUUUAACAAAUUCUAUCAAUCGGAGCCUUCUAUUCACGUAAUGGUUUAGAUACGCAUUCAUUCCUUCCGACCUUUGAGUGCUUCUCAUUCCCCCAAAAAACUUUCCCCGCAAAUAAGCCUCAGCCCACAUAUGUCUAUCUUCAAACAUCUUAACAACCCAUUCAUUUGCGGCAACAUCAUGGUUAUCGACCAUCAAUUUCCAUUUUCGGUCAAAUUCUUCUUUUGUGUAAGCGUUCAUCAUGCAGCGGCGGAAUUCUGUUGUAAAUUCAGGGUUUUGAAUAUUUGUUUGAGCAUUUCGGACCAAAUGCCAGCAACACAACCUGUGUGAAGCUUCUGGAAAUGUCUUGCUUAUUGCAUUUCGCAUUGCUUUGUCCCCGUCGGUUACAACUGUCCUCAGAUCCUUGUUGUUCAUGGUUGUCAUCAAUGUCUCUAACAACCAUGUGUACGUGUGUUCUGUCUCAUCUGACAAUAGAGCAAACCCGAAUACAAUUGUUCGCUGAUGGUGAUUUAUCCCCAAAGUAACCACGAGAGGCUUCCGAUAUGCAUUGGUCUUGUAAGUUUGAUAUUUUUUUUAAGAUUUUAAAGAAAUAUCAAUAAUUGAUCCUGGUCAAAAUAUUUGUUUUAAUUACUUAUGAAAUUGUAAAUAUUUGGAAUUGUAAAGGGCGAAAAUGUCAAAUAAAUAGAGUCAGUUCCCCUUACGCAUCAUAAGUUUCAGCCCUUGUACUUUAGUUGUGUCAGUCUAUAAAUUAUUAUUGGGGGUAAUAUUAUCUUUUGAAAGUCAACAGUUAGUCAAUAAAAAAUUUUAACUUACGAUACGGGAUCUUUUACAAAUAAAAUAAUUUGAACCCAUGUACUUGCAACAGCCUCCAACCUCAGGGGAGGUUUUAAAAAUUACCGUUAAUAAACUUUAGCAUUUUAGGGUGACCCUUAAACCUUUUGGAUCCGACUGUCGUGCAAUAGUUGCACGCUACCCCAAAUUUUGUAUUUUUUCAACUCAGCGAACGGAUCAAUGGGUAAAGGGUUCAACGGCUACAAUGUGUUUAACUGGUUCUAUUAACACUUAAGUCCCUACUGUUUAUUACAAAUUCAUAAAAGCUUUACGUUUUUAAAUAUUCACAUACAUAACUUGUGUUAACAUUUUUAAAGUUUGAUCCAUUGACUUAAUUUGGUAAAAAAAAUGAUUGAUGCCUUGAUCGUGUAAAUAUAAUAAUGUAAUAUCGCAUAAAAUGUUUAAACACCUUUUAUAUUAACCUUCAUAGUUUAUAAAAUUAUAAAAUAAAAAAUGGAUUGGGCCACAUUGCAACAGUAGUACCGUGCCACAGUUGUACCUGUCGUUGGAUCUAUUUAAAUGAGUAGGGUGUGUUUGGUACAUUAUAUCAUAUUAUAUUGUAUUGUAUUAUGUAAUGCACAUGUAUUAAAUUAUAUUAUAUUCUAUUACAUUAAUAGUAUAUUAUAAUAAUUAUAAUUAUAUUAUACAACGUUUGGUAAAUGGUAUUAUCAUGUAUUGCAUUAAUCUUAAGAAUUUAGUCAACUUAUAUUAUUCUAUAUUCAUUAUUAAUUAUAUAAAAUUUUAUUUUCAUAUAAAUUAUUGUUAAAUAAAUAUAAUAUCAUAUAGAAUAAUAUUAUAUUAUAAUAUUUUAAUCUUUUAAUUUAUUAUAAUAAAAUAAUCAAAAUGAUUAAAAUAUAUUCAAUGCUUAAUUAAGGUUAAAUAAUAAAAUUAACAAAAUAUAUUGAUGACGACGACAACGACAUUAAUAUUAAUAUAAUAAUAAAUAUAAUAAAAAUAAAGAAAUUUAUUAAUAUUAAAAUUAUUCAUAUAAUAUAAACAAUAAAAUCAUAAUAAAUUCAAUAUUAUUAAUAUAAUAAUAAUGACAUUAAUAAAUAGUAAUAAAAACAGGAGGAAACAGUUAAUGUUUUACUCAAAAGACAUUUUAUGAUUUUAUCCAGAGAAAAUUACCUAUAUCUACAAAUUUGUAACUUAUGGUAUGUAUUCAGUUUUCUUAUAAAGUGAAAGGUAAUAUUGUGUAAUUUUUGGAAAAAGACAAAAUUCAGUGAUACCGUUAAACUGUUACACGGUAGGCGGACCCUUGUCAUGUGCCUUAAUAUGACACCAACUUCAAGUGGUGCAUUACUAAUCCAAGGCGUCACAUUAAUACUUGCUUGCCACUUAUUAUUUGAUGCCAUUUGGUAUAAUGUGUACUUGGUAACAGAUGUUUAAUGCUUCAUCAACAUUUUGCACGUUGUGAUGACACCAUGUUCAAUUCACUUGUUGUAACACCACCCGUUUUUUGUUUCAUCUACUCUUGUGCAUUCCUGAUUUGCAACUCCUUUUGUUCCUUAUAAAACCACAACUAUUCAUGGACACUCCAUAUUUUUUACGUGAGUCACAUACAACGUUUUACACUUACUUACUGUUACGGUUUGAGGUUGUCAAUAAGUAAUAUUACAUUUUCGUUACAGCAUCGAUUACCAAACGGGCAGGUCGCAUAAGUGGCUUUCUGUUUCAGCUAUCAUCAAUCAUUCAGGUGCAUCAACAAAGGAUAUGGGUCAUUACAUAAUAUAAAUCAGUCUGUCCAAGGGAAUUCAAGGAAACCAGUUGCAAAUGUGUUUGUUCGAAGUUACAAAAGCACAUAAAUAUAUCACAGAAAACAUAUCCAAUGGAAAUAUUACACAUUAAUUCCAGCUCCAAUGGAAGUCCCGCAGCAUAUCGAACUCUAAUGACAUGAAUCGGCCCCAAUAACACCAAACACAUCUAGUUGACUGUUUCCCUAGUAACCCGAAUGUUAACAGUAGGAGACUGUAUUCGAAAGUUGAGAAUUUUGCGACAGAGUGUUUGCAAUCUGGCGCCUUGAACACUUCCGUGGCAGUGGUAUAUGAACUUGUCCAACACUUUACUAUGCCACAGGAAGUACUCCACCAGGCGUACGUCAUCUUUUCCGUCAGUAAAUGCUUUCAUCUUUAUUUUUUUGACGCAUUCACUCAAGCAAUGGGGCACAUUUUCUGUCUCCAGCCACCCAAGUUCGUGGUCGUUUACGUCGAACCAAUCUCCCUGAUAAGUUAAAACAGGCAAACCCAUGGUUAACAUAUUGAACCUAGUUCCUGAUGACUGCACAUGACUAUUGUCUUACUGACCUUCGUUAAUAUACAAGUACGCAAGUUGUAGGUGGCAGUGAGGAUAGUAUGUAGACCUUUCCAGCCACUUCGUCGAACUUCAACAUCCAAAAAGGUGAGGUUGUCAAACCAAAUCAGGGACUGCCUUUCGCAUGCCCGCUUAAGUGCUUGUGGUUUAAUUGGUUAUUACACAAACAACAACAAUAACAACGUUCUGUCACUUUCAAGUAACAAAUAAUUAACCAACUUAAGCCCUUUUGUUGAAAUGCAAAAUUUGGCCUGAUUGUCCAAGGCUUGCUGACAUUCCUUAACAGUUCAAGCAAAACAAUACAUCUCAGCCUUAUGAUCAAUACAAAAACCUAACAGUCAUAACAGAUGAAAAAAUUGUAUAUCAAUCUCUGUCUACCUUUCUCCCUGCAGCGCCGCUCUGUCAAAAUAAUACUAUGUACAUAUCACAUUCGGAUUGAGGACAGCGGCGCAGGGAGAGUUUCAUAAAUUAUAUAAAUUUAUGACAGUACAUGUCGUCAUUCAUCAUCCAUAUGUAACAUAGGUUAACAAUAUAUAAUUCAUUUCACAUCACCAAGUUCAAACAACACACAAACCUUUAUAUCAUCUUUUUGUGGUAAUUGUUUUGCUACUCUACAAGGACUCAACCACCACCAUUGUUUUUUGUUGGUGAAAUUUAGGAUCAUGUUUCUGACAUUUGCAAUUUGACAGUGGAAAUAAUGACAAUUUAAACUACUAUAUAAUCCAUUUACAUGCAAUUACUUACUUGGCCAAUUUAAAUGUCAAACCAAUCUUAAACUAAACUUUAUACUAAUUGCAUGUGUGUGAUCACGUUGUUACAUUGAUACAAUAUGUCACAUUGCAAAUGUUACCCCUUAUAUGCUAGUUUACAACCUAAAAUUACCCGGUACUUUUUUUAAAUGAAUAUUUAGAUGCUGGUAUAGUAUGGGAAUGCUUACCAAAAGAACACCACCGGAUAGGAUCAGACGAGCUGUUUUUGCGACACCCUCAAUGAGGUUGCGAGCACGUUGUGGAUCAACUGUAUCCGAUUCCCAAUGUUGAAGAUCUAAAGUUGCUUACUGGAUGGAUUGCAUCUCAUGUACCUCAUAUUCCAUCAACAUGUUAUCAACAAUAUGGAUUAGUUGGAGAUUUGGCGCCAUAAUGACAGCACAAUGGUGGUAUGACAUCCCUCGCAACGAGGUGAAGAGAACAACAAACGUCAGUGUGUUAAGAGUUGCCGACUGAAUGAUGAAGUUCGCUGGAGGAUCAUCUGGUUGUAUCAAAAUUGUCAGACAGAGUUCCGUCAGUGAAGGGCAACUACAAAACAGCUUCUCUUUAACUCGGUUUUCAAGAUGGGUAAUACAUAUUUGAAGAAUCUUCAGUUGGGGAAAACACACACCAUCCGGAGGAUCUUAUAAGCGAAAUGCAGUGUGUAGUCGAAGAACUUCAAGCGUCAUCGAGCUGUACACAUAUGCAGGCAACUGCAUGGGUGCGUACUGGAUAAUAUCGAUUUCCAUCUCCCGAACAUUCCGCAUUAUUACCUGAGAUACCCACAAAGGAAACCGAUCACUACGUAUAGCGUUGACACUCUGAAGAGAGAACGUAUGUAUUGAUACGGGGUCCGUUCCAGCCAUCACUGAUUCUAUGAAGUUGUUAAAUUCAUCCACCAGGUCAGGAUUGUCAGCAGCAGCCCCCAUGGGACCCCCAUCAUCAAAGCAGAGGUUGCGAACUGAGGUCCAUACAUGCCUCCAUCUUCGCGAAAGACUUGAAGUGGCCACUGCAUCUUCGAGUGGCAGAAAAUUUAGGAUAUUGGACAUCACAGAAUCAGGCAAUGCACUAAUCCUGUCUUCGGGUACUUUUUUUAGCACUCUUCCCCGUCGGAUCCGCGGAACCGAACCAGUUGAUCUCCUCAUCCUUAAGGCAACUCACCUUGGCCUGUGGGACCAUUAAAUACAUUUAAAUUCAUAAUAAUCUGCUACAAAAAUCAAACCAUUUACACAGACGUUAUUUAGAUGUACAAUGUAGGUUGUUAAAUUCACUUCCACACACAUGGUCAUAGUUAACAUUUAUAAAUAAUUUAAAGGUUUAAUUAAGCAGUUACAGUAUGAAUUGCAUUCAAGCAUAGAUUUUUUAAAAAUGAAAAUUUUAUUGACUCAUCCUGAAAAUUAUAUAAUCUAUUGAGGUCGUUGAUUAAUCAAUUAGAAUCAGGUGUACAGAGAUAAAAUAAUACACACAAAAGUCCAGACAUUUCACCAAUUAGCUAAUCCUUUUAGUAUUAUUCCCCAACUUAAAACGAUAUAUCCUAAAACCUUAUCCUUUGUAAGCAUCGCGAUGAAUUUCCCUAACAUAUAUCCAACACAAGCAUUCAAUGUUUAGGUUCAGACUCAUUAACAAAGAUCCACCAUUGCUAACUUAUCGUCGUCAAAAUAAAACAAAUAUGGCACAUUCGCGAAUGAACCAAACAAUUCACCAAAAGGAUAGAAAGUAGAAGGGUUCAGCUGUCUAACGAAAUAUUAGGGGCAAUAAUGGGGAAAAAACAAAAAAAAAAUUGAUGCAUUUGUUCUGGGAACUGUCGUCGUUAUGUAGUGAGUUAAUGCUUGUUUUGUUUGGUGGUUAUGUUAUUGGCCACUGGGCUGUACAUUCCCGGGAUGUGUGACUACAUUGAUCAUUGUCACUCUCGAGAUUGCGGCUUCAGUUCAAUCCGUUAUGAAUCCUUGUGCCAUUGUGGCAACUGGCAACUGCCAUGUGAAAUUGAAAUAUUUGCUUCAGACAAUUACUCGGUGCUUCAAACAAUAAUAUUGUGGGCCCAUUGUUUAGGUCAGUCGCUUUCUCACUUCCCUUGUCUUUCUGGAUUGAACACGUUUGGAUGGUCUUUCAGUUCAACCUUUUUCAUUGCCUCAUUUGUCUCUUGUGGUGCUUGUCAACUUUAGAUCCUUCCAUACUUGGCCGGACACACAAAUUUAAUUUUUUAGAUUGCAUGGGGCCAUGGAAGUAUGAUGACUUCAUUCGGCAUGUGCGCAAUGUGACAACAAGUUUUUUCAUUUUUCAAUUAUGUCCUUUUUUAUUUAAUAUUAUUUAACCAUAAGCUUAUUAUUAUAUUUGUUCUUUUAUAAUUAAAUAAUAAAUAAAAAUAAAAUAAACAUAUUCAGUAGUUAGCAUUACAAAUUGAGACAUUUUUAUUAUUAUUUAUUUUUGUUAUUUAAUAUUAUGUACACAUACAGUUAUUAUUUAAACUAAUGCUUUCAUCAAACAAAAUAAUGCAAAAUAAUAAACAAAUCAUUAGUAACAAGUGUUAACAAAUAAAAUUAUUCUUUUAAUUUACCCAUAGGCUUACAAUUAUAAAUAAGCUUAUUUGAAAACUAAAUAAUAAACAAUUUUAAUAGUGUGUUACAUAUUAUAUAUAUAUAUAUAUAUAUAUAUAUAUAUUAUAUAAAAAACCUCAUUUUAUUUUAAUUUAGUCAUGUAGGUGCAAUGGCCAAGUCCGAAUGUUCAUAUUUGACCUUUUUUUUUUGCUGCGAGUUUAUACGUGUUAAUAUAUAUGCGAAUUAUUAUUUAUAUUAAACUAUAUGUUUCUCUUUGUACAUAUUUAUUGAUAUAUAAAUUUUAUAUGUUUCUCUUUGUACAUUUGUCCCUGCUUUAAUUUAAUCUUUAUCUGAAGGUAUUAUUAUGAAGAUUCUAUUUAACUUAAUUUUGAUUCGUGUUUUUUUUUAAUUUAUAAAUAAUACCCAAUUAAUUAUUAACUACUUGUCCUUCAGCGGAUUAUGUAGACAGACAAAAGAAGAAAAGGAAUUUAGAGAAAUUAAUGUGCAUUGAGAUAACCGCUAAUGUAGGGACGAAAGAAUUAUGCACAUGACCUUCUUAAUGCAAGUAUGAACUUGGUGAAAAUUGAGAAACUUUUUUUAUGUUAUUAUUACUUAACUUUUUGAACGUGGUUUCUAAUAAUUCGCACAUUUGCUUUUGAUCUUCUUUUGUUUUUAUAGAUCUUUAACAAUAUAAUUUUACUUCUUAUUUUCAUGACUUCUUAUUUGAUUUAUUUUAUUUUUGCAGCAUACUUCUUUAGGGUCUGCCUACCGUGCAACAGUUACACGGUACCAUUGAAUUUUGUCUUUUUCCAACAAUCAUACUACACUACCCUAUAUUUAUAAGAAAACUGAAUAUAUACUAUAAGUUACAAAUCUUUAUAUAUAGGUCCUUAUCUCUGGAUAAAAUUAUAAAAUGACUUUUGAAAAAAAAUUUAAUUGUUAUUAUUAUUAUUUAUUAAUGUCAUUCUUAUUAUUAUUAUUAUUAUUAUUAAAAUUUAUUAUUUUAAUUGUUAUGAUUUUUUUAAUUGUUAUCAUUAUUAUUAUUUAAUAAUUUUAUUACCGUCACUAUUUUUAAAAUAUAUUAAAUUUAUUACUGAAUUAUUAUUGAAUUAUUAUUUUAUUAAUAUUAAUAAAUUUAUUAAUCUUAUUAUUGUAAUUAUUAUAUUUAUAUUAAUGUUGUUGUCGUCAUCGUCGUCAUCAUCAUUAAAUUUUAUAUAUUUUUUUUGUUUUGACUAUUAAAUAAUACCACUGUCAUUAUUAUUAUUUUACCUUAAUUAAGCAUUACAUAUAUUUUAAUUAUUUUUUAUUUUUAUUAUAAUAAAUAAAAAAUAUAAAAAUAAAUUAUAAUAUAAUAUUAUUUUAUUAUAUCAUAUAAUAUUUAUUUAAAAAUAAUUAAUAUGAAAACAAUUAUUUAAUAUCAUUAAUAAUAAAUUUAAAUAUUUUUAGUUAAAUAUUAGUACAAAAUUAAUGCAGUACAGGAUAAUACCAAUUACUAAAUGUUGCAUAAUUUUAUUAUAAUUAUUAUAAUAUACUGCUUAUAUAAUAUAAUAUAAUAUAAUAUAAUAUAAUAUAAUAUAAUAUAAUAUAAUAUAAUAUAAUAUAAUAUAAUAUAAUAUAAUAUAAUAUAAUAUAAUAUAAUAUAAUAUAAUAUAAUAUAAUAUAAUAAUAAUAUAAUAUAAUAUAAUAUAAUAUAAUAUAAUACAUGUGCAUUACAUAAUACAAUAUAAUAUAGUGUGUCAAACGGACCUUUAACUUUUUGAGUGAUGAUGGUCUAGAGGGAUGUAGAGAAAGUAAAAAUAAUCCUAGUAGAUCUUUUACAAUGGUUGAUUAGCUAUCAUCACAAAGUUUAGGCUAAUACAAUAAAAGUUAACGAACUACCUUAUAUUUAAAAGAGCAUUUGGAAAUCAAUAAAUUUACUAUUCAAUUAUUUUUAAUCAAGAAUAAAUAAUAAAUGAUCAUUACAACAAGAUUCACAAGCUCAAAUAUCUUAAAAAAUGAUAAUUCUCAAGAAAUAUGAAACUCAAAUGCUUUUGAAAUAUUCUUCAAAAAAUAAACUAACUUCCUUUUAUGUUAUUCUUUAUUUAUCUUUCUAUAACUUUGUUGGGCUAUGUAUAUAUUGAUAUUUUAUAGGUAAAUUAACAUAUUGUAUGUAUAAAUAAACUAACAUGUCAACUAAUGUUAAAAACAAAAAUGUAAUAAAAAAGUAAAGUUUUGUAAUAUUAAAAUAAUAAAAUUUUACAACCUAAGACUUUUUACAUGUUUUCUUAUUUUGAAAUUUCACCUUUUUUUAUUUUAUAAUUUUCUAAAGUAUAAAGGUUAAUAACCUAUAUUCUUAAAACAUAUUCAAUUUAUUUAUUUUACAGUAAAUAUAGAUUAUAUAACAAAAAAUAUUAUUUACAUUUAUCAAAUUUUCAUGUGUUUAAAAAUUUUAUGUGAUAUUACAUUAUUAUAUUUACACCAUCAAUUAUUUUUAUGAUCAAAUUAAGUCAAUGGAUCAAACUUUAAAAAUUUUAAAACAACAAAAAUUAUGUAAGUGAAUAUUUAAAACCUUUUAGCUUUUAUGAUUUUGUAAUAAACAGUAAGGACUUAAGUGUUAAUAACUAAUUGAACACAUCCUGUCUGUUGAACACUUUAACCAUUGAUCUUUUACAAUGGCUGAGUUGAAAAAAGACAAAAAAAUGGGAUACCGUGCAACUGUUGCACGGUAGGCAGACCCACUUCUUUAUGUUAUUUUGAGGACACUACACAAUACAGCUUUGAACUUAUGAAGAGUUUAGAUGAAGUUGUUGGCAUUUUGUUUAUUUUGUAUUGUAAAAAAUAAAUUAUAUGUAAUACUAUUAUGUUAUGGACUUCAAUCACUGAAGUGGAUUUAUUUUAAUUAUAUGUUACCUGUUUUGUAGUUUGUAAUUUAUGCAUUUGUUUGAGAGCUUCCAAAUUAAUUUAAAAAUAUAUUAUGUUACAAAAUUUUAAUUACUUACAAAAACCUAAUUCACAACAUACAUCUGCAAUUUUUUAAAAGAUAUGUAAUAAAAUAGUAGAAGACAACAUUUACGGCUUGUGGUUAAAAACUUUUCAGCAACAUGCAAAUAACUCAUGUCUAAAACUGUUUUCGUAUGAAUGGUUCCACCAAUUACCUAACCAUGAAAUACUACGAUACUUUUGAUAGUAAUAUUAUGAUUAAGGUGCAUGAUACGAUUAUAUAUAGCAAAAGCCACGCAUCCCGAAAGACAAAUCGAUGCACACAUUGAACAAUUGACAAAUUUGUAAGUGGACCAAUGUACUUAACGCAAAUAACGUGAUAUUUAACACAACACAAGAACUUGUUCUAAUGAUUACAAAAACAAUAGUGGCAACAUCCAAGGGAUAUCUUGUACGUACGCUUCAUUCGUCUACCAAAAAAGACUACAAUAAAGUACAAUAUAUAUAAGUCCACAUUUUCCCUACGUUCACAUAUACUACCAACGAAAGAGGCACACCCCAAAUGUUGAUUAAUGUAACGCUUCCCUAUGAAGCAAAAUCGGGUGAUGAACUCAAGUGGCGCAUUAGGCAGUUCCAUCAGCAGUCUCCACCGUUGUUCCAACGCCGUUAGAUUGGGAUCCAUGGCAAUGAUCGCCUCCCUGCUAGAAGUCAAUAGCGUUUAUACAGACAAAAAUGAAAAGAUCAAUGCCACUAUACAUUUUAAAAAACGAUGAAUUGAUUACCCCAACACGUGGAUAAAAUAAACCUAUGCUAGUUAACGAUAAUAACGACAUCCAAUUAAUUGAAAGCUUUGCAAUCACAGAAAUGCUUCGAAGAAAUUUUUUACCGUGGCCGGAGUUGGAUUUACUAGCUUGCAUGUGCGCUUCCCAUGUCCGUCGGCCUUACACACCGUACACCUGUACUUUUGCUUCACGCCCACAACUUGGGCACGUGGUAUAAUGGGUUGUACAGCCGUGGUUGCUGCAGGGUUUUGGUCAGAAUGGGCCACCGCAUCCUUGACCACCGGGACAUCCUCUCUGGUAUGGCACAACGUCGAGGGGGGCCCAAGUGUUGGAGAGUGAGCAGCGUUAACGGAAAACCGAACUAGAACAUGGAGACUGCAACUUCCCUUUAUCAUGGACAAGUGGAUAAUGUUUUUCAACGCAUCGUCCGUGUUGACGUCCACCAUCCGACCAUCCCACGGGAGAACGACUUUAGGAUGGAAAUAAUGAACCGCAGGAGAAUCUCUAGUCUGCAGCACGAGAGCUGCAAUAUUGCAAAAUCUGAGAAGAGUGUAGUGCAUGGGCCUGAUGGAUUUAAUCAUCAUGGCUGACCCCAUGUACUCCAAGACAAAGAUGAAUGGUGGAGGCAUUAUUGGCGUUACCGUCGCCAUGUAUUAGGGAAACUGAGAUGUAGGUGCGAACUAAAAAAAAUGAUGAUCAACUGCGAUGUUCGUACUAUGUGGUUAUGUAAAGGUCAUUCGUGAAUGGUGGCAAUAUACACAUUCGUUGAUAAUAAUACGCAUUACAGAUAAAAAAUUCAUCCAACUAUUUUGAAUUUAGUGGGAAUUCUUAACCAACGUAAGUAGUCCAUAAAUAUAUGGGUAUUUUAUAUGGCCAAUGAGACAUUAGAAGGUAAUUAUUUCUGUGUUUCGUUUAAAAAUUCCAACCUUAAAUUAACUCCCGCCUUUGAAAGAGGCUGGUUAUAGGCGACAAAAAUACUUCCUACUAUUUACAUACCUUGCCGUUGAAGAUUUUGCACUGACAAACUAACAGUGACAACUACUAUACUGUUUGCAGUGCUUUUAUGGUAACUCACGAUAACGAAGCUUCCUGUGGGGUCAAAUGCGCUGAAUGUUAUUAAUUGCCAAUAUUCACAGCAGUUGCAUUCUGUCAGGGAUAUAUUUUCCAGUCAGUGUCUUCUUGAUAAAGGAACAUGAGGCGGCGGGUUGUUUCCUGUGGAUGGCCAUGCAUUUAUGUAGUGGCCGCCGCUAAGCGAGGCCGUCUGUUGCACCGGUGAAAGGACACGACACAAAGAACAUCGCUUCACCCACGUGGCCACGUUUUCACAGAGGAUGACCGUGUUAUUAGCCUUUUUUAGUUCACUUUUGGAGUGCAUUGAAUCGACUUGACUAGCUAAGUGAUAAUCUGUAAGCUACUGACUGCAGCAUCAGCCGUUGGAUACGGUUGGAUGUGAAGUGAGAAACUAAACUAUAAAAUGGGAUGGUGGGAUGAGGGGAUACGUUUGUUAUGGAAUCUGUACCAUAGACAGGUCCACAUUGAAUAUGUUCGUGCCUCUUUCUUCGAUACCCCCAACACGUGGUAUGACUUAAAUCCACACACGUUCAAAAGUUAUCACGGCAUUUACAUCUACAGCCAAAAGUUCAAACUGGUUUAUGGGAAGUAAUCUGUCAAUUGGGAAGCUUCCUGUGGCCUUGCACACAUCGGGUUCAUUGACUACAGCAGUGGAAAACGAGAAGGGUAUUGACGGAAUAUAGAAUUUAUUUGAAUUAUUUGUGAUGAGACAGAAGCAUUUGCUUAUUAGUUAAAGUGACCGUUGAUAUCUUCCCGUUGUGAACCAUUACGUGGAAAUGUCCCAGCAAUGAAUGAGAGUUUAAAUACCGCCUUCUAUCGUUUUGCAUCUAUGAGGGUGCACAAUAUUCUUCCAAGAAAACCAUUUUUCGCAUGUCUUCGUCGACCAAUAGCACCAAUAACAUGAGUAACAACCACGACGGUGGAGAUCGUCGUAGGUGGAUUAAGUUGAAAAAUUGAUAUUGCAACUGUUAUAAUGGCCGGCGAGCUGUAAUACGGAUUUCUAAAUCGUCAAAGAACCCAUGACGUCUUUUAUUUUACUGCGACACCUGCAAGUUUUUGCAUUGGUGGACUCCGGAUAACGAUGAAUGACACAGUCUUCGUGAGUAUGUGCAGGAACGGACAGGAGCCUACCGUCUCAGUCGCUUACAUGUAGUGGCUUGCUUUGUUGGGAUCAUUAUCUCGAAUAUACUGGCAAGAGCGUUGGUUGUGCUAUACUUAUGGUGGUUUUCGGUGAGGACCUCGGCCGAUCCAGGAGUGACGAGCCAGUGGUUUUAGUUUCAGCAUGGGUAGCAGUAUGGUGGGUGUUAAAGUAUAAAUAGUUUCCAUGUAUAUGUUUUAAUUUAGAGCUGAUCCAGCAAUAAACAAGUGUCACCAGUAAAUUUACAUCGUUUUUUUCCAAGUAUAUAGUCAUUGUUUUUGUGCAUCGUGGCUUGAAAGUGGGGCUACAGUGUUUGUUUUAUUCACGUUAGGCGCAAAUCAUGCUAAUCAUCGUGUUUGCUAUGAUUAGUAAGGGGAUUGUUAGGGCUAAGAAAAAUGAAAUUAUUGACCUCCCUGUCAAAUAUUGUUACUAGCUCCCAUGCACUAUAUCGUUGAAGGCAUCUAUUUUAUUGUGCAUUAAGGUAUUGAAUGUGUUGAGAAACAUACACUGUUAAUUCAAGUCAGUUCCCCUUAGUUAGGAUAGAACGAAGCAUGGUUGCAAAUUGAAAAUAUGGUCGAAAAAGACGUCCUUUUAUUAAUCCACCAGGUGACAACAUUCUGGGCGAAGGGUCAUAUUUGUAAAAACCAAGCUGACAAAACAGGAAAACGCUAUUGAUGCAAGUCUGCAACACCAACAACUCAUUUUUUAACAAUCUAGAUGCUACCCCUUAUAUGCGAUUACGAGGACAAAAAGAAAUAAAUAAUAAGACCUUCGCUACCAUUAACGAGAAAAGGAAAAUGAGUUCGCUAUGUGAGCAUUUUUGAAAUAAGUGGCAGCAUUUAGAAUUGUGCAUCUUCAGUGUGGACGUUAAUGGUAGCGCAUGCGAUUGUAGACCAACCAUGCCAAGCCGAACAUUAUGGAUGCCUCAUCAGCCUCGAUGUGAAAAGUGAAAUUUGAAAGAAAGCCGUCCCAAGUGAGAAACACAUCAACGAAUGACGACGUAAACAGCACCUGGCACGUCCGCGAUUCAAGAUUGACCGCUAUGUGGAAGUUCAUGAUCAGGUGAGAAAUCUGUUCCACCUUGAGGAAAGGCAUCGUAAAAAACAAUGUCAUUUUACAGAAAAAAAAAUAUUUGAAUAACAGGAAAAAAAAUCCACACUUCCUAAUUGGAUGUGCCCUAGAGUUUGGAAGCCGUAAAUCGCGACAAAAUUGCCGCAAUUCAGCCCUUUUAAACUGAAACAACUACCGCCGGAUAACAGAUAUCCGUAUCGAAGAUGCACGUUAUAAAUGACCCACAAAAGAGGAAUGAGGUACUGAUUUAGAAAGCGAUAAUGGAGGUGCUGGGAUGAGAAACGACUGUUUGUACACCCAAAUGAAGCUGGGUCCCUCAAAAGAUACAUUUUGUGAACUAUAAUUAAUCGUGGACCAUGAUCAAACGGUGGUGCGACUGAUAGUAUAACCCCCUAAACCGAAGCUUCACCAUAAGUACAAUAACAUGGGGGGAACUGAAAUAAUAUGUUAAUAGUCCUCAUUAACAAAGUUGAACCAUGGAGAUGUAUAUUAAGUAUAUAACAAACGUUCAAAAGUUGUAUACUCAAGUGAACAGGUUGUACAAGUUUGGAAGAGGGUCACGCGGACGAUUGGAGGGACGUUAACGCAUGUAAGAGAAGUGGACCGGCCAUGGGAUCAUAAUAUCAGCACUGAAACAUUUUACCAUAUUUCCCAAUACAUUUAUCACAGUUGUAAAAAAACUAAGCAUCAAAGCAGGAAAGCAUCGAACUGAAAAGAUCAUGUGCAUAGAGAGACGCGUCGAACCUGUGAAUGCUCCUGUUAGUUGGAGUCCCGACCGGAGACGCGACGUGCUGUACACAGCAACAACUCCGGGAAGAUGACUUCGAACUAACAGAAGGAAAAGUGAGGCGAACUUGUCAAAAGCAAUGACAAUCUUGUCACUGACUAAAAUUAUAUGUGGACGAUAACCAGCGAGUGCUAGCAUCUUAGGCCGUGUUUGGACGUGUGCAAAAAGAGGGAAAUAACUUUUGUGUAAGUUUUAAUUAAUAGUAAACACAACCGUACAUAAAUACCGUAAUUUAUCAACCGGGCAAAGCUUACCUUACAUAUAAUGUAACAAAAAACCAAUGAAUAUAAGUCAUUGAUUUUGAUAUUCCUUAAAUCCAAUGGAAAAAAUUAAUUUUAACAUAAAACAAAAUACAGGUGAAAUAUAUAUUGAUAAAAGCUUUUAUUUAUAAUCAUAUAUUUACGUAAUUUUUCAAAUACGUCCUCAUUGAGUUUUUAUAAUGAAAUGGUUUUUUCAUUAAUCUUUUCUACAUUUAUUUUUAAACUGUAAACAUUUUUUACAAUAUUUUUAUAAAGAUUUAUAUGAUUAUUAUAUUCAUAAAGAUCCACAAAUUUUGAAUAUAUUUUUGCGCUUACAUUUAUAAUUUCUUGUCUCUCUGGAGACAUAAACUAAAAUUUUCUUCUAACACAUACACACAUUCAAUCUAUUUUCGUUCUUAAAUACAUAGCAUCAAUGCCAUCACACAUAUUUUGUAAUCUAUAUUUAGUAUCAUGAAUUAUAAUAGACAUUAUAUGUAAUGAAUAUCUUAUAAAUCUAAUGAAUUAUUAAAAAGAUGGUACAAUGAAUAAAUUACCAAAACCUCUAAUAAAAAGAUUACAAUUCUUUGAUCUUAUCAAUGAUUCAAACAUGUGGAGAAAUAAUCAAUUAAAUUGAAUGUUACUAUUUUUAUUAAAUAAAUUAGAAAAUAUAAAUAUUUCUAUAAAUGAUAUAGAAAUGGUAAACAAAAUAUUAGAAAUUCAUAAUUUCAAUGAAGGAAUAUAAAAUAAAAUAAAAAGUUAAGAGAUCAAGUGAUCAACUUAGUAAAGAAUUUAAUAAAGUUAAACAAUUCAUAAAAGACUUCAACAUUAAAAAUCAUGAUAUAUUAAACCAAGAGAUUAAUAAUAUAAUGAAUAAAAAUUCAAUAGAUAUAAAAUUUAACAAGUUAUAGAUUCAAUGAAAUAAAAUAAAUAAAAUCGUUGAGCAGUUUCAUACUAACUUUGCUAUAAAUAUAAAUGAAGAACUUCAAAAAAACUUCAAAUAUUGCUGCUUGGGUGCAAACAACCUGGAGUAUAAACAAUCUGGGGUAUAAUGUAAAACAUUAAAACUUAUUGACUUUUUUAAUAAUUAUUAUCUUUUCUAAGGGUUUAAGAAUUUAUAACUGUAACAUACAACUAAUGUAACAUGAGCUUUGCCUAUCAACCGUAUUAAACAUCCAUGGAAAUGUAUUGAAUGUUAUUAGUAAUCGUGAAUUAGUUGUAGACGAUGCGUGCAUGUAGGGAAUUAUGCACAUGGCUGGAUCUAGUAGUGGUAUGAUACCAGUGAGCUACCAUAGUUUUCUCCGUAAAGAUGUAAUAAUUAGAAUAGUUUGAAAGGAAUAUUUUUUUUUUCCCAUUAUAUGAUGUAGGUCCCCCACAUCUUAUAUUUGUAUGUAAACAUAGGGCAAAACGAUAACAUCACUUCAAGCAGCCAGUUUCAUAGAUUGAUAUUUCCAAUUUUUCUUUUAAGUUGACCUUAUAUUCGCACAGUAAUACACACAAUUACGAAUCUAAUUUUUGUGAUCAUAGUAUAAAUAAGUACCCGCGAGAAAUAUGUCUUGUACAGUAAAAUUACUGUUACAAAUAACAGACAAAUUUGUCACUUCAUUAUAGGUAUAACAUAGUACACUCAAUUUAUUUCGCCCAAACUAAUUUAAUUAUAGUGAGACAUUCUUAACUGUUGCAGAAUAAAGUAAUUUCAAUUUUCAACAAAAAUGUGUAUUUUUUAUUGAAUGUAAUGUAAUAUCUAUUUCCAAUAUUAAUCUCAUGUAAUAGUUUAAAAAUUAUGACAAUUUACCAUGAAAUAUAUUAGUUAUCACAAGUUUCUCUAUUACUUGUCAUCGUAUCAUUAAAUUAAAUAGGCAACAUUAUAUUAUUUAUUAAUUAAAUCCCAAAAUAGUUAUGGUGGUUUGAUGAAUAAAUUGUAAGGAUUGUUUACUUUUCUUGUUUUGUUUAAUUGAUGCACUGCUUUCUUUCUAAUUAUUUAACUAUCGAAUGUCAUGCUAUCUAAAGUCUAUAUGUAUUCAAAUGACGGGAAUCAAGACCUCUCAACAAAUUUCGAAUAUAUAAGAUUGAAACAGCACAAUGUGAAAUACUAAUGUUCAUUUUAUCCUGUAACAAUAUGAAGAAGUUGUACAAUUUAUUAGGAAUUGACCAUAGUUGUGGAACGAAUUGUAAAGCAUAAUCUGGGAAUAGUAAGGAGAUUGUUGUGACCAAUACAACAAAAAACAAAUCAAAUACUUAGUAAAAUGUUGUUACAAAAUAAUUACGUCCACUGUUAACUUGGAAUUCACAUGAUAUUCCCCUAAGUGUAUUGAUGGUAACAUAUGUUGCACGGCUUAUAAAACCCCCGAAGUUCACAAAUUACACUGCAUAGGCGUGAGACUGGGGCCUGACAUUUUGUAUUAUUGAUACGGGCUGGGAUAAACGUCCAUGUGACAAUUACGUCGUUGGUCCUUGAAGAUUAGGAUAUUUACUGACGAAGUGAUAUCAUGGUUUCCACCCAGUAGUAGGGAUUAGUUGGUUAGAACAGGGGAGCUAUUUGCCAUGAUGGUAGGUUUUUUCAGAACGCGAGGGAGUGUUGGUAAAAGUCUGGGAAAAAGGAUAGCUCAUCGAAGCUUCGUAGCGGACAAAAGCGGCGGCCAAGUACAGUUUCCCACGCAACCACUGACAAUGAAAGGAAAGAAAUUGCAAACUUCCGGCAUUUUAAUUUAUUUUUGUGGCAGUCGUUGCUUUGGAAGGUUAAUCCAUAAAAAUAAGGUGAAAUGAUGAACGACAUUUGCGCAGGAGAGGAAAUUUCUUUCCAAAAAUUUCAUCAUAGGGAGUUUCAUAAAUCUGUGCAUGAACAGGAUCCUGUAAAGACUACAUGUGAAACCCAUAUAUCGAUUCGAAGGAAUAACUUAGGAGUGGGAGCCAACAACACCACAGAGAAGGAGAGUAUGCUAAAUACAUACUUCACAGAGUGACACCAGGUAAACAUCAAAAUUAUAUCGUGCUCAUGUUUAUUAAUGACAAGUCUGUCUCACAUAUGUUCAUUCCGCUGGGCAAUGAAAUUGCAUGUGACGGAAAUGUAAUAAUCACUUUAAAACUGCUGUAUGGGUAGUUUAUUGUAGCACGAAUCAGGUUUGCAAUCGUACGGUAGACGCAUGUUUACAUUACAAAAAAUUGUUACGUUAGCUAUUACUUACAACUUCUCUGUUGAAUAACAAUGUGCAUUUCGUUUAAAUUUGUCAUAUUAAACUUGCAUUUAAAAUGUAUAUUUGGCCACACCAUUAAUUACUUGGGAAGAUGGCCAGUUAUGUGCAUUAUUUGAAGAAACUAUCCCGCAUUUCACAGUUUAGGCCGUCAUGGAAGAGCAUCAGCAUAUCAAAUUUUUCAUUUGCUCAUGCUUGUGGUGAUUUAAUAAACAGAUAAACCAAAUUCAAAGCAAGUCAUGGAAGAGGAUCAGCAGUCUGUUGUCAAAGGUAUAAAAGAGCCAAAGAAGCGCAGGCUUAUUAGUUCUACGAAUCACGCUGACCUCUUGAACUGUUCGCCAGAAUAUGUUCGUUCCUGUAGCUCAACAAAUAGACGAACGGCUAUAUUGGAUACUGACAUGGCCAAAUUGCAAAAGGCAUUAUAGUUUAAGAAUGAAAAAUAUAAUAGAAAAAUGUCCAAGGAGUUAUUUCCCAGUACAAAAGGCAAGGACGAACUGGUAGAUCAACAAUGUCGGGUGCUUGGCAAGGGUAACCCAAGUUGCACGGAACAUCUAAAAGGGAAUAAACAAACCCCUGUGUUUCUUAAAACACGUUGGCCAACAGGGUGGUACUCGGAUGAUGAACGAGACACGUUGGCAGACGUAAACGAUGAUCAACAACAAUUAGAAGGAUACUCGUCAGAAAAAGAGAAGGACAAUUUGUACGGAUUGGUAGAAAACCAAUUAGAUGAAGAUGUGGGUGACUGGUUCAUAUUUGAUGACAGUGUACAUCAUAGACUAGUAUUAUAUCACGGCCAGCGAUUUAAAGAUGUGACCCAGUUUAGGAACACUAUUCAAGUGUAUGCAAUUCGUGAACGGUUCAAGUUGUGCAUUAUGGAAAAUCGAUCUCACAUUGUCAGUUGCGAGUGUUCUGAUCUUUCUUGCGACUGGCAGGUUAAAGCAAUCAGAGAUGUCCGUGGUAAGGGUUUUGUUAUAACAGAAUUCUCACUAAAACACAAUUGCCCUCGACUUGACCACGCAUUCCACCCUGCAUCAAAGUGGAUUUCAGCAAUGUUUCUUCAUCGAUGGAAAGAACAGACAAGUAUCACCACAACAGAGGUCAAAAAUGAUAUUGAAUCCAUGUAUAGGAUUAAAUGCCCUGAGUGGAAGGUGUUUUGUGCAGCAAACAGAGCAAAACAGAUUUUGGGCCUGGAUUAUGACGAUGGUUAUGCAAUGCUGCAUCAGUUCAAAGAAGAAAUGAAAAGGAUCGAUAGGGACAACAUCGUGCUUCUAGAAACUGAGAGCCAUGAAUCACGAAAAGAAGAAAGGUUCAAGAGGGUGUUUGUAUGCUGUGAACGUACAUCCUAUGCAUUCAAGGUGCAUUGCCGAGGUAUCCUAGCUGUUGAUGGUUGGGAAAUUAACAAUCCGUGCAAUAGUGUCAUGCUGGUGGAAGCUGGACUUGAUGGGAAUAAUGGGAUCUUAACAGUUGCCUUCUGCGAAGUUCAAGUCGAAGACUUGGAUUCUUGGGUUUUUGUUUUAAAGAAUAUCAACAGCGCGCUGCGUUUGGAGAAUGGCAAAGGUCUAUGCAUAUUGGGUGAUGGAGACAACGGUGUUGAAUACGCUGUUGAAGAAUACCUUCCUAGAGCUGUGUACCGACAGUGCUGCCACAAGAUUUUCAACGAAAUGGUCCGGAGAUUCCCCACAGCACCUAAACAGCACUUGUUCUGGUCCGCUUGCCGCACCACGAGUGCUACAAGGUUCUAUAACUAUAUGGAAUUGAUAUAUCUUGGAAGUCAACAAUGCCAUGACUGGUUGAAGAAUUCAAAUUGAGAAAGGUGGGCACUAUUUUGUAUGCCUCAUUAGGUUAAGUGUACCUGUGUCACAUUAACGAUUACUGAGAAACUUCGCACUUCCUUUGACCACUAUUUGGAGAUGAGCAUUACUAGAAGAUUUGCGGCCAUUGCACGCUCAACGGCUGAAAUUUUCGAACGUAGAAGGAUGGCUGUCUGGAAAUAGUAUAGGGAGAAAAUAACGCCCACAGUUCAGGAUAUCAUUCACAACCGUUGUAUUGAUGGUCGGUGCUUCAUCGUGCGUAAGCAGACUGGCACAAUAUUGGAACUGACUGAUAGUUGUUCAUUAUGUUAUGAGCUAAACAUGGAUGCGAUGCCAUGUAGUUGCGGAUUAUGGCAGAUCUCAGGAAUUCCAUGUGCUCAUGCUUGUAGGGGAAUCAAAUAUAUGAGGCGCAAGAUUGAAGACUAUGUGGACAACACGAUGUCUAUACAAAAUUAUAUAUCCACUUAUGCGACAUGCAUGAUGCAAUUACCUCAAGAAUAUGCUUGGAAGUGGGACGCAGGUCACACCCUGCUUCCACCCAUCAGUUUGCCUCUCAAACCAAUUUCGGCCAAAGGCACCGAUGACUUGACAUCCAACAAACAUUUACUACACACGGCUGAUCAGUACCUCACACCUACACGUAACCUUCAGGUGCAUCUUUUCCUUAUACAACUUCUAUGUAUAUUUGCACUGCACAUCCUUAAACUAAUGUCACCUUUGCGAAAACUUAUAUUAACUCCUUCACUACAGUGGACACAGGAUAAGAAUUCGAGCAACUCUUCUGAACAUUCCAGCCUCCUCAGGCUCAUAUCCACCACCAGCUCUAAUACUAUUAGUAAGGAUCCGUUACUUUUUACUAUAUUUUGCAACAAACUCAUAAGUCAUUCACAAUUCCUUAGUGUCCAUGCUUAUGACAACUGCUCUUAACUCACUAAAUGAUUUUUACCUCAACAUUCUACCAAAUUCACAACUACCAUAUGUAUAUAAUGUGCUUAAUUGCAACUAAACUAUUUUCUGUUCGGCUGGUUCUUCUUUUAUCUAUGCCUAUGCAAAUAUUGUGACAGUGACAGAACCAAUGCUGCUCCUGACAUAAACAACUUUUCAUAUUCGCAUACUGCAAUGUAUCUGUUGCUAUUACUGCCAUCUUUAACUAAUGACCAAGAGCUUCAAGCAUGUGAGGGUGAAAUAAAACUUUUGCACAUUCGACUGACACCAUCCUUGUUGGAUGGUAGUGGUAUCCAAUUACUGUUAUAAAUGUGUCGAAUAUGAUUGUGCCAUGCUGAGAAUGACGUCAAUGUGAACUUUAUAAUUGCACUGUUUCUUAAUGACUAUUACUGCCUAUUACUUAAUUUUUUAUUUUUCCUUGGUUGUUUCAACUGGGAGCCCAAUACUUAAAAUUUGUGCUCUAUAAAAAUCGUUGCACACCAGUGCAAUUUCUUUUCCUUUAAAUAUAGAAAUUGUUUAUCUACAAAAGUUUCCAUAUUUUCACACAAUAUGAUCAAUUUAUUGUAUUGCAGGCCUCUGAUAACGGUUUCAAUUGGAUGGAGGACUUGCACUUCAACUUUUGGCCUGCAGACCACCAUUUUUGGAGAAUGGCGCCAAUGGUGUAUUAUAUAUGUAUUGGUUUGUAGUGGGAUGGUGCAUGUUUUGUAUUUGGCUUCUGGGAAGAUGGUUACUGGUACAUAAAAACUUUAACUCUCAUAUAACCAACUUUUGAUAUCCACCAUAACCAACGUUUUUUGUUUGUGAAUGCCGUUUAAUUAACUACGACCAGUUUAAUCUGCAUCUAUUCCCUGUAUGCUUUUGCACUCUUUGUUUGUUUGCUUGUGUCUAAUAACUGUAAUGUCUCAACUUUUGAUGCCGUAGCGUGUUCUAAAACAUCUAAAAUGUCAGCACUAUAGCCAUUAUUCUCUUCUUACUACCGUUACCUAUAAAAUAAAUCCCGAUUUUGCAUUGUCCAUCUCCAUAAUUCCUCCAACCCUUAGAAUGGUUGUUUUGUUUUUCAGAACUAAUUGCCGUUUUUCUUCCCUUACAAACUUUCUCUCUUCCCCUAUUGAGGACCACCUACACAAAUCUGUAGUUUGGAGACAACCAUUUCCUAUUAUCUACACAAUUGUCCUGAAUAAUUAUAACUGUCACUAAAUCGCCUCCUCUAUCAAUUUCCACGGUUCUAACAUAGUAGGAUCCUAGUGAUUAUGUUCAUAUUCUUUUCAUAUGUAAUCUUCUCCAGCUUUUAUAAUUCAUACUCAUUGUAUGUGCUUCACCCAACAUUGUCGUCGCUCUUGCUUUGCAAAUUCAACGUCAACUAUUGGAGAAUAGUAAUAGGCACUGGGGACAUACCCAUUCGGUGGAGCAUAUUAUGCUUCCAUUCAGUGAACCUCUUCCACGACCUUAACAUAACCCAAACACAAUCUUGUGAAAAUCCCCCAAACCAUCCCACUCUGGAACAAUUUCAGUCGGGGUAGUUUAGAUAUAUCCCCGCCAAUCACUGAAUUGCUCGGUAAUUAAAAUGCUGACAUGAUACCCUCUUAUAUUUGGAAUAAAUAGAUAUAUAUAUUAUGCAUAUUUAGGUACCUAAUCAAUUUCGAUGCCACCAACAAAUAGGAUACGGGAAAAUAAAAAAAUAACUAUAACGAUAGAUCAUCCAAUUUUACGACUCAGUUGUGGUGGCCAAAUGUUACCAUCCUCCAAAUAUCUCAAUAGAACUGCAAAUACAUCAAACAUGCUUAUUACAGUUUUACAAGGCCAAAAAUAAAAUUUCUAGGCCUUCAACACCCCCUUCCAGUGCCUUCUCUAGAACCAUUACGAAACUUCCAAUACCUUGUCAGCAACCAUCACCAGUGAUUACAUACCUCAUUCUUCUAAAUCCUAACACAACAUAAACAAACAAAAUACAAACAUGUUUAACCAUUGUAAACGUAAUAACUAACUUAUAUAACAAUAAAAAUUUACGCUAUAUAACUAUACAGCCUCCACAUCUGUUUCAAUCUAUGAUUCCUCGUCCACAAUCUUCACUUCUGCUGUACAGGUAGAUGCCACAGGUAUUAAAUAAAUACUAAUGAGACCACAAUUAAGUCAGUAGUACUUGCGUUUAACAAAUGAAUAUUUUAUAUUACAGUGUAAACCAUAUACCUCCACAACGAGCACACAUCCAUUAUUCAACUUUCACUACACAUCAUAGCCUCAACAUGCCUUGAUGAAUACACUACUUAUUGGACUCAAUGAAUUUAAAUAAUGUUGGUAUCAAUAACACCUCCACUAAUCAAUACAUAAACCAUAACUCACUUUACUAUCUUUUACUAACCAAAGCUCCAAUGCAAUAGUCCGCGUGUAUAUACCUAUAAACAAAUGAAUGCCCCCCAUCAAUUUUCGUUUCUUCAUCGAUUAUAAAGGCAUCCUACAGAAAAUUCGAACAAUUCACUUUUCUAACUUUUCCAUGCAAUCUCUUUCAAACCAAUCCUCUAUCUAACCAUAACUUUAAAUUUAUGCAAGUCUUUUCAUCUUAAAGCCGAUAAAUGUAUUAUGCGUGGCAAACAAAGACAAUUAUAUUAUACAUAUACUUAAAGUGAAUGACCAACCAAAGCACACGCCUCACUAACAAAGUGGUUACAGAUCGAACCACUAAUAUUAUGCCAUUUUUUCCAUUUGUUCUUCGGUGACUCUGUAUGUAUGUAAUUAACCAUUAUUUUUAUGCACCCACUGUCGAUAUUUACUAAUAUACAAUAAAAAAAUUACAUCUACACAAAGUAUGAGCCACCGAAAAUCAAAAGCAUCCAUUGAAACUAUGUUUCUUUCCUUAACAAUUAACCCAUAAAUAAGGUUUAACAUGUCAAUGAUUACCCCACUGCUCAAACCCCUUUACUGUAUUUAUUUCAACCCCUAUACUAUAUUUAUUUCAACCUGAGCAAACCCAGCCAUUCACCUCUUCGCAACCUAGGCAUUUCGAACACCACAUCUUCGAAAUCAACUACAAAAACGCAUUCACAAACAUGAAGCCUACCUAUGCAUGCGAAACGACUCUUCCAGUGCCUGCAAAAAUGCCAGAUUCAUAAUACCAACAAGGCCAUCUUCAAUAAUACAGACAUCAAUAGAAUAUAAUUUCAUAAAUCGGCAGCAACAUUUUUCUUACGGCAAAAUCAAAAUCACGACCACCAAAAAACACACAUUCAUUUACGAUUUAAGGAAAGAAUCUUUACCCUUCCUUGCCUAACGAAAUUUCCGGUUAUUCCCCUCUCUCGCAAAUGUCAGAUUUGAGAUUCAAAUUUGUUUCACAUCCUAUUCUUGUAUUUUUUUUUUUUCCAUGGACUUCAAGACCUUCAUUAGACAACCGGUUUAAACGGUUGUUGUUACUACCUGCGUCCGCUCUCCAAACUUUUAUUUAAACCGUUGGAUUGAACAUACUUAUAUCCAACGGCUUAACAGAAUAAAGACAAACCACAGUGGCACGGUGCCACUGUGGCACCACAGGAUGACCCACAUAACAUAGAGUAGAUAUUUUGAAGUGAAAAGCAGAGCCUUUACUGUUGCUUGCCUUAUCAUCUUUUAAAACUAGAGUUAUUAUUCUUAUAUUUUUAAGUAGCCAACGGAUAGUAGCCAACUCAUCUGUGUUCUCUAUUAUUGAAUUUAAAGAUCAAUGAUUUGGGUCUGCCUACCGUGCAACAGUUGCACGGUAUCCCAUUUUUUGUCUUUUUUCAACUCAGCCAAUGGAUCAAUGGUUAAAGUGUUUAACGGCCAGGAUGUGUUCAAUUGGUUAUUAACACUUAAAUCCUUACUGUUUAUUACAAAAUCAUAAAAGCUAAAAGUUUUUAAAUAUUCACUUACAUAAUUUUUUUUGUUUUAAAUUUUUUAAAGUUUGAUCCAUUGACUUAAUUUGAUCAUAAAAAUAAUUGAUGGUGUAAAUAUAAUAAUGUAAUAUCACAUAAAAUUUUUAAACACAUGAAAAUUUGAUAAAUGUAAAUAAUAUUUUUUGUUAUAUAAUAUAUAUUUAAUGUAAAAUAAAUAAAUUGAAUAUGUUUUAAGAAUAUAGGUUAUUAACCUUUAUACUUUAGAAAAUUAUAAAAUAAAAAAGGUGAAAUUUCAAAAUAAGAAACAUGUAAAAAGUCUUAGGUUGUAAAAUUUUAUUAUUUUAAUAUUACAAAACUUUACUUUUUUAUUACAUUUUUGUUUUUAGCAUUAGUUGACAUGUUAGUUUAUUUAUACAUACAAUAUGUUAAUUUACCUAUAAAAUAUCAAUAUAUAUAUAGCUCAACAAAGUUAUAGAAAGAUAAAUAAAGAAUAAUAUAAAAGGAAGUUAGUUUAUUUUUGAAGAAUAUUUCAAAAGCAUUUGAGCUUCAUAUUUCUUGAGAAUUAUCAUUUUUUAAGAUAUUUGAGCUUGUGAAUCUUGUUGUAAUGAUAAUUUAUUAUUUAUUCUUGAUUAAAAAUAAUUGAAUAGUAAAUUUAUUGAUUUCCAAAUGCUCUUUUAAAUAUAGGGUAGUUGGUUCAUUUUUAUUGUAUUAGCUUAAACUUUGUGUGAUAGCUAAUCAACCAUUGUAAAAGAUCUACUAGGAUUAUUUUUACUUUCUCUACAUCCCUCUAGACCAUCACCACUCAAAAAGUUAAAGGUCCAUUUGGCACACUAUAUUAUAUUGUAUUAUGUAAUACACAUGUAUUAUAUUAUAUUAUAUUACAUUAGUAGUAUAUUAUAAUAAUUAUAAUAAAAUUAUGCAACAUUUGGUAAUUGGUAUUAUCCUGUACUACAUUAAUUUUGUACUAAUAUUAAACUAAAAUUAUUUAAAUUUAUUAUUAAUUAUAUUAAAUUAUUAUUUUCAUAUUAAUUAUUUUUAAAUAAAUAUAAUAUAAUAUAAUAUAAUAAUAUUAUAGUAUAAUUUAUUUUUAUAUUUUUUAUUUAUUAUAAUAAAAAUAAAAAAUAAUUAAAAUAUAUGUAAUGCUUAAUUAAGGCAAAAUAAUAAUAAUGACAGUGGUAUUAUUUAAUAAUCAAAACAAAAAAAUUGUAAAGUUUAAUGAUGAUGACGAUGACGACGACGACAACAUUAAUAUAAAUAUAAUAAUUAGAAUAAUAAGAUUAAUAAAUUUAUUAAUAUUAAUAAAAUAAUAAUUCAGUAAUAAUUCAGUAAUAAAUUUAAUAUAUUUUAAAAAUAGUGAUGGUAAUAAAAUCAAUAAAUAAUAAUGUAAUGAUAACUAAUUAAAGUAAUCAUAACAAUUAAAAUAAUAAAUUUUAAUAAUAACAAUAGUAAUAAUGACAUUAAUAAAUAAUAAUAAUAACAAUUAAAUUUUUUUUCAAAAGUCAUUUUAUAAUUUUAUCCAGAGAAAAGGACCUAUAUAUAAAGAUUUGUAACUUAUAGUAUCUAUUCAGUUUUCUUAUAAAUAUAGGGUAGUGUAGUGUAAUUGUUGGAAAAAGACAAAAUUCAGUGAUACCGUAUAACUGUUGCACGGUAGGUAGACCCCAAUGAUUUAUGUUAAUAAAUAUUUUGUUAACUAUCAAAGUUUUUAUUUCAAAAUUACUGCUAUAAUUCAUUAAAUUUUCAAUUUUUCCUUUUUCUAUUCACACAACAGAUUGAUUUGCCCUCCAAAAAAAUGUAUUAGAUUGUUUAAUAUUGUAACAUUAAGAAACUUAUAAUAAAUUUUUUAAGAGAUAAAUAGAGAAUGUCAGUCUCGCAUCUACUCAAAAUUAAUAAAUAUACCACUAACUCCUUAUUAUUUUUAUAAUAAUUAAUAAUUUUCUUAGCAGUAUAAUUUUAUAGUAUUAUCCUUAUUUGUAAGUACAUUUUUAUUCAUUUUUAUUAUAAAUUAAGUAAAUCAUAUCAAUAAAAAUUAAAAGAACACAAUAUGGUUUGGUGUGAAUAAAAGAUUGAAAAUAAAAAUAUUUUUCUUAUUUUUUUUGUUAUUUUUAAAUGCUUUUCUUGUAAUAAAUGUACAUUUUAUAUUCUUAAGAUGAAUUUUGAGUAAAUGACUCAUUUACUCACUUUUUCUUUAAAUUUGUGUUAGUAGGAGGAUUUUUAGAUAUAUUGAAAAUUGUAAGGUAGUAAGUAAUAAUAUAAUAAUUUUAAUAGAGAAAAAUAAUUAAUUUUAAGACAUUUCAGAAGAUAUUUCAAUAUGCGGUGGACCACAUCCUUGAGUUUUCAUUGUCUCACUCAACUAAAAGGACAAAAUAUUGAGUCAUGAAGGACUCAAUUGAUUGUUAAUUUUACAGCAAUUACCUUUUUUUUUUCUUCUUUCUUUUUUGUUCUUAAUUAUUUUGAAAUGGUAGGUAGCAAUUGCUUACAUCAAAAUAUUUAGCCUCACUCGACAAAGUAUCUGAGGCCAAAAUGCCAAAAGAUGGGACACCCACAUGUGCAUCUAAUUACAAAAUCCAAAGUUAAUGAAAAAGAAAAAAAGAAAAAGUAUAAAUGAACGGUAUUCGCCUCACUUUCAAACAUGUUCAACAUGAAUUUCCUUUUACCAAAAGUAAAUUUCCUCUCGGAUUGUCCUUAUUACAUCAAACGAAUGAUGACGACAUUCUCUGUCCGUUUCUGACUCUUUGCUUUUCUCUCUCACAUCACGAGACACCUCGUUUCUAACUAGGGUACCACCAUCAUAUUUAACUGUUGGGUCUUCCUACUAUGCAGCUGGUGUAUGCAUGAUUCCUUGUGACAUGACAUACAGUCAAUUAAAUUCUGACAUGCUUGCAAUAAAGACUAUUAAAGUGACCGGUUAUUCCGGUUGAAUUCACAAGAUCUCUUGUUUGUGCGUUUAUGUUCCAAGUUGCUUACUAUGUGUUACAAGUUCUCUAAUUAGUCUGAUAUUAUCGCAACUGUUGCUCAAUAAUGUUACAUGUUUUAUAAUAUGUCACUGGUACGAUCGCUGUCACAAAUUUAGAACAAAAAGUUUCCAAUAAAAUAAGUUAUUUAAUUAAUAAAAUAAGAAUAAAAUGAAUUUGUAAAAAAAAUUUAAAUUAAAUUUUGAAUUAUUUUGACCAAAAUUUAAUUUUUUUAAUUUGUUUAAGAAAAUGCGUUGUAAUUGUCUUGUUUUAAUUGGAAAAUCAAUGAAAAAAUUAUGUAACAGACAAAAAAAAAAAAAAGCAAAACGGUUUGUUUUGUACGGAGGCCAUAGAUUCCAAUAUUUCCUUCACGAAAACUACAAAUAAUUAUCAAAGGCAUCAAUUUCUACACUCUCACCGAGCAAUACUUUUAGGUAGCGUUUAUUUUUUGGAUUGGAGUGGGAAUCCUGAGGAGUGGGAAUCAUAGGAUUGGGAGUGUGGAGUGGGAGUGUGGAGUGGGAGUGGGAGAAUGUUGUUUACUUACACUAGAAUGGAAGUAUAUAAUGGAGAUCAGAAUUCAAUUUAUGUGUUUACUUUAUCUUAGGUUGGGAAUAAAUAGUUUCAAAUUACAAUUUUAUCUUUAUUUAAAGAAUUAUAGUUUUUAAUUACAAAGCUAAUAAAAAAUAUAUUUAAUGAAUAAAUAUUUAUUUUAUUAUAUUUGUAAAUUUAUAAUAAUUAUUAAUAUUCUUAAUUAUGAACAUCACAUUUUUUUUAUUAAUUUUAAUUCUAAUAUAAAAUGAAAUGUUAUUUUAUUUAAUAUAAUUAUAUUAAAUUUAUUAUUAUAUAAACUAAUAAUAUAAUUUUAUUUAGUACAAAAUUAAUAUUUUCUUAGAAUAACCUAUUUAUUAUUAUUAAUAUUAAAUAAAUAUAAUACUAUUAUUUUUAAAAUAAAUACAAUAAUAUUAUAUUUAUUAAUUCUCUAUUAAUAUAAUAAUAUUAUUUUAAAAUAAUUUUAACUUAGAAUCAAUGCAAAUUAUUAUUUAGUUAAAUAUAAUAAUAUUAUUCAAAUAAAUAUAAUAUUAUUUAUUUUAUUUUAUUAAUUAUAAAUAUUAAAUUGAAUUAAAAUUUAAAAAAAAAUGUAGAAAAGGGAGAGGUGGGAGUGGAUUCCCACUCCCACUUCUCACUCCAAAAAUGGAUAGGGCCACAGAGUGGGAUUCUCAAUCCUUCACUAAAUAAGUGAAAUAAACACUAAAGUGUGAGAAAUUCACACUCCUCACUCCCACUUCAAAAAAUAAACACAACAUUAACCCAGAAGAAAGUGUAUAAACCAACCCCAAUCUGUCCAUCAAUGUCGUCAACCUCAUACAGCAUAAAGAAAAUCUGUCCAUUAAACCGCCAUUUAAACCGUCUUUAUUGAGCCAUUAGACUAUUCGUGUCAUCUUCCCAUCUCGUUGUAGUAUUUUGCCUUUCAAAUCUAGUUAUCCAUUGGGGAAAAUGGGGACCAAUCUGCAAGUCUUUAAAAUAAAAAAGAAACUUUAAUUGGGCACUAUGUUCACGGUGGUGGACCUAGCAUUAGCUAUUUGUAUUUUAAAAAUUAUUUUACACACUCUAAUUUUAAUAAGAAUAUAUAUUACAAAAUUACUUAUCAUAUAAGUUACUGGACAAUAUAUUAUAAGUCAACAUUAUAUAAUUACUUUGAACAUUUAUAUAGCCCAAUCCUAAUUCAAUUUAUUACUCUCAUGAUUAAAUAUAAAAAUUUUUAUUUCCAACUUCUUAAUUAAUAUGUAGAUGAAUAAUAAGGAAAUUAACUUUGAGAAAAAAUUAAAUACAAAAUAUGUGUAAUACUUUAAAAAAAAUAAACAAAAGUAUUGCACAAGAUUUUUUUUGGGGGGGGGGGGGCUUGGCCAUUCUUCUUCUUCUCCUUCUAUCUCUCUUUUUUUGUAGUAUUUAUGGAACAUUUUCUAUUGUUAUAUUCUCAUUGCAAGUUAUUUUGGGUGUAAAAUUCAAUAUUGAAAAUAAAUUAAAUAAAAAAUUAGUAACUAAAAUUAUGUUAAAUUAUUUUUUAACUUAAUUUUUAGUUAUAUUAUUAGUAUAUGUUAGAUCUCUUAAAAAUCGAGUGUUGAAUAAUUUUAUUAGUUUUUUAAACAAAUAAAGUUAAAUAACUUAAAAAAUUUAAGUAAGGAUAUUUUUAAAUUUUUAAACAGUAUACAAAGUAAAGUUUAUUUUCUUGUCAGUGGCAAAUGAUCACGACAAGAAAUCUGAAGUAGAAACAGCAGAGCUCAACAAAUCACUAAGAGAAAAUAAGACCAAUAACCAAGCAGAUAAAAGAAAAGCAAAAUAACCCAUCUCAAAAUCACCACAUGCACAAUUUAAGGGGUUUGUGACAUGGGUUUAAGCAUGAUUUAACAAGUGCCACCUGUGAAUUGUCAGAGAUUGUAUUUUCAUACACAUGUCAAAUUUUCAAGUCCAACAAAUUGUUAUCUUUCUAAAGAGGCUAAUAUAUUAUUAUCUAUGCAUAGCAUGCUAUAAACAAUUCAUAUUACUGGGCCUUUGUUUUGUGUACACAACAUAUGGACAGAGGAACAAAUGCCUGAGCUAAAAUCAUCAUAUUCCAAAAUAUUCUAUUAAAUCAGCACCACAAAACGCGAACGCUAAACAGAAUUGGAGCAAUUUACCAAAGCUAUUUGUCACGCAAAGCACUAGUACCUCAGAACCCAAUUUGCAAAAAAGCACCAAAAAUGAAAAAUAACAAAUGCCCAGAUGAAAAAUCAGGAAAAAAAAAAGCUCAAAUCCAAAUUACAACCCCAUAAGCUGAGUCGUUCUCUUCGAACUGAAUUAAAAAAAUUAAAAAAAAUUAAAUAGGGAGAUUGACCUCAAACUUUGGAAACAGAAGCGACAUCGAUCUGUUUCUUGUCUGGAGUGUCCAUUUCUAUAAUCUACUUUGUCCGUUUUCAGUCGCUCUGCCACAGAACUUCUUCCCUCUGAAGCUGCAGCUCACACACACUUGCAAAACGAAAGCAUUUUUUAUUGAUUGAGAGGCGGGAAGGCGGGAAAAUGAGAGAAAUUUGCAUUUGUUUUCUCUUGGUUUGGUCACACCUGUGCGGGCCCCAGCUCGACAAGCGGUAUUAUUACUAUUUGUAUAAUUUACAUGACGCGUGUCACGCAAUGACGAUAAAAAUAUAUAUAUAUAUAUUGUUAAUUUUUCACUUAACAUUGAAAUAUCAUAUAAUUUUUCUAAUUUUAUGGUUAUUUUCUCGCCCUUAUGCCACAUUCUUUUGAUCAAAUAAUACAGUAAAAUUUUUCUAUAAUCAUAAUAUUAGAGCCAAAUUAACUUUAUUUCUGUAAAGAGGCUAUAGCUUAAUAAAGGUAAAACUAUAAAAAAUAUUAUUUUGACUCAGUUAUCUUUAGUGCAAGUGAUAUAAAGUACAAAUAUAUGAUAAUUAAUUAAUGAACUAUGUCAAAUACAAUAUGCUGACAAUGAUAAAAAAGAUAGACAUAAUUUCAAGAAACUAAUACAUAUAUUUAUGUAGUGCUGGGAUUAUACAAAAUUAUCUUAAAAGUGUAAAUAGUAAAGUACUAUUCUGAUUAAUUUAAAAAAAAUAUUUUAUCUUAAUCUUUAAUGCAACAUAGCUUUUUUUUUUUUCUUAGCAACAAAGCAUUGUUCCAAAUAAUUAUUAUUGGAUUCAAAUCAUGUCCUAGGCAUUUUUUCUUCUAGUCGUCUUUAACUUUUAAUGAUUUAUUGGCAUGUGUCAAUCAUUAAUGAAAUUAAAUAACUAAGACUUUGUUUUAAUUAACGUUUACAUAAAUAGACAUCAAAACUCACAUGUGAUUCUUAUCAAAUUUUUUCCUGCAAAUUCUUUUCCUCUCAACUAUUCAUAUUUUGAUAUUAAUUUCCAGCAAAUUAUUAAAAAAAAGAAGAAGCGUAAAAUGGAGAAAAGUGAUUGACAAUAAGAUUUGCAUCUUUAUUUCAAAAUUUUCCUUUCUUUGCUAUUUUUGUGGGUUCUACAAUUGUUGUUUUCACUCUCAGCUGCAGUUCAAUGAACUCUAUUAAAUAAUUAGUUUUUAAACUACAAGUAGCUUUGGAACAGCUCUUAAAUUGAUAUAACUUCUAUUAUUAUGUAACUUAGCAAGGUCAGAUAUUUUAAUAAUAGCACAUCACUAUUGUUUCAUGUGAAUGAUGCAAUUGGAUUAGCCAAUACAUACCGUCAUCCCCGGGAGAUGCUAUGGCAAUAGCUUACUCUACCGUGCCAAUGUCAUUAGUAUUAAUCUGUCGAACCUAAGACCAGAUCUAAGUUGAUCUAGAUUCCCCAAGAUUGCACACCACACAGUGAUUAAUGAAUCAAGAACAAUAAACCAUCAAAGAAUCGCAAACUUACAUGUCGGGUUACAUGUAAUAAAUGUUUUAAUUAUUAGAUGAUUCAUAAUGUUAGACCAUUUUUUGUAUGUUUUGUAAUCUACGUUUGAUAAUUUAAUUAGCUGAUAAACACUUGAAUAAUAUUAUUUCAUUAACUAUGUCAUUGAUCCCCAGGAAAAAAAAAAAAAAAAAACCCAAUUUGGGAUGUUAUACAUUACUUUUUCAUUACUUCCCAUUUUAGAUUAAUAUUUAUCACAUAUAUUCUUAGCAACUUGUAACCCUUUUUGCUAAGGGUGAAAUGUGUUUGUUACCCCUUCUAUUUCUGAGAUUGUCCUUACAAUAAGGAUGCCGGCCACAAUGUCAAAAACUGCUAUCUCUAGGUGUAAAUUCCUUAUAAAAUUCUUUUUUAAUUGAAAUUACUUAAAUAAUUGAAGAUAAAUUAAUUUUUUAUUUCAUUCAAAUAAAAAAAAUCAAUUAAACACUUCAAUAAGCUAUCCUUUUAAUUUUUUUUUACACCCAUCCAGUUUCAUAAUUUAUAUUUAUAAUUUAAAUUUUAAUGGGAAUAUUUUUUUGAAAAAUUUUAAGAAUUAAGAAUUAUGGGGAUAAAAAUUAUGUAAUAAGACCAAAAUAAUUUAAAAUUUUAAAAUUUGCAUGUAUUAUAAACAAAAACUUGAAAGAAAUACUCUUUUCAGGGUGAAAUUUAAUGAGAAAAAGAUUAAUUUUAAUUUAUGAAUUAGUAUUUUAUAAGUUAAACUGAGGUAUUUCAAGAAAUAGAAUUCAAAAGGCAUGGGAACGAGGGCCUUGGGUUUCAUUUUGUUUUGUAUGAAUUGGGAAAAAUACACGGACAGACAAAGGGAGCAGUCAUUAUAAUGCUGUGGAGCUUGUCGGAGAUUCCCUGCCCAUUUGUAGCUUAGAAUCCUGGGGUUUUGUUCAUGUCUUUUCUCUUUCCCACUUUCUCAUAUUGCUGUCUCAUAAGAGAAAUAGUCAUACAUAGUUGGUUAGGCCUCCAGUCCAUUAACUUAAUAAUGAAUUUUAUGAAAAUUGAUUAUCUCAUUGGAAUUACAUAGAUAUUGGAAAACAUUACUCCAGCCCCACCAUCCCAACCAUUUACUUAGUUCAUCAGUAAAAGCUGGAUUUUCCAUUUGUUCUUGAGAUUCAAAUUAAGGCAGCAAGUUGCUCAUUCAAUAUUAUCUAUGUAAUCCUGUAAAAGUGAAGGGCGUUUAGAUGUGGAAAAACCUUACUCCUGCCGCAACACCUCAAACAGAUUGUGAUCAGACAAGACUUAGUUCAUCAUUAGCGGUAGUUGGAGCUUCCAUUUGUUCUAGAGAUUCAAAGGCAGCAAGCUGCUUCCUCAGUGCUACUAAUUCUUCCCCGGCAUUGCAUAUGUAGCCUGAGGCUUGUCUGCCAGACAAAGUUGCUCCUUCCAUACUAUCUAUGUAAUCCUGUGAGAGUGAAACCAUUUAGAAGACAUAUCUCUUUUUUUUUUUCAAUAUUUGGAAUGAAACAAUUAUAUACAGUUACCUGUUUUGUAUAUGAGCUGGCGAGGAAGAAGUUCUUCACUGGUAUCUUUUGAUCAGGUCUGAAGGGGUCUUUACCAGGUCCCUCACCUCACAAAGAUUGCCGGAUUUUGACGACAGAUAACCAAAUAACUUCUAAACCUUGGGAUGAUGGAAAUAGAGCUCAAACCUAAUAAAAGGAACCGUGAAUGGAUAGUAUGGACUCAUGUAUAUUAUCCAGAAAGUUGCAUGACCUUUUUUGGUACUCAGGUCACUAAAAAAUGUGAGAUAAACAUCUAGGAUAAGAAAAGCAAAAAAGCAUAACCUAAUACGUAUUAUAUGAAUUGAAGGUGUCACUGAACGCUACCAACCUGCUUUGCCACUCUCCUUCUGAUUUCAUCAUUUGGUAAGGGCAUAUAAGGAUCUCCAGGCGUCAAAAUGCAUCUGAAAUAUAAUAUGGCUAUAGUAAGUAACACAGAAUACAAAGACACUUAGCAAAAGGAAGUCAAUCAGAUUCCAUGCACAAAAAAUAACUAAUAAUGACGAGGAUAAGAAAUUUUUCUUGCUGGAGCAACGAACCUUGCCCUUCUCUGUAGUAGUCUUCUGGUGAAGUGAGUGCUAGAUCUGCAAAGCAAGAUAAAUCUGCAUCUGGAGUAUAUGAAAGGUUAUCUAACCCCACAGCUUGCCUCAAUUGUCUACAUGUUCAAAACAAGGAUCUGUUAAAAAAUGGAAAUUUCUUCAAUGCAUUAGUAAAGGGAAGUGAAGUGAAAGCUGAUUUCUUAGGCCUUCACAGAGCAUCAUGUGUUUGAAUUCCGGUAACCUCACAAAAAAUUAGAGCAUCACCUUGACCGUUCUAGGUCUUGCAACUCAGUAACCCAACCAUUGCAUCUAAGCUGCACUGUGACAACAGGAACUCCAACUAGCUCAUAAAUAUUGUUGAAAAUUUUCAUUUCCCUCCACGAUGAUGGAGGCAAACUUUUAAUUCCAGGGACAUCACAUGCAGCCAUUAAAUAAGAAGUUGAAUAAAGAAAAAUCGUUCAACUAAAUGAUUCAGGAGUUAAAAAAAAAAAUGUAGAAGUAGAAAUAAAUAACGAAGAUUUAACCAUAAACCUGCAACAUAUGCAUCAGCUUGCACAACCUUCUUGUCAGUGGCCUGAAAUAGAAUGAGAAAUUGAAAGACAGUAAGCAUUAAAGAAUAAACUCAAAGAAGCUGCUUCUAACAGAUGAUAUAAACAGUAAAUUUACAAAUGUCAGAUCAUUGCAUUAGCUCUAUGCCUCCAUCAGAGGGAAUAUUAAUAGAUGCAUAAAAAAAUAAUUAGAGCCACAUGUUAAACAAUUUACCUUAGAAGUAGCAAGUGCUUUGACAAAUUUUUCCCCGUUAGCAGAUUUAUCAUAAAGUAUCUCUCUGCAUCCCCACCUAAGAUGGAACCUGUUCUCACAAGAACAGAUCCCAAGGUUGGGAAAAUCAGUUCAUCAUAGGAGAAAACAAAGAAGAUUAACAAAUCACUACAAUGGUGUGAACCCGUAAAUACAAACGUACCUGCCCCCUUUAUCUGUGAUAUAUUUUCUUAUGGGCCCACUCAAAUAAACAUCCGGAGAACCCUUGAGCAUCAGCAAUAGGGAAGCCUCGGUCUUAGUCGCAAACAGUGCAAAUAUAGUGAGCAUACAACGAGCACUGAUGUUAUCACAAUCAAUAAACCCAAGGGCAUACGCAACAGGAUCCCACAUUCUUUGGAACCCUUGGACAAAAACCAAUCAGAGAAGCUUAUCUGUAAGAAGAAAUGAAGUUUUAGGUAAAAUGACAAUCUGUAAGAACAGGGAUUGAAAUUCAACAAACAAGAAAAUAUGAUGUCAUUCUUACACUAUCCAAAUCUCAUAUGUCCUUCAAGGCUCCAUCAGGAUCAACAAGUGCCUUUACAACAGCACUCAGAGCAAGAGCAAGAGCAUUUCUUGCUUUAUCAUAAGUCUGCACUUGAGCAAUUUAUGAGGCAAAGUACAUCAAAAGAGAAUCCAAAAGAGGCAAGAAGCUUCAACAUGAAAAAAGGAGUACUGCCUCAUCAUACUGCUUUGCAAUCACAGUGCAAAAGAUAACAUCAACAAAAUCAAAUUCUAGCAUAAAUCCAUAUGCACUACCUUAAGCUGAUUUGUAGACAAAAGACCCGUUUGGGGCAGCUGCGCGGUUGCAGCGCAGCUGUCCCAAACGGGUCCAAUCAGAAACCCAAAAUCAAGUUCUGGAGUUGAAAAUCAAAAUCAUGAACCAAAUCAGAGUUAUUAUUGAAUUAGACAAUCCAUAAACCAAUAGAAGGUAAAACAAAAAGGAAUAAAAAUUCUUCUAAAUUCUUUCACCAUCAACAAAAUCAGUAAAACACAUACUAAUUCAAAAUGACAUAAAGUUUGUGAAUUGAAAUAAUGCCAACUCCUAAGAAAAAUUAUGACUGCUGAUAUUUUUUCCGAAAUGCUGAUAAAAGCUUCUGCUAUUUACUUUGAAAAAAUAGAGGUUAGAAGCCAAUUUACUUGAAAUUUUGAGUUUAGGCAAGAGGAUGAAUGGCAAAAGUGAAACAAUUUAGGGAAAAAUGUACUUCAGAGGCCAAUGAAAGCAUUCAGAAGAUUGAAAUCUAAAUAAGCAAAACCCCGUGGCCUUGAUCCAACAAAUCCACUGCUGUUGACAUGCCUGCAAGCCCAGCUCCAAUAAUAGCCACUUUCAGCUUUGGUCCUCUAUAAUGUUCCGGUUCUGGUAGAAACAAACCCUUGGGAGCUGCCAAGUAUACCAUCCAAUUAUCCACAGCGAUAAUGGAAAUAUAUAUGUGUUUAAAGGUACUAAAUUCCUAAACAUGAAAUGUAUCCAAAGAGAGACACAAAGCAGAAUUGUGAAACCCAAUAAAUUUUAAGAAUACAAAAUACUCGGUCUGUUCCUCAAUUCCUUUAAUAAAAUUUCCACUAGAGGCUCCGGAAGCCACUCAAUAACACUCCAAAGCCAGAUUUUAAACGUUCUCUUUAUCUUUAACUACAAUCCACAAACAAUUCUGCCACAAAUUCAAUUCAAAAUUGUUCAAGUGCACCGCCACUUCUCCAUCAAUUCCCUCAAAAAUUCAUAAUUGGCAAACACUACAAACCAAAAAGAGCUUCCAGCAAUAAACGCAUAAAAAUCCACCAAGCAACAUAAAACAAAAUACCCAGAAACCAGAAAAGCCAAAAGAUCAAUGCUUGGCAAACAAGCCAAUCAAAUAAAACAAAAAGAAGAGAAAUUUACCAUUAACGCUCAUAUCAGAAACAUUAGUGUCCAAAGAAGCCCGUACACGGAAUCUUGGAUCCUUCACUUGAACCCGAGACCAUGUAACGCCAGUAACUGAAGUUGCAGGAAACAGAACUGAAGAACCCAUAUUGCAAAUCCUGAGCUGAAAUCAAAGAAAUUCAAUUGGAACUCAAUUCAGCUCAACCGAGCGGAGCUCUCUUUUGCUUCAAUAACAAAGUGUUUUUCUUUCAUAUCAACAAAGAUUUGUCAACAUCAACAAAAUUUAACUAAGAAACUAAAAAUAAUGCGGUAUCUUUGAGUUUAAGAAUCUAACAAAGAUUUGUCGACAUCAGGGAACUGUUUCGGAGAGGUUGGCCAAGUGCAUUUUUGUUUUUUUCUUGUUUUGCCCUUUUCAUUAAUGCACAACAUUAGUCCACGUGAAGAGCACAAAAUGCUGGUGGCUUUGUCACUAACGAUAAUGGAUGGAGUGUCCAAAGCAACCAACUAAAUUUUAAAGAGAGGGAAUGAUAAGUAAUAUCUUAAUGGGGUGAUUAAUUAAUUUAUUAUCAAGCAAUUGUAUUUAUUUAUUUAAAAGAUAUCCUUAUCUUUGUACAAGGUUUGAGGAAAGACGACGAUGUUGUGUUGUCACAUAUUUUUACGUUUCUCCAUAAUUCACUGCAACAUCAACUGGGCCACCACCUCUUGCCUCUCCCGGUUCCCCUCAAUUUUCUUAUUCAAUGUCCACCGUUGAUUGUACAUUUAUUGAAAUUCUGUGGUUAUUGUUUUUUUGCAUACAUUUAAUUCCACACGGUCUAUGAAUAGAGCAGGUGCAUCGUAGUUGUGGCCUUAACUGUUAUUGGUAACUCAAUAGCUAAUUCUAAUGUUUCAUCAAGCAGUUUAGAGAUAACCUCUCUCGCUGAACUCCCCGGAGUAACGCAAUCCAGUUUUCCAGUGCAAUCAUCAGACAGUUGAACAGCUUCUGAAUUCCCUUUGCUUUUCUUGUUUUCUUUUCCAUGUAAAGGGAGCUCAGGCUUCAAUAUAUCUGGGGAUUGAGUACUAAUGAUAAAGACAACAUACGAUAGAGGACACAAAUUGUUAUUAAAGAAUGACGCACUUUUCAACUGAGUACAGUAAAGCAAGAAUGGGUAAUUAGUUUUACCUGCAACGUGAAAAUCUAGACUCCCGACGGUAACCGAUCUUUGGUGAAGCAAAUAAAGAAGAAGGCGAAGUAAAAUUCACUGAGUUGAAUGAGCAAUCAUUACGUAUGGACUUGAUUUGUUCAAUGGGUGAAAGACUGCUGAUAUAAUUAAAGACUGGAGAAUCCUGCACGUUGACAAGCAUCAUUUUUAAUAUAACAUAGAGUCUUAAAAACCUAGUCAGUGGCAAAUGAUCACGACAAGCAAACUGAAGUACAAACAGCAGAGCUCAACAAAUCAUUAAGAGAAAAUAAGACCAUUAACCAAGCAGAUAAAAGAAACGCAAAAUAACCCAUCUCAAAUCACCGCAUGCACAAUUUAAGGGGGUUGUGACAUGGGUUUAAGCAUGAUUUAACAAGUGCCACCAGUGAAUUCUCAGAGAUUGAAUUUUCAUACACAUGCAAAUUUCCAAGUCCAACGAAUUGUUGUCUUUCUGAAGAUAUUAACGUUGCAUAGCAUGCUAUAAAUAAAUCAUAUUAUUAGGGCCUUUCUUUGCUGUACACAACAUAUGUACAGAGGAACAAAUCCAUGAGCUGAAAUCAUCAUAUUCCAAAAUAUUCUACCCAAUCAACACUACAAAACCCUAACGCUAAACAGAAUUGGAGCAAUGUACGAAAGCUAUUUGUCACACAAAGCACUGGUACCUCAGAACCCAAUUUUCAAAAAAGCAACAAAAAUGAAAAAUAGCAAGUGCCCAGAUGCAAAAUCAGGAAAAAAAUGCUCAAAUCCAAACUACAACCCCAUAAGCUGAGAUUGACCUCAAACUUGGAAACGGAAGCGACAGUGAUCUGUUUCUUGUCUGAAGUGUCCAUUUCUCUCGCUCCGCCACAAAGCCUCUUCACUCUGAAGCUGAAACUCACCACGCACUUGCAAAACGAAAGCAUUUGAUUGAUUGAGAGGCGGGAAGGCGGGAAAACGAGAGAAAUUUGCUUUUGUUUUUUCUUCGUUUGGUCAUACAUCUGCAGGCCCCAGGUUGACAAGCGUUAUUACUACUACUUGCAUUAUUUGAAGGACGCGUGUCAUGCAACGAUGAUGGAAAAAGUGGUGCAAAACUUCAAUGGUCACGAAAUGACGAUAAAACAAAAAUAUAUGGUUAAUUUUUCACUUAACAUUGGAAUAUCAUAUAAUUUUAUGGUCAUUUUCUCGCUGUUACGCCACAUUCUUUUGAUAAAAUAAUAUGGUUAAACUUUUCUAUAAUCAUGAUAUUAGAACCCAAUUAACUUUAUUUCUAUAAAGUGGUUAUAGCUUAAUAAAGGUAAAAUUGUAAAAAAUAUUAUUUUGACUUAAUUAUCUUUAGUGCAAGUGAUAUAAAAAAUAAAUAUAUGAUAAUUAAUUAAUAAAUUAUGUCAAAUAUAAUAUAUGGACAAUGAUAAAAAAGAUAGACAUAAUUUCAAAAAACUAAUAUAUAUGUUUUUGUAGUGCUGGGAUUAUACAAAGUUAUCUUAAAAGUGUAAAGAGUAAAGUAUUAGAUUGGAUUGAAUUAUAUAUAGUGCUGACUUAUGUUUGGUAUGAUAUUGUAUUAGAUUAUGUUAAAUUAAAUUUACAUGAAAUUAAAUAGUAUUUACAUUAAUAUUUGAAUUUAAAUAUCAACUAUUUAUAGAUAUUUAACAAUAAAUAUUAUAAUUAAUUAAAAACAGCACUAAUAAGGGGUGUGUGUGUGUGUGUGUAUUCAUUUAGUUAUUGGGUAGUCAUAAUUAUAAUAAAGAAAUAUAAACUAUUUAAAUUAUAGGUUAUUUCAAAGAGUAAUGAGAGAUAUCAUUUCAUUAAAUAAAAUAAAUAAAACUAUUCAAAUAAUAAAUUAAUUAAUAAAUUUUAAGUAAAUCAUGAAUAAAAAAGAAAUUACUUAAUUAAAAACAAUAAAUAAAUAAAUAAUUUUUAAGUUAUAAAUAAAAUUGUGUAAUAAAUUAUGGAAGAUAUUAUAAAUACACAAAUAUUUUUUUCACAUUAUCUAGUCCCAACUAAACCCACAUAAAAAUUAGAAUUAGCAAUCCCAUGAAUUUAGGAUUAAAAUUUGAAUUUAGUCCAUUAAUCCAAUCCAAGUGAGCAUGCCAAACAUAGUAUUAAUAUUUUAUCCCAAUAAUAAGUCCAAUCCUACACUAAAUCCUACCUCCCAAACAUAACCUUAAGAAUCUAUUGACAUGUGUCAUUAAUGAAAUUAAAUGGCUAAAAUUUUGUUUUAAUUAAUUUUUACCUAAAUAGACAUCAAAACUCAUGUGUGACUCUUGUUAAUCUUUUUCUUACAAUUUCUUUUCCUCUUAAUUCUUUAUAUUUUGACACCGAUUUCUAGCAAAUUAUUAAAAAAAAGAAAAGGAGCACAAAUUGGAGAAAAGUGAUUGACAACAAGGUUUGCAUCUUAAUUUCAAAAUUUUCCUUUCUUUGUUGUUGUUUUUUUUUUUUUUGGGUUCUAUAAUUGUUGUUUUCACUCUCACUUACAAUUCAAUGAACUAAAUUAGUAUUGCUACUUAUAAACUGCUAUUACCGGGCAUAUAAUUUUAUUGCUACAAUUUUACUGCUGUUUAGCUAUUUUUCUGAGUUUUUAGUUGUUGUUCUAUUGUCUCUUUGGGGUUUGCAACUGAUGUUUGCUGUUUUUCUAUGAAACAAUUAAAUUCUUUUGCUGCUACAUUUUUUGUUGUUCUAUUAUGGCCGGGACGUAUGUGAAAGGGAAAGAAUCUACCCAAAAAAAAAAAUGACAAAGAGUCACAUGUGAGUUUAGAUGUAUUUUUAAGUAAAAAUUAAUUAAAACAAAAUCUUGGCCCAUUAAAUAACUUAAUAUAAUCAAUUUGUUCUUAAUAACUUAAUAUUAUUUAAUCUAUAGAAGCAAGAUCCUCGAAGACAAAACCUAUAAAUAAUUUAAUAUAAUGAAUUGAUUCUUAAUCUACUCCAAAUUGAGACUACAAUUUUUUACUUAAAAAUUGGCUAGCUAACUUUACCUUGAUGGGCUGACUAUCGCCCAUACAUAUUUCUUCAAAUUUAUUAAUAUUUUUGUGCAUAGCAAUUAGGGUUACGUGACAACGAAUUCUCCUUUUAGUAUAUAAAAAGUAUACUCACAAGUAGUGUAGUGUUCCCCUCCUAAAGGGCAUAGCUCACUGACUUUUAGUCUCUUUCUUCAGUUGACGACUCCAGUUAGACUCUUCAAUGAGAUUAAAGAUUGAAUAUAUCAAAAAUAUUAGCAAUAUUUGUGCUUAUAUUUAACAAAACUAGAGUAAUAUAUUGAUUAAUCUACAUAAUUUUAGGCGGGUUCUUAGGUAAUGUUACAAUUACAUAGAUUAUUUUCACAGUAUAAGCCAAAUCUUAAGAAUUAAUUACUUGAAUAAAAGGAAUAAAGGAUGAUCGAUAAAAGUAAAACAAAGAAAAUAAAUUAUGCCGUUAAAUUGGGAUAUUUGGCUGCCUUAAUCGCUAGAGAUGCUUCUCCAAAACCCGCGUGUAAACAAAACACAUAUUUUUAACAUAACAAUAGCCCAAGCACAUAAACAAGAGUGAAAGCCGAGGAAUCAAUUUCAUUACUGUUCACUAGUAUUUUCAAUUUCAUUAUUUCAUUAACUGUCAUUGAUAAAAAAAAAAAAAAAAACUCAAUUUGAGAUGUUAUACAUUACUUUUCAUUACUUCCCAUUUCAAACAUAUUUAUCAUAUAUAGUCUUAGUAGCUUGUAACCCUUUCUGGUAAGGGUAAAAUAUUUCUUACCCCUUUGAUUUCUGAGAUUGUCCUCACAAUAAUGAUGCUGGCCCCAAUUUCUAAAACUACUAUCUCUAUGAGUAAAUUCCUUAUAAAUUUUCUUUUAAUUGAAAAUAUUUAAACAAUUGAAGAUAAAUUAAUUUAUUUUUUUAUUCGAAUGAAAAUUCAAUUAAACACUUAAAUAAGCUAUUCCUUUAACAAUUCUUUUCACACCCAUCAUGUUUCGUAAUUUAUAUUUAUAUUUAUAUUUUAAAAUUUAAUUGAAAAUACUUUUUGAGAAACUUUUAAGAAUUAAGAAUCAUGGAGAAAAAAAUGAUUUAAUAUGAAGAAAAUAGUUUAAAAUCUUAAGAUUUGUAUGUUUUAUAAAUAAAAACUUGAAAAAAUACUCUUUCCGAGAAAAGAUUUAAUCAGAAAAUGAUUAAUUUUUAAUUUAUGAAUUAAUAUUUUAUAAAUUAAACUAGGGGUAUUUUAAGGAAUAUAAUUAAAAAAGAGUGUCAUAAGGAUAUUUAGGGGUGUUAGAAGCCAUACUCAUUUACAUAAGCCAUGGGAGUUAGGGUAUUGGGUUUCUUUUUGUUUUGUAUGAAUUGGGAAAAAUACAGAGACAGACAAAGGGAACAGUCAUUACAAAGCUGUGAAGCGUGUGGGAGAUACCCAUUUGUAGCUUAAACUCCUAGGGUAUUGUUUCUGUCUUUCUCUUUCUCACUUUCUCAUGCAGCAGAUGUACAUAUCAUGAAAUAGCCAUACAUAGUUGGUUAGGCCUCCAGUCCAUUAACUUAAUAAUGAAUUUUAUGAAAAUUGAUUAUCUCAUUGGAAUUACAUGGAUAUUGGAAAGCAUUACUCCAGCCCCACCAUCCCAACAAUUUACUAAGUUCAUCAGUAAAAGCUGGAUUUUCCAUUUGUUCUUGAGAUUCAAAUUAAGGCAGCAGAUUGCUCAUCCCAUACUAUCCAUGUAAUCUUGUAAAAGUGAAGGGCGUUUAGAUGUGGAAAAACCUUACUCCUGCCGCAACGCCUCAAACAGAUUGUGAUCAGACAAGACUUAGGUCAUCAUUAGUAGUAGUUGGAACUUCCAUUUGUUCUUGAGAUUCAAAGGCAGCAAGCUGCUUCCUCAGUGCUACUAAUUCUUCCCUGGCAUUGCAUAUGUACGCUGAGGCUUGUCUACCAGACAAACUUGCUCCUUCCAUGAUAUCUAUGUAAUCCUGUGAGAGUGAAACCAUUUAGGACACAUAUCUCUUUUUUUCUAUUGAUCGUGACAUAUUUGGAAUGAAACAAUUAUAAACAGUGACCUGUUUUGUAUAUGAGCCAGCAAGGAACAAGUUCUUCACUUGUGUCUUUUGAUCAGGUCUGAAGGGGUCUUUACCAGGUCCCUCAUGGUACAAAGACUGCCCGAUUUUGACAACAGAUGACCAAAUAACUUCUAAACCUUGGGACAAUGGAAAUAGAGCUAAAACCUGAUAAAAGGAACCGUGAAUGGAUAAUAUGAACAGAUGUAUAUCAUCCAGAAAGUUGCAUGACCUUUUGCAGGGCUCAAAGUCACUAAAAAAUGUGAGAUAUACAUCUAGGAUAAGAAAAACGAAAAAGCGUAACCUAAUAUGUAUUAUAUGAAUUGAAGGUGUCACUGAACACUACCAACCUGCUUUGCCACUCUCCUAAUGAUUUCAUCAUUUGGUAAGGGCAUGUAAGGAUCGCCGGGCGUUAAAACGCAUCUGAAAGAUAAUUCAGUUAUAGUAAGCAACACAGAAUACAAAGACACUUGGCAAAAGGAAGUCAACCAGAUUCCAUGACACAAAAUGAAACUAAUAAUGGCGAAACUUCUCUGUAGUAGUCUUCUGGUGAAGUGAGUGCCAGAUCUGCAAAGCAAGAGAAAUCAGCAUGUGGAGUAUACAAAAGAUCAUCUAAUCCCAGAGCUUGCCUCAAUUGCCUACAUGUUCAAAACAAGGAUCCGUUAAAAAAUGGAAAUUUGUUCAAUGCAUUAGCAAAGGGAAGUGAAGUGAAAGCUGAUUUCUUAGGCCUUUAAAGAGCUUCUUUUGAUUGAAUUCCUGUAACCUCACAAAAGAUUAGAGCAUCACCUUGACCGUUCUAGGUCUUGCAACUCAGUAACCCAACCAUUGUAUCUAAGCUGCACUGUCACAACAGGCACUCCAACUAGCUCAUAAAUAUUGUUGAAAAACUUCAUUUCCCUCCACGAUGAUGGAAGUAAUCGUUUAAUUCCAGGGACAUCACAUGCUGCCAUUAAAUAGGAAGUUGAAUAAAGGUAAAACAUUCACCUAAAUGAUUCAGGAGAACAAAAAAGCACAAGUAGGAAUAAAUAAGGAGGAUUUAACCACAAACCUGUAACAUAUGCUUCAGCUUGCACAACCUUCUUGUCAGUGGCCUGAAACAGAACCAGAACCUCUAAGACCAUAAGCAUUAAAUAAUAAACGCAAAGUAGCUGCUUCUAACAGAUGAUAUAAACAACUGAUUUACAAAUGUCUGGUCAUUGCAUUACCUCCAUCAGAGGGAUUAUCAAUAGACGAGUAAAAAAAUAAAUAACUAAACUAGCUUUUGCCGCCUAAUUAGAACCAUGUGAGAAACAAUUACCUUAGACAUGGCAAGUCCUUUGACAUAUGUUUCUCCAUUAGCAGAUUUAUCAUAAAGUAUCUCUCUGCAUCCCCACCUAAGAUGGAACCUGUUCUAGCAAAAACAGACCCCAAGGUUAGGAAAAUCAGUAGGAGAAAACAAACAAGAUUAACAAAUCACUGCAAUGAUGUGAACCUGUAAAUAGAAAUUUACCUGCCCCCUUUAUCUGUGAUAUGUUUUCGUAUGGGCGCACUCAAAUAAGCGUCUGGAGAACCCUUGAGCAUCCGCAAUAGGGCAUAAGCAACAGGAUCCCACAUUCUCUGAAUACUCGUCCGUGUCCCACCUUUGGACAAAAACCAAUCAGAGAAGCUUAUCUGUAAGAAGAAAUGAAGUUUUAGGUAAGAUAACAAUUUGUAGGAACAAGGAUUGAUAUUAAAACAAACUAGAAAAUAAGAUGUCAUUCUUACACUAUCCAAAUCUCCUACGUCCUUCAAGGCUCCAUCAGGAUCAACGAGUGCCCUUACAACAGGACUCAGAGCAAGAGCAAGAGCAUUUCUUGCUUUAUCGUAAGUCUGCACUUGAGCAAUACAUGAGGCAAAGUACAUCAAAAAAGAAUCCAAAAGAGGCAAGAAGCUUCAACAUGAAAGAAGAAAUACUGUCUUAUCAUACCGCUAACUAAUCAGAGUGCAAAAGAUUACAUCAACAUAAUCAAAAUGGAACAUAAAUCCAUAUGCACUACCUUAAGCUAAUUUGUAGACAAAAAUGCGCGAAUCCCAUGUAAGGGAGCUCCGACUGGAAACCGGAAAUCAUGUUCUGGAGUUAAAAAUCAAAAUCAUGAACUUAAUCAGAGUUAUUAUUGGACUAGACAAUCCACAAACCAAUUUCAGAGUGUCCAACCACCAAACAUAACUAUCAGUAGUCUUAAGUGAUCAAGAAAUAACCAUACCACCAAUUUCACCACCCUUAUUCACAAAUGUAUGAGUAUGAUCCUUCAUGAGUAAAUUUUUUUGUGUCCGCACUGACCUGUAGACAUCCAUGAAAAACUAUCAGAUUAUAAACACAGGGUCAAUUUAAAGAGGAGCUAUGAUUCUGAUCCAUCAUGAUAUUUGAAGAACAUUUUCAUAUUUUCCUACAACGAGUAAACUAUAACCAGUUAUCAUCACUAUAGAUGGCAUGGUCAAGAGAAAUUAUAGUUCUUGUUUCAAGAAUCUCAAAUCAUAAUUCCUUUGCAUGGCUAGUGUGCUUUUAUAAUCAUUCAAACACACUUAUCCACAACUAAGCAAGCUUUACCUUUUUCAUCAAUCGGAACAGAUUAUUGUAGCAUCCAAAGAAAAUGUGCAGGCCCAUUUCAAUAUGGUUUCCAUGUUUAUCAAUAAAUGAACCCACUUUACCACCAAUGAAAGACCUUGACUCAUAUAUAUCCACCUGGAAGGGGGGGGAAUCUUCUAAUUUCUUUCACCAUCAACAAAAUCAGUAAAACACAUACUAAUUCAAAAUGAAAUAAACUUUGUGAAUUGAAAUAAUGCCUGCUCUAAAGAAAAUGAUAACUGCUAUUCAUUUUUCCGAACUGCUGAUAAAAGCUUCUGCUAUUUACUUUGAAAAAAUUGAGUAACUUCAAAUUUUCAGUUUAGGCAAGAGGAUGAAUGGUAAAAGUGAGACAUUUUAGGGGAAAAGAAAAUACUUGAGAGGCCAAUGAAACAUUGAAAGAUUGAAAUCUAAAUGAGCAAAACCUCAUGGCCUUGAUCCAACAAUUCCCCUGCUGUUGACAUGCCUGCAAGCCCAGCUCCAAUAAUAGCCACUUUCAGCUUUGGUCCUCUAUAAUGUGCCGGUUCUGGUGGAAACAAACACUUGGGAGCUGCCAAGUAUACCAUUCAAUUAUCCACAGGGAUAUUGGAAAAACAUACAUGUUUGAAAGUACUAAACAUCAAAUGUCUCCCGAAAAAAAUACAAAGCACAAUUGCAUAAGCAUUUCAUUUCCCAAUAAAUUUCAAGAAUACAAAAUACUUGGUCUGUUCUUGAGUUCCUUCAAGAAAAUUUCCACUAGAGAGCACGCAAGCCACUCAAUAACACUCCAAAGUCAGAUUUUAAACGUUAUCUUGAUCUAUAAGUACAAUCCAUGAACCAUUCUGCCACAAAUUCAAUUAAAAAUUAUUCAAGUAAAAUGCCAAAUUCUCCAUCAAUAGCCUCAAAAAUUCAUAACUAGCAAACACUACAGAACAAAAAGAGCUCCCAGCAAUAAACACAUAAAAAUCCCACCAAGCAACAUAAAUCAAAAUACCCAGAAACCAGAAAACCCAAAAGAUCAAUACUUGGUAAACAAACAAAUCAAAUCAAAUAAAACAAAAAGAAGAGAAAUUUACCAUUAACACUCAUAUCAGAAACGUAAGUAUCCAAAGAAGCCCGUACACAGAAUCUUGGAACCUUCACUUGAACCCGAGACCAACAAACACCAGUAACUGAAGUUGCAGGAAAAAGAAGUGAAGAACCCAUAUUGAAAUAAAAGAAUCCAAACCCAAAGUCCCACAUCUAAAUAUGAUGGAUCCACUCCAUGCGGCAAUAUGAAAUUUAAGCUCUCUUUUCUUAUGUCACCCAAGGCAUUGGCAGGAUGGCCAAACACCUGAGUUCAAGUCUACAAUAGAGAAUCGAAAUUUUCCUUUGUAAAUGUUCAUAAGUAUUUACCACAGAUAUUCAAGUUAUUCUUGAUAGAUCCCCUACUAUAUAUGCUAUAAUAUUUCUCUUCUUUUAAUUUAAAAGUAAAUCAUUCAUAAUAUCGGACUUGUAAAGAAAUAAAAUUUUCGGUAAUUAACUGACAAAACAAAAAAAGAUGGAUUAUGCGAAAGAAGUUAAUAUGGAGUAAGUCGAGCACUUGACAAUCAAAGUAAUUUACUCGAGGUUGAGUAAGGAUAGUACGAUACUUUCUCAAGUUUUCUGAGGACAUUCACGUGACAUUGGACUAUUGAUUAUAGUUAGAGAGAAGUCCAAGGAUGUAAGUGAUGAUGAUAGAUUCACAAUUCUUUUGAAGAAAAUAUUUUAUAUAAACUUAAUUAUAUGGUAUAAAAUGAUUGGCCUUAAUAAAAUUAAAAAAUAAUACACGCCUGGGUCAUGUAAUAUUUUCAACCAACUAAUUUACAUGCAAAAUUAAACUUUAUGAGUACAUUUAUUUGCUAGCAGAAACUCUGCCAAAUUUUCCGAAAUGUGAAAGUGAACACUUUUAACAACGUCACAAAAUGCAUGUGAUAAUGAAACAAUGUGCCAUCCUUAAACUAAUAUUAUUAGAAACUAUAAGUGAAAGUUUUCAGAAAACAUAUGAUAAAUUUUUCUCGGAAUUUGUUUUCUCCUUUGUUUUGAUUUAUGUGAGAGAUAGUUGUAAAGCGUAAAAUUUUAAAAUCCGUAACAAAACAAAAACUUACAUGGGUUGGGCGCACCAUGUGCAUACCAAAUUAGAAUAAUUGACGAAUCGUAAUAAAAAAUUUAUAUAUAAUAAUUGAAUGAGAUCCAUGGUUCACAAUUGCAAAUUAAAGGUUGGUUUUAUAAUAAAAAUCUUUUUUUGCAUACCAAGUUAGAAAAGAUUAUAAGUAAAUUAAGAUUUUCAAAAUUUGACUAGUAUUAUAUUACGUACGUCAAUAUAAUAUAAAUUUGUUAUAUAUAUAUAUAUUUUACUCUGCAACCAAUGCUUUCAAAAACUUUUUACUUGUAUGUUUGAACAACUUUUAUCGCUUUCUAUUUAUAUACGAUCUCAUUUAUGUUUACAUAAAUUUUCAUAUGUACCCAAAUUAAGCAUUAAAUACACACACUUUGGUAAGACACAUUUCUAGUAUCAGACAAUGAUAUUAUAUUGAAUGUAAUGCUUCAAUGAAUUUUAUUACUAUAUACUAAAAUACUCAACGAUAUUCAUUAAAAAAAAAAAAGAAAUUGCAUGAUUAGAAUGAUUAAAGUUCAUUUAAUGACGAGUUUCAUCAUUGACUGUGUCGAAACACAACAGCAAUCCACAAUACACUCAACACGAGAGGCGCACACAAGCAUGCAUGAAUCUUCCACCAUUAAACCUGAAAUCAUAAAAUGAAAGAAACAAGGUGAGUGUUGUUUUACGGUCUGAAAGCCGAUUCGAAAUAAUAAUAAUAAUAGACCUUUGUUAAUAGUUACUACUAGUGGUCACUGCCUUGUCCAUCUUCCUUCUCUGUAUCAUCGUCCACUUCCAAGCCGCUGUCAUCUGACCAAACCCCAGCAACCAUCGCGGGAAAAAUCACCUAUUUGGAGUGAGAGGGAAAAAGCUGAUUGUUGAGAAAUAUAUGUAUCUUUUGUAUGGUUGUGUUAAGGUCACCCAUGCAAGCAGAACGUGCUUCAGUCCCCCAUGCUUUACUCCCCCACUGCACUUCGUGUAAUUUGGGUGUACUUAAAUUUCCUUCAGAGAAAAUCUUCAUAUCGAGGCAAUCACCCACCACUAAUCUUUCCAAAGAUGGGAACUUGAAAGCACAAUUGCCAGAGCAGAAGCUUGUCAAACUUUUUAAGUCUAAAAGCUUCAACUCCUUCAAUUCUCUGAAAGUAAUAACCUCAUCUUUUGCUACAACAUCAUCCACCAGUACUAUUUCUGUUAUCUUAUCGCAUGAUUCUAUCUCCAUAUAUCUAAGUCGCACCAGAGUCUUUGCAAUUGAGGAUGUUAAUACGAUUUUCAAUCCUUUGCAACACGAUACCACCAGAUUUGUAAGAUUCUGAAAGGACGUCGACGAUGGCACUAGAUUGACCAAACGGUCACACCCCUUUACACGUAGAAAAACCAAGUUGUUCGUAACAGAGGACUCCUCUAUCAAAAUGUGCUCCAGUUGAUAUUUUGCUUCUCUUAUUUCUACCCUCAUCCCAUUUUCAACCUGCUCUUUCGGCAACCAAGCACCAUGUCCUCCUAUUUCGAGGACUUUCAUUGUGUGAAGUCUCUGGAGGAAGUCACCAAGUGAUAAAAUUGUCCGCUCAUCAACCAACUCCACGUAAAGAUAUUUUAGUUUGCAAAGCAAGUCUUCAGAAAAUAGAUAUUUAUUUGUUACCACGUGCUUUGCAUCAACUUUCAACUUUUCCAAAUUAGGGAAUACCUGGGAGAUUGAUCAGAGCCCAAAAAAAAAAAAAAAAAAAAAAAAAAUACAAGAUGAAUCAGUUGAUGAGAAUUAUAAGUUACCACUAAUUUAUACCAUAUAUUUUAUUCAAUAAAUCUUUACCUUUAAAAAAAAUAGUAAUAAUAAUACGCCUAGCUAACAUCUAGAAUAAUUAUGAAUGAAUACUAUACACUAAUCUAUAAGAGAGUUCCGUUGCUGACAAUUUGACUUUUAGUAAGAAACCAAGCGAUAAAGGCAAAGGCAAUAUAACUCUUAAGCUUUAUGAUAUAAACUUUCACAGUACAUACAUAAGAAUUGAAAAUUUGAUUAUAAAAUUCUUGUACGUACCCUUUCCGUCAAGAUAUUAGUAGUUCUUUUGCAUCUCGCCAUGAAUUCAGGACAUCCAGAUAUCUCUAAUUCUUUCAAGGAUGGAAAUUCAAGAUUAUCAAGAUCUCCAGUACAGAAGCUUGUGAACUUUUCAAGAUCAGACAUCCUCAGAUAUUGCAACUGAGGAAACGUUACAAUAUUAUUCUUCAUUUCUUCCUGGUUGUCCACGACUAUUAACUCUUCCAAGACGCGACAUCUGACUAUCUGAAUGCGUUGGAGUCGAACCAAGCUACUAACAGUAGCAGAUGAAAAUAGACAACUUAAAUUCUCACAGACAGACAAGGUCAAGUGCGUUAAAUUCUGAAUACCACAAGACAUGACUGUAACUUGGCUCGGCCAAAUCCUCUCAACAUUUAUUGAAUCCAACGUCAACUUCUCUAACUCUGGUAACCGAUCCUGCUCGAUCAAAAAAUUAACUUGUUAAUUGCAAGUAAACGAUCAUUGAUUAUAAAAUUCUUGUACGUACCCUUUCCGUCAAGAUAUUAGUAGUUCUUUUGUAUCUCGCCAUGAAUUCAGCACAUCCAGAUAUCACUAAUUCUUUCAAGGAUGGAAAUUCAAGAAUAUCAAGAUCUCCAGUGCAGAAGCUUGUGAACUUUUCAAGAUCAGCCAUCAUCAGAUAUCGCAACUGAGGAAACAUUACAAUAUUAUUCUUCAUUUCUUCUUCGUUGUCCACGACUAUUAACUCUUCCAAGACAGGACAUUCGACUAUCUUAAUGUGUUGGAGUCGAACCAAGCUACUAACAGUAGAAGAUGAAAAUAGACAUCUUAAAUUCUCACAGACACACAAGGUCAAGUGUGUUAAAUUCUGAAUACCACAAGACAUGACUGUAACUUGGUUUUGCCAAAUCCUCUCAACAUUUAUUGACUCCAACGUCAACUCCUCUAACUCUGGUAACCGAACCUGCUCGAUCAAAAAAUUAACUCAUUAAUUACAAGCAACAAUGAUUUCUGUUGAUGGACAAAUCAAUAAAAUUACUCUUUCUCUGGUUAUAGUUCUUUUCAGUUUUUCAUACAAACAACCGUUAAUCAAGUUUUCCAAAUUAUUCCUUACUAAAUGUAUAGAUUUAGACGGCGGCUAAUAUAGUUCAUAUUGUAAAUAUUCUUUGAUUGUAACGAAUUUUGUAAUAUUAAAUUUUGGUUGAUUCGCAAUAGGACCUACUAUCCAGCGCGAGCAGUUCUCGGGGAUUUAACUACUGGCACCUCGAUUAUAUAAAAAUUUAGAAUAUUUUCAAAGGAAAUCAAAUAAUUCCCCCUUGCAAAUAGUAAUUAUCAUCAAUUGCCGGGGGUUCACAUAUAAUUCUAAGAAAUUAGGCGAGAAGAGUCUCAUCAACAAUCAAUCAGCAAAUAUCACGUUUGGCAGAUCAUCAUGAUUUCCUCAGAUGCUAGAGAAUCAACGUGAUUUCUGCUCAUGCAGGAGUGGACACAUUAUCUUAGAGCAUCCCUCACUGAGAUCUUUUAAAAAAUUUAUAUUAUAAAGUGAACAACAUAUUUAGUAUAGAUUUAGACGGCGGCUAAUAUAAUUUAUAUGUAUUCUAAUGACGUAUAUUAAAGAAAAUGACUAACCAUAAUUUCAAUCAACUUAUUAGUCUAUAUAUAUAUAUAUAUAUAUAUAUAUAUAUAUAUAUAUAAAAGUGACUACAACAUAUUUAGUAUUCCAUGACAUGAUGUUUAUAAUAAUAAUUAUUAUUAAUUCACUUUUUGUGUCAAGAACCUUUUCUUUCUCUAAGAAUGAAUUUCUUACACCCUACUAUACUACGGAUGAAAAAUUUAGAAUCAUUGUGAAAUAUGAUUAUUAAUCACUCUUUGCCAUAUUUGCUACCAAACAAGAAUGCAACAAAGAAAAAAAAAAUUAUAGAGAAUUAAUAAGACCAUUGACUUAUCAAUAACUGACCUUCUCAGCGAAAAGUGUAUUAGAAAUUUGGACAUUGUCCUCCAAAAUGAUUUCAUGUGACCGCAAAUCAUUAGCUGAUUCCUCCUGUCUCUGCUAACAUUGCAGGUGUAUUGAUUUUAGAGUGUAAGCUUAAUUGUGAGCACAACCUUAAUGCAUAGAUACAAGAUCUUUAAAAAUUAGUACAAUAAACUUAGCACUAAAUCUGAAUUUGAUAUUUUGGAUUCCAUGAUUAAGAUUUUUUUAAAAUGAAAAUUUAAUAGAGUUAAUUUAAAAAUAAAAAUUAAAUAUGAAAAAUUAGAGUUGCAAUUAUGGAUUUAAUUUUGAUAAAUAAUGAAUGUUCUCUUAAUAUUUUUUUUUUAAAGGUAAAAGAGCGUACAAAGCCCAAAUUCAUUUUUUUAGUCCCUUACUCUCCCAUAAUUCAAACUUGGGUGGUUGUAGGAGGACUGAAAAUAUAUAAGACAGUUAACUUCACUUUUUUUUUUUUCUUUUUUUUUUUUGAGAGAAAAGAGAAGAAGGAUAUUACAAAGCAUGAAGCUCGUGCAAUAUAAGGGCAAUGAUGGUUUUUUCUUUAAAUUAAAAUAGUAAGAUUUUGAAGCUAAAAGAUUAAAAUAUUAAUUAAAUUGCAAACAUUAAAGAUUUUUUUUUUUCAAAUGGUUGCUUUGAAAAUGAGAAUAAUAUAAUAUUUGAAGACUUUUCAAAAUUAAUUACUGUGAUAGAUGCACUAGAAGUUUCUAGCUCUAGUCUAAUGUAUAAAUUGACAAAACGAUAUUAGAAUCCCAGGUGAAAAGAACCCUCUCACACCAAUUAUUUAAAUUAGGAAUGAUCAUACCUCUGACUCUGCCGAACUGAGGGCGGGGUCUAAACCCACCAUAAAGAGACGCUUGAGAUGGGAAGAGCCCACUUUGACUAAUUCAUUACGAAAAUAAUCGACAUCUUGCUCUUGCAAUCCCCAUAACUCAAGGUCUUCAAUUCUCUGCAGUUGCACGAUCAGCGAAUCCUUCAAGCAAAUCUUGUUAUUUAGCUCGACUCUGAAUUCACGACACGGAAUGCUGGUGAUCCCCCAAUACUCAAGAUCUCCAAUGCGUAUGCUGUACCUUUCCAGCUUCUCCAAGAACAGGCCUCUGGGCAGAGUGCUGACGUCAUGGGUGUCUAAUUCCAAAGAGGUCAAGUUGGGCAAAUGCUUCAACUCCUCAAGGCUUGCAUUCUUAACCCCUUCCACCUCCACCUCCCAA
rnacentral:lncRNA from 1 species